UGCAAUCACCUUCACCAUGUCAUCUCCCAUAACCAUGGUCAACGACGAGUCAACAGUCGAUGACACGUCGCUGCAUCUAAAGUCAACAGACACCAGAGGCUCGUCGCACACCGCCAGAAUACCAGCCAACUCAUUGUCAGCAGCCUCCCUGAACGCCGCGUUGACCUCCUCAGCGAAGGUCUUCUUGGAAACCUGAACCACCAAGUCCACGACGGAGACAUUGGGUGUGGGCACACGGAGAGCAAUACCGUUGAGCUUCCCUUUGAGUGACGGCAACACAAGCGCGACGGCCUUUGCUGCUCCGGUGGAUGUUGGGACGAUGUUCAGUGCUGCAGCUCUUGCACGUCGGAGGUCACGGUGGCUGGCGUCGAGCAGCCUUUGGUCUCCGGUGUAGGAGUGAGUUGUGGUCAUUGUUCCCUUUAUGAUUCCUGUCAAGGUACCAUAUCUUUGUUUACAUUUUACAACAGGAAACUUAAUUAUACGACGGAUGAUGAUGAUCGGAAAGGGAAUUACCGAAUUUUUGGUCAAUGACUUUGACAAAAGGAGCGAGGCAGUUGGUGGUGCAGGAGGCGUUGCUGAUGAUCGUGUCCGAAUGGCUGUAAAGUUCGGCGUUGACUCCGACGACAUAAGUAGGAAUGUCACCUUUUCCCGGCGCAGUGAUUAGAACCUUCUUGGCUCCGGCCUGAAGGUGCUUCCCAGCUCCAUCUCUGUCGACAAAAACUCCGGUUCCUUCGAUCACCAAAUCAAUGCCCAAUUCCCUGCAUUCAUACACUCAAUUCCUCAAAUAAUUACCUGCAACAUUAAUACGUAGUUAAUUUAUAGAAAAAAGAACGUACGCCCAUGGGAGGUCGGAGGGGUUGCGGCUGGAAACGACUUUGAUGAUCUUGCCGUCAACGGAAAUGGCGUUGUCGCCGGAAGGUUUGACUUCAGCGCCAAAGAUGCCGAGAGUGGAAUCGUACUUGAGAAGGUGGGAUGCUUGUUUGACACCGCCGGUGUCGUUAAUGGCGAUGACAUCCAGAGGUGAAUCCUUCCUUCCAUGCCAACACCUCAAGAAAUUCCUUCCGAUACGCCCGAAUCCGUUGAUCGCUACCUUCAGUUUUGCUUCCGUCACUCCCUUAGGAGUCUUGCUUCCACCCACCUGAUCAUCACCCAUAUAUAUAUAAAUGCUUCCUUAUUAUAUACUGUAUCUUUUUUUUCGUACGUACGUUAUACCCUUAAAAAUAUGGCUAGAAGAGGAUACACAGAUAAUGUUAUAUUCCAUGAUCUAAAACUUAAUUCAGACAAGUAUAUAUUGAACAAGUUUCAUCCAAAACCACACAUAUAUACUUGACACUACAUAGCAUUCGAAUUCAAGAAUGAAGUUUGAAACAGGUAUGAUCGAGGCACUUACAAGAGUUGUCUGGAAGGCAACCAUUGAGACGAAAUCAUCGGAACCUUUCCUUCCGAAAGGAAGAGAUGCAGAUGAGCUGCGAAGGCCGGCGAACUCCGAGAAGCCCUUACCAUUGACCUGCAAAAGUUUAUUAUAAGAAAAAGAAGGAAAGAAAGAAGGUGGGAUAUAUAUAUAUAUAUAUAUAUGAUUUGAUGUUAAUAAGAAGAUGGAUAAAGUUAUAACCUGGAGAGAAGCAUUGGCCAUGGAGAAGGCUGUAGAAGCCAUGGUUGUGUGCAGGAGCUAGAAGGUUAGGGGUUGUAUGCUUAUAGUGUUAAAAUGAAGUGUGGAUGAGCUUGGUGAUCACAGAUAAGCCUAUCAUCCAAUCCAAUCCAAUCCUAUGGCUGUGGAUGUAUAUAAUGUUUGUGUGUCUCUCUUUCAUCUUUGGUUUUCUCUCUCUUCCCAAAUAUGCUUCUUAUAACGACCAUGCUUUCUUUUUAACCAUUUAUCCAUUGAUUCUAACUCUUUUAUCUACAUAUUACACAUAUAGUUUAUCUAUUUAACACAAACAAGUUAUUAGGAUAUGUUUAUUAGGUGAUUAGUUGAAAAACUAUUUUAUAAUUGAUAAAAACAACAUUUAUUAAAUUAAAGUAAAUACUAAAUAAAAGUUUUUCGGUUGUUUAUGUUUUAUUGUAAUUUUUUGCGUUUCAUAUCAUAUUCAUAAUAUUAUCAUGAAUUUCUAGUAUUCGAAUACCAGAAUUUCAAAUUUUAUCAUAACUAAAUUUUAGAUGAUCGUCUAAUUCUUCUGUAUGUACGUAAUGACUGUGUUUUUUUAAAUUAUUGUCAUUCUUUUAAAUAUAAUCAUGGAGGACAAAUGUAUAGAGGAUAAAUGUCCAUUACUAUGAAAUCUGUGAGAUCAUUUAUCAUUUGUUCAAAAUAAAAGUUUGUAUUGUUAUAUAAUUUAAUAGAUUGAGUAAAUAAGCUUAAAUAAUAUUAACAUAAGACAAAUCUUAAAAAAAAAUAGAAAUAUUAAAAAAUAUAUAGGUAAAUAAAAAAAAGUAUAAAGGAAAAUCUAGAAUUUCAACAAAUCCGAGGAUACGAAUCGAGUCGAAAUUUUAUAUUGAUUUUAUAUGAUGAAUGAGUACCUUAAAUUGGUAAAUAGAAAAAUAGAAUGUUACAAACAAAAGUAAAUUUGAAAUUAGCAUUCAUAUUCGGCAAAAAAAAAAAAUAUAAUUAAUAAAGAGUAAAGACUAAGACCAUCUCCAAUGCAUUGAACUCAUAUGAGUUCAAUGGAUUGACACAUAUACAUUCCACUCACUAUACAACUUUACCCAUUAAACUCUACACUCCAUUAAACUCUAUGCAAUUUAAUGGAUUGUCACAUCAUUUAUUAUUUUCUUUUUAUUUAUUAUUAUUUUUAAAAAAUUAAUUAGCAUGAAAUUAAAAAUUAAAAACUACAAUUAAAAUUAACAUUAAUUAAAAAAUUAAANAUAUAUAUAUAUAUAUAUAUAUGUGUGUGUGUGUGUGUGUGUGAGAGAGAGAGGAGAGAGAAUAUAGAGUUCAAUGGGGAUUGAACUCCCCAUUCCAUUGAAUCCUAGUCACUUUCCCACAAUGGGGAUUUUGAGUUUAAUGAUAUUAAACUCCCCAUUAAACCCUCCAUUGAACUCCCAUUGGAGAUGGCCUAAGUUGGAGAAUAAUAAAAAAAGUCAUACGUCCGAUGAAACGUCAAUACGAAUAACUUUUUAAAAAGGGUUAUUAAUACAAAACUUGUUAAGUUUUUCAAGUUUUGUCAUUGUGACCCUUUUUGGUGCGUAAAUUCAUGAUAUUUGAGAAAAUUUGUUCAUUGUUGCCCUUUAUCCAUUUUUGACAUUCUACAACAUGUCACCCUUGUCUACAACAUUCACCACCACCACAAUCUACAUUGUUGCCACCACCAUAAGCAACCACCACCCCUUUGGCGUGUUACCUACUUGUGCAACCGUCCUCCGCCACUGGACCACAACAAAUCACUACCAUUUUUAGAUCUACACAUACAAUUUGAAUUGCCUUCCCUCCACCAUCAAACCCCACCAAAGACCACUGUCUUCCGACCACCAAAGAUACCCAUGCCACCCUCCUCCCUCCGCCACAUAAAACAAAACCCCUUAUCUAUCCAUUACAAUUUUCACCACAACCCUUGCUGUGACAACCAAAAAUUUCUAUCUUAUACAACCGUUCAAUUCAAUCAAAGUCAGACUCGUUUCUGUUAUCUUUUAGCAUUGUUUAGGGUCUGUUUGAGUGUCCUAAGCCUAGUACAAUCAAGGUUUGGGUUUAGGGAUGAGUUUUCUUAAGUCAUAGUAUUUCAUUGCGGGCCAAACACUCGUUCAAGAGGAGUGUACGGUGGUACACAUGGGUGUACGGCCGUACACCCCCUCAUGGCCAUAAACUCUCCCUAUAUAAAUGAUACUUAGCCAUUUUCCAACACUUUUUACACUUCCAAGCCUAGAUUUCAGAAUUCUCUCUCAACUAUCAUCAAGUUUCUCACCUAGAUCUUCAAAGAUGUAAGUGUUUCCUACCUUGAUUUGUUGCUUCAUUGCUUUACUAGUGAAAGAUCCAUGUUUUCAUUCCAUAAAUUUCAUCUUUGGCUAGAUCUUCAACUUUCACCAAGAACACCUACUUGCCCUUGGGCAGUGAACUUAUUAGAAGCCUUCAAAAGUGUAAGUUUCUCUUCUGUCUUCUAGUUAGGCUUGGGAAUCACUUCUUUUCUAGCCUUAAAACAUCAUAUAAUGCAUGAACACAAAGAGUGUAUGGCCGUACACCCUUCAUAUGGCCGUACACCCCUUGUUUAGUGCAUGUUUGGCCUCAAACUCAUGUUAUAUUCCAACAUAAGAUCAUGGAUACUUUGCUAGAUAGAGCCUUAGACCACCUUUUUGGCAUGUUCUUCAAGGAGUGUACGGUUAUACACUCCAUGGCCGUACACACAUGUGGUCGUACACACAUGUGGUCGUACACCACUUGGCCAUACACACACUAGUGUGGCCAUAAAUCCAUUUUAUGCAAUCCUAGGUACUUCUAACACUUCUAUCUAAGUGUUUCCUAGUUUCUAGGGUGGUUUUCUUGCAUGAUUAGUUGUAUACACACUAAUUAUAUACAUAUAUGUAUCAUUAUAUGCUUAAUAGGAUCCUUUUGUGCUCGAGGCUUCACUUGACACUUAGCAUCCUAUAUCGAACUUACACUCGUAUCUAAUACUACAGGUGAGUUCAUACCCCUUAACUUAUCUUUUAAAUGAUUUUAAAUGCUUUUAUAGGGGGGGGGGGGAUACAAGUUGAAACAUUAUAGUUAUUGAAUCAAUCACAUGUGAUUAAUAACUAUCAAACAAGUGAAUUUCUUAUACUUCAAACUGUUUUAUCAAACAAACUCUUCAAAACAUUUUAUAAACUGACAUCAAGUCAUCUGUUACCAUUCAAAUGGUUAAAACUCUUUUAUAUGUUAAACCUUUUAUUAAACUCUUUUAAACUUAUAUAUUGUCAAAAUCAUGUNUAGUUAUAUAGGUAAGGUUGAAACGACUUAGGACUGAUAACUCACUUUAUUUCAUGUUCCUUGUUUGGUUGUGGACUUAGGGUAUCCGGUUGUUUGUCUGAGUGUCGUUUGAAUCUUAGUUAUAUAUUAUGUAUAUAUGUAUAGAUAUAAAAGUUUUUACAUCAGUUCAACACCUUUGGGCAACAAAGGUGUACAAACAUACUCAGUCAUUCAAACAACAUUACUAAUAAACUAUAAUAGGUAUAGUUUAGGGAACUACUACUCACUAUUUCUAGUACAAUAUAUGAAACAUACAAGAGUCAGUUCAUUCAUGAUUCAAUACAAACUUACUAUUAUGAGAAAUAGAAAGAACAUACUAUGAUGAGAAACUAAGGUGUUCUUUGUUUUUUCGAAGCGAAAAUGUAUUAAGUCUGCGGACCACCUCUGCAAUCCUCUGUAGCAGAAGAGGUGGAACAAAAGGCUGCAACAUUUAAUAAAAAGUAUGUUUGUUUUUUAACGUCUGUAGACCGCUGCAAUAAGUUAAAGUAAGGCGCGAAGAGGUUUGAAGCAGUUAGUUUAGUGCUGCGCCAUGCAGCACACGCGCAACAGUUUUUAAGUCAGAAGUCUUCAGGAAAACAAACAACUGCGAAAGGCCAAGUGUUGCGCGUGUGCUGCGCGACAGUAGCAAUAACUGGUCUGAAGUGAUUUUUUUUUAAAAAACAAACAACACCUAAGAGAACAUACUAUACACUAGAACAGAGAGAACAUACAAUACACUAUAACAUACUAUACAAACACUAGAAUACUAUAACAUUAAUGUGAGCCACUACUUCAUGGCAUGGCAAUAUACUGUUGUGUCACGUUUUGUAACCAGAGUCUCCUGGAGGGUGAGCAUGAAUUUUUGUAUAGAUCUAUACGAGACUGGCCGUCCUACACCUUGUUGUUAGCUACAGUGGGACCUGCAGGUCUACGAGUGACGAAUGUCAUACCAUUUCGACGUCUUUGAUGGUCGUGUUUUUCUAGUCAAUCAAGUAUGGUUACAACCUCAUCACAUUUUACCUUAAUUAACAAACCGGUUUAAGGUAGUUAGUACAUGGUAGUUACUUAUAUACAAUACUACAGUACAUCUUCAUUCUCCCAUUGCAUUCACAUUGUGAUCUUCUCGCAUAAAUGGUAAUGUAAACUAUAUUUUGGUAAUGAUAGUCAUACUUGGGAAAAUUAUGCACUUUUACAAACAAACAACAUUCAAAACAUUCGGGUCUUGGUAGAAGGCUACAGUUUUAGUAGAGAAUAUAGGAUUUUUUAGGAGAUACAAACAUUUACUAUAAACACUUACAAACAUUUACAAUAAACAUUUACAAACACUUUCAUUCAAACAAUGACACUAAAAUACUUAUGAACUCACCAGCUUUAAUGUUGAUCUACUCUUUCAAAAUAACUUGUAUUCCCAGGUCACCAGUAGACAGGUACCGAUGACCAGGUUUUGAGAAUACGGAGCUUUCAAGACUUGUCUUUAUUUUGAUUAUUCAUUUUGAUGUCUUAUAAACUAUACACAGAACAUACUUGUAUUAAAAUUAUAUUAUUAAUGCAAUGGAUGAUGUUGUUGCUUGUUUACUAUUAUGCAUUGUUGUGAUACUGUACAUGAGGUCCUCCACCCCAGAAUGUUUCCGCCGUUCCGGUUUUGGGGUGUGACACUUGCCACCACCAGAAGCAACCACCACAACCCCCUUAUCUCCCCCUUAUGACAAACACAACAAAUGUGGUGAUGCCACUAGCACCACCAUUUGAAAAUAAGAACACACAACAUGGGGGAGACUAAAGGUGGUGGUGGAAGCAAUGGUGGCUAGGUUUAAUGUAACACCCGUUAGUUAGGGCUAGACAUUUAAGGGGUUUAGUUACAAUUAUUCGUUUUAUUUAAUAAUUAAAAUCCUCGAAUAUGAUAAUUAUAAAGAAAUAAGAAUCAUGCGUACACAAUACGACCUAUAUAAGUGUUAAUUAUAUUUAUUUGUUGAAUACAUGUUUUAUGGACAAAUAUUAUGGGCUUAUAAUAUUUGUAUAAAACAUUAUUAAAAACUUAACAAAUUGGGUUAAAUAAACGUUUAAAAAUAAAAUAUUAUUUAGGAUAAAUAAUCUUAACAAAAGUUGUAGUAGUCGUGAUUAUGAACCCGUGAGUAUAAAGAACGCGAAAAUCUGACUUCGUAUGAAGAAGUUAUUAUUUUUCGAAGUUUCGCGUUCGACAUGAUACAAUUGUAUGUGUCCCAGAAUACAAAACGAAAAAAGAUUCCUUGUUGGCAAAAAAAUGUAAAGGAGAGUUGAUGUCCUAAAAAAUACCAAUCUGUCGAUAUAAAGAACAUUGAGAACGUAGCUCGUAUGAAGAAGUUAUAAAUUUAGCAAAGUCUUUACAGUGUAAUCCUUACAGACUAAAAAAUAAAAAUAGAUUGUGAAUUAGCCGAUGAAAUCCGAAUGAAAGGUUUAGUACUCGUCGAUACGAAAUCGGGGAUAUAAAGAACGUCGAAAAUGGAGCUCGUAUGUGAAAGAUACGAUUUGCUAAAGAUCGCGACAAUUUACCUAUGAGGAUGUCGUAGUAUGACCGAAGUGUGACACAUGUCAGCAGGAGAAGUCAAGGGAUCUAACUAUCAGAUCGUCGAUGUGGACCAAUGAAAAGCUGUCAUGAGGCUAGGGCGCGACGCACUUUUUGUAAUCUUCUAUAUAUAGGGCCAAUUUUUGCUUCAAUUGUUGCACCACUUCUCUCAACUUUCUUUGGAACUUUUCCCGCACCCCGAGGCCCGACUUUAAGAGUUCUGGAGUAUUCAUAGCGAAGCACUUUUGCAUUAGAGAGCCCAAUAAUAGAAGUAUUCAGAGUCAAAAUUCUACCCGCGACUUUCUGAACUUUCGCUAGAAAACUGGUUGUCACACCCCGAAACCGAUGGCGGAAACGUUCCGGAGCGGAGGACGUCAUGUAAAGUAUCGCAACCAAUGUACAUAGCAAGCAUAGUAAACACAACCAUUAAAUUACAUAGAAAUAUUUACAUUUGUUUGAAAGCAAAGUAAUACAUGUUUUAUAUAUACAUCAGUAUAACAAAAGUAAAGACGAGACUUCUAUAUGCUCCAUCUUCUCCAAAAGUAACGGGAUACAUGUCUAACGUGAACCUGAGAAUACAAGCAAUUUUAGAAAUAUCAGCAUAAAGCUGGUGAGUUCAUAAGCGGUCUAUUUCUGGUGAAAGAAAAUAUUCCUUUAAGUUUACGAAAAGUUAUUUCCCAAGAAAAUCCCAUUUUUCUUAUAAAAGAAGUUUGGUUAUCCAUAUGUUAAACAGCCUGUUUAUGAAAAGUUAUAUUAUCCCAGGAAAAACCCUUAUUUUCCUUAAAUGUUGGUGGUUGGUUAUCGAUCCGGAAUGAAUUGUACAAGUAUCUACCAUACUUGUAUCGUUAAGUAAAGUUUCCCUGAAAGUUUUGUUAUCCUUGAAAGGUACUUUAGUUUUAACACAUAUAUAAAACUAAUCAGUAUGUUGUGAACUAAUACCUAAGGGUAUUACUGAUACCCUCUAGUAAUCAAAACAAUUAUUACUUUGAGGUUAGUUCACUAGAUUCAUUAUUACUUAAAUGUAAAUCUCCAUUAUCUAAGUUCCGAGUUCUAUAACCAUACGAUAAACUAGAUAUGGCAAGUAAGAAGGCAAGUAUCACUUUAUGACUUUUGUCACCCGUAGACCUGUCGGUCCCACUGUAGCUAGCAGCAAGGUGUGGGGUAGUCAGCCCCGUAUAGAUCUGUACACUCAAGUCACGUUCUCCCUCCAGGAGAUUCUGGUUAUAGGGGCGGUCCUCCACUCGCGUAUCUUCGUGGAGUGUUACUGAGGACGUGUCUCCAAUCUUAAGAAUAACAAAUUUACAAGUAACAAUAUGAAAAAAAUCCUGUUUUAUGAAUGGCAUGAAAUCCUUGUGAAAUAUAAAAUAUAACAUUUUAAAAUGAGUUUCGCAAUUAGUUUGAAAACUAACUAUAUAAGUUAAACGGUCGGUAAUACGGUUUUCUGUGUUAAAAUCAUACUGAACAUAUAACAUUUCAUACGAAGAUAAUAAGUUUGAGUACAAUAUUCCCUUGUACUUUUUCUUGUAUUCCCCCCUGAAAACAUGAAAAACACGGAAAAAGGUGUAGGGGUAUGAACUCACCAGACGAGUAUGUGCCGGGUAGGACUCUAGGUGUCAAUUCAGGGCUUGAACACAUGCGAGGAUCCUAUGUAACAUGAGGAGAUACAUAAUUGUAUAUAAUUAGACAUUGAACCACUAAUUUAGUAAGUUAAUACACUCCUAUGCGAGAAAACACCUUAUCUCAAGUGUUGGAAGUGAUACGGGUUGCAUCUAAGGAGUGUAGGGCUUUGCUAAGGAGUUUACUCUUCAAGUGUAAACCCUUAGGGGUGUUUACGGACCAAAGACCAUAGCCCCAUGAGUUUAUGGCCGUAAACUCAUGGUUGGAGUGUUUUUGGAUGUUUAAAGGUCUUAUAUUGCACAAGGGAAGGUUCUAGGGUUGAUUCAAUGGCUUAGGAAGUGAUCGGGACUUGAAAUGACCUUGGAAAUGAAGUUUACGGUUCUUGAAGGACCCUUGGUGAGUUUACUGCCGUAAACACAUGGUUUUAUGGCCUUAAACUCAUGUGUGUCUCAUUUUUGAAUGAUUUGGUGCAUCACAUGAAGGGAUACAAGGUUCUAGACAUUAAUCCAAGCUAUAGGAGGAAGUUAGGGCACCAUUUGACCUCCUUAAGGGACUUUACGGUCUAUGAAGGGGUGUUUACGGUCCAUGAAUGUUCAUGGGCUGUAAACUCAUGUUUACCCCCCUUAUGACAAGUUUUUGGGGUUCUAAGCUCAUACAUGCAAGUCCUUAAGUCAUAGCUAAGCACUAGAAGGGUCUUGGAGGGGUUUUGGGGCUUCAAAACCCACUUAUGGGAGUUUACGGUUUUGGAAGGUGUUCCUCAACCGUAAACACAUGAUUUUGAGAGUUUUGGAUGAUUUAAACACGAAUUUGCAUUCUUAAUAAGCUAAACAACAAGCUAGGAUAGAUCACUUACGAUUUUGGAGCUCGAAAGGGGCGUUUUUGGAUCAAAACUCGAGUUGUAGAGAGAGAUUAGAGAGAGAAAGUUAUAAGGAGGUGUGAAAAGGCUCAAAUGAAGGCCUCUCAACCUUUAUAUAAGGUUUGAGUUUGUGGCCAGGUGGGGAUCCACCCAAUCCCGACAUUAAACGAAGUUUACGAUUUUACCCGAUUAAAUGUUCGUAACCCGACUUAGUCGUAAACUAAAAACUUUUCCAAAUGAAUUCGAGGGUGUUACACGUGUUUUUAUUUCGUUUAAACACUUAUAAAAAUAAAAUAAAAACUUUUAUUGAUUUGCCUAACCCAAAAGUUAACGAAAAAUUUUAAUAAAAAUAAAUUUUAUUAACGGAAAUGGGUUACAGCGACAGAAUAAAUUUCAGGUUGUCACACUUGUAUAUUGAGUUAACUUACUGUUGGACUACGGUGUUUAAGCUCAUAACUAAAUUGAUAUAAACUGCAAAAUAGACGCAACGUCCUUUUGGGGUUGCCUUAAUAAUCAGAAAUAACUAGAAAUUAUAUUAGGAGAGAGAGAGAGAGAGAGAGAGUAAAGAUUUGUUAAUAUAUUAUGUUGUUAAUAUACUAACUGGAAAUAGAUAAUUGAUUUAUUAAUUUGUUACGUGUUUAAUAAAUUAACAUGAGAUCAAUAGUUAAAUAAUUGAUUUAAUAAAUUGUUAAUCGUAAUUAAUCUGAAAUUAAUUAGGGAUUAAUUUGAAUUAAUUAAAAGUGUAAGGGGUGAAUUAUAAUUGUUUAAUAGUUGAAUAAAAGAAGAAAUUCUAGAACCAUCCAUGGUAUGGACAAAUUUGACUUGAUUCCUAGGGUUUCUGGAAGCUUCCUGGAUGCAGAUAAGGAAAAGAUUUGAAUUGGGAUUAAAUUUAUUAUUUAAUUAAUUCGAAACUGACUUUUCAUGUGAGUUACCUAAACUAUAAAUAGGACCCCAAGACCAACAAAUUUCAUUCAUACAUUUACCUACAAGCUUAGGAACGAAGUUAAUAUUCAUAUCCUCUCUCUCCUCUUCAUUCUUGGAUUUCUAGAGUUUUUAGUGUGAGCCAUUAGAGACAUCAUACUUUUGAUGCUUGCUUUCUAAAUACAUAAAGGAAAGGAUCAACGACUUAUUUGCUAUAAUAAAUAUAAAGGUGUGUAAACUCUAAAUUCAUGAAUUUAGAUUCUCAUAGAGUUCCUUUAGGGUUCUUGAAGUUAAAAGUAUGUUGCUAUCAAUUACAGAAAACAUAUAUCCUUUGUUUGGGUGUCAAACCAACAAAUAAAUGGAUAAAAGUAAUAACAAUUUAACACAAGUCACUGCCACUAAAUACUAAAGAUAGUAUAGAGUAAGCAGGGUUGGUCCAUAGUAAUACGAGACUUAAUGUUGAAUCAUAUUCUCACACAAAUUCAUUAACAAUUGAUAAAGUAAAGGGGGUUGUUAACAUCAAAUUAAAUUUUAUAACAGAAAAAUUAAAGACUAAAUUCAGAAUUUAAAAGAUAUUUUUGGUUUCAAAUCCUAUUCAAGCACUAUUUUGAAAGAUAUAAUGUGACUUUGAUUUAUGUUUAUCUAGGUUGGUAAUUAAGAUAUUAGUAAGCUCUGAUAUCUCACAAUUGACAAAAGUAUUUUACUCAAAACAUGAUCUUGGAGUAAAACUUCAUUUAGUUGAUAAAAUCCAAACAAGCCCUUAGAUUAAACCACUAAAAGACCUUAAGUUCAAGCAAUUAUUACCAACAAUGUCAAAUAUUUCUCAUAGGCUUAGAAAUGUGAACAUUUAAUCUUUGAUUACACUAACUUUUGAUUCCAAGGAAACCAAGUAAGUGUUUGUAACCAAUUACAAAUCAUAAAACAUAUAUAAAUUUCAUAAUUUGGCUAACAACCAUGAUAUGAACCCUAAUUCUUUGAUCAAGUGAAAAGAGUACAAAUCAAGUAUAUGAUGAAGAUUAAAUCCAAUACUACUAGAUAGAAACAUGAAUUAAGUUCACACCAGAAUUUAACAACAAGUAUUUAAGGAUGUAGAACCGAAAAUGAAAAGAAAAGUUAGUUAUACAUGGGUAAAUAAAAUUACAAAUUCAACAAGUUUAAUCUUCAAACAAACUUACAAAUUCGAAAUAAAAAUGUUUCUAACGUGGUCAUUGAUAAUAAAAUUGAUGAAAAGUCUUGGUUGAAGUCCUUUCAAAAAUGCCCAAAAGCCCACUUUUAAUCGGAAGUUAUAUAUUCAAAUUGAACUGCUAGACCAUGUUACACAGCCUGUGUAAUGCCAAGGAAUCGUUACACGGCCGUGUAACAAAUAUAUUUGUUGAAAUGCUCCAAAACAUGCUCGUGUAAUGCAUAGGCAUCGAUACACGGCCCGCAUAAUGACAUGAAAAAAUGUGAUUUUUCCAAUUUUGCAACUUCUUCAAUCCGACUCUGAAAAUUCUGAAAUUUUACCGAGAGCUUCCCUCAAACAUCCUAAGCAUGCUCCAAUAAUUGAAUCACCCUGAAGCAUCUACUAAAAUAGUGAAAAUUAGAUAGAUCAUUGAUUUGUCCUAAAAAUGCAAAAUUCAUGUAAAAUUAGAUUAAAAUGCAAUGCAAUGCUAUGAAUAAUCAUGAAAUAAACAUGUAAAAAUGUGCAAUUUAUCUACCUAACAAAUCUCCCCAAGCUUGAACAUUUUCUUGUCCCCAAGAAAACAAGACAUGGAUAAACCUCGGGAAAGAUAAAAUGCAAAUGCAAAUGUGAAUGCAAACAAGAAAUAAAAAGAAAGAAUUCCUCAAGUUAUUCAUCUCGACAACAUAAUCAUGAUUAAAGAGUUGUCAACCUAUACCCCAAAUACACGCUAAUGUACUGAAUUCCAAAUCAAGACGGUAGAAGAUAUGGAACACAAGGAUUGCCAAUCACUUAGCUUAAAUUUAUAGAGUCAUAGUAUAACGCAUAUCCAAGUAACUUUUACUAACAAGCCAGGUGCAUCUCAUUUUAUAGGACGUACUCAUUGAAACACUCAUCCACUCGUGUAUGAAGUCAUUUCACAAGACGUGUUAACUCGCUCCUAUUAAAGAAUCUACACUCGUUAUUUAAGGUGGAGGGAACUCAGGUGUCGGUAAGGCAUAUCCCCUUCUCCCUAGUCUUCUUUACGUGCUCUUCAAUAGCUUGCAGUUGCACAAUCUUCAUGUCAUCUUCCAAAUCAUGUGUCAACUCUCAACAAUCCAUAAUAAGAGACAAAGCUAUAAAAUGUAAAAAAAAAAAAAAAAGGUGCAAAAGAAAUAUACAAAAUUAUGUACAAACACUGAACAUACAAAACAAAUAGAACAAAACCAUAUAACAUAAUUAUUGGCUUCAAAUAAACUAGUAAUACUAAACGAGCCAACAAAAUCAAACACAAACGAUUUUCCUGUGAAAAUAUCAUCAUGACAAAACUUUUUAUAAUAAGCUAAAAAAAUUUAUAAAAACUUAUAUACAAAACACAACAAAUUGAUUUUUGAAGAACUCUUUGUUUUUUAUAUAAGGAACACAAACUUGUAAAGAUUUGAUUUUGAAAUUCGUCUUUCAUGACUUCACGGUUUUUACUUAAAGGAAUAAUUUGGUUAAAAAUAGCAACAAACUUCUAAAUAUUUACAACUAUUAAACUUUAAUGAAAAUAACAAUCAACUUUAACAACUAUCUUUUGGAAAAUUGAUUUCAAUUCAAAAUACACAAAGAUAAAUAUUGGAAAAGUUACAUAAAUCCUAAUUUUUUAUAAUUUUAAUUUUUUUUAAACCAAGCGAAGUACAUAUAUAGAAUACAACAAAAGGCCAACUAAUCUAAACAAUAGAAUACAAAAUGAAACAAACACAUAUAUACAAACGACUAAUCUAUAUAAAGCUAAAAGUGAGACUAGGUAACCAUACAAACUUCUGUGCCACGCCAUGAGAGAGAAUGGGAUACUUACCCUAAUCGACACACGCAAUUGAUGGGUUUUGGACAUAAGAACAUCCUAUGUGCUCAUACAAACCCUAAUGCUUGGAUCUAGGUUUCUCUAUUAUACAUGCAAGUUAUCCAAGACUAUAAACCCUAUAUCUACCAUAUGAUAAUCAAUAUAACAUAUAAAUUAGGGUUUAGAUCAUACCUUGAUUGUUAUGUAGCAAUAACAAUCUCAAAUCCUUCUUGUAUUGACUUUAGAAAGCUUAGAGUCACAAAUGUCACUCCUCUAAUGGUUCACAAACACCAAGAGCAAGAGGAUGAAGAGCAGAAGAGAAGGAGGCUGCCGAAAACAUGUGGAAACCCUAGAAGGAAGCUUGUCCACGUUUUUGGGGCAUAAGGGCUCUUUAAAUAGUGAGGCUAUUAGGGUUAUCUAACAAGGAAACCCUAAUUUGGAUGCUUAAGCCCUAAGCAACCCAUGGGCUCCUUCCUUAAAGGCCUUGGGAAGAUUUCUAAUGGGUUUCCCAUAGAAUUCGUCCACCCCUUUAAUAUGGAGUCCAUUAGCUCAAUAUUCAACUGUCAUACAAUUGACAGUCCUAGUCCCUUAGUUUAAUUAAUGUCUUUUUGUCACAAACUUAAUUCUUAUUAAUUCUUGACUAAUAUUAAUUAAACAAUAUGAUUUCUCCUUUAAUAUAUUAUUCUCAUAAUUUCUUAAUAAAUCAUAUUUAAUCCUUUCUCUCCAUUAUUCAUCCUAUCAAGUUGCUUUGGUGAAGGCAACCCAAAAGGACCAUGCACCAUCAGGUCAAGUACAUACCAAAAUAGUUAUGGACUUAGACACUAAUCCAACAACAAUGACAUACUCACGGGUAUUUUAAAACACCCUAUAUUUGAUUAUCACCUGUUGUGGCUCGAAUUAUUUAAAAGGAGCUGAUUCUCAUAAAACACCUCAAUGUACUGCCACCAAGUGAAUUAGAAAAUAACUAUGUUCUCAUUAGUUCUAAAAUUUCACAAAUUAGUGACACCACAUGUUAACAGGGUAUAAGCAGACAAAAUUUUGAACUACAGAUGGAAACGGGGGUGGGAAACACAGGGGACUCUAAUCCCCAUCCCCGAAUCCCCAUUCUAAUCCCCAUCCACAUCUCUAUUGGAAAAUAUAAAGAAACCCCCAUCCCCACCGCUAAUGGGGACUGGGAUCCCAGUGAGGAAUCAGGGUUUCUUUUUUUUCUUUCAAUACGAAAACCUUUACAUAAAUAAAAUCUCUAAGUUUCAAUUUUACUAACAUAAGUUUAAAGAUUAUACAAAAUAUAAAAAUAUCCAUAGAUUGCAUAAAAACUAUAAACAAGUUUUCUACCAAAUUUAAAUACAUACAUGAAAAAUCAAGUAGAAAAAAAUAUCAUAGUGAUAUUUGGGAUAAGAUCGAUAAACCAAAGAGAAAAAAAUUAUAAGAGGUUAAGAUAAAUAAAAAAUAUAUAUAUUUUCAACCAAGUAAUUACUAAUGUGUUAGGUUACUUGGAUCAAAUUUUAUAAAUUGUAAAUUAUACUAUAAACAUAUGUUUGUAUUAUUUUUAUAUAUUAAUAUAUACCGAGAUCGGGUCUAGGGUCGGGAUUAGCGUAUCCCCAUCCCCACCUUUUUAUUCAGGGAUUCCUCAUCCCCAUCCCCAUCCUCAGAUAACUUGGGGAUUCCCCAGUCAAAACGGGUGCGGGUUUUGGGUUUCCCAUCGGGUAUGGGGUUCUUUCCCAUCCCUACUUUGAACUUGACCAUGUAAUUGUGACAAAAAGUUAAAGACAUCCUAGAGACGAGAAGAAAGAGGGGAGAACAAUACAUGAAAAUGACCCUAAAAACCUACAUGAAAAAGUUAAAAUCAAAUGAGAAAUUCAAAAUUAUUUUGUGAUUUUUUUAAUAAUUAAUUUAAACAAAAUUUAUAUGUAAUGUAAUGAAAUAUAUAUAUAUAUAUUGUUUUUUAUGUUAAUGCAAUGAAUGGAAGACAAUGGAAUUCACCCCUUCUCAAGCUUAAAAAUAUGAAUCGUCCUCGAUGUUUGGGAAGAGAGCGGGACUGACUACUGAGGAGGAUCGUGAGGUGGAAAUGGGGGCGGAUAUUGUUGUAGAAAUUACGGAUUAUAUGGUAGAGGGUAGUGUGGAUAUUGGAGAUAUGGCAUUGAGAUGUUGGGUUAUGUUGACUAACACUAGAACCAACAACUCUAAGGCGCUUGGAUUUACCCUUAUUACCACCCAAAUUAGAAUUUGAAGCCAUUAGAGUUGUGAGAAAUUUGACACUUAAGCACAAUGCACAACCAAUUCAAGGAAUUAACACACAAAUAACACUUAAUUUGACAGUUUAAGCACACAGAUUCAAGCUUUUUUAACUAGCAAUGCAAAGGUAAAAAGUUAUAAUGAGAAUUCUCGAUUUUUGAGCUUGUAACUUGAAAUUGGUUCCUGAAAUUACUUCCAAAAUGUUUCCUAACAUUAUACUACAAAGAAUUCAACGAAAUAAGGAAAAAAAUUUGAACCCAAAAUUUCUAGGGUUCAUCAAGAAUUCUGAAAAUCACCAUUAAAAUGGUGUUCUUAUGAUGGUUGAGAAUAGGGAAGAAGAAAGAGGGUAAAAAUCCAUACCUUUUAUGAUUAAAUCGGAAAAAUAAUCAAAUUAUUGAGGGUUUUUGUGUGUGUUUCGUUGAGAUAACUGUUGGAAUAGUGUCUAAGCUGCAACUAUAUUAGGCAAGUAUUUGACCCGAUUGUGCAUGGUCCUUUUGGGUUGCCUUCACCAUAGCAACUUAACAGGAUGAUUUAAUAUGAGAGAAUAAAUAUUAUUAAUAUAUUAUGAGAAUAAUAUAAGGAAUAAUAAUAUUGUUAUUUGAUUAAUAUAAGUCAUAAAUUAAUUAGAAUUAAUUUGGUGACUUAAAGAGAUUAAUUAAAUAAGAGGGUAUAAACUGUCAGUUGUUUGAUAGUUACACUUUGGGCUGUAAAUCCUUUAUGGAUAGGGUUGGACGAUUUCUAGGGCUUGGGAUAAGCCACAAAUAGUCCAACGGCUUAUCUUGGAAAGGAUUUGGAUUGCUUUGAGUAAAGAUUAUCCAACUAGGGUUUAAGGGUGAAACCCUAGGAGCCUUACAAGUAUAAAUAGACCCUUGGGGCAAGGGAAAUCGGCACCUCUGCUAAAGCAAAGAAACCCUGGCCAAUUUCUAUUCCCUCUCCUCUCUCUCAAAUCAUCCUCUUGCUAGUUGGUGUUUGUAAGCCAUUAGAGGAGUGACAUUUGUGACUCUAAAGCUCCAAGAACUAGAAGAUCAAACAAGUGUUUCAAGGUAUGCUUCUAAUUCUGAUUUUGUAUUGUUCUUAUACUCCAUUAGUCAUUAGAAGUCUUGGAUCCAAUGCAUGUUUAAUUAGAGAAACCUAGAUCCAAGCAUUAGGGUUUGCAUGUGCACAUAGGAAUGUUCAUAUGGCCAAAACCCAUCAGUGGUAUCAGAGCCUAGAUUGGUUUCUAUUAAAUUGAUGCAUGAUUGUUUGUUUCUUGCUUGCAAAAUUCGAAUUUUGUGGUUCUGAGUCAUGAACUCGGCGAGUCCCAUGGUGGACUCGGCGAGUUGGCCUGACUCGGCGAGUCCAGUUGGGAACUCGGCGAGUCCGAGCGUCAGGAAGAGCCAAAAUCGGGAUUUUUUGAUAUUUAUCUUAUGGAAACUUGCCUUUAUCAUAUUAGAUCAACCCUAAUCCGAUUUUUUGAUAUAUAUGACUAUAAUCUUGAUCUAAUUAAAGAUAUUUAUCAAUUAAUAAAAUAUUUAAUUUCCUUAUGUGAUAAUUAAUUAAUUAUUUUGAUUAAAUUGGUAAAUUAUUUUGCAAGAAAUCAUUAAAUAAAUCAAAUAUGGAUAAUUAUGGAAUUAAUUGUUAAUUAAGAUUAUUUGUUAUUUGAUCCUCCAUGUUUUAAAUGUUUAAAACUUGCCCUCAAGUUUUGAAAUUUAUGUUUUGUGAUUAAAAGUUUAAUUUAGACAAUUUAAAUUUCAAACCCUAGAAUUUUACAAGUUUAAAAUCCAACCCUAUACUAAUAUAAUAUUACAAGAUUAAUAUGUAUAUAUAUGUAUAACUAAAAUGCUAGUCUUACCGUUAGUAGGCCUCAUUCACGAAGCCGGUCUAUAAGGUGGGUAUAAGGUUGCGGCCUAUAAAAUGGCGCUUAAUGGGUGUACACUCACACCCACCGCUUGCUUGAUCGGUGGAGGGUCGUUAGCCGAACGGGUAGGAUAGGGCAACCUCAUCCUCUCAUUAAAAGUAUAAUAUGAAAUACAAAGUAACUACAUGUUUUUCAAAAAUUUCCCAAUCUUAGUUACUUUAGGAAAAGUGAAUUGAUGCAAUCCCAUGAAAUUACACUUUGCACCCUUGCUAAGAAGUUAGUGGAGCGUGUGUGGUUUACCGGCACACUAAUUGGUUCUAAGCAAAGGUGGCAAAGGGUGAUUCAUUGUUUAUCAUAGUUCGAUGGAGCGUGUGUGGUUUACCGGCACAUCGAAUAGGUGAUCGUUACAAUGAAGGCACCAUGUGAAUUUGCAUGGUAAUUCACACCCGCUUUGUGAUCCUCGGUAUCCCAGUCACAAACAAGAGGGGCAUAUCGAGAUUUAAACAUGCCAUUGAAUAGUUUCAAUGAAUCUCAUCCAAACCUAGGAAUUCUCAAUACAUUUAGGACUUAAAGUUAUGUUUUUAUGGUGGAGAAUUAGUGAAUCGUCAUUCACUUACCUUCAAAUUGUUUGCAUGUUAGAUUACGGCAUCCCUUUUCUAAUAUGUAAAUAUUGUUGUUGGAUCCUAGCCCUAAUUUUUCUUAUUGGGUGAUAAUUAGGGAUUCAUAUUCUAAUCUAUCUUUGUCCUUUCUAUUUGUAGAUGUCGAACGCAAACAACGCUGCUGCUAGUUCUUUCACAUUGAUGAGCCUUUGUCAAAAGGUCACUUUCGAUGGGACGAACUUUAGCGAAUGGAUAAGAUACAUUCGCACUAUUGCUCGCUAUGAGGACAAGGAGUAUGUCCUCGAUGAGAAGCUCGAGAAAAUCAACCCUGAAAUCGCUACUCCGGCUGAAAUGACCGCUUUUGAAACUCAUGAGCGCGAUGCAACGAAGGUACAUUGCAUCAUGAUAGCCACCAUGAACUCCGAAUUCCAAAAGUCCUAUGAGGACAUGUACCCGUACGAGAUGCAUCAAGACUUAUUGGAGAGAUACCACCAAAACGCGAGACAAGAGCGUUAUGAGAUUUUCACUAACAUGAUUUCCGCUAAGAUGGGUCAUGGAGAGUCUCUUACCGUGCACCUGCAAAAGAUGCAAAGGUAUGUCGACCGCCUUCGCAAGUUAAAUGUUGACUUUGGGGAAGACUUGGCGAUCGACAUGGUGCUUCACUCUUUGCCUCCGAUGUACAAUCAAUUUAGGAUGACCUACCACAUGAACAAAGAGGAGGUCACCCUAAGCAAACUCCAAGGUCUCUUGAGGGUCGCUGAGAGCAACUUCAAAGACAAGUCUGUUGCACCAACUCCCAAUCCACCCGCUGCUCCUGUCUUGGCUAUUGGUCAAGGAAAGGGAAAGAAGAGGAAGGCUUCGUCUAAGAACUAUCGCAAGGUUAAAGCCCGAGAUGGUGCCUCUUCUAGUGGGACCAAAGUUGAUCCCGCUAAGCCCUGCCCUAACCCAAAGGAGGCAGAGUGCCACCACUGCCACAAGAUAGGACAUUGGAAGAGAAGCUGCCCAGAGUACCUGCAAGCCAUCAAGGAAGGAAAGAUCAAGCCAUCUUUCGCAGGUAUAUACACAAUUAAAUCUAACGAUUCUAAUCAUGCUAUUUCUUGGGUUCUUGAUACCGGUUGUGGUUACCACAUUUGUUCUAAUGUGCAGGGACUAAGAAGAAGUAGGGAUGUGGAGCAAGGAAGGAUCAAUCUAAUCAUGGGGAACAGAAGAUCGUCGCCUGUGACCAAGAUUGGAGUGUAUUCUUUAGUGCUUAGGAAUAAUUUAUGUUUAGAUUUGAACAAUUGUUGCUAUUCGCCAGAAAUGGCUAGAAACAUCAUUUCAUUUCAUGGUUUAUAUAGACAAGGUUUUAGAUUUUCUUUUAAUAAUGAGAAUGGUUCUAUUUUGGCUUAUCUAAAUGGUGUCUUUUACUUUGAAGCUAUACCAUGUAAUGGAAUUUAUGAAACUGUUAUGAUUGUUGAUAACUUAGGAAAUGAUGUUUUGAACAUAGAUUCUUCCACUAGUAUGGAUAAAGCAUCCUUGUGGCAUUGUCGUCUUGGACAUGUCAACAAGAAACGCAUAGCCCAACUCCAAAAGGAUGGAGUGUUGGAGUCAUUCGACCUUAGGGAAGAUGACACAUGCGAGUCUUGUUUACUUGGAAAGAUGACUAAGUCACCCUUCACGAGUACGUGUGAAAGGGGUGAGGGUCUAUUGGACCUAAUACAUACCGAUGUAUGUGGACCGUUUAGAUCAACCACGAAGGAUGGGAACCGCUUCUACGUGACUUUUACCGAUGAUUAUAGUAGAUAUGGGUAUAUCUAUUUAAUCAAGCAAAAGUCAGAAACCUUUGAAAAGUUCAAAGAGUUCAAGAAUGAAGUGGAGAAUCAAUUGGGCAGGAAAAUCAAGAUGCUUCGAUCCGAUCGAGGAGGAGAGUACCUAAGUCUUGAAUUCCACGAUUAUCUCAAGGAGUGUGGAAUAGUUUCACAAUUGACGCCUCCUAGGACACCGCAGUUGAAUGGUGUGGCAGAAAGGCGUAAUCGAACCUUAUUGGAUAUGGUUCGCUCUAUGAUGAGUCGUGCUUCACUACCUAUCUCUUUUUGGGGGUAUGCCUUAGAGACUGCCGCCCAUAUCCUUAACCGAGUCCCUACUAAGAAGGUUGCCAAAACACCUCACGAGAUGUGGACAGGGAAAGCUCCCUCGUUGGCACAUAUCAAGGUUUGGGGUUGCGAGGCUUUCGUAAGACGAGAUACUCACGACAAGCUUGAACCUCGAAGUGAGCGAUGUAUUUUCAUCGGCUACCCGCAGACAUCCUUUGGAUAUCUCUUCUAUAGACCGAAGGACAAUGUUGUCUUCGUUGCGAGGAGAGGAGUUUUCCGAGAGCGAGAACUCAUAAGCCAAGGAGACAGUGGGAGGCAAAUCGAACUUGAAGAGAUUCAAGAGUCGAUAGAUGAAGGAACCUCUACCGCUGGCACUCAACCCGAGGAGGAAACUCCGGUUGAACCGAUUGACGAAUCCUUACCUCUUAGACGUUCCGAUAGAGUUAGAGUUCAUCCCCAGUUUUAUGGUUUUCAUAUUACUACCGAAGGGGACACGUAUAUUAGUGAUGGUACACUAGUAAAUCUUGAUGAACCUAAUAGCUAUAAGGAAGCCAUGGCAGGCCCGGAGUCUGCAAAAUGGAAAGAGGCAAUGGAUAGCGAGAUCCAAUCCAUGUAUGAUAACCAAGUUUGGAAUUUGGUUGAUUAUGUGCCCGGACGUAAGACCGUUGGGUGCAAAUGGAUCUUCAAGAAGAAGACCGACGUGGAUGGAAACGUACACACAUAUAAAGCGCGAUUGGUUGCGAAGGGCUUUACUCAAACUCCCGGAGUUGACUAUGAUGAGACCUUCUCACCAGUUGCGAAGAUUAAAUCUAUUAGAGUGAUGCUAGCAAUUGCCGCAUUUCAUGAUUAUGAGAUUUGGCAAAUGGAUGUCAAGACCGCUUUCCUUAACGGAAAGUUGGCUGAGGAUGUUUACAUGGCUCAGCCAGAGGGGUUUGUGGAUCCGAAGCAUCCGAAUAGAGUGUGUAAGCUUGAGAAGUCCAUUUAUGGACUUAAGCAAGCGUCUCGCAGAUGGAAUCUUUGCUUCGAUGAGAAAGUCAAAGAGUUUGGAUUUGUACGAAGCGAAGACGAAUCUUGUGUAUAUGUCAAAGCCAGUGGGAGUAUAGUAAGCUUCCUCGUUCUAUAUGUCGAUGACAUAUUACUCAUAGGAAACGACAUCCCGACUCUGCAGGAGGUUAAGUCCUGGCUCGGGAAGUGCUUCGCUAUGAAGGACCUCGGAGAGGCUUCUUACAUUUUGGGAAUAAGGAUAGUAAGAGAAAGAAGUAAGAGACUAAUUGGACUUAGUCAGAAUACUUACUUAGAGAAGGUACUAAAACGUUUUAGUAUGGAAAACUCAAAGAAGGGAGAACUACCGAUACAAAGUAAUGCCAAAUUGAGUAAGACUCAAAGUCCGAGUACCGAAGCUGAGAUAGCAGAAAUGAGCCGAGUACCAUACGCUUCCGCAGUUGGCUCAAUCAUGUACGCUAUGACUUGUACUCGCCCUGAUGUAGCCUUCGCUUUGAGCAUGGUUAGCAGAUAUCAAGGGAAUCCUGGCAAAGCACAUUGGAUUGCGGUGAAGAAUAUCCUUAAGUACCUUCGGAGGACGAAGGAAUGGUUCUUAGUCCUCGGAGGGAGUGAUGACUUGAAGGUGCGAGGGUAUAGUGACGCCAGUUUUCAGACCGACAGGGACAACUACCGUUCGCAGUCGGGCUGGGUCUUUACCCUAAAUGGAGGAGCAGUGACAUGGAAGAGUUCCAAGCAGGAAACCGUAGCUGAUUCAACGUGCGAAUCAGAGUACAUUGCAGCGAGCGAAGCGUCGAAGGAGGCAAUAUGGCUAAAGAACUUCAUCGGUGAUCUUGGAGUUGUACCUGCCAUAAAGGAGCCAAUGGAGAUUUUCUGUGAUAACGAAGGUGCGGUUGCCUUAACCAAGGAACCGAGGGAUCAUGGUAGAUCAAGACAUAUCGACAGAAAGUAUCACUUCAUUAGACAUCGUGUAGAAGAAGGACAACUCGUAGUGAAGAGGAUAUCAUCAGAAGAUAACCCAGCAGAUCCGCUUACGAAGGGACUGAGUAGGGUUAAGCACUUGCAGCAUGCUAGGAGUAUUGGGCUGAAGGAUGAUAUUAGCAUAGAUUAGAUAGUAUUAGAAACGUGUAAUAGAUAAAUGUAAUUAACAUUUGAUGAUUAAAUAAAGGAGUUUUAUUUAUGAGUAAUGUUACUAUCUUAUGUUAAUUGUUUAGCUAUUGUUUCACUUUGCAUGUUUUGACUUCCAGAAUAAUUGAGUUUAUUAGGAAUAAUCGAAUUGUUCAAAUGGUCCACAAUCGUUCAUAUGUUGGGAGUAGAUAUGAAUGAAGAUUGUCAUGAAUUGGUGUGUAGAAUGUCUAAAUGGUGUUAGACAUAGCAAAGGAUUGCUGCAACGUUCAUGAGUGCUUAUGAACUAGUUUUGAGCAUUGGAAUAAACCCGCGCUUGCUGGAAUCACCUUAUGGAAUACGAUAUAAAAGGUGAUCGCAAGACGAUAAUAUCAUAUAGUCUUAAAACCUAGAUAUAUGGUUUAUUAUUUGUUAAUUGAUUGUACAUUGAUAAUACGAAAACGCAUCAGUAACUUGGUGUUAUAAAACGUAUUGUUGUGUAUAGUUGGUAAAUGAAUAAGUAAAUGCAUAUAAGUCGAAGUUUAUCUGUAACUUUUAUCUAAGAAGGUAAAAGCGAUAUCUCGGCCGCUCGAUGAUUUGAUUUGACUUAUGUGCCGGGCCCGGUCAGAACUGAAUUGAUGUGUUCGAUUAAGUUCUAUGUCAAAUAAAUCAGAGAUCGAGAAACCUAAAUGCUUGACUAAUCAUUCCAUAGAAUUGUCAGCAUGAUAUCUAACAGAGGACUGUACGAUCCCUAAUCUAAAGGACAAGAUUGAUUAGAUCAGAGUUUGACAGCGUCUUUGAGAGCUACGAUUGCAAAUCAAAUUGUACUUGUGCAUAUAGUUACUAGACUUAUCCAAGUGGGAGACUGUUGGAAUAGUGUCUAAGGCUACAACUAGGGUCUUGCCCUCUGCAACGGACCAAAGUCCGGAAACUAACUGCAUCGGACCGAAGUCCAAAACUAACUGGGACCUUGUCCCCUGCAUCGGACCGAAGUCCGGAAACUGACUGAACAUAACAUAGUAUAAACAUAUCAACUAGCAUGGACACAUAUACUGCAUACUGCAUCGGACCAAAGUUCGGAACACAUAACAUAAAACCUGCUUGAAUCACGAAGACAUCAAGCACUCUAACUACUGCAUCGAACCGAAGCCCGGAACUACUUCUAACUAAAUGGGUCGGCAUUGUGGCCGUAGACCCGUUCCUACUGGAAUGAAACUCACCUCGUAAUGCUGGCUGCUGAGAUGCUAGAUCUGAAACUGUCUGACUGCUGCUCUGGAACUCUCCGGCUACAAAUCCCAUAAACACUAAAUCAGAUAUUGAUAACUGUUCUCAUGGUAACAUGACUAUUUUACCCCUGGUCAAGUCAACUUACUAGACAAAGUCAACUUCCGGUUGACCGGACUCGCCGAGUUGGGCCGCCAACUCACCGAGUCCCUAUCAUCCAUUCUAAUCCUCUACCCGCUUCUACUCGUCGAGUUUGGCAAAGACUCGACGAGUUCGUCCUCGAUACUAACAUCGAGUCUAUCUUCAUCUGACUCGCCGAGUUGAAUGAACGCUCAUCGAGUCCUCCUUCGUCCUAUGAAAACGUCCAGUCUGUGACUCGCCGAGUUGUAUGAACAACUCGUCGAGUUUGUUCUUGAGGCAAGAAGAUUGCCUUGGACUCGCCGAGUUUCUCUAUUACUAGAUCUGAGCUCUAACUCAUCGAUUCCCAUUCCCACUCACUAGUUCCACUCUAAACUCUCAAACAGGGAAAGACUCGGGGACUCGCGACUCGACUCGCCGAGUCCUAUGCAUGCCAUUACUAUACAGUCGAUUCUGCUCAAAUCCAGUGCAUUCCAUUCAUAGAUCUGGGCUCCUAGGGCUGGUUUUUCACGUAAAGUUUCUAACUUUACGUGCAUGCAUGCCCAUAAGAAGCUCAAAUGCCCUUUAAAGAGCUAAAAGAGGAGAUCUAGGUUUGGAACGGGAGUUUAGCUCAAUAAAGGUGGCAACCUUGAGCUUAAGGAGUUCUGAAAUGCUCAGAUCUGAAACCCAAUCAUCUUAACUACUCAUAAAUCGACAUCAAUGUCUAGAAAAUGGCUCAAAAAUAUCCCUAGCAAGCUUUCAAGGAGAUCUACAUGAUGAUAAACAAAGAUUCAAGCUUUAUACCUCAAUGGAAACUGGAAUGACACGAAAAGCUCAGAUCUUCUUCGCUUCUUUUUGAAAACCCCUCUUCUUUCUUCCUCUUCUAACUCCAAAAUGCACCAAAAUCCUUCACAAGAUGAGAAAUACUCCAAGAAUGCUUAAAGGAAGGCUAGGUUUUAGUGAGGGACAUUCUGAGGGUGAUGGAGGUUGGUUUAGGGUGCAUAAUGUUGUUUAAAUAGGAUGCAAACCCUUGAAAUUAGGGUUUCAUCCAGACUGGCAGACUCGCCGAGUCCAAGAAUAUGGACUCGUCGAGUAGCUAACUUAAACUGCGUGCAAAUCCCGUCUCUACUCGACGAGUCGGGCUAUGGAUUCGUCGAGUACCCCUUAAGAAUUAAAGUUUUUCAUUUAAAUCACAUACUAUAAAUAGGGUGUUACAAAUCUCCCCCACUUAUCUUAGACUUCAUCCUCGAAGUCUGUUGCUGCUGUAACCAAAAAUAACUCUGGAUAAUGCUCCCUCAUCUCCUCCUCGGUCUCCCACAUCCACUCUGAACCCUUCCGGUGCUGCCACUACACCUUCACUAGCUGGAUUACCUUGUUCCUCAAGGUCUUCGUCUUCCGGUCUAAGAUCGCAACUGGUCUCUCAAUAUAAUUUAGGUUGCUAUCAACCUAAAUAUCUUCCAAUGGUACUACUGCUGACUCAUCCACCAAACACUUCCGCAGCUUAGAAACGUGGAAAAUGUUGUGGAUCUGGCUAUGCUCUGCUGGGAGAUCCAAACAGUAAGCAACCUGACCCACCCGGGCCAAAACCCUAAAAGGACCAAUGAACCUAGGGCCCAACUUGCCCCUCUUCCGGAACCUAAUAACACCCUUCCAGGGUGAUACCUUCAGGAGGGCCAUAUCACCCACCUAAAACUCCAAGUUCGAAUGGCUCCUUUCGGAGUAAAUCUUCUGCCGACUCUAGGCAGUCUGCAGUCUGCUACGGACCUGCUGGAUCAACUAUGUGGUCCUAAGCACCACCUCAGUACUCUCGAUGACUCGCUGACCACCUCGCCCCAACAAAUCGGAGGCCUACACUUCCUCCCGUAGAGCAUCUCGAAAGGAGGGAGGUCAAUACUAGCGUGUUAACUGUUGUUAUACGAAAAUUCCGCUAAUGGAAGAUACGUAUCCCAACUACCACCGAAAUCUAGGACACAUGCCCGAAGCAUGUCCUAGAGAGUCUGAAUCGUCCUCUCGCUCUGCCCGUCUAUCUGGGGGUGGAAAGCGGUGCUAAAGUGCAGACGAGUCCCCAUCUCGUCGUGAAACCGCUUCCAAAACCUGGAAGUGAACAGGACGUCUCGAUUUGAUACUACUGAUAUGAGCACUCCAUGUCGUGCCACCACCUCACGCACAUAAAUAUCGGCUAGCUUCUCAGCCGAUAUACUCUCUUGGAUCAGUAUGAAAUUCGCGCUCUUGGUUAGCCGAUCCACUAUGACCUAAAUCGAAUCGACUCCUCGCACAGUCCUAGGAAGCUUAGUGAUGAAAUCCAUAAUGAUAUCCUCCCAUUUCCACACGAGAAUGUCUAACGAUUGCAUCUUGCCUUGGAGUCUCUGAUGCUCCGCCUUGACCUUCCUGCAGGUCAGACAUCUCUCCACAUAUCAGGCUACGUCCCGCUUCAUGCAGGGCCACCGAUAAUCGGGUCGAAUAUCUAUAUACAUCUUCGUCGCCCCUGGAUGGAUGGAGAACCGAGACUUGUGGGCCUCAUUCAUCAACACAUGUCGUACUCCUCCCCAAUACGGCACCCAGACCCUCCUAUGAAGGAUCAAAAAUCCUCGACUGUCAUAAUCGAAAGAUGCUACUUGGCCCACAAUCAUCUCACACUUCUGCCUCUCCUCCUUCAGGCCCUCGAUCUGUGCCUCUUUAAUCUGCUCCAACAAUGGAGUAAUCACCACCAUCCUCAGACAUAUAUCUCUGAUCGGAGCCGCCAUCGCCUUGCGGCUUAGGGCGUCGGCCACUACAUUGGCCUUGCCCGGAUGAUAAAGUAUCUCGCAAUCGUAGUCCUUUACCACAUCUAACCACCGACGUUGUCUCAUGUUUAGAUUCGGCUGGUCCAUGAGGUACCUCAGACUCUUAUGAUCCGUGUAAAUUGUACAACGGACCCCAUAGAGAUAAUGUCGCCAAAUCUUGAGGGCAAACACCACUGCCCCCAGCUCUAAAUCAUGUAUCGGAUAGUUAGCCUCGUGAGGCUUCAACUGUCUAGAGGCAUAAGCUAUCACAUGCCCCCGUUGCAUCAACACAGCUCCCAUACCUGUGAUCGAAGCAUCACAGUAGACUACAAAUUCAUCCACUCCUUCUGGCAGGGUAAGAAUUGGUGCCUCGUACAAUCGCUGUCUGAGGGUCUCAAAUGCUGCCUGUUACUCAGGCCCCCAGCGAAACACCAUCGACUUCCUAGUCAGUCGGGUGAACAGAACUGCUAUCUUUGAGAAAUCCUGGAUGAAUCUCUUGUAAUACCCUGUCAAACCUAGGAACCUCCGAAUCUCGGAUGGAGACCUCGGGACCUCCCACUGCAUCACGGCCUCUAUCUUGGCCGGGUCUACCAGUAUACCCUUCUGGUUGACGAGGUGCCCAAGAAACUACACUUCGCGCAACCAGAACUCGCACUUUGAGAACUUCGCGAAAAGUCUCUCCCUCCUCAAGGUCUCUAGCACCUCCCUCAGGUGCUCCUCGUGCUGCUCCUGAUUCUUGGAAUAGACCAAGAUGUCGUCGCUAAACACUAUCACAGACCGAACCAACAUCGGUCUGCAUACACGAUUCAUGAGAUCCAUGAACGCGACUGGAGAAUUGGUGAGCCCAAAUGGCAUCACCACAAACUCAUAAUGACCAUAGCGGGUCCUAAAAGCAGUCUUCUGCACAUCCUCACCUCUGACCCGCAUCUGAUGAUACCCGGAGCGUAAAUCAAUCUUUGAGAACCAAGACACUCCCUGAAGCUGAUCAAAUAGGUCGUCUAUCCUCGGAAGUGGGUAACGAUUCUUCACCGUCACCUUAUUCAACUCCCAGUAGUCUAUGCACAUACGAUGCAACCCGUCCUUCUUCUUCACAAACAGGAUCGGGGCUCCCCAAGGUGAACUAUUCGGCCUGAUAAAACUCUUGUCUAGCAGCUCAUGCAGCUGUGUAGACAACUCCUGCAUCUCUGGAGGAGCCAACCGACAUGGUGCCUUGGCUAUUGGAGCCGCACCAGGAACCAGGUCAAUCCUAAACUCAACCUGUCUCUCAGGAGGUAUUCCAGGCAAAUCCUCUGGAAAUACAUCCGGGUACUCUCGUACUACCGGUACAUCGUCAAUUGUCACCUUACCCUUCUCUUGGGCAUCUAUAAUAUAGNNNNNNNNNNNNNNNNNNNNNNNCUUGCUCUCACUGCUGAACAAAGAACUGGUCCGCGUUGUGGCCUCUUGCCCUGAAUCACUAACUCUCCCCCACUGGGAGUGCGAACCCUUACUAACUGUAGCUCACAAUCAAUCACUGCCCCAUUGGGGCUCAGCCAAUUCAUACCCACUAUGUGACAUCCCCAUUUUCACAGCCAGAAAAGACCGAUUUUGUUUAUGCUUGUUUGAAAAUCAGAGUAACAUUUUAAAUAAAAGUGUUGCGGAAUUUGUCCCAAAACAAAUUAUGAUAAAGAUUUAUCAAAAGCAUUUCCAAUGAAAUGUAUUUCAUUAAAAGACUCGGGAUGUCAUGUUCGAUACAGAUCAAAAGCAUAAAUAGUAUAAUAUAAGUCAUACUACAUUAUUUCAUAUCUACAGGCCUAUAUCUGUAAUCCCUCAUCCAAAACAUCACAUCUAUGCUCGAGCGCCACUACCUGUAAUACAUGAAACUGAGUGGGUCAGGCUUGGGAUCUUGGUGAGCACAUAGGGUUUUCAACCCACAAUAAAUAAGUUAUUUAAUUUCAUCAACCAACAAUAACCCGAUUAUCCGUUCUCGUUAUCCUCACUUUACAUCCCUAAAACACCUAUCAUAAGGGACCUAGCCUAAGGAUCAUCAUCGGGAUGGACACUACUGCUAAGGGGAUUCCUCAGCAAUAAAUGUCCUUAAGGCAACCAUGUGGGGGAUGGAGUACACCGGUGAACACAUCGUUCACAAACACCUACAGGUUGCGAGCCUGCUAGCGUUCCACUUGACUGUCUAGAAGAGUCUGUGGUCGUCAUCCAUACUCCGCUAGAUGACAGAAUCAACAACAACAUCGAGGUCUCUCAUCAUUUUCACACACAUCAACUUAUUUCAUCUACCCAUGUUAUACCCAACAUAUUUGUAGAUAAAAUGUAUAUAUAUACAUUUUAAAUCAUUUUAAACAUGUAUAAAACAUCAUUCAACAUUGUCUCAAAUAAACAAACAACAUAUAUACACAUAACACGUAUUUUAUAUAAAAUACUUCAUAUCUAUGUGUAAGAUGAAAGUAACUAUGUACUCACUUGGCUAGUUAGUGGAAACUAACUAUUAUUGUGGCUUCAAGUUCAACACUGCUUGCCAACUUAUUAUAUUGUCAAAAACCUUAUCCGUUAUUCUGUUGGUUUCUAAAUAUAUGUGAGUAAUGAAAAUUUGAGUGGGAUACAAACUAUAUAUAUUAUGAAUUCGAUUUAUAGUUUUUAGAUCAUCAAAGCUUUGUCACCAUACAAUUUUGACACCUAACCACCCAUUACUUGAGGUUGCACCAUCAUUUAUUAGACAUCGUAUAUUGACACGUAUAAGUAUUCUUUCAUCUUAUCACUAUUUUUAAAAGAAAUUUAACUUAGUCUGCAACUAUAUGUAAUAUAUAUUUUUAAUUCAUCUUUUAUAAACUCACAAAUAUAUACAUUUCUUAUUAAAACUAAUAACUAAUCCAUUUCAUUUAUAAUCUUUCAAAAUGAUUAGUUUAAUUAAGACACUUAUAAUAUUAUUAAAUGACAAAUAUUACCAAACUUAUAAUAAAUAUUAUUUUACAACAUAUAAAAUUUUAUAAUUUAUUAUUAACGUCAUAAAAUAUACGUAGACAGUUAUUUUCAGGAAUUAUAUCUCGAAAAUAUAUCUAAUAUUUAGUUAUUUUUGUUUUGUAUAUCGACGGGCUAAUAGUUACGGUCUCUACCGCUUUCAUUUAGAUUAAUAUUCUAAAUGAUCUUUUAUUUUUAAACUUUUAUUUAGCCCUAUUUAAAUUUUAAAAUGAGCUUUUACACAAAUAUACACAUAAUUUAUAAAUAAAUCACACAUAUUAUGUUUGAAUGAUUUUUAUUUUAUUUAUUCACAAGAAGUUUACAUUAGUCGACCGACGUAAAUAUUUUUAUAGGAUAUGCCUAGAGAGAAACAUGGGCGUUACACACUAUAACCUUGUUCCCUCGCAGGGGAAUAGGAACCAGGUCUACUAAAAACUGCUCAUCAAAUAACUGCAGCGAACACCCCCUAUGCAUGCUCGUGACCCUGACGGUCCUGUUAUCAGCUAUCUCAGCCUCGAGUGGACAAUCCAACUCCUCCGGAGCUCUACUAAACCUCUUGCUAAGUGCAAGUGAAACAAAUGAUCGGGUAGCCCCCAAGUCAAACAGUACUGUAGCUGAAAUGUCGUUCACUAAGAACGGCCCUAUACAAAACAUAUAACCAUGAGAAACAAACAAUAUUAAUAAAGAGAUAAGAGGGAAAAUACAUACUCGUCACCACAUCAAGAGUCGUUCGUGCCUCCUCUGCUGUCAUCUGGAAAGCUCUACUCUUUGCCACUGGCGCCUCAGCACGACCCCGACGGCCGUCUGUAAUCCUCAAAGUAGCAGGGGCAAGUGCUGCCACCUUCCCUGCUGUUGCUGCUAAACUCGGGCACUGGGACUUUUUAUGUCCCCUCUGAUUGCAAUGGAAGCAAAUUAGAUCAAAAGCCGCGGUAACGGUAGGAGUAGCUGUACAAUCUCUGCUCAUAUUUCCAGUCUGGCCGCACUUGUAGCAACCGGGACUCCUUUCCUUUCACGCCCCAUCAUGCAAUCUCCCAUACUUGCCACACCGAUUAUGGCUCUGCUGACCUCUGGAUCUAUGAUCGGAUACCUUGGGCUUUUCGCCCGAACUCCAAGUGCCAGAUGUCGCCUAUGGCUUCCUCUUCUUCUCCAUCUCUAAAUCAAUCUCUCUCUCUCUCUCUCUCGCCCUAGCAAUCAUGUCAUCCAGCGUUUUACAACUGGAUCGGCUCACAAACUGGCGGAUAUCACUUCGCAACAUUUCAUGAUAACGAGCCUUCUUCAUUUCCUCGUCAGCUACGUACUGAGGAACAAGAAGAGCCCUCUCCCUGAACUUGGCGGUAAUCUCCGCCACUGUCUCUGUAGUCUGGGUGAGAUCCUGAAACUCCCUGGCUAACUGUUGUACCUCAAUAACCGGUGCAAACUCAGCUCUGAACCUGGUUGUAAAAUCAGCUCAAGUCAUCGUAUCAAGUGUUGCGUCAUCUCCGAUGACAUGCCCGAUCUCCUCCCACCAGUCACGUGCCCUAUCCUUCAGGAGACAGGAUGCUAGUCUAACCUUGUCCCCCUCGAGACAUUUGUUGGUGCGGAAUGUGUAGGCGACAUCUGCCAACCACCUAGUACUCACUAUGGGGUCUCGCUCCCCAUGGUAGUCUGGAGCUCCACAAACCCGAAACUCCCUGAAGGUGAGUGUGCACGACCUCAUCAUGGUCGCCACCUCAGCACGAAAGGUAUUCAACCUCUCAUCCAUUAGCUCCAAAAUACCCUCCUUGAUCGAACCAAAGAUCACAGGAGUCUGAUCAAGUAUGAUGUGAGUAAUCUCUGAGGAGAGAAACUCCUUAGUCUGCUCAUCCAAAUGCUCGGCCCCCGAGCCUGGUCCCGAUCCCUCUCCGGCUCCUGAACUGCCGACUGCUGGCCUAGGGCGCAAAACCACCAUUCUGAAAUCACAUCAUGAUAAACGUCAGAAACACUGAUAUAUAUAUAUAUAUAUAUAUAUAUAUAUAUAUAUAUAUAUAUAUAUAUAUGUAUAUAUAUAUAUAUAUAUNGAAACACUGAUAUAUAUCGAGGGAUCGCUACAACUUACAAGUUCCCUGGUCUCAUCUCAGCCUUCCUUGGUUCAAGUACGGAUCCUCUGGUUUCAAUAGUACGGGCCCAUACUACCUUCCACAUCUAUCCGUACUUCCUCAAGAACUACCUUGACUCCACCAAGUCACUUCUACUGCUACUGAUCUCUGCUACUCUCAUCCUAGGCUUGCCCUAGGGAAAUCUCUGACUCCACCAAAUCCAGUCCUCAGUUGCUGAAGGCCUCCUGGUAAUGCCAAUUAGCCAUCACCUAAAUACCAUUACAUGUGGCGAGGCUCAGAUAAUCCUUCGAGUAAAAGACUCUUCCCUACAACAGUUGGACUCAAACAAGAGCUGUGCAAUAGGGCCAAGUUCGGCAUUCUGAGACUAUUCAACCCUGAUCACAUGUGAUGUGACAUAUUCACCUAAUGGCUAACUCCCAUUACUCAGAGUCCCACAAAGCACGAAGCAAGCAGCAUUUGGACACAGGAAGCUACUCAAGAAAAUAUAUCCUCACAAUGAGAAACUGUACUAGCAUACAAUGCUAAGCUCAUACUAUCAGGCAUAACCUAAACAGGCUAUCCUACUGCUGUCUACUCAAUACUAGCAUGCGAUUCUCAUUCAGCUGAAACAUACAUAUAGCAGGCACAUAAGGCAUCCUCCUAGAUCCUUAGUCCUAUUUUAGCAUGAUGUUCUACUGAAAUUGGAACUGAUAAUCAUAACAUAAACUUGUAUGGGUAAUUUGGGAGUACUUACUUGAGCUCGGCUGAUCGCAUGCACCACACCCUUUUCUCUUUCUCAAAAACUCUUUUUCUUUUUAAGUUUUCUUUUUCAAAAUUUCUUUCAAAAACAUUUUUCUUUGAAAAUCUUUUUACCAUAUCCUUAGUUUGAGUCCAGUCACACCCGAAAGUGUGCCUGAAUCCCUCAAACCAAGGCUCUGAUACCAACUUGAAACAACUCAAAAAUACGACUCAAAAAUUUUUGUUUUAAUAUUACUAAAAAUCACAUCAUCAAAUGUCAUAUAUACUAAGAACCAUAAAAUGAGUAAGUCAAAAGUCAAGUAACUGUGUCAAAACAAAAUUUGUAUCAAUCAUAUAAAAAUUUCUGAAUAAAAUCCCUAGGAUAAAACUGAAGCUGUGGUGUGUGCGAUGCCAUCAACCCGAGCUCUUCCCCUUGCUAGCGGAAGUACCUGAAACCAAAACUGAAACUGUAAGCAUAAAGCUUAGUGAGCUCCCCCAAACUACCACAUAUCAUAUAAUAACAUACAAACAACUAUUGGGCCUUGCCCACUGCAUCGGACCAAAAUCCGAAAACUGCAUCGGACCGAAGUCCGGAACCAACCAGGGUCUUGCCCUCUGCAACGGACCGAAGUCCGGAAACUGCAUCGGACCGAAGUCCGAAACUAACUGCAUCGGACCGAAGUCCGAAACUAACUGGGACCUUGUCCCCUGCAUCGGACCGAAGUCCGGAAACUGACUGAACAUAACAUAGUAUAAACAUAUCAACUAGCAUGGACACAUAUACUGCAUACUGCAUCGGACCAAAGUUCGGAACACAUAACAUAAAACCUGCUUGAAUCACGAAGACAUCAAGCACUCUAACUACUGCAUCGAACCGAAGCCCGGAACUACUUCUAACUAAAUGGGUCGGCAUUGUGGCCGUAGACCCGUUCCUACUGGAAUGAAACUCACCUCGUAAUGCUGGCUGCUGAGAUGCUAGAUCUGAAACUGUCUGACUGCUGCUCUGGAACUCUCCGGCUACAAAUCCCAUAAACACUAAAUCAGAUAUUGAUAACUGUUCUCAUGGUAACAUGACUAUUUUACCCCUGGUCAAGUCAACUUACUAGACAAAGUCAACUUCCGGUUGACCGGACUCGCCGAGUUGGGCCGCCAACUCACCGAGUCCCUAUCAUCCAUUCUAAUCCUCUACCCGCUUCUACUCGUCGAGUUUGGCAAAGACUCGACGAGUUCGUCCUCGAUACUAACAUCGAGUCUAUCUUCAUCUGACUCGCCGAGUUGAAUGAACACUCAUCGAGUCCUCCUUCGUCCUAUGAAAACGUCCAGUCUGUGACUCGCCGAGUUGUAUGAACAACUCGUCGAGUUUGUUCUUGAGGCAAGAAGAUUGCCUUGGACUCGCCGAGUUUCUCUAUUACUAGAUCUGAGCUCUAACUCAUCGAGUCCCAUUCCCACUCACUAGUUCCACUCUAAACUCUCAAACAGGGAAAGACUCGGGGACUCGCGACUCGACUCGUCGAGUCUGAAGAACUACUCGCCGAGUCCUAUGCAUGCCAUUACUAUACAGUCGAUUCUGCUCAAAUCCAGUGCAUUCCAUUCAUAGAUCUGGGCUCCUAGGGCUGGUUUUUCACGUAAAGUUUCUAACUUUACGUGCAUGCAUGCCCAUAAGAAGCUCAAAUGCCCUUUAAAGAGCUAAAAGAGGAUAUCUAGGUUUGGAACGGGAGUUUAGCUCAAUAAAGGUGGCAACCUUGAGCUUAAGGAGUUCUGAAAUGCUCAGAUCUGAAACCCAAUCAUCUUAACUACUCAUAAAUCGACAUCAAUGUCUAGAAAAUGGCUCAAAAAUAUCCCUAGCAAGCUUUCAAGGAGAUCUACAUGAUGAUAAACAAAGAUUCAAGCUUUAUACCUCAAUGGAAACUGGAAUGACACGAAAAGCUCAGAUCUUCUUCGCUUCUUUUUGAAAACCCCUCUUCUUUCUUCUUCUUCUAACUCCAAAAUGCACCAAAAUCCUUCACCAGAUCUUCUUCGCUUCUUUUUGAAAACCCCUCUAACUUAAACUGCGUGCAAAUCCCGUCUCUACUCGACGAGUCGGGCUACGGACUCGUCGAGUACCCCUUAAGAAUUAAAGUUUUUCAUUUAAAUCACAUACCAGAAAUGGGGCGUUACAGUGCAAAUAUUUAAAGUUUUAAAAAUAUAGUAAGGAAAACAUUGAUAGAAUCUCUAAAUAGUUUGGGAACAUGAAGGUUACCCAACUUGCAAGGAACCGUGAAAACACCCGGAUCCUUACAUUUUUAGGUAAUCUUUGUAACACUGCAGAUACAUUCUCACUUGCUUUGACAAUUUCAUUCCUUUUUAACUUCUUUUUAGAUGUGCAUAAUUCCUUAAGGAAUUUAGCCUACCUAGGAACUUGUUUGAUGACAUCAAUGAGAGGAAUAUUUACCUUAACCUUUCUGAACAUCUUCAUGAUUUCAUUAUAUUCUCUCUCUCUCUCUCGCUUUGACUUGUUUAAUCUUGUAGGAAAAUGAGGAUGAGUAACUUUCACUUCAUUGGGUAUUGAAUUUGAGGAUGCUUUUGAUUUCUCAUCUUCUUUCUCUAACUCCAUUUCUUCAUCUUCCUCUACCAUGAUUGGACCUACAUAUUCUUUACCAUUCCUAAAAGUUAUGGCACAUGUAUUAUGCUUGGAAUUCUUCUCAGGUUGUCCAAGUAGUUUGCCUUGUGACUCCAAUUUACUCAUAGAAGUGGCGAUCUGAGUCAUUUGUUGCUACAAAGUCUUGAUACUCGCUUUGGUCUUAUUUUGAAAUGAUAGAGAACUUAUGGCUAAACUCUUGACAAUGUCUUCUAAAGACAUUCUUGAACCGCUUGAACUACUUCCUUGUUGCAUGUUUUGAGGUUGGAAUUGAGAUUGAUAAGUAGGUUGAAGGGGCUGGAAGUUUGGUUGGAAAUUUGAUUGAUGAUGCAUUUGAUUCUAAAAUGGAGGUAUAGGUUGAUAAGGUGGUGGCCUUAGUUGAAAAUUGGUAUUGGGUUAGUGCCAAUUUAGGUUGCUUUUUGGCUGAAAGUUUCCUUGUUGUUGACUAGAAAAUCUUAUGGCUUGAACUGACUCUAUAUCUUCUUGUAACAUCGGGCACAUAUCAGUGGGGUGUCCAACUUGGGUACAAAUACCACAAGGUCUAACUUUUUUUGGUUAUACACCCUUGUCCUUAUCAAGCAUCAUCACAACUUUAGUCAACUCGAAAAGUUGACUCUCGAUUUUUGGUGUAGAAUUUUCUUUCACUCCUCUUGGUGCAUCAUUGUACCAUUCUUCUUAUUGAGUUGUAUGCUUGGACUCUUCUUCCAUGUUCUUGAUAAGAGCACUGAUUUCUGUAAGGGUUUUCAGUUUAUGAUCCACCAUGUAACACUCCAAAAAUCACAAUAAAUUUAAAAUUUUCAAAACCAACCAUGAAUCAAUAUUGUUUACAAAAAGAAUCAUUGCUUCAAAAGCAUUAUUGCAAAUCAGAGUUUUCCUAAGACCCAGUGACAUAAAACAGGAAGUUGUGUACGAUCACACCUUUGCCUUCCCUCGAUCCUAUGAAGUACUUGAAACGAUAAACUAAAAACUAUAACUUAAAGCUUAGCGAGUUCCCCCAAAGUACCAGCAUACCACAUAACAACAAGCAUACAAUAUGAGCAGCCAUCCUGAUUGGACCGCCUCACAGGGCCUACAACCUAUUUGGACCGCUCUACGAGCCUUCGACAUGACUGGACAGCCUCGUAGGGCCUACAGCCUACCCGGUCGUCCAUGGGUAUCUUGGCCUACAGCACAAAGCAGGACCACCUCAACCCAACACAACAUGUCGACAUAUGCAGCAAAUAAACAUAAACAUGGAGCCAACAAAUAAAGAUAAUCAUACGGAUCUACCGAACAGCUACAAAUUAUCAUAACACUAUCCUGAUUAGGAAAAAUAAUCUAGUGGGUCGGCAUUGGUGCCUUCGACCCAUGGGUACAGCAAGGAAAACUCACAUCUCAGUCGGAAUGCAACCCGAAUAAAAUUCUGCUCUGAAAAUCAGCUCAACGAUCACCUAACCAAAACCAAUGACAUAAUCUUAAAUACAUCUCAAAUACCCAAAAUACCCUAGGUCAAACUUGGUCAACACUCGUGUUAAAGACUUUGUCAAAGUCAGCGAGUCAACUCAGGCCUCAUACACAGGGAAUACUUUGAAUGUACACGGGGCAUACACGAGCCUUGACCAAGAUCGGGUUGUUGACAUCGUACGUGCGGCGUACGUAGAGGUACACACGGCGUACGUACCGAGGUCUUAUUUUCCAUAUUAAGAGCUUAAUGUGUUAAGCUCUUACGUCCAAAUUUCAGAUCCAAGGCCAAAAUACCACUAAAAGUCAUAAAGUUUCCAACUUUAUGACUUUGCAUCCCCAUUAAGUCCUUAAUACACAACAUCCCAACUUCUUAACACCUUAAGACCUUCUAGAGCAUACAUGGGGAAGAACUAAGCAUCAAGACCACAUUUUUAUGACUUAAGACCUGUUAUAUGACUCAAGACCCGUUAUAGGGUCUGAAAGGACGACUCAUUUGGUUAAGAGCAUGUCAUGCUCAAGAAUCACCAUGGUUGGGACCAAAAAUGCCCUAAAUGAAGAAAUUACUAGAUCUAUAAUAAAAGAUGAUCAAGCUAGGAGCUUUUUACCUCCUGGAGGUUGCUGGCAGGUAGGGAAUCCCAUAUCCAAAUUCCUUCUAAGCUCCAAUGUCUCUUUACCAACUUCUUCUUCUUCAAGAAUACCACCAAAACACAAAAAUGAGCUCAAGAACACUCUCAAGGGGAUUAGGGUUCUAGAUGGACGAAAUGGCAAGUAGAGGCUGUAGAGGGGAUGAGAAAUGAAGAGUUAAUGAUGUUUAUAUAUGGACUAAACCCUAAAAAUUAGGGUUUGAGGAUCCUUCACAUACACCAUGCGGUUUUGAUCGUGGUUUAGUUGCUCUCUCNUGUAUUCGUUCUCUCUCUCUCUCUCUCUCUCUCUCUCUCUCUCUCUCUCUCUCUCUCUCUCUCUCUCUCUCUCUCUCUCUCUCUCUCUCUCUGUGUGUGUGUGUGUGUGUGUGUGUACCACCGCCCCUUGCCCAUGGUUUCAAAAUGGUUGCCACACUUUGGAGGUGAGGUGGAGAUAAGGUAGAGUUUUGCCAUGGCAUGCUCCAUCCUUAUGGUCAUUUCGACCACCUACAAUCAUGACACAUAGUUUUUCAAGUUUUCCGAUAAUAUUGUCUACUACACGCUAUAGGUCUUUAGCUUUGCGACCCCACGAUUAGGAUUUGAUUGUGGCACAUAUUUAAUGUUAUUCAACAUCAAGAUGUUAAUGUGCUCUGAUACAAACCGACACGGAAUGAAAAUAAAGAAUAAGAAUUGUUCAAGGAAUUCCAAGAUGAUCAUUAAAGCUUGUAUUCAACUCUUCAAUUAUGACUAAGCUAAAGCUGACAAGCAUUCCUUAUAUUUUUUAAAGAAAAAAAAAGUAGUGCAAUCUAUUCAAAUUAAAUAAAUAAUAGAUCAUGUACUUAACAGAACUCCUUGAUUUCACAUGAUGAACCAUUAAAGCAUAAUCAAAUCAAAUUAUAGAAUAUUGCAAAUUUAGGAGAAAUCAAAAUUAGUGGUCAAAACAACUAAAUUCAAGGCUGAUGGGUGGGUUAACCAUCUUCGGGGGUUUGUCGAGAUUGGAGCUCUUCCCAUCCAUGUAAAGUAGUCACCGAAGGAAAACUCCUAAUUGAUUUAAAAAGUAGUGCCUCUUUUAGUUUCCUUUAUCCUUGUUCCAUUGAUCCAUGAAGACUCUCCUAACUUUUUUAUAUGCUUUCCAUCAACAACUUAUACAAACUCAGACAUUAUUAGUCAUUAGACCUCCAAAUGUCGGCAAGGUUUCAUUUCUGGGUACUAUUCAAUUAUGCACCAUACACAAACAUGAGCUAAAAAUCCUAAUGCGGUCAAGUUUUUUAGAUCAAUUGACUUAACACCUUAUAUAUAUAUNNNNNNNNNNNNNNNNNNNNNNNNAUAUAUUAAAAUCCCAUGCCUUGAAAGGGAUGCAACAUAAAAGCGUUAGGGUGGUCAGCAGCAAAGUUUACUAAGUAUUUUUUAAAAUUACUUGUUUUUCUUUUAUUUUAUAUGUGUUUCAUUUUGUCAUUUAUUUACAACUACUACUGACAUACAACAUAAAAUAUAUUUCACGAUCAAGCAUCAUCAAUCAGAUAUAAACUUCCAACAAAUUACAAUACCCUACUAACUUUGAUCUUUUCUAUUACAGCAUCACUUUCUUAAAAGUAUGCAAAGAAAUUGAUAUGGGAAAUUAAAACAAUAUAAGCAAAUUUCAUCCAUGCAAGUAAAGUAAACAGCAUCUCAACUCCACUUGUUAAUCUAGUUUAAUCAUCAUGUACAUAUAUGGCUGCUAAUCAUAUCAUAUCUGCCUACUACCCCUAACACUUUGAGAUUUCGUAGAAUUCUAGGAUUCAAAUCAUCAAAAUAUAAAUUGUGCUAAUGGAAGCCUUCUCUUCUAGACCUCAGCAGUGAAUCUUCCGCUACAAGUACAAAAAAUUUCUCAAACAUUAUUAUAGCUCACUCUAAUAAAAUCUUCGUUUUCAUACACCUAAAUGAAAAUGAACCUACAAAUCUCUUAUUAAUACUUUGUAUUUUACUGCAUAUUCCUUCAAUCUACUUGAUAAACUUGUUUAAUACUUUUAUACUUGUUUUUUUAAUAGAAAAGGCCAACAAAAAAUAUAAUGGUCCUUACCAUGGCUAUCAUCAUUGUCAUCCCGAUCUCCAGAUUGGGUGGUGAAAAAUGGGGUAAGGUAGUUCCUGUCUAAUGCACGGAAAGAUGCAGCACUGCUUCAAACAAUUAAAUAAAAAACAUUAGGAAAAAUUAAGAAUAAAAAUUAAAAAAUAAAAGGUGGGGCCCACGACCACGACCUUCUGUGAAAUUCUUUAAGUCUCAUCUUUAGUCUGUUUCCGGAUGAUGGCUCUCCAUCAAAUGGAGCCACGUAGCCAUUAUUAGCUUCAAAGCUCUGGACCAAAAUCAAAUUAUAAUCUUAUUCAAUCAUCACUAUAUAUUUAAUACAGUAGCUAAUAGGAAGAAAUAUAUAUAUAUAUUUGAGUUGAGUUGAGUUGAGUUUGGUUGAUAUAAAAAAAAAAAAAAAAAAAAAAAAGAAGGAAUACUCACAUCAGUCAAGUGGCCAUCAUGGGUAUCUCCUCCUAUAACUUGUAAAGCUUCGAGCAUAGUACCUGUUGAGCCUCCAAUAAGCAACACCUGCAUUUUCAAUUACCAUGUGAGAAGCAUAUCUAACUAUCUACAAGCGAUACAUGAUUAUGAGUUGUAAAAUAUUGUGAAAGCCUUUUUUCCCUGACUUUCUCUAUUAAGUUCUUUUUUGUUCUGUAUGAAGUCAAAGAAACACCCAUAUAGCUUACCAGGUUAAGUCCUGCCCUUAUUAGUUCAAAAACAAAUAACACUUAAUUUAGAAUAAUCUAGUUUUCUAUUUUAUGAGCCCUAAUAACAAUUUAAUCCAAAGAGAUGCUACAAAGUAAUCAAUACUUAAAAAGCUAAGUCAAAAAACAAUUGAAAGGAAAAGUGUUAAUAGAUGGCCACCAGACAAGGAAAGAUGAACACAUUAUAAUAGAAAGAAUUGAAAGUAGAAUAUUACAAUAAACAAAGAAAAGAAAGUGUGAAACUAUUUCUUGCAUUUAUACCUUGAUAUAAUUUAAUAUAUGAAAUUAAAUUAAAAUGAGUUGCCUACCGUUAAAACAACUAUUGCAGUGGUUGCAGUAAAUAUGGUCUGACCAUGUCCUUCUGGGAGAUCAUGAACUGAUUGCAAAGCAAGUGCAAAAGCCAUUGCCCCUCUAAGUCCUGAUUCAUCAUAUUAUAAUAUAUAUAAAUAAAAUAUAAAUAAAUAUUCGUAAUAAUUCAGUAAAAUAAAAAUCUUAUACAACUUUUUCUAUGCUUACCACUGUACCAAAGUGCUUUCUGGUGUUUUACAGGUAUUUGUCGUUGUGCAGGUCGAACCAAAUUCAACAAAUAUGCACAAGUGAAGACAUUUGCAGCCCUUCACAACAUAAAAAACAGUUAAUUAUUUUACUAUUUUAUAGCAUUGAAACUAUUUACAUCAUAAAGCUAAAGCUGUUUCCAGAUAAAAUUUUAAUUCUGUAUUUUGCCCAUUUAAAUCCUAAGAGAUUCCUUGAGGCAUACCUUGCUAAUCCGAUGAAUAUCUGGGGCAAUCAAGGAGUGAGUUAAGAAAAAAAAUACUUCAUUAUUCAUAAUACAUAUUCUAAUUAUAAAUUAAAGUUGAUCAUUGUAUUUGUAUAUUUAUAUUUAUAAUGUGCUAUUAAUAUCAAAUAAUGAUGUUUUUAACUGUAUUGCAGAUUGUUAAAGAGAUUUUGAUCAUAAUGACACAUCUUGACAAACAACUCAAGGAUACAAUAGAAAAGAAGAUGAAUCCCACGUGGGACCAGCUAUGCUGUUCCAUAGCAAUAUCAAAACCCAUAUAUAUGAAUCUGCACAAAAACCAACAAAAAUAAAUAGUUACAAACAAAUUAAACAUUGAUAACAGAAAUAAAACAGGCUUCCUUACACAAAUGUCUCAGCUAAAGAUGAUAUCAAGUGGAAAAAAGCAGACACAAAUCUUUGAGAAUUUUCUGACAAGUUUGAGAAGGAAUAAUGCUUCAUAACCUACCCCCAUAAACAAAAAAAGACACCAACAUAUUCUCUUAAAAAAAAAACAUAACAGAUAAUUGCAGCUAAAGCCAUAUGUAUAUAUAUACUAACCAUCCCAGUGAACAGAAUUGACACAAUACCAGAGAGACCAAGACCUUCUGCUAACAUGUACCUAAAAUUGAUAUCAUUAAAAGAGUAAAACAUUCUGUAAAUGCAAUUAGGGUUUAGGGUUUAGGGUUUAGGGAGCUCACGAGAAGUAUGGAAAAAGAACAAACAGACAGCAUUCCAAGUUCUGUAGGCUGAGAAUCAUGAAUUAUAUGUUCCAUAGUCAGUAUGAGUGUAAUAAGAUGAGACAGUUUUUUUAGAUUGAGUUAUCUAAGAAAAGUAAACAACUUACUUAUCAAUGUCCAAACCUGCAUACUUGAAUAGGUUUCCUGCAGUUAAGGUUUAUACUUUAUAACAAACAAGACAAAUUUGUACCUAGUAUUUACAAUAACAAUCACUAUUAAAGGAUAUCAAAGCUGAUGUGAACCCAACUCCAACACCUGUCACACAAGAAUAAAACUAUCUGAGUAACUCAAUGAAUCAAAAGCAAUACUGAAAAAUAAUACACAAUGAUAAUAGAUGAUAUUAUAUAUUAUAUGUGCGUGUUUCUUUUGGACUUAAUGUGGAAAGAACAACUUAAAGGUGAAAGUUAGAGAAAUGAGGUCUUCCCUAUUAAGCUCCUAACUUUUUAGAAAUUUGCAGAAAAAAAUCAGAAAACCACAAAUGUCAUAUAAAAUAUCGAGUUAUUUUAAGGUGUUUAUAGUUUCCAUUACACUCCAAUUAGUUGUUUCAUCAGAUAUAAAUUUCUGGAAUGUUUUUUGCUAUUAUAUAUUAUGAAAUUCAACAAAUAUCUUUUCCAUGCUUUCAUAGAUGACUUCAACAAGUCUACACACUCGAUUGCUGUAUUUAUUACUUUAUAGAAAACCAAAUACUCAAAAAUCAGGAAAAAAAAAAGGAAAAACAAACUGGUUGAACCCAAAAUCCAAAAAACCAGAACCCAAUAAAACUGUUCUUUUAAGGCUGGAAACCAUCAAGAACAAGAUAUUAAAGUUUGGCAUUUUCUUACCACAGAAGGUCAAUAGCAUAUGUAAUAAAUUCAAAUUUAUUUGCAGAAAAAAAAAAAAAAAAACAAAAGCAUAAGCCGACAUUAAACUGACCUGCUGACAUGGAACCAACAAAAGUCUCAAGAAACCUCACGACUAUCAAAAAGAAAUUUUGCUCAGAUGAAUUACUCCUCACCAAUGACAUUGUCCUAAAAAAUGAAUUCUAUAAGUUUAUGUAUUCAAGUUUUCUUAUUGCAUAAUAUAAAUGUGUCUCAACGUAUAUCGAGGCUGCUUAAGGGGACAAACAGGACUGACUAAUGUCCACCCAUUUAAGUGGAACAAGGGAAGACAUGGAUCUUUCAUAUGUGCAAAAGACGUAAAUGCCCUUUUCAUCCUCAUCAUCAAAAAAAGCCCUAGAAGUAUAUCCUGUCCUGUGUAUCAAAUAUUGUCAGAAAGUAGAAGUGGAGUAAUGCAAACCUGUAUAGGGAAAUUGCCAUCUUUGAAGUUGAGCAAAAUAUAAAAGAACAUAGACCAAAGAAAAAAAAACAUGAUAUAAGUAUAAAUAUCUACAAAUAAUAUGGGAAUGGGAUAACUAAAAUCAAGAUAAAACUUACUGCAUCAUUUAAAACCGAUUCACCAAAAACCAAUGCAUAAAGAUUCAUGUCUGAGCCAAGCUCCUACAGUUUUCAUAGCAAAUAAUGACCAUAAAUUCACAAAGAUAUAAGAAUGGAAAUACAAAAAGGAACUUUUGGUCUUUCUUACCAAAAGCAGAUGAAUAAUCAACCCAAUUAUACAUUGUACUUUCAAAAAAAAAAACUUCUUAUUAAGGCCUUGUACUUUCUAUUACAGCAUUGUGCUUCCAUUUUUUUUUAUUAAGUCCUUGUUCUAUGAAUAAUCCAUCCAGUUGUAACUUUGUACUUUUAGUUAGGUCUACAAAACAUCAUGUAUGUACCUUUUCAAGUGCUUAUGGAAAGAUUAAAUAUAGAUAUAUCCAAUUUUCCCCUAACUAACCUAUCAACUGAAUUAAAAACAAAUCAAGCAGAUCAAUACACAUAUAGUAGAAAAAUAAUGAAAAAAGGAAUUCACUCUACACCAAAUUCAACCUGAAAAAUGGAGAGAACAGUGACAGGAUCUGUUGCUGAAAUAAGAGCACCAAACAUCAGACAUUCAACCAAUGGAAGUCUGUACAUGAGAUACAUUACACCACCAAGGUACCUGUAAGAUCAAGCAUGAAAGCAGUCUGAAUUUAUUGAGGCAGUUAACAUAAGUUUAUGUUCAUCAACAUUAUUUUACUGAUAAAAAGGAAUACUCACACCAAAAGACCUGUAACAAUUGAAGCAAUAAAAGUUCCCAAUAUUGCAAAAGUCACAAUGGCUCCAAAGUUUGAAAAGAAUGGUUUCUGAAAAAACGCCAACAGUUAAUAUAUGUAAUAACAGAAUGUGGGGCUUAGACAACAAUCAUAAUAACUUACAGGUGCCAAACUGAAUCCUGAUUGGGUACACAUGAAUGGUCAAGGAAAUAACUAGACAAUCCCUUUUGAUUAAUAAAACAGAUGAUAAAGAAUAAUAAAUCAUUAAGGAGAUUGAAGAAGGAUAUAAUAUGAUGGGGGGCAACAAAAAGAGGAAGAAGAACUCCUCAUGGAAAUUAAACCAGGCCCUGCAGUAGAAAGGGAAGAAGGUAAAUCGAACUGCAACAGUUAGUUGUACUAUGUUCAACAAACUAAGAGAGGUACCAUGAAGCUAAAAAGCAUUCAAGAACCUGAUACUAGUUUCGGUAUUUGAGAUAUUCGCAAGUCCACCAACGAUUAACCCUGUCAAAACCAACGUGAAAUCAUGAUCAUCAUCGCAUAGAUGACUCUGGAACUAAGAAGAAACUCAAGUUUGUACGAAAUCACAGGGAAAUUGUUGAAGAUACAAGAAAGGCAAUAAAAUCAAAGAAAUUGAACUAAAGCAGGAUGAGUAUAAAAGGAAUACGGGAUUAUAUGAGCAUGGUUUACCGAUCAAAAGGGAGGCGCUUGCUUCAGGAAGAUAAUAGAAUCUAUGACGCCGCAAGACAUGUCCAAGAAUGAAUGAAAGGACGAGCAUCAUUAUCUGAAGAAGAAUGCCUACCCCUGCCGCCUGUUGAUCCUUACCUGGACUUCCGCCAUGCGGACCAGCAGGAGAUAUUUGCAAGUCAGGCAUGGUGGUGGGAUUAUUCCAGUUCCCUUCCUGCAUGAUACUUGAUCGCAAUCUCAAUCUCAAUCUCAAUUUCAAACUCACACUAUAAACUAUGAGCGAUGAUACGAUGUUUGAUCCUUUAGCCCUCGAGAAUAAAACUGACCCUUUCCCUUUCCCCAACUACAUAAAGUGAUCUAAUCUCCAGAAAUUCCUAAUUUAGUCCCGGUCCUGUUGCGCUCUAAUUAGAUAGGAAAUUUUGAGAAACUAUGCCCUAGAACGUAUUUUACAUUCAAAAUAUAUUGUAGAAAUUCGUACUUUAAAAAAUAUUUAUAUUUUCUUUUAGCUAUCUUCGGGCUUCGCCAACAUAUGUCUCAUGGAGUAUCGCACUAUCCUUAAAUACCGGCUCAUGAUUCCUAUAUUUCCAGCUGACGAGAUAUGUCUUGUGUGCUGUAAGGCAUGUUUGGACUCUUUUUGAGAGCAUGUGAUUCAUUGUAAAGAACUCUUUGGGUUCAAAUAUCGACACAUUAUGAUUACUCUCUGGGUUCAAAUACCGACACGGUAUGAUUAUGGAUAUUUUGUUUGACAUAUUUAAGCAUGUCGGGGUUUCCGCUAAGAAAAAAAUAUUUGUAAAUUUCUUGACAGACCCGACAUAAUGAAUGUCAACCCUUAGACCGACUGAUGUUUUGGUUUUUGGAUAGGUUGGAGGGAAACAUACUUAUGUGGACCUUACAUGGGUAUCCCCUCUCGUGAGUUUGAGGGUUGGGGGUUUCAAGGCGGGACAUGUUGUUUUAAAAGUUGUCACAUACAAAAUCAUGAAACAUGAGAAAUCAUGUUUGGAAAAUCAAUACGUGUUCGUACCAUUGUAAAUAACUCUCGGGGUUCAAACCCUUAGACCGGCUGAUGUUUCUAGUUAUCCAUAUAGAUGGGCUUGGCCAACAUAUAUCUCAUAUGGAGUAUCGCACUAUCCUUAAAUAUCGGCUCAUGAUUCCUAUAUUUCAAGCCGACAAGAUGUGUCCAGUAUGUCGCAAGGCAUGUUUGGACUCUUUUAGAAAGCAUGUGGUUCAUUGUAAAGAACCCCUGGGAUUUAAAUAUCGACACAAUAUGGUUAGGAUGUUUUGUUUGACAUAUUUAAGCGUGUCGGGGUUUCCGCCAAGAAAGAGGCACCUGUGAAUUUCUUGACUUGCCCGACGGAAGGAAGGUCAACCCUUAGGCUGGCUGAUGUUUUGGUUUUUGGAUGGGUUGGAGAGAAACACGCUUAUGUGGACCUUAUAAGGGUAUCCCCUCACAUGGGUUUGAGGAUUGGGGGUUUCAAGGUAGGACAUGAUGCUUCAAAAGCUGUAACAUGCAAAGUCACAAAACAUGAGAAAUCAUGCUUGGAAAUCAACACAUGCUCAUACCAUUUGCGUUUAAUACGUGAUGUGAUGCAGAUUAUACCUAUCUGGCUUUAAAUUUACAACCUAACUACUUAUCUACUAAUGCACCUAUAGGCAGUGUACCUAUUCAUUUUACAUUAUAGUAAAGUAAGUUGGGUAUCGAACACAGAGAACAGAUUUAGUUUAUUAAAAGAAUUACAAAAAAUUAAUCUAAAACCAAUUAACUAAAAUGGGGAGUUUUUUAUAUGAUUUUGCAAUUUUAGAUUAACUUAAAACUAACAAACACUUAACUAAGAACGGAUGUUAUCAAUAUAUUAAAAGCACUUUCGUUUAGUUUUGAAUCCACAUUUUUCCUAUGGUUAGUUCACAUUUGUCCCUAUUAUCCUUUGACGCCCAUUACUUAAUAUUGCACGAGCCUUGGUAGAUGUUCGUGAAUCAAAGCUCACCUUGCUAGUUGGAAAAUAGGAGAUAACAUUCAGAGUUGAAGAAGGAUUCGGGAAGUCUAAAACUAAAAAUGAAGUGUUCGUUAUGGAUGAAGACAAUGAGCUUGAAGAGUUAGAGAAGUUAAUGUAAAAAGAGGUCCAAAUAAGAGAAAAGCCUAAAGAACAAGUUAAGCCCACUAAACCAAAAGCCUUGAUACUGAUGAUCUUUGAGGUCUUUUCCUUUACUACACCAAAAAUACAAGAAGAAGAGGUUUGUGAAAGCAAAGAGCUCAUUUCAAGUGAUGAAGAGGAUGAUCACGAAAGAAAGGAGGUAAAUGUUGAUGGAAUAGAGAUGGACAAAACAUAACUAGCCAAAAACUAAGAGAAGAACCGAAUGAUAAAAAUACCAAGGAGUCAAAAGAAAACUUGGAACUUGCGGUAAAGAAACAAAGAAGGAAAAAUUCAAAGAAAGCAUACAUAAGACGGGUUCAAGCCUACAAAAAGAGAUUGGCGGGAAGGAGUCCAACUCACGACUCUGUAAAAAAAAAAAAAAAAGCACUUCGCGGGAGGCAACCUGAGCUCGGUUUGCAUUUUCUUUUCUUUUUUGCUUUUAUUUAUUUGUUUUGCAUCUUAGGAUAGUUGUCUUAGUCAUCUUCCAUUUCUAAAAUCAAGUGUGGGUCCCAUUCAUAUAUGAUCUAUUUUAUUUUUUUAAAAAGAGAAAAAUUGAAUUGUUGUCACUUAAAGAGAAGUCCACGAUGUGGCCCAAUUAUACUACGUCAUGGCCCUUUAAUGAAAACUCGACAAAACUAGUCUAUUCGAACCACGCCAUGAGGAUUGACUCUCAUGACGUGAGGGUUAAAAACAUGAGACCAUUACUUCAAACAUAUUGUGUACCAUUUGACCCAUUUUGUUCUUUGCCACUUACGGCGUGAGUUCCGACUUGGUCCCCCCACUUCGAUUUUGGCCAACAAUUUCACUUUUCUUAUACUUCCUUACAUUAGCAUUUUCCAAGGUAUGAUUUCUAGGUUCCUUCAUUGUUAAUUCCACCAAUUUUAAGUAUUUUUGAUUUAGGGUUUAUAUUUAAGUUUGAUUUAGUCACAAAUUCCCCCGAUUUGGUAUGAAAUUGAACUUGUAUGUUAGAUUUUCGGGCAUUAAACUACCGUUACAAAAAAAAAAANNNNNNNNNNNNNNAAAAACGUUAAAAAAAAAAAAAAAAAAAAAAAAAAAAAAAAAAACUUAGUGAUUUUUGGACUCGAUUUAGCUUGAGUAAUGACCAAUUUUGAAUUUGCCAUUCGACCGUUCUCACGACGUGAGGAUUAACCCUCACAAUGUGAGCAUUGCAUUAUAGUUAAACAACUUUUUGUCUUAAUGAUUUUUCUUGUUUUGUUUUUGUGGUUUUGUUUGUUUGUUGUUUAUUUUAUAGGAAAUGGGACCAAGGAGGAGCAAUGAACAAUUCCAAGUAAAUGUUUAUGAACUACACCCGUUGUAUUGAUUUCCCGACAACAUUCCUCAAAGCAUGUUGAAUAAUUACAAGAAUAAGUUGGGGUGGUUGUACAACCGGUAGUUCGCCAUUUCCCCAAGCAUUGACUGGGUAAAGCUAGAAGAAAUUAGAAUCAUGGAAAGUUUAAACCCUUACUUGACAAAAGCAUUCGUUAGGGAUGGGGUUUCUUUCACGUGCAACAGGUGGAGGAGUAUAUUUUUUGUUAGCAAGCCGGUUUUCAAGGAAUUAUGUAUUGAAUUCUUCCCGACGGUUUCAUUUAAAGAACACACGGGGGAUCCUCACUAAGCAAGGGCUCUAUUUUAUCGUCUUGGGGGCGAAUACCGCGAGUGCAUUUUGGCCAAAUUUUAGUGGAGGGUGGGGAUAUACGAAUAACAUGAAGCGAUCUCUCCAGUUUUUGACAUAUUUUUUAGGGCAAUUGUACGUGAUUAUUCUACGGGGGUGAAUGGGUAUGAUUUUUGGAAAACUAUUGCAAAUGGGGCAUUUCAUUCGGGUGUCACACAAAAAAUCCAAAUUUGGUCACCCAUUCACAUACUUAUUCACCGUUUUGUAACAUUUUCCAUAAACCAUAAAAAACAUGGAGACAAGGUCACGAGUCUCAAUUUGUUUUUUGUAUUUUCCAUUAUUGCACCGAUAGUUUGUUGCAACAUUCCAUAUCAUCUUGUGUACUACUUGGGAAGCAAGGCGGUAACUUCAUGAGCUUUGAGUCCUAUAGCGGGUGGGCAUUUUGCCACUCGCUUGGCAAAGUCAUAUGGUAUUUUCACACAGCGGUUGAGUUGCACUUUGACAUGCAAUGAAGGGGAUGAUUUUUCUUUGAGUUACAUGUAACACCCUGUUUAUUUAUUAGAUAAAUAAAUAAAUUAAUGAUCGAGUUGUAGCCCUAAAAUCAAUAAUUAUAUAGUGAGGUGUGAUUUCGAGGAGCUAAUUGUCAUAAUUUUUAAAGUUGGGGGUUAAAAGUGUAAGUUCUGGAUUUAAUUUGAGAAAGGUUUCAGAAGUCAGGGUGCGUUUGGUAAUUUCUAAACCUUAAUUGAAAAGAAUUUGUCAAGUAAGGGGUUGUUUUGUAAAUCUCGGACUUAAUUAGUAAAGAUUUUCAGGGACAGGGUUUAAAAGGUAAAUAUGGGAUUUACUUUGUAAUAAUUUAUGGAAAUAGGGGCUAAAGGUGUAAAUGUCAGACUUUAGGGAAGAAGAUUCUAUGGGGAGGAUCCAAUUGUGUCAUUAUGGCAAAAAGUAUAAGAGGUAUCGGGUAUUUAAGGCAUAUGAAACCCUAACCCUAGAAGACUAUUCCCACCCGCCACCUUAUACCUCCCACCUCCGGCGCCACUUCCUUCUCAUUUUCCCCAACCGUCGCCCGAUAUCUCGCUCGUUUUCCGACCACCCAUGGCCUCCAAACGAUAGUCGAGUCCGACCUAUGGCGCUGCCGUCAAUGGGAGCCUUCAACCAUCCAGUCCCGACGUUUCGUCUGUCAUCGCGCCAUUCCUAAUGAAGAUGGAGCCUCCGACGAACGAUAACCACUCAGUUGCUGCCGCUGUUGGGUUGUUCCGUCGGGAACGUGACAGCUCCAAUCAUUUCUUCGUCUUUGGUUACAUCGUCAUCCACAGCACCGGUACCGCCAAGCUUCCCAGAGACCGCCACCUUGUUUCACUAUCGCAUCAACCGUCGCUGGCUGUUAGGGUUGUUAUGGCUGUCGUUUCUGUCACUUCUCUUGUGCCACCAGCCACUGUGGGGUGGGGUUGCUGAGUGUGUGUUGGAGUAUGUUCAAGUGUACCGAUUGUGCCUUGUAUUCAAGGGUUGUAAUGGUGACUUUUGGCCGGAAAACCCAUCGCCACCACCGUGAGGUGGUGCCUGCCAUCGCAAAAACCGCCGUUGUCGUCACCUUGAGCCACUAGGUGGGUGGCUGGAAUGUUUUAUGCAAUCUGAAGUAUUUGUGUGUGUGUGUUUUGUCUAGCCGGAAAAUCAAGGAUAGCCACCGCCACCAUCGUAAGGUGGUGGCUGCCAGCAUGCACAACCGUGUUUAUGUGUGUGUUAGUAGGUAUGUGUGUUUAUUUGAGAUUUAGCAUUGUAAAGUGUAAUUACAAAUUGGAAUAAUGAAAGGAAAAACUGAAAACCACCACCGGCCGCCGUGUCGGGUGGUGGUGUGCUCGCCUCGUUGAGUUUGAUUCGUUUGGGGUGCUUGAAACCCUAAUGGGCCCAAUGAAGCCUAAUGGGCUUAAUGAUAUUCUAGUGGGCUUAAUUGGACCAAUAAAGCCCUAAUUGACCUAAAAGCCCAACAAAUUGAUAAAUGGGCUAGUAUUUGGGUUGGAAACCCUAAUUAGGGUUUGGAAAACCCUAAUGCCAAUAAAACCCUAAUUUGGGGAAUUAACCGGGACACACGGGAAUUAUUUGAUAACUUGAGAUAUUAAAUAAUAAUCAUUGGCAAAAAUUAAUCUAACCAAUAUUGGACUUAAUGGAUUAAGUCCUUAGUGGAUUAAGUCCUUAAUGGGUUAAGUAGAAAACUUAACCCUAAUCAUCAUUUUAUGUGAUGCCCUAAUUUCACUUGGGUUUAUUAAUGAGCAAUCCAAGAAUAAUCAUAUGGACUAAAAUAAUUUAAUGGGCCUAGGGUAAGGCCCAUGUAAGGGGUUUAGGCCUAAUUUGGAAAAUUGGGCCAUACAUGGGCCAUAGUUUGGGCCUUAAUGAUUAUAUGAUGUUGGGCCUUAAAAUAAGACCAUGUAUAGGAUUGGGCCCAAUUUGGAAAAUUAGGUCAUAUGUUGGGCUUUGAUUCCUAGUUGACUUUGGGCCUAAGGAUUGGGCCUUGGGCUUGAAUAAGCCAAGCUUGGGGUAAUGUAGUAAUUAUCCAAAGUAUGUACUUAUGGUUAUGUGGUGGAACCCAAUUAUUAAUUGGGUGUUAUUUUGGUGUUGACAGUUCGGGAAUCUGUCAUCCAGCAGCUGGGGUUGAGUCUGCGGGACUUCAGUAGUGUAGGAUUGAGUCUGCGGGACUUCAGCAGUGCCAGGUGAGUCUCCUCACCAUACCAAUGGGUCUAAGGCACCAAAUGUCGGUCCAUUUUAUGAUAUGUGAUACACUAGCUGAAGUUGUAUCAUGUGGUAUGUUAGUUGGUUAUGUGAUAGGGAGUAUGCUAGUGAUUAUGUGGUAUGCUAAUUGAUUUUGUGGUACAUGAUAUGCUAGUGGUCUUUGUGAUACUUGCAUGGAAGACCUCGGGGGGUUCCCGAGGCACUUAGGUGUAAGACCUUAGAGGGUUUCCUUGGCAUCCUAGGUCAAGACCUCAGGGGGUUCCCGAGGCACUUAGGUGUAAGACCUUGGAGGGUUUCCUUGGCAUCCUAGGUCAAACACCUCGGGGGGUUCCCGAGGCAUUGGGCUAAAACCAUGUGGGGGUUUCCAUGGCACCCGGAGUAAGAUCCUGGAGGGUUUAUAGGGCUUCCUUAUGUGUUGUUUUGCAUGGCUUAUGCGUUCUGUAUAGCUGUUUAGCUAGCAUGAUAUGUUGUACGUGUUUGUGUGUAGGUAUGCUCUGGGGAACUCACUAAGCUUCGUGCUUACAGUUUUGUUUAUGGUUUCAAGUAUCUUGUUUUGGAAAGGAAGGGCUCAACUUGAUCGCAACGCACACACCCAUGUUUUCCGCAAUGAAGGAUUUUGGGAUGAACUCUGAUAAAUGUUUUUAAUUAAGAAUGUUUUGGAAUGAAUGGAAUAAAUGAUAUCUAUGUUUGGGUUAUAUUAAAAAUGAAAAUUUUACACUCGAUUUUUGGGUCGUUACAUACAUGGAGUCAAUGAAAGUUAUUAUGAAUAUGGGAACACAUUGGAGCAUUCCAGCUGAUAAUGAGGGGGAACAAGUGAAACAACCCAAGGAAUAGCCGAGACCAUGGGCACGCUGAAAUGUGAGGGCGAGAGGAGAGUGGGGUCAACCUCAACAAUAAUUUGAGAAAAUUCCCAUUGGAGGUGUCCCCACUGACCCAUUUCAAAUCUGGGUUGGUACUUAUUUAGACAAUCUUCGAGGGGAAGUGAACUAUCAAAACCAAUCCAUAGACGUAUUGUUUUCACACUUCCACAUCGAGCAUUCAUUCACCCACCAUGCCACCUCACUAUCCUUACAUACCGACGUGGGAAGAGCUUUGGUCACGACAAAACAACGUGGGAAGAGCUUUUAUUUUCUUAGUUUAUUUUUAGUGUGUUUAAUUUGUGUGUUUUCAUUUGGUUUGUUUUUAAAGACAUGUAGCCGAAUGGUAGAUGUUUGUUUUCUUGCAACCAAUGGUUUGUAUUGUUCGUAGAGUUAUUAGAAUGUUGAGAGAAAAGAAGGUCGUGAGCGUUAGAGAUAAUAAUUGGAGACCAUACUUUUGAUUAGUGUGUGGUGACAUUCAUGUGCGAAGAUAGAUUUGAGAAAAGAAAGAGUUCAUUAAAGAAAUAAAGGGUUUUAAAAAAAAGUCUUAAUGAGUAAAGAGGACAAUGGAUGUUCACAUACAUAGAAGAAUUGUUGAAAAAAUGCAUUCUGCCAAGACCCAGUUCUCACGAUGUGAUCUUCUACUACUCACGUCGUGAGGCAGAUACCACCGCAAUUGGGAAUUCGAUUUGAACCAUGCUCAUGUCGUGACCUCUCAACUCUCCUGCCGUGAGUCAUCAGAUAUCACACAUUACAUUUUUUUCUUUCAACCUUACAAUGUGGCAUAUGCUUUCCCACAUUGAGAUGCAUUACUUUGAGGAUUUUAUGCACCACACUUUUCAAAGAUGCAAUUUUUUGUUUCACAUGUUAUUCAGCACAUUCAUGAGUACCAGCAAAGUCAAGUUCCAGUUACAUAUUCAAGGUGUUCAAGCUUUCCAUACACUAUCAAGAUAUCGGUCUCUCCACUACUAUCCCAGGGGAGUCUGUUCAUUUUUCUCCAUUUUUACUGUUUUUAUUUGCUUAAAUAAAUUUAUGCAUACAAUGAGGGCAUUGUAUGAAAUAAGUGUGGGGUAGGGGGUCGAAAAAAGAAUUUAAAUUUGAACUUGAAAAAUGGUUUAACUUGAAAUUUAGUGAUAAUUAUAUAAAAAAAUACGUAAGUUACUAGUGUUGCGUGGGACAAUCCGUGCAAACUCGAGUGUUUAAUUGAACCAAUAUAUGUUAUAAUAUAUUUGUGACUUCUCAGUCCUAGUGAAAAAGUCAUGAGAUAUGAAAGGUAAUCUAGUAGUUUGAAUGACAUAAAGUUUUGCAGUGUGUACCAUAAAUAUAUCUAGAAGAGCUUAUGUAGUCAUUGCGCCUUAAACUAAUAUCUCUAACAAAUAAAUGUUGAAGUUAAGCUCCCUUGCUUAAGCAUGUAGGAUAUUUCUAGAUUUGAGCAAAAAAAAAGCGAGACAUAUAUAUAAAAAAGGAGAGAGAAAAAAAUUGCAAAAGUGAAAGAAUUUUGAAGAAGCUAUUAAAGUACGAAAAAUAAGGUUUAGACGCAUCUAAAUGUGUAGGUAAGGAUGAAAAGUUUGUACCAAAUCCCGAUCCCGUACCAUAAUUGGUAUUGCAACGUACCAAAUUUAAAAAUACGAGACGGUACUCGGUACUCCAAAAUCACAAAAUUCGGGACGGUAGGUACUGGUACCGGUACCAAAAACCGAUACAAUUUCCGGUACCAAUAUCGGUAAUGUUAAUUCGGUACGGUACUCGGGAUGUGUGACAACCCAAAAUUUCUAUUCUAUACAACCAGUGUUCUAAAAGGCGCGUCAUGGCGUAAGGCGUGGCUCCGCCGUUACGAAUAGCCUCAUAACGUUGCUGUUAGGCGUGGCGCGUGGCAAGGCGUGAUAUGGUGCGCCAUGGCGCGUUAUGGCGCCUGUUUUUUCGUUUGAGACACGGUUUUUUACUAUUUGUUAUGUCUUUUCUAAUCGGAGAUACAAGUAUUGUGGUUUUUGUUACUAGUUAUUGAUCUAACACUUCUAAAAAGUAGUUAUAUUUAAUAUAAAUUUAUAUUUAUGUGGUAAUAUAAUUUUAAAUUAAUACAAAAUCGCCGCCUUACAUCACGCCUUGAAAAACGCUAUGGCUCACAAUGGCUCGUUAAGCUUGAGGCUUGACCUUGCCGCCACGCCACGCCACACGCCAUUUAGAACCUUGUAUACAACCAUUCAAUUCAAUAGAAGUCAGAACAGUUUCUGCUAACUUUCAAGCUUUUUGGAAUAAGUUUGAAUGUUUUAAAGUUAGUGCUUCAGAAGUUAACAGGAGAGAGGAUGCCCUAGGGUUUAUUGUGCAUCAACAAAGUUCUAAAAACUCCAAGAGUUUGGAGUUUACGGCCUAAAUGGUGUUUGGACCGUAAACCCCAAUGACUAUAUAAGUGAGACUUAGUUAUGUUAUCACUUUUUCACAAUAUCAAGAUCCAAAAUCAAUUCUCUCUCAAGUAUCAUCCAAUAAUUCUUCAAGAUCUUCAACUUGUAAGAGUUUCUAGCCCUAAUAAGUUGAUAUAUUACUUAAUAUAGUGAUCUUACACACUUCCAUCCGUGAAAUCAUUCCAAAAGUGUAGAUCUUCAAGUUUCACCAAGAACACACACUAGUGUUCUUGGACUUUUAGCACCUUUUCAAGCUUCUACCUAGUAAGUACUUCUAUCCUAGAGUAUUAUAAGACUUGUUACACUUCUAAACAUCAAGAAAACACCCAAGGAAGUCAAGAUCAAAGGUGUUUACGGUCGGAGAUGUUCUUGGACCGUAAACCCUAAAAAUGGUGCCAAAGUGUGCCCUAGUCCCUUCUAAGCCUUGGAAACUAGCCUAGAUCCCUUCCUUGAUGAGCUUAGUACUUGAAAACUUCAAAAAACCAUAAUCCAUAUGGGUUUACGGCCGUAAACACAUGGAGAAGUGGUCCAUGGGCCGUAAACUCCAUAUUAGGGGUGAAAUGAUGCCACAAACACUUCCUAAGGCUUAGACAUGAAGUUAGAAUGCUUAGAAUGACUUGUAAGACUUCAAAACACAAAAUGGUCAAGGUACCAUGAGUUUACGGCCGUAAACUCAUGGGUUUACGAUCUUAAACUACUAAACUCCAAAGGUGAUGGUUACAAAACCGUAAACACCUUUAGGUGCCAUUUCACUUCCCUUUGUUGAAUCACAUGUGAUUCCAACACUUGAUCAAGGUGUUUCUUAGUCCCGGAAGGUGUUUCCUUUUAUAUAGUUGUUUAUAAACACUAUAUUCAUGUCAAUAUGUGUCCUUAUAUGUCAUUUAGGACUUAUUGUGUCUCGGGACUUCAUUCGUGGAACUUCUCAUCCUUACACACAUACCCGUUUGAAUUACCCACAUCAGGUGAGUUCAUACCCCGUAAUGAAUCUUUUAAUUGUUUUAACUUUUUUAAGGGGGGAAUACAAGUUGAACACAAUGAUAAUUGUGUAAUUGUUUGUUACAAACAUCUUUCAAAAUGUUACUUAUGUUAUUUAUAAGUUGUCAACACAUUUCAAAACUCUUUUAAAGUUAUGUUACUUUAUAGUUAUACAAAAUUUUGUUUUUAAGGUACAAACAUAUCUUAGUAGAUAAACGAGUCUUUUCAAUAACAGUCCAAGUAGAACAUUAGUAAACUAUAAUAGGUAUAGUUUAGGAGAAUGCUAUUCAUUACUUCUAGUACAAUGAAGCACACAGGAGUCAGUUCAUACAAGAGUCAAACAAACAGUGAAGAGAAUCAAACAAUACCAUACAGAACAUAACAAACAAGUUAAGUUGCUAUAGCAUAAGAACACACACAGGAUCUAAUUAUACCAAUGAAUCACUAACUCACUGUUUUAAACAAAAGGUGAUAGUUAUAUUGGGUAUAUAUGAUCAUAUAAAUUUAAUGUGAAUUAUACGGCUUGCAAGAAUUUGCAGGGGUCACGUUUGGUUCCCUUAAUCUCUAGACAGGGAGAGCGUUUAGUAGGGGUUCUAGCCUUCACAUUAUGACCGUAAUAAAACAAAUAUGUUUUUAGGUUAUUAUUACAUCCGCAUGUCAUUAUAAACGACAUCUAUGUACUUACUUUUCCCAUUACUUUCAUAAAGUGACAGUACCACUUGAAAGUCGAAGUAUUUUCUAGUCAAGAUAGUUAUAAACUAGGGAGAAUAUACUUUUACAAUCGACAAUCGGAACAGUUGAGUCUAGUACAUAACAGAAGAUACCUUGGUAGAAGGCUAUGAUUAAAAGUUAGGACCAUAAUGCUAGUCUUAUGAUUCCUUAAUGUAUACACCACAGGAUACAUAUAUAACAAUAGGUUUCGACAGCUAAUAGGAUGUGUGCUCUCCACUUCACUUCCUAUUCCUCGUUGGGUUGUGGGCUUGGAACGGAUUCACCCAAUCUAUUAUCUACCCGAUUCUAUAUACAUGUAUGCUUAGUAUACAUUAAGUCAUCAUAAGGGUACCAGGUAUGGGUCAGGUUAUAGGACACAGAGUCGAAGCACAAUUUUUCUAGUACAAAACAUACUUUCCAAAGUCAGUACUUUUGGUAUACAAAACUAGAAACUCCCCAGAAAAGGGUUUAAUCCCCUUUAUUAAACCGGUACAAUUUUAAAGACUUUAGGUGAUUAACUCUAUAAUACCUUAGUUUAUACACCAUGUUUAUAUAUAAAACUAAUUCCCAUUAGGUAGUUAAAUGUGUGUUUUCCGCCUUACUUCCUGUUCCUCGUUGAGUUGUGGGCUUAGGGCAUAUUCACUCAAUUAACUUUCUAUCCGAUAUCAGAUUAUAUAUAGCAGUAUAAACUAAGCUAUUAUAAAAGUAGUCACUGUGGUCACUAUUUCACUAUAAGAAAUAUAGGUUUUCUUAAAGAGCUUUUCAUCAGAUAUAAAGGAACCAUUACAAUUAACUCCAUGAGUAAUGAGUGAAUACACUAGGGUUAUAUAUGACAACGAUCUAACAACCAAUGGGAUGUGUGCUAUCCGCCUUACUUUCUGUUCCUCGUUGGGUUGUGAGCUUAGGGCAGAUGCGCACAAUCGAUUGUUUGUUUACUCUGAGUCUUAUAUAACUUGUACCCACUUAGUACCCAUAGAAAGGCUUGUAGUGUCAUUUUACUUAAUUUUCAUUCAAGUAGGAAAUAUAGGAUUUUCUAGAGGAAUAAGCGAACUUUUCAAAACAGAACUUAUAGCUUACACCACUUUUACAUAUACAUUUUCAACCACAUUUUACAACUUACUCACAUCACUAAAAUCUUAUGAACUCGCCAACUUAAUUGCUGAUCAACUCUUUCAAAUAACUUGUAUUCUCAAGAGACUAUUAGACAGGUGCUCGUGCUGGGGAUUCAGAAGAUGAAGCAUUAUAGCUUCAAAUCUUGUUUUGUUAUUUGUGUAUGAAUUCUAUGUUUUGUGAACACAGACAUUGUAAACACUUUCUUUCGAAAUGAAAUGGUUGUUCAUUACUUGCUUACCAUAUACAUAUAUCGUGAUACUAAACAUGAAGUCCUCCACCCCUGAACGAUUUCGCCAUUCCGGUUUUGGGGUGUGACAGGAUGGAUUUUUGAUCAAAUUCGGUAUUCGUGAUAUUGGGAACGGUACCGGUUCUGUCCCACGCUCAUCCCUAUGUGUGGGACCAUAGGGUCUCAUUCGUAACAUUGACAUAGUAGCUAUGAAAAUCACCAAAAAGUGUAACACCCAAAAUCAGAAAGGUUUAGAAAUGGAAAGAAAACCCUAAGUCAAAAGAGUUGACUCGUCGAGUCCAGGGAGGAACUCGACGAGUCGGAGCGGGAUCCGGGGGAUCGAAUAAGUGACCAAAUCGGCGAGUCGGCUCGUGGACUCGACGAGUUGGGUCUGAAGAGGAAAACCCUAAAUCCGGGACUUUGGACUCUAUUUAAGCACUUUAUUCUCUCCAUUAGGGUUCCUUAGAGUCUCUCUCAUCCAGAACAUAAAACCCUAAACCUCCAUUGUUACUCAUUCAAGCUUUCUUUCCAUUUUGGGUGAUUUGAAGGAAGAAGGAAGAAGGGAAUCAUUGGGACUUCAAGGACUGGCUUUAGAUCCAGAGUUUGUGGAACUUUCCAGAGCAUUUGAAGGUAAUGAAUCGUUACCUUCCCUCUUUCGCAUAUAGAUCAACCUUGGUUAUGAGAUUUGGGGCUUUUAUGCCAUGUUUAAGAACCAAUUCGAGUUAGAAGCCCAAAUCUGAAGUUGCUACUUCAGAUCUAAGCAUAUCUUGGCCUAGAGAAGCAUAAAGUAACUGUCCUUGGGUUGAUUGUAGAGCCUCUUUGUCUUAAACCCUAGUUUAUAGUAAUUUAAGCCUAGAUCUCUUUAUCUACACGUAAAGUUUGCCACUUUACGUAAGGGAUAAGCCUUUGAAGAGUGGAUCUACAGUUUGGAGUCCAAGCAUGACUCAAAUAGCCUCUGCAUGUAUGAAGGACUGAAUAGACUCGGCGAGGCCUUCGAGGGGGCUCGGCGGGGUNAACUCGACGAGUUGGAGAACAACUCGGCGAGUCUGUUGAAGAUUGCCUAGGACUCGGCGAGUCUGGUCGCAGAACCCCAAACCCUUCUAGUUAAGACUCAGACCAGUGAGUUGAGUAAAGACUCAGUGAGUUGGACAGGACAUAACUCGGAAAUCAGUAGACUCGGCGAGUCAUGGGCUGACUCGGAGAGUCGAGUCGCGAAGGAGAGGGUUUUUGAGCUUAUGAACUCGGCGAGUCAGUAGGCUGACUCGGCAAGUAGGGUCAACCUGGGAGGUUGACUUUGACAAAAGUUGACUUAGUCUGACUGUUGAAGGGCAGUUUGGGACUAAGCGUUAUAUUUGGUAUUAGUAGAUCGGGGAGUCAUUGGGUAGUAGUGCGGAAGUUGUCAGAUAGCAGUCAGCAGGGUAUCAACAAGAACUCUAGCAGUGCAGGUGAGUUUCCUUCCAGUAGGAACGAGUCUAAGGCCACAAUGUCGGCCCGUUUAGUUAGCAUUAGUUUCCGGACUUCGGUCCGAUGCAGUAGUUAGUAUGUUUGAUGUCCUCAUGGCUCAGACAUGAUUUAUGUGUUAUGUGAUCCGGGCUACGGCCCGAUGCAGUAUGCAGUAUGUGUGUGCAUGCUAGUUGAUAUGUUUAUGCUAUGCUAUGUUCAGUCAGUUUCCGGACUUCGGUCCGAUGCAGGGGGCAAUGCCCCGGUUAGUCCGGACUUCGGUCCAAUGCAGGGGACAAGGUCCCAGUCGGUUUCCAGACUUCGGUCCGAUGCAGGGGGCAAGGCCCCAGUUAGUCCGAACUUUGGUCCGAUGCAGGGGACAAGGUCCCAGUCAGUUUCCGGACUUCGGUCCGAUGCAGUGGGCAAGGCCCAGUAUGUGCUUUAUAUGUUUGUAUGGUAUGUGGUAGUUUGGGGGAGCUCACUAAACUUUGUGCUUACAGUUUCAGUUUUUGGUUUCAGGUACUCAAUUUUCAAAAGAGGAGCUCGGAGCGGUUGCAGUGCACACACCAUAGUCAGUUAGCUUGGGAUGUUUUACUCUGAUAAUAAGUUAUGUUUCGAAUUAAUACUAUGAAAUUAUGUUAGGACUUAUAAUACGGUUGUUAUAAAUAUGGUUUUACCAUUUUAGUAAUGUUUUAAAAGACAUCUUUAGUCGUGAUUUUUGGGUCGUUACAAAAAGACUUGAUAAUUUUAUAGGUAUUGUGUCAAUUUUACAAGUAAGAAAUACGAAAUAUAUGGUUAUUUUUGGAAAAAUGUUUAACUAUUAAUUAAAAUUUUAGAAAAAACUUAAUGUUUUAGUUGUUUUUGUUUUUAUUUUCUCUAGCCUUAAAAAUAUACAAAAUUGAUGCUAAUUUUCGAAAAGGGCAAAUACCAUAAAGGUCCCAACAUUUUGUCAUUAAAUUGGGGAAAAUCCUAUAAUUCAAUUUUCGGUCAAUGUGGCCAUUUUUGUGUCGUUGAGUAUUGGGCUUAGACUUUUUAGCCGUUUUCAUCGGUUUCAUCCGGUCAUUAAGGUUUCAAAUCUUAUUUAUGAACACUUGAGAGAUAGUAGAAGGUCACACACACUCUUCCUUCCCUCUCUCCCACUGGUAAAGCAUAGUUUUGUCUUCAAAUUCUAGGUUGUAUAGAGCAUGUUCAUCAAGGAAUCAAUGGUCUAAAGAGCUUAGGUGUGAUUGUGAUGAAAUCGACACUUUUCCAUCUCCAAUACAGAUGAAAAUCAGGACAAAAAAUUUCGAGGGUGUCCUAACUAUCAGGUAAAAAUGACAUGAUUUUUAUGAUUUUGUUGCUAUUAAACUAAGAACUAAGGAAAAGGCAAAUCCUUUUUGACACUGUGCAUAACCAAAAAAUGUGUUUUUAUCUUGUUCCUUGAUCCACCACUACCAAAUAAUCACUAUAAGGAAACAAUGUGGAAGUUGUAUGUUGAGUUGGAACAAGCAAAUAAAGCAAAAGAAUGACACAGAAUAAUGUUGACACUUUUGAAGGUGGUGGUGAUCAUGUUGUUGCUUCUUCUGGUAAUGGUGAUUUUAUUGGGUUUCAUGGUUCACAAAGUGAUGGUUCAAAUAGGUUGAAGAUGUGGGCAUUAAUUUUUUGAGAAAGGUGUUGACGAUGAUAAUGUUUCUUAUGAAGGCGGUGGUGAUCUUUUGAUGUUUAUGUAGUUUUUUUAGGUGUAAGCAUAGUAGUAGUGUUUUGUGAUGUAAUUCAGGUCAUGUAAUGUGAAACAUCCCUAAUGAACAUGAUGGUUAUUUAUGAUGGUUAUUAUUUGUACAUUUUUCCCAAACAUAUGUCAAUGACAUUAUAUGGUAGUGUACUUUACAAUGUAAAUUCAAUUAGCAACAUCAAGAUAAUGAAGUUUAAAAGAUUGUCUACUGUCAACCAAAGGUAAUAAUAGCUGAUAUUUUAUCAUUAGCCAACAAUAACAUCCCACAAAAUACAACGUAGUAUGACCAAAGUACCAACAUAAUUACACAAAGGGGUAAUAACAAUUAGAACCAAGGUUCCAAUUCUACCAAAUUUAUUGGACAUGAAUUGCAAACCUGUUACCAAGAGAUAUAUGUUCAAAAAGGGCAGACAAAAAACUAAAGCUCGUUUUAACCCUAUACUAUGAAACAUGUUGAUCCAAAAGAUAUAAGGAUAUGUGUUCAAAAAGGGCAUAUUUAAAUACUUAUGCCCAUUUUACCCCUAUAAUAUGCAUACAUGCUAAUCCAAACACAAUAUCUUGUCCUUCAUAUAAGGUCUCUUCUCAGAAAACGAAACAGGUUCACUCUUGCUUAGAUUUAUCUUUAUGAUUCUUUCAGAAGGUUUCCUCCUCUUCGACAGUGAAACAACCUUCUUCUUAUGUCUUUUCCUUCUAACAUGUAAGCAAACAGAUAUCAUGAUAUGAAUGACAAUAACAUAUAAAAAGGAACACAUAAAUUACAUACCUUUUGCAUGGUUAACUCAAUUUCAACUUGUGGACAUCUAGAUUAAACCAUGUCUCUUAUCAUGCCCUUAAACUCAUUUACCUCGGCCUCAUUCCCCUCAACCUGAAGGUCAUUCACCUCAACCCCAUUCCCUUCAGGCUCAAGCUCAUUCCCCUUAGCCUCAAGCUCAUUCACCUCAUCAACAAGCUCUUUCACCUCACCUUUAGUCUCAUUGACCUUAUCUGCAGUCUCAUUCACCACAACAUCACUUUCACCUCAACUUGAGUCAUCUUAUUAUCAACAUAAGGUGUAUCUAUUAAGAUUUCAUUAAUGAAUUCUUCACAAGUAAGGACANNNNNNNNNNNNNNNNNNNNNNNNAACUAGUUUUUUCCCUCCUCCCAAUGUUGUUGCUUUUCCCUCCCCUCAUUGCCUUCAUGUUUAUUCUUUUCUUAGGAGUAGGUUGCUUAGCCACAUUCUCGUGGUGAGCAGUUUGACUACCCACUUUAUCCCAUUUAUCUUGUACAUUUUGACAAGUUUUAGUUGAUACAUCAUCCCCCAGAUUUUAUGUAGUUGAAUUUCUUCCUGUUGAAGAUUGUUAGGAGUAGUGCUUAUCCAUUCACCAUCCAUCCUUGUUCCAUUCCUUUUAGGUGGGAAGUGGUCAAAAUAUGGUUGACUAACUCCAUCUUUCCUUGGUCUCCCAAGCUUCCUUGUUGGAAUAGGAUCUUUGGGAACUUCUUCAUUCUUGCAAUAAAUCUUGUUAUGCCCAAUUUGUUGGCAUUUUCCACAUCUGACAGUCCUAUGUAUCUUUGUCCUUUGAGUUGGAUAUUUAGAGUCGUGAGAUUCAGAAGCAUGCUUCAUUUUGUUUACUUUAGGUCUCCUAGACAUUCUCCUCACAAAGGGUGGUAGUGGCUUGAUGAAAUCAGUCCUUUGCCACAGAUUGCUUCCACCAACAGGCAAUAUAUUGUCCAUAUAUGUUGCAAUCAACUUGUCCUUAUGGAACCAGGGAGAAAGAAACUUAAGAGGAUCUUUGUGCACAUAGUUGAUUGCUGCCUGACCAUGAACACAUGGUAUUCCAAACAACAUCCACAUUUUCCAUAUGCAUGAAUGAGGAUGUAAAUCCACCCUAUACCCAUCAUAUGCAUACCUAGCCUCAAAUAAAUGACCUCCACUUGGUAUUACCUUACACAACCUACAAGAUAAAAAAGUUAGUUACCAAUUAUAUGUAAUAAUAUUAUAGCCAAUUAAAACAGUUAAUGUGUUAACAUUUUAUCUCAUAUCUUUCCCAAAUUCGGUAAGUUUUUCCAAGGUAUUUGGGCCAUAGUCACCUCUCCAUUGGUUAGGCAAAUCUCUUUGAUGAUAAACCCUUUCCAUUAGGUAAAUUCCGAUUUCCUCAAGCAUUGUAAGUAAAGGUUUCUUCCUCAUUUCCUUAUCAUAGAAUGGAAGCAUUCUGAAAUGCCAUUCUCUACAGCCUUACAUGCAAAUCCUAUUGGAAAGAAGUCCCUGCACCAAGUUUUUGGUUUCCUUGCCAUUAGAUAGGUAUAAGAUGAAAGUGUGAUGUUCUUGAUGUUCUCCAUUGUAGCUUUAAAGUCCCCUUCUAUUGUACUUUUAGCAGCCUCCCAAAACAUAUUCUUUAGUUCUAAUCAUGUGUAUCUUUUCCUAAAAUUUGCAAAUAUAUGUCUUGCACAUUAUAUGUGUUCAACAUGUGGAAGGAAUUGUGCCACAACCUGCAAUAGUCCCUGUAAUAUGAUAACAAAUUAAUAAGUAACACAUUUGUAUAAUUUUUUUUUAUUAAAAGCCAUAAUAUACAUACCUUGUGUUGGUAUGAAAUAACAACUAGCCCAUUACCACCACCAAGAUCCAAAUCAUCCACCAAUAACUCAAUGAACGAAGACCAAUUGUCUUUAUUCUCAAUUGUAACUACUGUCCAAGCUAUUGGAUAGACAUGAUUGUCUGCAUCUCUACCAGUAACAGUCAAUGGCUCACCCUUUCUUUGCCCCUUCAAGAAACAUUCAUCCAGUCAUAUCACUUUUAUGCGUCUUCUUUUCCAUCCAUCCUUGAAAGCCUUGAAGCAUACAUAAGACCUAUUGAAAUAGUUUAUUCCACCAGGAUUGACAUCUACCCCAACCUUGCACGUGCUCCCUGGAUUAGACCUGAGGAUUUCAUCUGCAUAGUCCCAAACCCUAGCAUAGCGUUCCUCUAACUUUCCUUCUAUCAUCUCCCUAGCCUGUGACCUUGCUCUUUGACAUUGCCCCUUAUAUACAUUCACUAAAAACCUCCUCAAAACAUCUUAUUUCAUCUCAUCCAAUGUCAUUUUAAGAUUCCUGAUGACAUCUUGCAAGUAGUGCUUGGCUAACCAGUUAGAAGUAACUAAGCUACCAAAUUUGUAAUUCCUAACACAAAGAUGAGUCUUAACAAUGGAUUUAAUUUGGAAUGUCCUUUCAUUAUACUUCCAAGCAGCUGCUACCCUAAAAGGACAUGGCUUUUUAUUACUAGAAUUGUUGCCACACCUAGCAAUUACCCUAAGUCUAUCACUCUUCUCAAAGUAAAUACCAUAACCAUUAUGGACUACAUGAUUUGUUAAUGCAAACCUAAGUUGAGCAGGGGACUCGUAACACUCACCCAAUUCAAGUCUCGUUUCGCUCCAAAGUUGGUUUGGAUCAUGGACCCUAAACUCUACACCAAUUUCUCCAUCAUUUGCCUCUGGUAUGUGGCCAUGCUCAACGUCAUUUACACCAGGUUGAUUAUUAUCAUCCCCGACCCGUCUAUACCCCUCUUUAACAUAUUUUCAUCACACAAAAGUUAAGAAAAUGGUCGUUACAGAGGUUGGAUGGUGGUUUGAAGGUUUCUUGUGAAAAAUCCAAGGAACUGAAGUAAAAAACAUCAUCAUCUGAGUCUGAGUCUUCAACGUAUACCUUCUCACGUCAUUUGCCUUUCUCAUCCUUAGUACCAGUUUUAGGUCGUUUGUCUUUGUGUUUCUUAGUACCAGAAACAGAGGUCAUCUGCUAAAUGUGCAAUAAAGAACUUGUUACUAAUAAUGACGUGAGGAAAAAACCCACAUACACUUCAAUUUCAUGUUCGAACCUACGUACCUUGCACAUGCAGUGUGCCUCAACAACAAUUUUCCGUGUGAAAAUGUUGAUUCUUCAGAAUCCCUUUUCAAACCCCUAUUCCCAAACUAAUUGUAUGCAUGAAAACCCUUUUCGAAUUCUAAAAGAUGAACAAGUAAGUAGAGAAAAAGUGAUGGAUGGGUGUUUCAAGGUAAGAGGUGACCGGCUGGGCACGUUACCGUUUGUUAACCGGCUAUUAGUCUUAAGUAGAUAGCUCAAUGACACAAAAAUGACCAUAAAGAACUAUAAAUUCCAAUAAAUAAUUUAUUAUUAUUAUUAUUAUUUUGACUAAAAUAUAAAUUGGAAAAUAACCCGGAUUUGGGGAUUACCGCUACUGUAUCAAGUUCCGGUGGCCGAACGAGCAGGGAUCACAGUUCAGCGUCGGAGCUGGAGCUAAUCGCAGAGAGCAGUGGCAUAUUAGACGAUUAACAGCGUGAGUUCUUCACACCAAACUGAAAGAAAAAAAUAAUAAUUCAAGUAUUCGUUAAAUUUCUGAAUUAGGGCUUGCAGCUGAACAAUCCAUCAACAAUCAAGACACGUAAGUUCUUUAUGUUCGUGGAUUUUCCGGCUUUUACCGAUUGCAUUGUUGUGAUCUACAUCUUUUCUUGUACAGAUUAUAAUCCCUAUGCGGUCUGAAGAUUAUUAGCUUUAAAAAUGGCUUUCGUUAAUGUGAUCAAUUGUUGCCUCGAUUCCAUCAGAGAAGUAAGUUCUCUUGGCCUUCAAUAGUCGCUCCCUUCUAUCUUUAUCCGCAUAUAUUUCGUUAAUAUGAUCAAUAAUGAACCAGUUAUCUUCUUACUAUUUUCUUACUAGCCCAUCUGUUUUCUCACUGUAAUAUCAUUAUUCCUGUGCUACCAAAGUUUCUCUCAUUGGGCCUAAUGCCGAUGUCUCAAGACUCAAACAGUAUUCCCAUGUAGAAUUUUCUGAAAUGCUUUUGGAAUUGUGUUUGCUAUUAUAACUGCACACUAGGCUAAAGAUGUUACAGAUAAUAUGAUUGUAAUGAAUAUAUCCAUUCUGCAAAGCGUAAUUAAAGAAUUAUAUUGCUCAAAGUUUUCCAUCUUUUCUAAAUAUCUUGUUUGUGAUUUCUUUCUUGUGCUGUUCAGUUAUCUGAGGAACUUAAAGGUGCAGUAGUUUAUUUGGAUGCGGGAUGUACAGAAAGUUUCAAGUUUCUUGGGGCAUUCUCUGUUCUAUUAGAGAUGGGUGUACUUUCUGUUUGCAGCUUGGAGAGCAUGUCUUCUCUUGACAUGGUAAGUAUGAUUUGUCUUAUAUUUCACAUUGUAAGAAAUCAACACUUCAUUAUAUUCUAGUGUUAAAUACAAGAAAUAGCAACUUUCAUUGUACUAUAAACAAUCUAUUCUAUCCAAUUACAGUAAUGCCAUCCAAAUACAUAGCAAUUUGAAAGUUAAUUACUAUAAUUGAGUAAUAAGAAAACAAGUUAAAAUGAAGUGGGGACUAUGAUUAGUUUCACUCUUAUCAUGCUUUCUUUUCCUUCUCUUUCUUCAUUAUGGUAAAUACUUUUGGACAUCAAGAAUAAUUCCAUGACUCUUUUUGCUUUCUGUUUUUUAGGCAAUUGAUUGGAAUCAGAAGAAUGAUGACCUCACAAAAGUAGUAUUCUUCACUUGUCGCCUUCUAAGUGAUGCACAUCGAUACAUUUUACGUUGUCUAACAACACUUCAACAUGUUUCCCAGUGCACUAUAUACAUAUCUAUCUCAGAGGUGCUAUUCUGUCAUUACACCUUUCCUUGCUAUUGUAAUUAUUUGAACUUAUUGAUGCUUUGCUUUGAUAUAUCUUUGAUAAAGACGUGAAUGCCCUCCUCACCAGAAUUCCAUCCAACUAAGCAAACCCUUAAGUUUCUUUCUUCAAUGAUCCGAAAUAUUAGAUUAUUCACAACUUUUGAUAACUUCACCUGAUCAUCAUCCUUUCUGAUUUUAUUUCUUAUUCUUGAAUGGACUUCAAUUUCAAUUUUUUCUCUUGCUAUUGCAGACAGGUCACUCGGCUUACCCUGAUUCACCUUUAGGACCAGAUGCUUAUCAUGAAUAUCAAAUCUUACUUGUCCAAGAUUACGAGGAACUGAAGAAGAAAAACAAUCAAAACUCUAUACACAAAAAUGGCAACAAACCUAAGGAGAAUCCCAUCUUUGAAGAUGAAGGGUGGUUGCAGCUUACCCCUCGUGAAUCUGAUACCCCUAAAUCCCAACCUUUUUCCACUUCUAAAGAUACUUAUGAUGGAGGACCUAAAUUGAUGGCUUAUGUUCAUCACUUCCCUUUGAUUCUAUGCCCCUUUUCACCAAAGUUCUUUGUGCUUCCAUCUGAAGGGUCAAUUUCUGAGGCAUAUUUAUCAGGUGAUCAAGAGAAUUCGAUUAGUUCCGGGUUGCCUCCUUUAAGUACUGGGACAUUUCAUGAUGGUGAGGAUAUACCUCCUGGGGUUGCUCUUACUGCUCAAUUUCUGUAUCAUUUGACAACAAAGGUAAUGAGUAUAUUAUAAAUUUCAUCAUCAUGAUUCAUGACCUUAUCAUUUGUUUCUAAAAUCUGUAGAUGGACCUAAAACUGGAAAUCUUUUCGCUUGGUGAUUUAUCAAGAAGUGUAGGGAAGCUUAUAACUGACAUGUCUAGUCUUUACGAUGUUGGGCGUCGUAAAAAACCCGCAGGGUUAUUACUCAUUGACCGAACAGUUGACCUUCUUACCCCUUGUUGCCAUGGAGACACCCUCAUUGACCGAAUAUUUUCAUCCAUCCCACGUAGGACCCGCACACCCUCCGGUCCAAAGGGUACCCGUUCCCGACCCACAAACCUACUCCGCUCCCCUCUCGAUCUUCAAAUACCACUAACUGAAAUCCUUCAAGAAAUCCCACCGAAAGACCUUCAUCUUCUACAAACAAUCGAACCUUUUUUACAGGGUUGGAGUAAUACCAAUCAACUUUCCGGGAAUCUUUGUUCUUCAGAAAUCGAGUUGCUUUCCGGGUCUUUAAUCUCAACCGAAAAUUUCAAUGGGACACCGUUUCUUGAAUCGAUUCUUGAUAAAAGAACAAAAGAAGGGACCACAUUAAUCAAGAAAUGGCUUCAGGAAACAAUCCGUAAAGAAAAGAUCUCUGUAAACACAAAAAUUCCACCGGGAUUCGAACGUUUGAUUAAAUCUUUAUCCAAAAACGAAUCGACUUUCACUCGAAAUAAAGGGAUUAUCCAGCUGGCGGCCGCCACGUCACACGCGAUGACCGAAAAAAACCGCGCCAAAUGGGAUUCCUUUAUUAGCGCGGAAAAAAUCCUCGCGAUAAACGCCACUGACACCACCCAAAACCUUUCAUCACAGAUGUGCGAUAUAAUCAACAAAAGUUUGACCCGAGAACCCGAAUCUUUAAUUUCAAUUGAAGACGCGUUGUUGUUGACAAUAACUGGAUAUAUUUUGGCUGGUGAAAAUUUCCCGACUUCGAGUUCAACAGGCCCGUUUUCUUGGCAAGAAGAACAUUUUUUAAAAGAAGCUAUAGUGGAUGCGAUUCUUGAGAAUCCUGAACUUGGAAAAUUUAAGUUUCUUGAUGGGUUAUAUGAUGAUCUUGAAGCUAAUUUGAAAAAGAAAAGAGAUGGGGGAGUGGCUAAAGAUGAUUUUGAAGAUGAUCAAUGGGGUAGUUGGGAUGAAGAAGAUGGUGGUGAUAAUAAUAAUAAUAAUACGAGUAAUGAGAAUGCUUAUAGUGAUAUGCAGUUGAAAUUGGAGUUACGGGAUCGGGUCGAUAAUCUUUUUAAAUUUUUUCAUAAAUUAACGAAUUUGAAGGGUGGGAAGGGAAGGGUAAAUUGGGAAAGUGAUAAUGAUCCGUAUUCGAGAAAGGGAUUAUUGUAUAAACUUGUGACAAGAAUACUGAGAAAAGAUGAUGUACCCGGUUUGGAGUAUCAUUCGUCUACUGUUGGUCGGCUUUUUAAAACCGGUUUUGGAAGGUUUGGUCUUGGACAGGUAUGCCAAUGCUCCUACUUAGUUUAAUGGAAUUGGUCAUUCCAUUCCAAUGAAAAGAAGCUGAUGGAAUUGGAAUGUAAUUGUGCAGGCAAAACCAAGUCUCUCUGAUCAAAAUGUUAUACUGGUUUUUGUUGUGGGAGGCAUGAAUGCCAUUGAGGUUUGUAUUCAACUCUAUUUUUGAUCUCUUUUUGUGUAUUUUUGAUAAUGUAACUAACAAGAUUCUUGUUGUGUUGUGUAUGGAUUAUGGAAGGUGCUUGAAGUUCAGGAGGCUUUAUUGGAAAGUGGGCGAUUGGAUAUAGAAGUGGUUCUUGGUGGAACAACUUUUCUCACUCCUACAAACAUGCUUGAUUUACUUUUAGGUGACUCUAGUUACAUUUGAUGUAAUAUAUUAUCACAACAUUUUUGUCAUCUUUUGUUAAAGUAAUAAAUCUAAUAUACAAAUAUAAAAACGGUAUUUCCAAGUUUUGUGAUGUGCAUGAUGCUUUAAACGAAUUGGCUUGGUAGUUUCAGUUUGUUAUUGCUGAUUGGACUGGACUGAACAUGUUUGCUAGGGCUAUUUUCGAGUAUGUAUGAGAGGGUAUUUAUGUCUUUUACAAAUCAUAUAUCUUAUCGGUAUUUGUGUAAAUUUCAAUUACUUAAAAUGCUGGUGACACCUAAAGUGUUUUUUUAUCUAAUGAUCGCACGACUUGUAUAUGUUUCCCAUAUUUCCUUCAAACUUCCCAUUAUGAUUUAACAUAUGAUAUUUUGGUUUUUGACCCAGUUCAAUGUUAUAUCUUCUAAAUCAUUAUAUCAAGAUCAUAAAAGUUGAAGAUGUUUUUGUGCAUAAGUUAGUAAAGUGAUUUUCAAUCGAAUGGGCGUCAUGGUGGAUUAUUCUGUGUAUUGAAUCAUAUAAUUUUCAAUAAAAAGUUGUAAUUACAAACAUAUUUUUUAUUCUUGUUUCGGGUACUUUGUCAGACAUAGAUGAUACUAUGAACAUGGUCAAUGUAUAUGCUCCUGUGGACUCUGAUUAUAGAACUAAUAUGUAGGUUUAGUUGCCUUAAUUAAAAAUGUAUAGAGGUGAAAUUUGAAUUUCAUGGGGAAUUUCAAUGAAGUAAUGUGCAAGGAGGAUAGAUUUUUAUCCAUAGUUUGGUGAUAUAGUUGAAAAAUUGGGAUUAGUGCAUAUUGUUUGGUAAUAAAAAGCCGGUGCUUUUUCAUAAAUUCAAAGUUGUCAAAAAAGUUGUUUGAGCAUAAAGAUAUAAGAGGUGCAGCUAUUUGGAAUUGAAGGAGAUAAUACUAGGAAUACAAUACAGGUUGAUUCGAAUGAUUUGGAAUUAGGUAAUGGGGAUAAAUCAAAUACUCAACUUGUGGGCAGUGAUACGUGCAUGGACAUGGGACCCUCUAACUAUGUACCACCUGGUUGGUUUGGUCCAUUCCCGUCCGCGGCUCCAAAUCAAAUUCCUAAUGCCAGUGACAUGAAUAUUGACCUGGCCCAGGUACAUGACAGAACCUCACGAAAAAGGAGAAGAUCUAGAUCACUAGAAUCCACAGAGGUCUCAAAUCACAACUCCUUAGACCUUAACAGUGAACCACCCCCUGCACACUCCUUUGUUGACCCAGAUGGUGAUGAACCCUCCGAUUUUCAGAACCUUAGUGAAAUUGAAAAGACUUGCUUGAUUGGAAGAGAAAUUGGGUUCGAGGUCGAUAAGGAUAACCCCAUUCUAGAAGAGAUUUUGGGCGAGUCAGGUGAGUUAAACGUUAUCCAAUGAACAUUAUGACUUUAAAUGUUCGCGGGUUGGGGGAAGAUCGUAAAGCGGCGUGAGUUAGCAUAUUGGUCAGAUCAUACAAACUCUCGUUCAUUGGUAUUCAAGAGACUCAACUUGCGGAUGCAGACAAUAUAAACGUGGCUAAUUGCUGGGGUUCUGACCAAUGGGAUGCAUACAAAGUUCACGCAACUGGGAGAUCUGGAGGCUUAAUUAACAUUUGGGAUCCUCUUGUAUUCACCUCAAUUGAUGUUAUCAAAUCUCGAUAUUGUCUGAUCAAUAUUGGUAAUUGGGUUGGAAUUGAUAAACCUGUCAUUCUUGCCAACAUAUACGGACCUCAGGCGAUCCCGAAAAAGGAGAAACCGUGGGUUGAUCUUCUAAACCUCAUGGAACGGAGAAAAGGAAUAUGGUUAAUUUUAGGAGACUUUAAUGCAGUUAGAAGAGCUGAGGAAAGGUUUAAUUCAAACUUAUGUGCACGCACUGCAAUGGGAUUCAACAGAUUCAUACAUGAUGGGGGUUUGCACGAUCUAAAAAUGGGCGGACAUAGGUUUACGUAUUUUUGUCACGACGACCUAAAACUAAGUAAGCUCGACAGAUUCUUGGUGUGCUCUGAUUUCUUAUCCAUUUUUCCCAAUGUUGUGGUCACAGCCCUUCCUAGAGAGACUUCUGAUCAUUGUCCAAUUCUUUUAUCGACUACAUCACUUGACUUUGGCCCAACUCCAUUCCGCUUUUUUAACUCAUGGACGGAUAGGGAUGACUUUCCGAAUAUUGUGGCGAGUGCACGGCUCCAUUUCCAAGGUUUUGACACUACAGACUGUAUGUUGGCUGCUAAACUUAAACAUCUAAAGAAUAAAAUUAAGGAAUGGAGGGCUACAGAUCAUCCAAAGGAGGUUGAAGAACUUAAAUCGCUGAAGUCUAAGAUGGUGGCUUUAGACCUCAUAGCAGAAUCCAGAGCUCUCACGACACCAGAAAAAGCAGACAGGAGAGACGGUUUCAAGAAAAUAAUUGAACUGGAAAGAUUUACUAGCCUCGAUCUUAAGCAGAAGUCUAGAAUCCGUUGGGCCACUGAUGGUGAUGAAAACUCGAGGUUCUUCCAUGGGUGGGUAAACAAUAGGAUCAGAAAGAAUAAUAUCAUGGGGAUCAUGAUCAAUGGGACACGGAGCACAAAUCCAAUUGAAAUUAAAGUUGAAGCGCACCGAUUUUUCCAAAAUAAGUUUAAAUGAAAAAUGGCCAGACAAACCCAAGUUUUCAAAUCCCUUGUUUUCACGUAUCUCUUAGGCUGUCAGGAACUACUAAGAAGAACCCAUUCCUUUGGGCGAAAUCAAGGAUGCAGUAUGGGCGUGUGGUAGUGAAAAGGCUUCGGUCCCUGAUGGGUUUAUGUUUAAAUUUAUCAAGGCAUAUUGGGAUAUUAUGUUUGGGGAAAUCGCCCUUUUUGUCAAAUAUUUUGAAAGAUUUGGAAGGCUCGAUUCUUCUUGCAACUCUUCUUUUAUCUCUCUGAUUCCAAAUGUUGGGUUUUGAGCAUUCUAACACUCCUAGGUGUACAUGCAACCCUAAAUACCUUGGAUCUAUGUUUUCUCUAUUAUACAUGCAAAUAAGAACUUCCAAGGUAUAAUCCUAAUCUAGCAUACAAAACAAUGAGUGUAACAAGAUAGAAUACAUACCUCUUUGAUGUAGAAAGUCUUCAUGAAGCUUGAGUGCCUAGCCCCAAUAGUGUGGAAGCCUCAAAUGGAAUCACAAUCACCAAAACACUUAGAAUAACUUGAGAGAAUUCUACAACUCAUGAAAUCGGCUAGCCCUUUCACUUCACACACUAGUGGCCGAUUUUGGUCAAGAAUAAGAUGCUUAUAUAGUUAGGGUUACACCAUGUAAACCCUAAUUGACAUGGCCUUUCAUUUCCAUGAUCCAUGGGUACAAAUACACCAUGGAGCAUCCAUGAACCAUCCUAUGGGUUUUAGCGCAACUUGAUUAUCCAUGGAGCAUUAGCCCACUAUAUAAGUAUGGAUGAUUUACACAAUCAACCCAUAUAUUUAAUUAGUCUUCUUUUGAUCACUUAAUUAAUCCUAGAUUAAUUCUUGAUCAAUACUAAUUAAAUAAUCUUAUUAUUCUUAUUAUUAAUAUACUAGAACUUAUAAUAUAUUAAUAACCAUAAGUGUCUUAUUUCUCUCAUUAUAGUCUAUCUAAGUGCAUGAUGGUAUGCAACCCAAAUGGACCAUGCCGGGUCGGGUCAAGUCUUACCAAUUAUAGUUAUGGACUUAGACAUUAAUCCAACAACAAAGACCAAAGAUCCAUUGCUUUUCAGUGAUUUUCGACCAAUCAGCUUGAUUGGUUGUUUGUACAAAAUCAUCUCUACUAUACUGGCAUCUCGCCUCAAAAGGGUUAUUGGGAAUUGUAUUUAUGAAGUACAAUCGGCAUAUGUGGAAGGCAGGUAUAUACUAGCCCUUUAAUUGUGAAUGAAGUAUGUACCUGGGCAAAAAAGGUCAAGAAAAAGAUUUUGCUCUUCAAGGCUGACUUUGACAAAGCUUUUGACUCAGUAAAUUGGGAAUAUUUAGACUUGAUACUCAUUCAAAUGGGAUUUGGAGAGAAGUGGAGGUUGUGGAUCAGGGGGUGUAUAAAGUCGGCUAGAGCAUCCGUGCUUGUCAACGGUGUUCCAACCAAGGAGUUCUCAAUGGAAAGGUGGGUGAGGCAAGGAGACCCCCUCUCACCAUUUCUCUUUGUCAUUGCCAUGGAAGGACUUAAUGUGGCGUUGAAGACAACUUGUAUCAAAGGUAUCUUUAAGGGAGUUCAACCUCCCAAUAAUGGACCGGUGAUAUCUCAUUUGUUGUACGCGGAUGAUGCACUCUUUUUAGGCGAAUGGUCGAAGAGAAACAUUCAAAACCUUGCCUGAAUUUUGAGGUGCUUUCAUGUCUCAUCCGGCUUGAAAGUAAAUUUCAACAAAUCCAAAGUUUUUGGAAUCGGUUCCUCAACAUCAGAAGCUUCCCAUUGGGCCUCCUCUUUAGGACGUGAACCUUCAUGCCUACCUUUCACUUAUCUAGGGGUACCCGUUGGAGCGAAUAUGAAUCUGAAAAAAAAAUUGGAAGCUAAUUAUUGAUAAGUUCCCGUCUAAGCUUACGUCCUGGAAAUCCAAAAACCUUUUGUUUGUGGGGAGGCUCACUCUUAUCACAUUUGUCUUAGGUAAUUNNNNNNNNNNNNNNNNNNNNNNNNNNNNNNNNNNNNNNNNNNNNNNNNNNNNNNNNNNNNNNNNNNNNNNNNNNNNNNNNNNNNNNNNNNNNNNNNNNNNNNNNNNNNNNNNNNNNNNNNNNNNNNNNNNNNNNNNNNNNNNNNNNNNNNNNNNNNNNNNNNNNNNNNNNNNNNNNNNNNNNNNNNNNNNNNNNNNNNNNNNNNNNNNNNNNNNNNNNNNNNNNNNNNNNNNNNNNNNNNNNNNNNNNNNNNNNNNNNNNNNNNNNNNNNNNNNNNNNNNNNNNNNNNNNNNNNNNNNNNNNNNNNNNNNNNNNNNNNNNNNNNNNNNNNNNNNNNNNNNNNNNNNNNNNNNNNNNNNNNNNNNNNNNNNNNNNNNNNNNNNNNNNNNNNNNNNNNNNNNNNNNNNNNNNNNNNNNNNNNNNNNNNNNNNNNNNNNNNNNNNNNNNNNNNNNNNNNNNNNNNNNNNNNNNNNNNNNNNNNNNNNNNNNNNNNNNNNNNNNNNNNNNNNNNNNNNNNNNNNNNNNNNNNNNNNNNNNNNNNNNNNNNNNNNNNNNNNNNNNNNNNNNNNNNNNNNNNNNNNNNNNNNNNNNNNNNNNNNNNNNNNNNNNNNNNNNNNNNNNNNNNNNNNNNNNNNNNNNNNNNNNNNNNNNNNNNNNNNNNNNNNNNNNNNNNNNNNNNNNNNNNNNNNNNNNNNNNNNNNNNNNNNNNNNNNNNNNNNNNNNNNNNNNNNNNNNNNNNNNNNNNNNNNNNNNNNNNNNNNNNNNNNNNNNNNNNNNNNNNNNNNNNNNNNNNNNNNNNNNNNNNNNNNNNNNNNNNNNNNNNNNNNNNNNNNNNNNNNNNNNNNNNNNNNNNNNNNNNNNNNNNNNNNNNNNNNNNNNNNNNNNNNNNNNNNNNNNNNNNNNNNNNNNNNNNNNNNNNNNNNNNNNNNNNNNNNNNNNNNNNNNNNNNNNNNNNNNNNNNNNNNNNNNNNNNNNNNNNNNNNNNNNNNNNNNNNNNNNNNNNNNNNNNNNNNNNNNNNNNNNNNNNNNNNNNNNNNNNNNNNNNNNNNNNNNNNNNNNNNNNNNNNNNNNNNNNNNNNNNNNNNNNNNNNNNNNNNNNNNNNNNNNNNNNNNNNNNNNNNNNNNNNNNNNNNNNNNNNNNNNNNNNNNNNNNNNNNNNNNNNNNNNNNNNNNNNNNNNNNNNNNNNNNNNNNNNNNNNNNNNNNNNNNNNNNNNNNNNNNNNNNNNNNNNNNNNNNNNNNNNNNNNNNNNNNNNNNNNNNNNNNNNNNNNNNNNNNNNNNNNNNNNNNNNNNNNNNNNNNNNNNNNNNNNNNNNNNNNNNNNNNNNNNNNNNNNNNNNNNNNNNNNNNNNNNNNNNNNNNNNNNNNNNNNNNNNNNNNNNNNNNNNNNNNNNNNNNNNNNNNNNNNNNNNNNNNNNNNNNNNNNNNNNNNNNNNNNNNNNNNNNNNNNNNNNNNNNNNNNNNNNNNNNNNNNNNNNNNNNNNNNNNNNNNNNNNNNNNNNNNNNNNNNNNNNNNNNNNNNNNNNNNNNNNNNNNNNNNNNNNNNNNNNNNNNNNNNNNNNNNNNNNNNNNNNNNNNNNNNNNNNNNNNNNNNNNNNNNNNNNNNNNNNNNNNNNNNNNNNNNNNNNNNNNNNNNNNNNNNNNNNNNNNNNNNNNNNNNNNNNNNNNNNNNNNNNNNNNNNNNNNNNNNNNNNNNNNNNNNNNNNNNNNNNNNNNNNNNNNNNNNNNNNNNNNNNNNNNNNNNNNNNNNNNNNNNNNNNNNNNNNNNNNNNNNNNNNNNNNNNNNNNNNNNNNNNNNNNNNNNNNNNNNNNNNNNNNNNNNNNNNNNNNNNNNNNNNNNNNNNNNNNNNNNNNNNNNNNNNNNNNNNNNNNNNNNNNNNNNNNNNNNNNNNNNNNNNNNNNNNNNNNNNNNNNNNNNNNNNNNNNNNNNNNNNNNNNNNNNNNNNNNNNNNNNNNNNNNNNNNNNNNNNNNNNNNNNNNNNNNNNNNNNNNNNNNNNNNNNNNNNNNNNNNNNNNNNNNNNNNNNNNNNNNNNNNNNNNNNNNNNNNNNNNNNNNNNNNNNNNNNNNNNNNNNNNNNNNNNNNNNNNNNNNNNNNNNNNNNNNNNNNNNNNNNNNNNNNNNNNNNNNNNNNNNNNNNNNNNNNNNNNNNNNNNNNNNNNNNNNNNNNNNNNNNNNNNNNNNNNNNNNNNNNNNNNNNNNNNNNNNNNNNNNNNNNNNNNNNNNNNNNNNNNNNNNNNNNNNNNNNNNNNNNNNNNNNNNNNNNNNNNNNNNNNNNNNNNNNNNNNNNNNNNNNNNNNNNNNNNNNNNNNNNNNNNNNNNNNNNNNNNNNNNNNNNNNNNNNNNNNNNNNNNNNNNNNNNNNNNNNNNNNNNNNNNNNNNNNNNNNNNNNNNNNNNNNNNNNNNNNNNNNNNNNNNNNNNNNNNNNNNNNNNNNNNNNNNNNNNNNNNNNNNNNNNNNNNNNNNNNNNNNNNNNNNNNNNNNNNNNNNNNNNNNNNNNNNNNNNNNNNNNNNNNNNNNNNNNNNNNNNNNNNNNNNNNNNNNNNNNNNNNNNNNNNNNNNNNNNNNNNNNNNNNNNNNNNNNNNNNNNNNNNNNNNNNNNNNNNNNNNNNNNNNNNNNNNNNNNNNNNNNNNNNNNNNNNNNNNNNNNNNNNNNNNNNNNNNNNNNNNNNNNNNNNNNNNNNNNNNNNNNNNNNNNNNNNNNNNNNNNNNNNNNNNNNNNNNNNNNNNNNNNNNNNNNNNNNNNNNNNNNNNNNNNNNNNNNNNNNNNNNNNNNNNNNNNNNNNNNNNNNNNNNNNNNNNNNNNNNNNNNNNNNNNNNNNNNNNNNNNNNNNNNNNNNNNNNNNNNNNNNNNNNNNNNNNNNNNNNNNNNNNNNNNNNNNNNNNNNNNNNNNNNNNNNNNNNNNNNNNNNNNNNNNNNNNNNNNNNNNNNNNNNNNNNNNNNNNNNNNNNNNNNNNNNNNNNNNNNNNNNNNNNNNNNNNNNNNNNNNNNNNNNNNNNNNNNNNNNNNNNNNNNNNNNNNNNNNNNNNNNNNNNNNNNNNNNNNNNNNNNNNNNNNNNNNNNNNNNNNNNNNNNNNNNNNNNNNNNNNNNNNNNNNNNNNNNNNNNNNNNNNNNNNNNNNNNNNNNNNNNNNNNNNNNNNNNNNNNNNNNNNNNNNNNNNNNNNNNNNNNNNNNNNNNNNNNNNNNNNNNNNNNNNNNNNNNNNNNNNNNNNNNNNNNNNNNNNNNNNNNNNNNNNNNNNNNNNNNNNNNNNNNNNNNNNNNNNNNNNNNNNNNNNNNNNNNNNNNNNNNNNNNNNNNNNNNNNNNNNNNNNNNNNNNNNNNNNNNNNNNNNNNNNNNNNNNNNNNNNNNNNNNNNNNNNNNNNNNNNNNNNNNNNNNNNNNNNNNNNNNNNNNNNNNNNNNNNNNNNNNNNNNNNNNNNNNNNNNNNNNNNNNNNNNNNNNNNNNNNNNNNNNNNNNNNNNNNNNNNNNNNNNNNNNNNNNNNNNNNNNNNNNNNNNNNNNNNNNNNNNNNNNNNNNNNNNNNNNNNNNNNNNNNNNNNNNNNNNNNNNNNNNNNNNNNNNNNNNNNNNNNNNNNNNNNNNNNNNNNNNNNNNNNNNNNNNNNNNNNNNNNNNNNNNNNNNNNNNNNNNNNNNNNNNNNNNNNNNNNNNNNNNNNNNNNNNNNNNNNNNNNNNNNNNNNNNNNNNNNNNNNNNNNNNNNNNNNNNNNNNNNNNNNNNNNNNNNNNNNNNNNNNNNNNNNNNNNNNNNNNNNNNNNNNNNNNNNNNNNNNNNNNNNNNNNNNNNNNNNNNNNNNNNNNNNNNNNNNNNNNNNNNNNNNNNNNNNNNNNNNNNNNNNNNNNNNNNNNNNNNNNNNNNNNNNNNNNNNNNNNNNNNNNNNNNNNNNNNNNNNNNNNNNNNNNNNNNNNNNNNNNNNNNNNNNNNNNNNNNNNNNNNNNNNNNNNNNNNNNNNNNNNNNNNNNNNNNNNNNNNNNNNNNNNNNNNNNNNNNNNNNNNNNNNNNNNNNNNNNNNNNNNNNNNNNNNNNNNNNNNNNNNNNNNNNNNNNNNNNNNNNNNNNNNNNNNNNNNNNNNNNNNNNNNNNNNNNNNNNNNNNNNNNNNGUAUAACAAGAAAACAAGCCUAGGCUCUGAUACCACUGUUGGGUUUUGAGCAUUCUAACACUCCUAGGUGUACAUGCAACCCUAAAUACCUUGGAUCUAUGUUUUCUCUAUUAUACAUGCAAAUAAGAACUUCCAAGGUAUAAUCCUAAUCUAGCAUACAAAACAAUGAGUGUAACAAGAUAGAAGAAAGUCUUCAUGAAGCUUGAGUGCCUAGCCCCAAUAGUGUGGAAGCCUCAAAUGGAAUCACAAUCACCAAAACACUUAGAAUAACUUGAGAGAAUUCUACAACUCAUGAAAUCGGCUAGCCCUUUCACUUCACACACUAGUGGCCGAUUUUGGUCAAGAAUAAGAUGCUUAUAUAGUUAGGGUUACACCAUGUAAACCCUAAUUGACAUGGCCUUUCAUUUCCAUGAUCCAUGGGUACAAAUACACCAUGGAGCAUCCAUGAACCAUCCUAUGGGUUUUAGCCCAACUUGAUUAUCCAUGGAGCAUUAGCCCACUAUACAAGUAUGGAUGAUUUACACAAUCAACCCAUAUAUUUAAUUAGUCUUCUUUUGAUCACUUAAUUAAUCCUAGAUUAAUUCUUGAUCAAUACUAAUUAAAUAAUCUUAUUAUUCUUAUUAUUAAUAUACUAGAACUUAUAAUAUAUUAAUAACCAUAAGUGUCUUAUUUCUCUCAUUAUAGUCUAUCUAAGUGCAUGAUGGUAUGCAACCCAAAUGGACCAUGCCGGGUCGGGUCAAGUCUUACCAAUUAUAGUUAUGGACUUAGACAUUAAUCCAACAGCAAAGACCAAAGAUCCAUUGUUUUUCAGUGAUUUUCGACCAAUCAGCUUGAUUGGUUGUUUGUACAAAAUCAUCUCUACUAUACUGGCAUCUCGCCUCAAAAGGGUUAUUAGGAAUUGUAUUUAUGAAGUACAAUCGGCAUAUGUGGAAGGCAGGUAUAUACUAGCCCUUUAAUUGUGAAUGAAGUAUGUACCUGGGCAAAAAAGGUCAAGAAAAAGAUUUUGCUCUUCAAGGCUGACUUUGACAAAGCUUUUGACUCAGUAAAUUGAGAAUAUUUAGACUUGAUACUCAUUCAAAUGGGAUUUGGAGAGAAGUGGAGGUUAUGGAUCAGGGGGUGUAUAAAGUCGGCUAGAGCAUCCGUGCUUGUCAACGGUGUUCCAACCAAGGAGUUCUCAAUGGAAAGGUGGGUGAGGCAAGGAGACCCCCUCUCACCAUUUCUCUUUGUCAUUGCCAUGGAAGGACUUAAUGUGGCGUUGAAGAUAACUUGUAUCAAAGGUAUCUUUAAGGGAGUUCAACUUCCCAAUAAUGGACCGGUGAUAUCUCAUUUGUUGUACGCGGAUGAUGCACUCUUUUUAGGCGAAUGGUCGAAGAGAAACAUUCAAAACCUUGCCUGAAUUUUGAGGUGCUUUCAUGUCUCAUCCGGCUUGAAAGUAAAUUUCAACAAAUCCAAAGUUUUUGGAAUCGGUUCCUCAACAUCAGAAGCUUCCCAUUGGGCCUCCUCUUUAGGACGUGAACCUUCAUGCCUACCUUUCACUUAUCUAGGGGUACCCGUUGGAGCGAAUAUGAAUCUGAAAAAAAAAAUUGGAAGCUAAUUAUUGAUAAGUUCCCGUCUAAGCUUACGUCCUGGAAAUCCAAAAACCUUUUGUUUGUGGGGAGGCUCACUCUUAUCACAUUUGUCUUAGGUAAUUUGCCUACAUAUUAUCUCUCCUCUUUGCUGCUCCUACGGGAAUACUUAAACAACUGGAAAAAAUUAGGAGGGCCUUCCUUUGGGGUGGUUCAAAUGACACUUCAAAAAUCUGUUGGGUCUCUUGGGAUAAGAUUGCAACAGCAAAGCACAAUGGGGGUCUAGGUAUGGGAUCAGUCAGGGCUCUAAACAUAGCACUGAUGGUAAAAUGGUGGUGGCGAUUAAGAUCAGAUCCAUCUCUGCUUUGGUGUAGAGUAGUGUCAUGCAUACAUAACCUCCAAUCCAAACCUGAUGAUCAUUAUGCGGAUAAUAGAAUUGCAGGUGUAUGGAAAAACAUAGCAGGGGCAAAAAAGGAAUUUGUGAGAGUUGGAAUUCCUGUUUCCGAUGUAAUCUCAAAAUCUGUNGGGGGGGGGGGUCAUGGAGUGGAGGUGUAGAAUUGCGCCUGACGGGCUUUACUCGGUACAUUGUUUGAGGAGCAGAAUUGACCAAAGUAUCCCAACCAACAUUUCGAAAAUGGACUGGUUAAAAGAGGUUCCACCAAAAGUUUUAUGUUUUAUGUGGAGGGCAAAACUAGGCAGAUUUCCAUCGGUUGUGGCGCUUCAAAAAAUGGGAGUUUGGUUGGACUCCAUAGAUUGUACAUACUGUAAUCAUGAUGAGGAAUGUGGGGAUCACAUACUGAUUAAAUGUCCAUUUUCAAGAGAGGUGUGGGAAUGGAUCCUCAAAUGGUGUGGUAUAAAUCACACGCCAUUUCACACAAUUGUGGAGGUUAUUGACUUCGCUGCUGGAUGGGGAAAUUGUCCCAAGAAAAGGCGCAUUCUUCAGGUUAUCUGCUAUGGAACCUUGUGGAGCAUUUGGAAGGCGAGGAAUGAUCGACUCUUUAAUAACCGGCGAACAUCACAAGCGAAGAUAGCAGACCUGAUAAAAUCUCUUGUUUUCACUUGGAUUAAUUUUCGGGGAACUUAUGGUAGGACCUUGAAUUGGAGCGAAUGGUGCUCAGUUCCGUUGUUAUGUAUUUAAGCUUUCUUUCUUGUACUUCUUAACUUUGUACUACCCUGUCUCUAGCUACUUGCUAGAGGCGGUUUCUUUAUUUAUAUAUAUGUUUGCCGGUUCAAAAAAAAAGAGCAUAGAGAUAUGAUUGUAAAAGUAGUGAGAUGUUAAUGAGAGGAAAAAGAAAGAAAGCGGAUGAUGGUUGAAAUGAAGCCCUUAUCGACAAUAAUGGAAGAAAAGGCUUAUGGAUAUUGAAUCCAUGAAUUAGAUAUUAAACAAAAGUAAGGAUUCGAUGGGAUAUAGAGGGAGAAGAAAACACUUGAUUUUUUUCACUGUGUUAUAAAUGGGAAUUAAAAAGAUGUAGAAUACAUGGUUUGACUAUUGUUGUGGUACUUGGGUUACUGAUCCGAUCAAAAUCAAGGAGGUAAUUUGGAACUUUUUCUCUUUGAUGAACGCAAAUUUCGAAAGGCCAAAGCUAAUAAAUCUUCGCUUUCGUAUAAUCUCAGAGGAAGAUGAGAUUUUUCUUGAAAAAUCAUUCUCUCAAAAAGAUAUUAAGAAGGGCGAUUGGUGUUGUUGUGACAAAAAAAACACCACGUCUGGAUGAGUUCAUUUUUAAAUUUAAAAAAAAAAUUAGGAGCCUGUAAAAGUCAAUUUCUUUGCAUUUUUUUAAAGAAUUUGAGCUCAUGGGUAAGUUAAAUAAUGGGUGUAAUGCCGCCUUUAUUAUGUUAAUUCCUAAAAUUCUUGACCCCUCGACUUUAAAGGAUUAUAGACAUGUGAAUUUAAUCGGAUGUUUGUAUAAAAUUAUCUUAAAAGUUAGUUAAUUUUUUUUCUAAGAGGUAAUUUUUAUAAAAAUAAAACAACUAGCAAGAAGCUAGAAAAUAAAAUUACAAAGAGAUUUGGGNNNNNNNNNNNNNNNNNNNNNNNNNNNNNNNNNNNNNNNNNNNNNNNNNNNNNNNNNNNNNNNNNNNNNNNNNNNNNNNNNNNNNNNNNNNNNNNNNNNNNNNNNNNNNNNNNNNNNNNNNNNNNNNNNNNNNNNNNNNNNNNNNNNNNNNNNNNNNNNNNNNNNNNNNNNNNNNNNNNNNNNNNNNNNNNNNNNNNNNNNNNNNNNNNNNNNNNNNNNNNNNNNNNNNNNNNNNNNNNNNNNNNNNNNNNNNNNNNNNNNNNNNNNNNNNNNNNNNNNNNNNNNNNNNNNNNNNNNNNNNNNNNNNNNNNNNNNNNNNNNNNNNNNNNNNNNNNNNNNNNNNNNNNNNNNNNNNNNNNNNNNNNNNNNNNNNNNNNNNNNNNNNNNNNNNNNNNNNNNNNNNNUAAAAAUGGUAUUUUAAAUACAUUUUUUUAUAUAUAAGUAAAAUAAACUUGAAAAAGAAAAACUAAAAAUAAAUAAAAUUAUCUAAAAAUGAAAAUUAUGCAAAUUUAUAAAAUUUAAGGUGUGAAAUAUGUAAAUUUUGAAAACUAACUUUAGAAUUGAACUUCUAAGUACGAGGGACCAAAAAUAUAAUUUUAAAAAUAAAUUACUUAAAAAAACAUAUCAUAAGGCCAUGGAAUCAACUCAUAGUGAUUAAGAAAACUCAUGGUGAUUAAGAAAGAGAUAUUAUGUUUUAUGCAACUACAAAUAUUUUUUAAAUAACUUGUACAAAAAUAAUAUGUUAUUUCUAAAUACAAAAUAGGGAUAUAUACAGUAAAGUCCUAAUAUUUUCAUCGAUUCGACAAGAAAGUCCUAAACUUUAUUUUUUUGACAGUAAAGUCCAAAUUACCGGCAGUUUUUGACACUUUUACCCUUUUUUCCCGGUUAGCCGGUAAUUAGGAUUUUUUUGCCAAAAANUUUGUCAACAAAAUAAAGUUUAGGACUUUCUUGUCAAAUCGUCAAUUAGGACUUUACUGUAAAAAAAAUAAACUUUAGGACUUUUUUGUCAAAUCGUUCAAAAUAUUGGGACUUUAGUGAAUAUAUAAUUUUUUUUGUUAGAAAUUUAAUGGUAUGAUACUCUUUAAGCAUAAGAGUUAUUGAAACAUUCUCUAAUCAGCUAGAUCCUAUUGAAAUCCUUUACGUUUGCUUCUUGUUAAAUCGUUUUUUUAAUCUCAACAAACCGACAUUGAAAAAAAUUGAGAUAAUCAAGAAAGAAAGAAAGAACCAGGGUUGUGUUGGCUUUUUGCAGUCUCAAAAAUGGAGAAAUUAGAAACCUAAAAAAACGAAAUUGCCCUAGCUUUAUACAAACACAAACAACACAUGCCUAGUCAAAAGGGUGUGAAUGUGGAGAAGGGAAAGAAGGCAAUUUCGUUUUUUUUCGGUUUCUUAUUUCUCCAUUUUUGAGACUGCAAAAAGCCAACACAACCCUGGUUCUUUCUUUCUUUCUUGAUUAUCUCAAUUUUUUUCAAUGUCGGUUUGUUGAGAUUAAAAAAAUAAUUUAACAAGAAGCAAACGUAAAGGAUUUCAAUAGGAUCUAGCUGAUUAGAGAAUGUUUCAAUAAGAGUUAUGCUUAAAGAGUAUCAUACCAUUAAAUUUCUAACAAAAAAAUUAUAUAUUCACUAAAGUCCCAAUAUUUUGAACGAUUUGACAAAAAAGUCCUAAAGUUUAUUUUUUUGACAGUAAAGUCCUAAUUGACGAUUUGACAAGAAAGUCCUAAACUUUAUUUUGUUGACAAAAAAGUCCUAAUUACCGGCUAACCGGGGAAAAAUGGUAAAAGUGUCAAAAACUGCCGGUAAUUUGGACUUUACUGUCAAAAAAAUAAAGUUUAGGACUUUCUUGUCAAAUCGAUGAAAAUAUUGGGACUUUACUGUAUAUAUCCCUACAAAAUAAAUAAAUAAAUAAAAAGUUUAGGGUGGACCUAGGCCUACCCUGGUCCUAGGGUGGCUCCGUCCUUAUUUGGAGCAUUGGGUUUUGUAACCAUAAGUAAUAGAUCUAUUACUACUUAUAUUAUAAACCCAAUCAAAUGAAUGCAAAACAAUAUUAUCAUAAAAGAGAGAUUCUCUUCAACUUGAUAUUUUGCAUGGUUGUAGAAAUUGGGAUUAAUCGUUGAUUAGUCGUGGAUUAAUUGCUUGACGUUUUCCAACCGUCGGUGAUUAGGGUAUUAAUCUGAAAUUUAUGAUUAAUCGGGUUCGGCGGGAUUAAUCAGUCUUGGCAGGAUUAAUCGGUCAACAAAAGUCAAAAAACUCAAAAAAGUAUAAAAAAAAUUAAAAAUUAAAAAAUCAAAAUUUUUUUUACUCCAAAAUUUUCAAAUAUUAUACAAAAAUGUUCAUAUUUUCGUACUUUUAAAUUUUCAAAUUACAAAAUUUCUUAUUUUCUAAUUUUGAAGUACUUGUUUUUCUUAAGAUAUAUCAAUAUUUGAUUAAUUUUAAUAUUUCAUUAAUAAUCUAUGGUCCCCGACUAAUUCACGAUUAAUCCCCGCCAAGACCGAUUAAUCCCUUAACAACAGUCGACCGUCGAACGCUUUUUACAACCUUGAUAUUUUGGAAAACAACACCAUUCCGGAACAUCCAAAGCAUCCAAAUUGUAGGGUGAUCAUAAUAACUUUAACUGCUUUCUCUCAAAAAUGCUUGUGAAUCGACCUAAAAAGCAAUUGCCAAGGUAAUUAGCAAGAACAAUCGACUUAUAUGGAAGGAAAGAAAUACUUUGGAUGGCCCUUUGCUUAUAAGGCUCGACGGAGUGGCUUUGACAAUAGGCUCGGUGACCUCGGCGAACAUCGGGCCGACCCCUCAGCAUGCCGAGCUCGGUUCGACAGCUCGGUAGAGAUGUGCCGAGUCUCUUUCUUCUUCCUCCUUCCUACUCCCCCACUCGACAACCCACCCCUCCCUUCUCCCUUUCUUCUUCUUCCGAGUUUCUUCUCCCCCUUUUUGCUGAUGUGGAGUUCGACAAUAGUUGCACGACUCUGUUCAGCCUAAAUGAGCUUUUAUUCUUGGGCUAAGAAAGUUAAAAAGAAGGUAUAUCACUUCGAGGUGGAUUUCGACAAAAAACUUGACUCUUUUUAUUAGGCAUUCUUAGACUCAGUUUUAGAGCAAGUGAAACUUGGGAUAAAAUUGAGAGGGCCAAGGAUUGUCUUUACUGAGAAAGAGCAUCGGUCUUGGUUAAUGGUUCACCUAAAAUUGAAUUUCCUAUAAGAGGAGGUGGUGUGUAGGGUGAUCCUCUAUCUCCCUUUCUUUUUAUUAUUUCCAUGGAGGUUCUACGGUAAACAUGGGUAGUGGUCUAUGUAUGGUAAACAUUAUGAAUCUUAACAGAUUGGAAAGAUGUUUCUAUUUAGCAUCCGGUGUAAACUAUGACCUUGGACCAGAUUGGAAAGAUGUUUCUAUUUAGCGGAAAACCCAGUUUGCUUCUUAUUGAUUUCAAUCGACCAUCUCAAUAUCUCUUUCUUUUCUCUCUGAUUUUAUCUGAGUCUUAUCCAAUUGAGGAUUUGGAAGUACCACCCAAAUACUUCAAUUUGAAAGUGAUUAUCACCAUUCUCAGAUUUCCAAAUGCCACUAAACCAUAUUUCUAACAAUAUUUUGGAUUUGGGGAUUUAUUUAAUAGAUAUAUUCAAAAGAAAAGUGGGUGCUGAAAAUUUAACUUAUUUUUGGAAAGACUUGUAGUGUGUGCUGAUGUUCCGUUAAAAGAAAUAUUUCCGAAGUUAUACACAAUUGAAGCUAAUAAAGAUUGUCAAAUCCAGAUUUAAAGUGGGUGCCAUUGAAAAUUAAAUAAUUUGUGUGGAGUUUUUUCGAGACAAAUUCCUCUCAAUAGUCAAUAGGAAUCUGAGUUCAAGGGGUUUGAUGAUCGUAUCCACGGUUGCUGCUUCAUCCUUAUUGGUGUUGUUCGUUAUAUUCAACACCUUUUUAGUGACUGAUUCCUUAUCCUCAUGUAUUUUAUGUACUUCAUUAUUGUUUAUAAAACUUUCUGCAGUUCUAAAUAAAAAAAAAAAAAAAUACGUGAUUCUCGCAUCAAAUUGUUUUAUUAUAGAAUUGCGGCCGCCCGCCGCCCAAACAUAAAGCCGGCAAAAAUCAACGUCGUAGCCGCUUCCGCGUGCCACGAGACCCACAUUUCAUUACUCCAUUCACCCGAUUGGGCGGCGCCUUUUGCCUACUCAGUCAAACCCCUCGUUGACCCCACCACACUCAACUUCCUUUAUAUAAACACACACAACUGUCUCACAUACACACACACACACUAAAACACUUCUCUAAUGGUUAUGAAGAAUAAUGCUUCAAAGCCUGUAACAGAGGCCAAGAUUCCCGGUGUGGACCAAGUACAUUACCGGGGAGUAAGAAAGCGGCCAUGGGGCCGUUACGCGGCGGAGAUCCGCGACCCUGGAACGAAAACCCGUGUGUGGUUGGGUACUUUCGACACGGCGGAGGAAGCAGCCAAAGCAUACGACACCGCCGCCGUCAACUUCCGGGGCACCAAGGCAAAGAUCAACUUCCCUCCAUCCAUAGACGACGUCGACGGCCAGAGCCCCAGCCAAAGUAGCAUCGUCGAGUGUUCUACUUCUUCCCUAGAUGGUCGUCCUCCGUUCCACCGGCCGUUGGAGCUUGAUCUCACGCGCCGCCUAGAUGUUUCAGUCGCUGGAUACCAGUUGUUUCAUAAUGGCGGGCAGAAAACGGUGGCGGUCGUACCCCAUCCCCAUGGCCAUAUCCAUGGCCAGCCGAUUAUGGUGUUUAUGGAUCGGAGUUAUCCGUACUUGUAUCAUCAGUACAAUCCGAAGAUUGAACAGGAACAUGUGAACAGAUUUAAUGGAGUUUUGAGCGAGUCGGACUCUUCAUCAGUUGCAGAUUGUAGCGCCCCUUGUGAUACAAGCAUGUCGAGAAGAGAGCUUAAUCUUGAUCUAAAUUUAGCGCCACCGGCGGUAGAUGUUUAAGAAGAUAGAUGAGAGAUAGUUGUGUACUUGGUAAUAGACCAAACCGGGUUCAAAAUGUAACGUCUGAGGGUAGACCGGUUCGGGUCAUUUGUUUGAGUAUUUUAGAGUAGAACGGUGGGGUUUUUUUUGGACGGGCAGACCGGAUUUUGGGCAGCUCCCUUUCUCGACCGGUUAAAUUUUCUGUAAUUAUUCAGUAUUUUAUUAGGAGAUUUAUAAUUCUUAAUAUAAAUUAUGCAUUUUUGUAAUUUUUGAAUUUCUUCUGAUGUUUCUUUUUGUAAUUUUAGGUAUAAUUAUUGAAGUAUUUCAUUUGCAAGUUUAUAUAACUAGAUAAACAAUCGAAUAUUUUAUGAAAAAAUGGAAAAUAGGGCUAAUAAUAUUAAACACUUUUAAACACAUCAUCCUUUAUUUUAUCUAACCAAAAAACCCUUUAUAAUAGUGGACGGAGUCGAGGCGUAGGUCGGUACUUUUUGGGGCAACGACGGCAAGUUUGUGGUAUUGACAUGUGAGUCAAGGGUGGGUUAACAUCACUCCACAUUAUCAUCAAUCUCUCUUCAUAAACACCCCCAUAUCCCAUGGCCUAAUAAUGCAUGUAAUCAUUUAGUACCUCAUGCAUUGUGUAUUUGUACUCUUGUUUUAAGACUCGGAACAAAAUAAUUUUGUAUGUUUUUUAAAACAGUUUGUGAAUUAAUUUUAUAUGUUUCUAAUAAUUUUUAAAUUAGUUGUGUAUGAUGUUUUAGUAGUUUAUAUUUAUUUUAAAAUUAAAAAUUGAAUGGGUUUAGAAAAAUAAAAUUUUAUUUGUUAUUGAUUGAAAAAGAUAAAAGAUAUAGGAGAAAAAAAAAACUGAUAUGAAACUGAUGUUAUAUUAUGAAUGAGUUGGGAGUGCCCUCCACCCCUAAAGGUUAUAUUUUGGUGUUUUUAUUUACUCCCUCCGUCCCAAAAUAAUUGUCCACCUUACUAUUUUAGUUUGUCCCAAAAUUAUUAUCCACUACCAAAAAUAGAUAUACAUUUUUAUCAUGUUGCCCUUAACAUUUAAUAAAGUAAACUGUAAUAAUUACAAAUACACAUUUCCCAUUGGUUUUAAAAAAGGGCAAGGGAGUCAUUUUACUCAAAAAAGCAAAACUAAUUAUUGUUUUUCUUAAUCUGUGUGGUUUUUGUCUGUGGACAAUAAUUUUGGGACGGAGGGAGUAUUUACUUACAUCUUUAUGUUCUAUAAACAGAGGAUACUCCCAUCCGUUUUAUAGAUAUUUUAAUUUAUUUUAAACCUAACAAUAUGAAACUCUUCCCGAGAAACCUUCUUAAAUAACAUGCAUGUAAUAUGUUAUGAAUACCGUCAGGAACUCAAGAUCAUGAGACAAUUCGAGCCUUUAAGAUUGCUUUCCACAAUUUUCAAAAUAAUGAAUGGUCUAAUGUAGUAGAGAUUUAACUUCUUAUGUUUUCCGGUUAAUUAAUCCUCUCUACGGAAAGACUUUCAGCAAAACCAGAACAUCCACUUCAAAUGUUAUUGGUCUACCCUUCAAAACCACAUAACUUUUUUUUUUGAAAGAUUUUGAGCCAACAUUCUUUCCGUAUUAUUUUCAUUAUACCAACUUCACAUCUAAAAAGUGAUUCUCUCUAUCUUCUAACCAUCUAAAUGAUGUCCUCACUUUCUUUUCUCAAGUGUUUCAUACUAUGUCAUCUUAAAUUCUUAAUACUCUUAGGCUUAAGAGCAUUAUGUAUGGGUCACGUUAUAACACCAAGUUCAUAUGUCACCUCAUCUAUAAUACCACCAUAAUACCAAGGGGGAAAUGGUGUUCCCCAUGUUAUAACAUGUUAAGAAGUAGAGAAAGAAAGAAAGAAAAUGAUUUGAUUGGUUGAUAAAAGCAACAACCAAUUAAACUUCCCGUUGCAUCUUGUGUUCGUCACAAUAAGAUAUGUCAUAACAUCCUCUUAACAAAAAGGAGGGGUGGUGUUCAUCUUGUUAUGACUAAAUUAUGAGGUGCCACAUCAGCAAAAAUAGCACUUCUCGUUGCCCAUACCGUAUACUCUAAGGGAGUGGGAGGUGUUAAGCCUCGCCACCUCCCUCGCUAGUAAAGUGUUACCCCAUUCCUUCCCAUUUGCUAGCCAAUUCGCCAAAUGUCUCUCGCCAAAGAUGUAGCGUGAAGAGAGAGGAAACAGAAAAUGGUUAGCUGAGUUAUGAUUGGUUGUUUCCCUUUUAUCUUUUUUCUAUUAAGUUUUUUUUUCAAACUAAACUCUGUUAAAAUAACACACCACCACUCCUUAUCAAAUGCUAAAAAUUAGAUGUUAGGAUAAAAAGUUGACAUGGCAUUCAAAAAAUUGAUUUGGAAAGAUGUUAGGAGUGUUACCACUCCCCUUAGCCUUAAUGGUAGAUGUAUUAUAUCAUUUUCUUUUCAAUGGGAGAUGAAAGAUGAUUGAGCCAACUUCUCGAAAAUCCUAUUUUGCAUGCCAUCAGAAUGUCUCGAGUGUUUGAAAUUUUUUAUUUUUUUUCACUUUACUCAUUUGGUUGUCACAUCAUUUUAGAUUUUACCUUUCUUCAUAAAGUUGAUGAUCGAUUGAAAUCAAUAAGAAGCAAACUGAGUUUUCCACUAAUGGAAAAACUAUGACCUUUAUAUUAUUAUUUUAUUUUAAAAAUAUUCUUCUAACUAUAAUAAUUAUAUUUAUUAUUUAUUAUUGGGUAAUUACUAAUGUUUAAUAUUUAAAAUAUAUGUUAACAAAUAUAUAAAGUAAUUAUUGAUGUGGCAAUGAGACAUUUUUAAAAGAUAGUGAUACGGUAUAAAUAUUAGAGAAUUAUUAAAAAGAACGAUAUAAUAUUUUUAAUAUAUGAAUUACAUUGUAUUAUACAAUGUGGAUAAUCUUAUGCCAAAUUACAGUGUAAUUUCAUCUACCAUAAAAUAUUUAUAAAAGCUUAUAAUAAUGUGUGUUUCCCUUUUGUUAAUACUUAGUUGAGCCUAAUUGGAAUUUGUGGGUUGUUACGGAUAGGUGUCAAGGUGUGAAAGAGAGAAAGAUAAAAGCGGCGUUGAUAGUGGGUCCACCAGCUAUUACGUCUUGACUCGGUCAACCCACUAAUACACGUAUUCCGUCGCUGCCGUCCAUAACUAUGAGUUAGAGACUUAGAGUCCAAUUUUAAAACAAUUAUGCUGAUCAUCCUAAUACUUUAAAAAAUUGACACGUCUUGUCCCUAAGAUUGUCACCGUCACGUCCAAUCCGUUAAAAAUGCAAAAACGACCAUUAUACUCAUUUAUUGUAUUUUAUGAUAUUUUGAAAUUUUUAUUAACAAGGGUUAUUUCGACAAAAAUCGAAAGAAUAAUCUUUAAAAAAAUCUUAAUAUUUUGAAAAAAAAAAUUAAUAAAGUUAUAAAUUUUAUUUUUUAAACAGAAAAAUUUCAACUUCUUUACUUUUUAAAUAGAAAAGUCUAAGAAACUGGCUAAUUUGUUCACUUUAGUCCAUUUGACCUGUUCAGUAGGUCAUGAGACCAAAUUGUUAAUUUUUUCAAAAUAAUAGGAUUUUUAUUGAGAAUUUGUAUAUAAUGUGUAAACAUUUUUUUUAUGUGUGUGUGUGUAUAUAUAUAUAUAUAUAUAUAUAUAUAUAUAUAUAUAUAUAUAGAGAGAGAGAGAGAGAGAGAAAGAGAGAGUUAGGUUCAAAUGUUUUCACUAUCUAUUGUGUGCCCGUAUGAUUGAUUUUGGACCAAUCAUUUUAGUUAUUUUAAGAAAGUAAUUAAUGCNNNNNNNNNNNNNNNNNNNNNNNNNNNNNNNNNNNNNNNNNNNNNNNNNNNNNNNNNNNNNNNNNNNNNNNNNNNNNNNNNNNNNNNNNNNNNNNNNNNNNNNNNNNNNNNNNNNNNNNNNNNNNNNNNNNNNNNNNNNNNNNNNNNNNNNNNNNNNNNNNNNNNNNNNNNNNNNNNNNNNNNNNNNNNNNNNNNNNNNNNNNNNNNNNNNNNNNNNNNNNNNNNNNNNNNNNNNNNNNNNNNNNNNNNNNNNNNNNNNNNNNNNNNNNNNNNNNNNNNNNNNNNNNNNNNNNNNNNNNNNNNNNNNNNNNNNNNNNNNNNNNNNNNNNNNNNNNNNNNNNNNNNNNNNNNNNNNNNNNNNNNNNNNNNNNNNNNNNNNNNNNNNNNNNNNNNNNNNNNNNNNNNNNNNNNNNNNNNNNNNNNNNNNNNNNNNNNNNNNNNNNNNNNNNNNNNNNNNNNNNNNNNNNNNNNNNNNNNNNNNNNNNNNNNNNNNNNNNNNNNNNNNNNNNNNNNNNNNNNNNNNNNNNNNNNNNNNNNNNUAUAUGUGUGUGUGUGUGUGUGUGUGUGUGUGUGUGUUUGUAUUUUUAAAUAUUUUACAUAUUUUUUGUGUAUUUUAAAUGUAUAAUCGUAUUAUUUUUAUGUAUUUAUGUAUUUUUACUUCAAGUUGUCUUCACCAUUUCAUCUAAUUCACACAGCUUCUUCGAGUAUAUCUAGAUGAUUUUCCUACAUACCCAUAUAUUUUAAGUUCUUCCCAUUUAAUAUUUAAUUUCAAGAUAAGCGAAUGGUAAAAACUUAGAAUAUGUGAGUAUGUAGAAAAAUCAUCUAGGCAUACUCGAAGAAGUUGUACGAAUUGGAUGAAAUGGUGAAGACGACUUGAAUAAAAAUACAUAAAUACGUAAAAAAAAUAUAGUUAUACUUUUAAAAUAAAUAAACAUUUUUAUAAAAAAAAAACUUUUAUAUUGGAUUACAUUAAUCUAAUGAAUUAUUUAAAAAUUGGAUUACAUUAAUAUAUUAUAUUGAUGAUUGAACUAUUUUAACAUAUAUUAUUAAGGAAUCUAGAUAGCUUUUGAUUCGAUGUUAAGUUGUUGGAAAUGAUUAAUGGUGAAAUUUUGUUUAAAUAUAAUAAGAAAAUGAAAAAAGAGGUGCAACCUUGUCAUGUUACACAUAAUUAACGAAGAGGUGUUGAUGGUAACUGGAGACCGAUUGUGAAUAAUUUUGCAACCAUGAGGAUCAAUCACACCAGUUUUUGAAAACUUAGACUUAAACUAUAAAUUGAUCUAAAAUAUAAGGACCAAAACUAUAAUUUAGUCUAUAAAUAAUGACUUGUGAAAUGGGAGCAGCCCUGUCUCCCGUUCUCCAUGCAAUCCAUCCCAUCACACCAACUCCAACGCGUACAUCAAAUUCAAUAUUACGAAAAAAAAAAAAAAAAAGAGAACAUAUUUUUGGAGAGGAAAACAAACCCAUGCCUAGCAAGACCAACGGGACCAAAAAAAGAGUUCAAACAUUAUAUUUUGAGAAUUGAGAGAAAAAAAAGGUAACAAUACCAAUAUGACCAACUAAUAUUUUAUUUUUUAUGUUUAAAUUUGAACCAAAUAAAGACCAUAGUAUUAUCUGCCCGUCAUAGUAUGGGUAGUGUGAACCAAAGUUGUUAAAAUCGUGAUCUUGACUGUAGGAUCAUACGAUUCUACGAUCUUACAUAGGUAAAUCAAUUCUAAUAAUACGUCAAUCGUUUUGGGUAAGAUCAUAGUAAGAUCACAAGAUCAUAAUAAGAUCGCAAGAUUGUUACUAUUUUUUUUUUAAAUUAUAUAAUUUUGUCUUGAAAUAACUAAGUACAUUGAAUAUGAACCAUAGAAAACUUUUUUUGAAUUUUUUAUUUCUAAAUGAUGUAUUUUUCAUAUUUUAAACUAUUUAUUGUUAAAUGAUCGAGUAAUGUUUUAAAAUGUUUUUGUUAGAAUCUUAUAAUCUUGAUUCGAUUUUACGAUCACGAUUUUGUAACUCCAAUACUUCUGAAAAGGCGAGAAUUAUUGUUGAGGGAAUGCUACAACACCUUAGAAGCUACUGCCUAACGUCCUUCAGAAACAAACAUAUGAUAAGAAGGUGGUUUGUCGAUUCAACAUUAGUUGUACAAAAACUACAUAUCAUCCGAUGUGAUAUUCACCCCUAUGUCGUGUAACACCAAGCCUAAAGUGAUUCAAUAUAUACUAGCUCACCAAAUGAAGCAAGAAAACUUUAAUUGUAAAUAUUUUAUACAUCUACUUAGGUCAGAGCAUGCAAUAGAUAAUUUUGCAUUAAUGUUUUUACGCAAGAGAUCAAUGAUCAAUCUUAUAGGUUCCAUCCGGAGAAAGGGAGCAUCGUUGGUAGUCACUAGUCACUGAAGGCCUGCAAAGAGAAAUGAAGAACAACAUUAACAAUAAUAGUUAAUUCGCUGACAGGGCCGGUCCAAACGUAUAUGGGGCCCAAAGCGAAAAGAAAAAAAAUGGCCCCCUAAAGACAAAUAUAAUAAAGAUUAAAAAAAAUUAUCAUUUAUUAUUCACUAUAAACGCGUUCAAUUAAAAAUAACAAAUAAGUCAAAUUGUUUAUUUUUGAGCUAUUUUGAGUUUGAACUAACUUUAGGCUCUAAAAAUCAUUUUGGUAAUAAUCUUUUUAUAUAUAUUCACUACAUAGCCCAAAAAUUUGGGCCCCCUGGAUUCGUGGGCCCUGGGCGGUCGCCUGGGUUGCCCACCGUCUGGACUGGCCCUGUUCGCUGACCUUAAUCAAGCUGCUUGGCGAGUUUUUCCAAUCGCACAUCGGCCCAUCAUAGGAAAUUAUCUUUGUAAUAGUGCAACAUUUCAUCUUCUCAGCAACAAAUAAGUUUGGGAAUCGAGAUUAAAGUGUCAUAGAGGCCAGCCACUAUUUCUAGAAAAGUGUGUCGUUACCAUUCCCAAUUUUGUGAGAAAACACAAAUUUUAUGUUAAUGCUCAAGAUUGCAAGAUCACAUUUUGUAACACCUUGCGUUUGGGUGGUUGAAAUCGUACUUAAGAAUCAUUUGUGGACAUUUUUCUAAAAAUUUAGAGUUUAUGUUUUGUGGAAAAACACUUUGGUCCCAAAAUAAUAUAGUUAGUCAAGUUUGAAAAUUAAUGAGGUUGUUAACAAUAAACAUAUUAAAACAAGAUUUUAGCUCACCAUACUUUUCGUGAUCUUCUUAAUGUCCAAGUUAAUCCCUAACCGAGUUAAGGUCUUCGAUUUGAUCACACAUUAAAAUAAGUUAGACAAUGGAUUUGCCUAGUGAGUUACCUGAAGUCAUUUCAUUUAGAGUAAAGGAUGGUGAUCCAUGAUACUCGAAUCAAACCUCCAAAAACAAACACAUAAAUAAAUCACAACUCAUGGAACUCAUGGAUUCAAUAACCCAAAUCAAGGGUCUUGUAUGCCCAAAAGAUCAACAAGCAAUAUUAUUUCCAAAAGAUUGUCUUUAAAAAAAAAUCAAUAGAGGGUAGGAGAAGUGAUGGGUAGCUUUGUUUAUGUUGAUUUUUGUGGGGUUUGAUUCAAGUGAGGCUACAUCAGAAAAGAUAGAUUGAGGGGAUGAAGUGUUUAGGCUUUAAUAUUGAAUGUUGUCCAUCUGCUUUAAUCAAUUUUGUUGUGGUUUUUUGGAAAAGAUGAAAAGAAGGAAGGAGCAACGGAGGGCGUCACAAACCAGAAAAGAGGAGGACGAGAUUUGAGAUGGGGAAGAUGACACCGUUUCCCUGGGGAUGGGGAUUUAGCUUAAUAAAGUUUUCUAUAUCAAAUUUAAAUAGGAUAUUUUAUUAAUUUUAAAUUAAAUAUAGAAAAUAAAAGCUAAUCAAGAGUAAAAUAGUAAUUUCAGAUCAAUUUUGAAAUAAAACGGAACCACAUGGACAAGCUACGCAAUAAAUUAAAACAUAAGGAUAAUCUUCAUAAAAAUAUUAACAAAAUAUACGAGUUUAGAGUACCAAAUGAACGAUUUAUGUAAUUUUGUACCUUAUUAAUUUGUCAAAUCAUGUUUUCAUUAAAAGAAAUAUAUCUUUAAGUACAAUCUUCAAUGCAUAAACUUUUUUGUUUAAUAAUCACAAAUUCAUCGUCCUCUUACUUUUACGAGCAUUAUUAUACCAAAUAUAGGAAAACAACUUAGUUACAACCACAAAAACCGAUUAUUAACAACACCAUAAACCAAUUAUUGAGCUUGAUAAUGUAGAAAAUCAAACUGGAAUCAACAUGAAAUCGUCAUAUUAGCAAACAAUAGCAACCAACUUUGUCUCAAUCAGUAUCAGUCUUGAAAUACCAGCAACAAAAUACCAACUUUGUCUCCGCCACUGCUCCACCCAAAACAACCAAUCUCUCUCCUCAACAUAUAAAAAAGACCUUAUCAUUUCCGACUACUCAUCCCAUGGAAUGUAAUGACCUCCCUCAACCCUACCCCUUCCCCCACUACUUUGUAUUUUCAAAAAUGUUCCUUAAUUGUUCUUAGGCUUAUGUUCUUUAAAUCUUGCAUCACAAAUCGCAACCAUUGCAAAGAAAGCAACAAUCUUUAAUCUACUCUUAUAAAAUAUAAACCCACCAAAGAAAUCCUAGAGGUUGAAUCAAAUCAAACAAAGGCUCAUUAUAAUAAUUUACAUAUAUUGUCAUUCCAAAAAGUUAAUGGUAAACUACACUAUAUAAACUUAUUUUAAGGCUCAUAUAUAAGGUCAAUCGCCCGUCAUUUUUGUAAGAAAACAUGAAAUUUGUGGAUCUUUAGGCGUUAAGAAAAAAGAGGUCAUUAACUAUUAAGGUUGUACAUUGUUAAUAUACAAAAGGAUUAGAAACGAAAACUCCAUGAUGGUUGACAUCCACAACUAUGUGACCUACGAUCCUACUCUCAGGCUUCAUUAUGCAUAAACAUUAUAAAGGGUUUAAUCGAGUUUCAUAUAGAUUUUGAGUUGGCAAAAUGGUUGCUGUUCACAUAAGAACUCUAUGGUAAAAUACAAAUUUAAAAAGUUUUUGAAACUGGUUUGUAUUUUGAUGUGCAUACAUAUUUCAAAACACAAUAAUAAUAUGCCAAUCAUUUCAAUGAAAAUUGAAUAAUACUGUAUCUCGCAUUUAGCCCAAAAAUUGCAACCUAAAAUCAUUACUCGUUAACAAGGUAAAAAAACUGAAACUAUCGCACAGAGAAAUAAACAAACGCAUCCAAAACAAAAUCCAUACUUUUCGUAUUGCAUUACAAAUUUAAGCAAGUUGUCGCAACCUAUAUCUGAAACUCAGUGAUUUUCUUAAAAAUAAAUCAAGCAAAAUUGAUGAUGAUGAUGAAAUUUCCAGUUUGAGUUGAUGAGAGUCUCAUUCGAUUUCUUGAAUGAUUCUGUUUUUACGUACAGACUUUCUUGGCAUGCUUCCAGGGGCACUGUGAGCUCUCCUCCUGUCUUCCUUCCUCUUUUCUGCAUCUGCCAUUGUUCUCCUAAGCAACCCUGCCUUGUAUAUUGGUUUUGGCAAGUGCCUAUGCCUGCAAAUUAUUAUUUUUUUUAAAGAAAACAUAUAUAUUAUGUAUACAGAUAGAAUAAAUUAAAAAUAGAACAAAUUAGAUAUAAUUAGAAACCAAAAACGUUAACUAAGAAUUAAGAAAAAAAAAGGGGGGAAAUACCUUAAUAUACGUUUGACCUCGGGAAGGUGCUUGUAACGAUUCUUGACAGCCUCCAUAUAUUCAUGCUUCCUACGUUCUCGUGGAAGAAUCUGCCACACAAAAUUCAAUUAUUUUACACAACAUCAAUAUAACAAAAAAAAAAGUAUUCUAAUAUAUUAAUGACAAGUGUAUGUACUUACAACACCGAGUUGCUCUGAUGCUUUAGCUUUCCAAAGUCUAAGAUUGGUGUCAUCACUACCCGAGAUCACAUAACUUGCAUCACCACUAAACUUCACGCAAAACACCCUGAAAAUUCAUCAAUUAUCAAACUUAGCCCCCAAUUUAAUGCUCAAAUCCAUAUUUCAAACAUAUGUACAGAAAAUCAAAAUCAAGGGGAAUUACGAUUACCUUUGCAUUCGCUUAGUGUGAUAGAUUUCCCUACUAUGUCCACCAUUAUACUGAAAAAUCCUCACCUACGAAAAUCCAUAAUAUUUUAUUUACUAAAAUGAAUACAAAUAUAACUUAAAAUUAAUUUUUUUUUUCAAAAAAGGACUUACUGUUCUGUCAUAAGAUCCAGUUACAAAUUCACGACCGGUUGGUGAGUAAUCAAUAUCCAUACUGCAAAGCCAUCAUCAAAUCUAUUAGUGUCUUAUACCAAAAAAAUAAAAAUAAAAAAUGUUUAAAAUCACAGUAGAUAUCUUACACUGCAGACACAUGAUCUUUAUGCACACACUUGGCUUCUUCUAAUUUUCUUGCAUCAAAACUGUAACAAUUGCAAUUUUCAUUUGCCUGUCACAAAAAGAAGUGUUAGAAACCAUAUACGAGGGCGGGCAUUCAUGUCUUUUGCACAGAUGGGAUGUGUUUUUUGGUUUCAGAUUUUUGUGAUUUGAAUAUUUCAACUUACACAUGAUUGAUAAGAUGUGUACUUUUGUAGAUUAUUCCAAUAUUUUUAUAAUUUAUAAUGGUUUGGGGAUGUGGAAAGUGCAUGUUGUAGAUGAUGUCCAGUUGGUACUUACAGCUGUGAAGUUCAUCGGUUCCAUUGGAUUCCAAGCAAUAGAAUUUGUUUUUGUCUGAAAAAAAAGAAAAAUAUAUAAAGUUGAAUAAUAAAAAUGGUUCUACAACUAAGAAGAUAGCAUUAUAUUAUACACACAUGUAUGUAUCUAUCAACUAUAAUUAUAUAUUUGCAGACAUACCCUCAUGAUAAGUUUUCUUGCUGGUGAAGACGUUCGAAGAUCAUAUAUUGUUAUACUCCGAUCACUACACACAAGUACCAAAAAAAAAAAAAAAAAAAAAAAAAAAAAAAACUUUAGAGAUGAACGAAUGGAAGGAAAAGUGUGUAGCUGUUUCUUGCAUUUAAGCCAAUGUUAUAUAUAUUAUAUAGAAUCAAGUGACCUUCCAGAUGUUGCAAGUAUAUUUGGUUCCCCGGGAUUAAAUCGGACAGAAAUAACCGUGUCAUUUCCCCAUUCGAAACUGUUAACUGGCUGCGACCUAUAUCAUGAGCACACCAAUUAGACACACAAAACUAUACAGGUCUUGAAUGGAAUGGAAUGACGCAUUCCAUUCCUAUCCCUUCUCAAUUCCAUCAUACCAAACAAAACACCAUUGUAUCAAUGAUCUGAGCUAAAUUUGGCUCAUUACCUAUUGUGGUCCCAUAUAUCAACUUGAGCACCAGCUGUGGCAAAAAGACUACCUUCCCAUUGAUGGUCCACACCCCUGAAAAUAAUAAAGUCAAAAUCCAUGAAAACAUGAAAAAGAUAAUCGUUGAGUUUCACAAUGCAAGAGAUAGUAAUAUACUAGUAAACUUACCAGAAGGCAUUUUUCCAAACAUAGGAUGCAAUUAACUGCAAUCAUAAAAACAUAAAUUUGCAUAAACAUGUUAACAUGAGCAAGAAUCAAGAAACCAAACUAGGGUUAGCAAUUAGCACUUAGCACUUAGCACUAACCUUUUCUGAGGAAUCAGAUGAGUCGAUGCCACUUGAAAGAGGAACCCUCCACAGUCUAACACUGAUUCAAUUAAGUAACAAUAAACACAUCAAAGUUAAUGUUCAAGUUCAGGAUUAUAAAUUGCUAAAAUACUAAUACUCAGUUUGGUUGAAUAGACAUUUCCAUGAUACCAAACACUACCCAAAUCUAACAUCAUAAAGCUUACGUGCAAUCUGUUCCACAUGAAACAAGAACACCACCAUCUGUAGAUACAGUUAAACCUCGUACUGCACCUUGGUGCCCAGGAUAUUGACAAAUUGUUUUCCUAGAAUACAAAAGUUUGAUUUCCAAAGAAUUAUAAGAAUAACAAAUUUCUUCAUAUGUUGUUAUAUUAUAUAUUAAUAUAUCAUGUUUUCCUACGCUUCAGUAUUACCUCGAAGCAAUAUCCCAUAAACGAAUAUCUGCAAGGAAUCACAAAUUCAACAUGUUAGUUGUUACAGAACAUAACUUGGUUUUUAAAAACAUAUAGCCAAAAGAAACACUUGUCUUUUCAGAAUAUUCCGACUUACUUAAGGAAAAAUAUAUGCUUCCUUUUGACUUCAAACAGACAAACUUAUCUACAUAAGCUUCUCAUACAAAAUUGACACUUGUGUUCAUCACUAUUAUUGUAUGCUUAAAUGGGUUAAUUACCAAAAAUACCAUUCUUACUUUUGGGGCUUUGGCAAUUUCACAAACCUACUUGUUAAGUCAGUUUGACAUAUAAUACAUAUUGCAUUCAGUGACUAAAUCUUACUGAAAAAUUAAUCACCAGUAAGUAAACAAAAAUUGAUAUAUAAUGUUAUAAACUUAGUGUUACAUCUUUCCCUAUAUCAAGUUAAGUUCACAAACGUUUGAAAGAAAAUAUUUGAUCUAUUUGUAUGUGUUAUUGAAUUAAAAGAAGAAAAAACAUAGGCCAAAAGAAACAAAUAAAUAUGGCAACUGAAGCUUACCUCCAUCCAUAGAACCAGAAAAUACACCUUUCAAGUGACUAGGGUUUUUUGCCAUACAUGAGAUGGCGUCUAUAUGCCCAUCCAUGGCUCCAAUAAAUGGUCUUGCAAAUACCUAUCAUGUGUCCAUGUCAAAAUUAAUCUCAACUAUAACAAAAAAUAACUAAAAAACAAUGAUUUGCUUUAACAUUCAAAGCACAACAAAUCAAUUAGUUAGAAAAAUGAAAAGCAUAUCAAACAGGUAUCGAAUAUAGAGAGAGAGAGAGAGAGAGAGAGAGAGAGAGAGAGAGAGUAUUACCUUAUCUAAUUUAGCUGCAUUAAGGGCUCUAACAUACUCCACAGCCUUCUCUUGAGUACGAAGGUUUGGGUCGUAGUUUCGAGAAACCCUCUGAUACAAUAGGAAAUGAAAUUAACAUCAACGAGAUAAUCAGACUCCCAUCGUCUCAAAAAAAAAACUACACUUGAAUUUUGAUGUCAAUCGAAGCACUCAUCACACGAAAAUUCGACCGGGGUUUUGUAGUAAAUCUAAUAUAUUUGCUAUUCUUUUCUCGAAAUCAUACAGACACCGAAACAAAAUUACCUGAAGAUCAUUACUCCGCUCGCGUGUAAAAUCAUCUGCAGAGCGAGAAAUAACCUUAACCCUCAUACUUCUAAAAACAGUAAGUGAACGUUUGUUUCGUUGCAGAGUUUAUCAAAUAGAUUUAGAUGCAGAGCUUCGAUAACGUUGAUGGUAGUUCCGGCGGCGGCAAAGGUGAGAAAGCCGAUGAUUCGCGGGUGUUUGGCAAAAUUACCAAAAAGGGCUUCCUUUUAUAUUAUGACAAUAUGUGUAUGUUCUUGUUAUGAACACAAUGUGUAUUUCCUGUUAAGAACAGGAGCAAUUGAACAGUUAUGACCAUUAGACAGCAAUUGAAUAGACACGCUGAUACACCAUUGUAGUGACAGCAGGCAAUUUCAACUGAAAUCAGGGGAAAAAAUAAAAUCGAAGCAAUUGAACACAUAUAUCUAAAAUUAUCAGACAUCAUACAUAUUUCGAUUUCAACAAACAUAUGAUUUAGAUUUCAACCGAAAUCGGGGGAAAAAGGAAAAUCAAGAGCAGCAAAAUACAGUUGAACGAAAGCAGUAAACGAUGAAGAAAAUCGUACAUGAAUCGUAUUUGUGGUGUGCGACGGUCGCCGGUGCUGUGGGUGCGACGGUAUCCGACGAUGGAAGUCGGCGGUGAGCAAUCAACGACGAGGAAUAGGGAAUCGCCUGAGGAGCGACGAGAGAAGAAGGGAGGCUGCGCUGUUUCUUUUUCUUCUGGUGAACAUACGAACGAAAACUUUAUUAGGUUAAGGGUAUAUUGGUCCAUUACUUAUUAGGUUAAGGGUAUAUUGGUCCAUUCCUAAACAAAGUGAAAUAAAUAAAGGUUAAGGGAAAAUGACUUUAAAGGGUAGGUUACUUUUUAAAAUGUACACAUUUUGUUUUUAUUUUUUUUUUUUGUAAAUUAAGCCCUUAUAUUUUAUUAAUAUGUACACAAUAGAUCCUUUUGACCGACUUCUAUCGGUUCUGCUGAUGUGAAAGCACACGUGGCCCUAACAACAACUGCAUAAAAAUUAAUUAGCUUAGUGACUCCUUAUAAACGAAUGUUAACAUCCAAAUUCAGGAAGCUUCAAACUCGAACACAUAAAAGUGGGGAUUUCGUAGAAGAAGAAAGAAGAUGUCAAGUGGCUCAAGAAUCUCCACAGGUUCAAGCAAUCAGAGAGUAGAUAAGGACGUCCUCUGUGAUUGUGAACUCCCUUCAAGAAUUCGUACCUCCAAGACCAAAGAUAACUCUGGAAAGAAAUUCCGAGUGUGCCCUAACUCAUUGGUAAAUACCUAAAUUGAUUUUAUUUGUCAAAUCGAAUCAAUUUGCUUCUUCUUUCCUGCUAUGUUGUUGAUUUUAUUACUACAGAAACCAGGGGAAAAAGUGUAAAUUUUGGGAAUGGAUUGAUGAAGAACCUGAGAAUAUGAAGGCCAUUGCAAAAGAUGCUCUUUCAGAUUUUGCAGAUUAUCUUAAACAAGUUUUAGAGGAUGUGGCAUCUGUUAGAGAAGAAGUGAAACAGUUGAAGGUUAUGAUUUAGAUACUGAUUUUGCUGGUCAUUGUUAAGGUUAUGUUUUGGGGUUGAAGAUAUGCUUCUGGUGGUUUUUAUGGGAUUUUGAUGUAAUAGACUUGUAGUGUAAUUCUUGUUUAUGUAAUGGAUGUUGAUGUGCUUUAUGUUUAUGUAAUGGUAAAGCUUAUUGUUAUUAUAUAUAGAUGUUGAUGUAAUUAACUCAGUCAAAUGGAGGUAAAACCAAGACAAAUUACAAGAAAGAUUCUUUUAUAGAGAAUUGGAUGUAAAGACAAAUAAAAGUGGAUGACAAAAGGCAUCGAGCCAUUUAAUAAUUACAAAAGAUAAGCCCACCAACAGGGGUAAUACAGUAAUUUAGUUCAAAAGAUUCGACAAGUACAUCAAAAGUAAACAACUAGUAGGGGUAAUAUAGUAAUAAAGUUCAAAAGAUUACCCCACACUACAUCAAAAUAUAUAUGUCACAUGCAUUACCCCACUACAUCAAAACCUAAUUACUCUAAGGUCACAUGUUUGUCUUGGUUGCAUCCAGUUUCAUACUUGACUUUAACAUUUUUUUGAAUACCAAUUUCUGUGAUUCUUUUUGAAAACUUUCUCACCCUACCAGCAUCAUUCAAAGGAACCUUCUUCAUAGGACUUCUCUUCACAGGACCCUUCUUCACAAGAACCUUCUUCAUAGGAGCCUUCUUGUAACGCCUCAUUUCUAGUAUGUUGCUUCCGUGGUAUUUAUCUUGAAGUUUUCGAGAGGGACUCGGCGAGUCUAUGUCCUGACUCGUCGAGUAGGGGCGAGUUUUUGAGCACGUGUUAGUAGGCGACUCGGCGAGUCCAUAUUCGGGACUCGGCGAGUCUGCCUGCCAGGUAGAAACCCUAAAUCCCCGGGUUUGCACCCUAUUUAAACCACCUUAUGAGCCCCCAAACUCGUCCCCUUCACCCUCAGAGCAUCAUUUAGCAAACCCUAAUUGUUUCCUUGAGUAAUUGAGUAUUUCUUGUGUGAAUCUUGAAGUUUUGAAGAGAAGAAGGAGGCUAGAUCCAAAGGAGAAGAAGAAGAUCCAAGGUCUUGCACCCAUUUCAGAGUUUAUUGAGGUAUUAACCGAAUUCCUUCUGUUUCUAUGAUUGAUUUCUCUUUAACAAGCAUAUUUAGCCUCUUUUAGCCAUUUCUUAGCUUGUUCUUAGUAGAGAGAUCACAUUAGAUUGAUUAGCCUUCGGAUCUAGCCAUGUUUCAGUUCCAAAAUCGUAGAUCUAUCACCUUUAUGGAGCCAUUUUGCAUGAUAACCCUAGAUCUACUCUUCUAAGUGCCUUUUUAGCCUUUAUCUCCUUUUUCAUGUGUAUGUACACGUAAAGUUGGAAACUUUACGUGGUAAAUCAACCUUAGGAACUCAGAUCUAUAAUUUGUAUGCGGUGGUGUUGAGCAGAAUCGGGUUUUUAGGAUCUGCAUGCAUGUGACUCGGCGAGUCGUUCUUUGGACUCGGUGAGUCCGGUCGCGAGUCCCCGAUCUUUACCCUUUGAGUGAUUCCGAGUGGAGGCCAGAGAGCAGUAGGAUGGACUCAGUGAGUCGGAGGGUAGACACAGUAAUGGUGGGACUCGACGAGUUGUUCAUACAACUCGGCGAGUCCAAGGCAAUCUUCUUAGAUCGAAGAACAACUCGUCGAGUUGUUCAUAUGACUCGGCGAGUCGGAUGAAGAUUGUCUGAGUUCUUGNNNNNNNNNNNNNNNNNNNNNNNNNNNNNNNNNNNNNNNNNNNNNNNNNNNNGACUCGGCGAGUUGGCGGCCCAACUCGGCGAGUCAGGUCAACUGUGGGUUGACUUUGACCGAGAGAUUUGACUUUGACCAAGGGUAAAAGAGUCAUUUUACCCCAAUGCAGUGAUUAGCAUUUGAUUGAGUGUGUUUAUGGAAUUGUAGCCGGGGAGAUAUCUGAGCAGCAGCAGUUAGCUUCCAGAGCCAUACACACAGCAGCCAGUUCACGAGGUGAGUUUUCUUCCAGUGGGAACGGGUCUAAGGCCACAAUGUCGGCCCGUUCAGUUAGCAGUAGUUUUUGGACUUCGGUCCAUUGCAGUAAUUAGUAUGUUUGACGCCUCCGUGGCUCAGACAGGAUUUAUGUGUUUAUGCUAGAUGAUAUGUUAUGCUAUGCCGUGUUCAGUGAGUUUCGGACUUCGGUCCGAUGUAGGGGACGGGGGUCCCAGCCAGUUUCGGACUUUCGGUCCGAUGUAGGGGACGGGGGUCCCAGUCAGUGGACAAGGCCUAAUAUGUGUUUUUUUUAUGUAUUAUAUGGUAUGUGGUAGUUUGGGGGAGCUCACUAAGCUUCGUGCUUACAGUUUCAGUUUUGGUUUCAGGUACUUCCGCAAGCAAAGGGAAGAUCUCGGGAUGAUGGCAUCGCACACACCACAACUUCAGUUUGUCCUGGGAGUUGAUUCAGUUUUCUUGAUAUGUUUGGAUACAGUUGUGUUACAGUUUUUCUCACAGUAUUUUAUUAUGGUUUUUGAAACACGCAACGUAUUGUUUUACUAUGUGAUACUCAGUUUCAUGGUUUUGUUAUGAUAAAAAAUGAAAUGUUUGGGUCGUAUUUUGGGUCGUUUCAAGUUGGUAUCAGAGCCCUGGUUUGAGGGAUUCGGAUACACCUCCGGGUGCAUCUGAACUCAAACUAAGGGAAAGAUAAAAAGAUUUUCAAAAAGAAAAAUGUUUUCGAAUGAGAUUUUGAAAAGCACUUAGAAAGAAAAAGAAUUUUUAAACAAGAUAAGGGUGUGGUGCAUGCGAUCAGUCGAGCUCAAGUAAGUACUCCCAAAUUACCCAUACAAGUUUUAUUAUUAUGAUUAAUUGUUCCAGUUUCAGUAGAACAGCAUGCUAGUAUAGGACUAAGGAUCUAGGAGGAUGCCUUAUGUGCCUGCUAUAUGUGUUUAAGCUCUAUGAGAAUUGCAUGCUAGUAUUGAGUAGACAGCAGUAGGAUAGCCUGUUUAGGUUAUGCCUGGUAGCGCGAGUUAGCAUUGUAUGCUAGUACAGUUUCUCGUUAUGAGAGUAGAUUUGCUUGAGUAAAUUCCGGUGUCCGAAUGCUGCUUGCUUCGUGCUUAGUAGAACUCUUGGUGAUGAGAGUUAGCCAUUAGGUGAAUACGCCACGUCACAUGUGAUCAGGGUUGAAUAAUCUCAGAGUAUUGGAUUUGGCCCUAUUGCGCAACUCUUGUUUGAGUCUAACCAUGGUAGGGACGAGCCUUUUACUCGAAGGAUUAUCCGAGCCUCAUCACAUGUGAUGGUAUUCAGGUGAUGGCUAAUUAGCAUUACAAGGAGGCCUUCAGCAGCUGAGGACUGGUUUGAGUGGAGUCAGAGAUUUCCCUAGGGCAAGCCUAGGAUGAGAGUAGCAGAGAUCAGUAGUAGUAGAAGUGACUUGGUGGAGUCAAGGCAGUUCUUGAGGAAAGUACGGAUAGAUGUGGAAGGUAGUAUGGGCCCGUACUACUGAAAGCAGAGGAUCCGUACUCGAAUCAAGGAAGGCCGAGACAAGACCAGGAAGCUAGUAGUAGUAUCAAUGAUCCCUUGAGAUAUUUCAGUUUUCUGAUGUUGCUAUGAUGUGUUUCAGAAUGGUGGUUUUGCGUUCGAGGCCAGCAGCCGGCAGUGGAGGUGCCGGGGAGGGAUCAGGAUCAGGCUCGGGGGACGAGCGCAUGGAUGAGCAGACCAGAGAGUUUCUUUCUUCAGAGAUUACUCGUAUCAUUUUAGAGCAGACUCCUGUGAUCUUCGGUUCGAUCAAGGAGGGUAUCCUAGAGCUGAUGGAUGAGAGGUUGGGCACCUUCCGUGCCGAGGUGGCGGCCAUGAUGGGGUCGCGCACACUUACGUUCAGGGAGUUCAGGGCAUGUGGAGCUCCAGACUAUCACGGGGCGCGGGACCCCAUAGCGAGUACUAGAUGGUUGGCGGAUGUGGCCAACGCGUUCCGCACUAGCAGGUGUCCCGAGGGGGACAAGGUCAGAUUGGCGUCCUGUCUUCUGAAGGACAGGGCACGGGAUUGGUGGGAGGAGGUCGGACAUACCAUUGGAGAUGAUGCAGCGUUGGAUGCCAUGACCUGGGCUGAUUUCUCUACCAGGUUCAGGGCGGAGUUUGCACCAGUUAUUGAGGUGCAGCAGUUAGCCAGAGAGUUUCAGGACCUCACCCAGACUACAGAGACCGUGGCGGAGAUCACCGCCAAGUUCAGGGAGAGGGCUCUUCUUGUUCCUCAGUAUGCAGCCGAUGAGGAGAUGAAGAAGGCCCGUUAUCAUGAGAUGUUGCGGAGCGAUAUCCGCCAGUUUGUGAGCCGGUCCAGCUGUAAAACGCUGGAUGACAUGAUUGCUAGGGCUCGAGAGAGGGAGAUUGAUCUCGAGAUGGAGAAGAAGAGGAAACCGGAGGCGGUUUCGGGUACAGGCAGUUCGGGCAAAAAGCCCAAGGUUUCUGAUCACAGAUCCAGGAGUCAGCAGAGCCACGGUCGAUGUGGCAAGUGUGGGAGAUUGCACGAUGGGGUGUGCAAGGCAGGGAGUUCCGGCUGCUACAAGUGCGGUCGGACUGGGCAUUUGAGCAGGGAUUGUACGGCCCCUGCUACUGCCGUUGCAGCAUCAGAUCUGAUUUGCUUUCAGUGCAAUCAGAGGGGACAUAAAAAGUCCCAGUGUCCGAGUUUAGCUGCAGCAGGGAAGGUGGCUGCACCUGCCCCUGCUACUUUGAGGAUUACAGAUGGCCGGCAGGGCCGAGCUGAUGCGCCAGUGGCGAAGAGUAGGGCGUUUCAGAUGACAGCAGAGGAGGCGCGAGCGACUCCUGAUGUGGUGACGGGUAUGUAUCUUCCCUUCAUCUCUUUAUUAUUAUUGAUUGAUUAUUGCUUAUGAUUGUAUGUUUUAUAUAGGGUCGUUCUCUGUGAACGGCAUUUCUGCUAUGGUAUUAUUCGAUUCGGGGGCUACCCGAUCAUUCGUAUCGCUUGCGCUUAGCAAGAGAUUUAGUAGAGCUCCAGGGGAGCUGGAUUGUCCAUUAGAGGUUGAGAUAGCAGAUGAUAGGACCGUGAGGGUCGGCAGAGUGCAUAGAGGGUGUUCUCUUCAGUUGUUUGAUGAGCAGUUUUCAGUGGACCUGGUACCUAUUCCCCUGCGAGGGAAUAAGGUUAUUGUGGGCAUGGAUUGGCUAAGCCCCAAUGGGGCGGUGAUUGAUUGUGAGCUUCAGCUAGUGAGGGUUCGCACUCCCAGUGGGGGAGAGUUAGUGAUUCAGGGCGAGAGGCCACAGCGCGGACCGACCUUUUGUUCCGCCGCAAGGGCGAGGCGCUAUUUUCAGCAGGGUUGCGCUGGUUAUGUAGCUUAUGUCUUGGAUGCCCGGGAGAAGGGCAAGACGACAGUUGAUGAUGUUCCGAUAGUGCGAGACUUCCCGGAUGUAUUUCCCGAGGAUUUACCGGGGAUACCUCCUGAGAGGCAGGUUGAGUUUGGGAUCGACCUGAUUCCUGGUGCGGCUCCGAUAGCCAAGGCACCGUAUCGCCUAGCUCCCCCUGAGAUGCAGGAGUUGUCUACGCAGCUGCAGGAGCUGCUAGACAAGGGUUUCAUUCGGCCGAGCAGUUCGCCUUGGGGAGCGCCGAUCCUGUUUGUGAGGAAGAAGGAUGGGUCGCAUCGUAUGUGUAUAGAUUACCGGGAGUUGAAUAAGGUAACGGUGAAGAACCGUUACCCACUUCCGAGGAUAGAUGAUUUGUUUGAUCAGCUUCAGGGAGCGUCUUGGUUCUCCAAGAUCGAUCUACGCUCCGGUUAUCAUCAGAUGCGGGUUAGAGAUGAGGAUGUGCAGAAGACUGCUUUCAGGACCAGGUAUGGUCAUUAUGAGUUUGUGGUGAUGCCAUUUGGGCUCACCAAUGCUCCAGCCGCGUUCAUGGAUCUCAUGAACCGCGUGUGUAGGCCGAUGCUGGAUCGGUCAGUGAUAGUGUUCAUAGAUGACAUCUUGGUAUAUUCCAAGACGCAGGAGCAGCACGAGGAGCACCUGCGGGAGGUGCUGGAGGUUUUGAGGAGGGAGAGACUUUUCGCAAAGUUCUCCAAAUGUGAGUUCUGGUUGCGCGAGGUGCAGUUCCUUGGUCACCUCGUCAACCAGAAGGGUAUUUUGGUGGAUCCGGCCAAGAUAGAGGCCGUGAUGCAGUGGGAGGUCCCGAAGUCUCCAUCUGAGAUUCGGAGCUUCCUAGGGUUGGCAGGGUAUUAUCGGAGAUUUAUUCAGGAUUUCUCCAAGAUAGCAGUGCCGCUCACCCGACUGACCAAGAAGUCAGUGGUAUUUCGUUGGGGUCCGGAGCAGCAGACAGCAUUCGAGACCCUCAGGCAGAGAUUGUGCGAGGCUCCGAUCCUUACCUUGCCAGAGGGAGUAGAGGACUUUGUAGUCUAUUGUGAUGCCUCGAUCACAGGUUUGGGAGCAGUUCUGAUGCAGCGAGGCCAUGUGAUAGCUUAUGCCUCGAGACAGUUGAAGCCUCACGAGGCUAAUUAUCCUACCCAUGAUUUGGAGCUGGGGGCAGUUGUGUUUGCCCUCAAGAUUUGGAGGCAUUACCUUUAUGGGGUCCGUUGUACUAUUUACACGGAUCACAAGAGUUUGAGGUACCUUAUGGAUCAGCCGAGUCUGAAUAUGAGGCAGAGGAGGUGGUUGGAUGUGCUAAAGGAUUACGACUGUGAGAUCCUUUACCAUCCAGGGAAGGCCAAUGUGGUGGCCGAUGCCCUGAGCCGCAAGGUGUCGGCGGCCCCUAUCAGGGAUCUAUGUUUGAGGAUGACAGUGAUCACUCCGUUGUUGGAGCGGAUCAAGGAGGCUCAGGUAGAGGGUCUCAAGGAGGAGAGACAGAAGUGUGAGAGGAUCGUGGGCCGAGUAGCCUCGUUUGAUUAUGAUAGUCGUGGUUUGCUGACGCUUCACGGGAGAGUGUGGGUACCGUACUGGGGUGGAGUACGGCAAGUGUUGAUGGAUGAGGCUCAUAAGUCUCGGUUUUCUAUCCACCCAGGGGCGACGAAGAUGUAUCGAGAUCUUCGACCUGAUUAUUGGUGGCCCUGCAUGAAGCGGGACGUCGCCUGGUACGUCGAGAGAUGCCUGACCUGCCGGAAGGUCAAGGCGGAGCACCAGAGACCUCACGGCAGGAUGCAGCCGUUAGACAUUCCCGUGUGGAAAUGGGAGGACAUCACCAUGGAUUUUGUCACCAAGCUUCCCCGGACCGCACGUGGAGUGGAUUCGAUAUGGGUAGUAGUGGAUCGGUUGACGAAGAGUGCCCAUUUUAUCCCGAUCCAGGAGAGUAUAUCGGCGGAGAAGUUAGCCGAUAUCUAUGUGCGAGAGAUUGUGGCACGUCAUGGAGUGCCGGUAUCGGUGGUGUCAGACCGAGAUGUCCGUUUCACAUCCAGAUUCUGGAAGCGGUUCCACGACGAGAUGGGUACUCGUCUCCAUUUCAGCACCGCUUUCCACCCUCAGACAGACGGGCAGAGCGAGAGGACGAUUCAGACUCUCGAGGACAUGCUUAGGGCAUGUGUCCUAGAUUUCGGUGGCAGUUGGGAUACGUAUCUUCCGUUAGCGGAAUUCUCGUAUAACAACAGUUAUCAUGCGAGCAUUGAUCGACCUCCCUUUGAGAUGCUGUAUGGGAGGAAGUGUAGGACCCCGAUUUGUUGGGGCGAGGUCGGUCAGCGAGUCAUCGGGAGCACAGAGGUGGUGCUCAAGACGACUGAGUUGAUCCAGCAGGUCCGUAGUAGACUGCAGACUGCUCAGAGUCGGCAGAAGAGCUACGCCGAUAGGAGGCGUUCGGACUUGGAGUUCCAGGUGGGGGAUAUGGUCCUUCUGAAGGUCUCACCUUGGAAGGGUGUCAUCAGGUUCCGGAAGAGGGGCAAGUUGGGCCCCAGAUUUAUUGGUCCUUUCAGGGUUUUGGCCCGGGUGGGUCGGGUUGCUUAUCGGUUAGAUCUUCCUGAGGAGCUUAGUCAGAUCCACAACACUUUCCAUGUGUCUCAGUUGAGGAAGUGUUUGGUGGAUGAGUCAGCAGUCGUUCCCCUAGAGGAUAUUCAGGUUGAUAGCAGCCUGAAUUAUAUUGAGAGACCGGUCGCGAUUCUGGACCGGAAGACCAAGACCUUGAGGAACAAGGAAAUUCAGUUAGUGAAGGUGCAGUGGCAGCACCGGAAGGGGUCUGAGUGGACGUGGGAGGCUGAGGAGGAGAUGAGAGAGCACUACCCAGAGAUAUUUGCAGAUUCAGCCGUAGCAGACUUCGAGGACGAAGUCUGAGAUAAGUGGGGGAGAAUUGUAACGACCCGUCUCCGGUAUGAUAAUUCCUUGGUAUUUAUUUUGAAGUUUUGCAAGAGGGACUCGGCGAGUUCAUAGCCUGACUCGCCGAGUAGGGUCGGGAUUUCGAGCACGUGUUAGCUGGCGACUCGGCGAGUCCAUAUUCUGGACUCGGCGAGUCUGUCCGUCUGGGAGAAACCCUAAAUCCCCGGGUUGCCCACUAUUUAAGCCACCUUAUAGCCCCCAAUCUCGCCUCCUUCACCCUCAAAAGCUGUGAGAAAACCCUAAUUCGUUCUUGAGUGAUUCUAAGUGAUUUUGUGUGCUAUUGUGAAGGCUUGAAGAAGGAGAAGAAGAAAGGAGCAAGGAGAAGGAUUGUAGAGCAGAGAUUCAAGGGAAAGCAAGAGCUCUUUGAGGUAUUCUUCAGUUUUCCUUCUCUUUUAUGCCUUAAAACCCUUUCUAGAUCUUGUUAAUGCCUUUCUCAAAGCUUUAUGUUGAUAUGGAAGCUCUCUUAUGCCGAGAUAACCUUAGAUCUGUUCAUUUAGGAGUUGUAGAGCCCAGAUCUAUUGCCUUUAUGGAGCUAUUUUGCAUAUUAACCCUAGAUCUACCCCUUUUAAGCAUCUUUUAGCCUUUAUUCCCUUGUUCAUGCGUUUGUACACGUAAAGUUGGAAACUUUACGUGGUAAAUCAGCUUAUUGGACUCAGAUCUAUCAUUUGUAUGUAUUGGAUUCGAGCAGAAUCGAGUGUAGAAUAGUUGCAUGGCGGUGACUCGGCGAGUCGGAAGAACGACUCGGCGAGUCGAGUCGCGAGUCCCCGAUUUCUUCCUUUUGAGCGGUGUCGAGUGGGACCAGUGAGUAGUGGAGUGGACUCAGCGAGUUUGAGGGUAGACUCAGUAAUGGAGGGACUCGGCGAGUUGUUCAUACAACUCGGCGAGUCCAAGGCAAUCUUCUUAAGCUCAAGAACAACUCGUCGAGUUGUUCAUAUGACUCGGCGAGUCGGAUGAAGAUUGUCUGAGUUCUUGGAUCGAAUGAGUACUCGUCGAGUCGAUGCCAUACUCGACGAGUAGCAGCGAGUAGGGUCGAGGAGUGAGAAUAGGGACUCGGCGAGUUGGCGGCCCAACUCGGCGAGUCAGGUCAACUGUGGGUUGACUUUGACCGAGAGAUUUGACUUUGACCAAGGGUAAAAUAGUCAUUUUACCCCAAUGCAGUGAUUAGCAUUUGAUUGAGUGUGUUUAUGGAAUUGUAGCCGGGGAGAUAUCUGAGCAGCAGCAGUUAGCUUCCAGAGCCAUACACACAGCAACCAGUUCACGAGGUGAGUUUUCUUCCAGUGGGAACGGGUCUAAGGCCACAAUGCCGACCUGUUCAGUUAGCAGUAGUUUUUGGACUUCGGUCCAUUGCAGUAGUUAGUAUGUUUGACGCCUCCGUGGCUCAGACAGGAUUUAUGUGUUUAUGCUAGAUGAUAUGUUAUGCUAUGCCGUGUUCAGUGAGUUUCGGACUUCGGUCCGAUGUAGGGGACGGGGGUCCCAGUCAGUUUCGAACUUCGGUCCGAUGUAGGGGACGGGGGUCCCAUCCAGUUUCGGACUUCGGUCCGAUGUAGGGGACGGGGGUCCCAGUCAGUUUCGGACUUCGGUCUGAUGUUGGGGACGGGGGUCCCAGUCAGUGGGCAAGGCCCAGUAUGUGUUUUUUUUAUGUAUUGUAUGGUAUGUGGUAGUUUGGGGGAGCUCACUAAGCUUCGUGCUUACAGUUUCAGUUUUGGUUUCAGGUACUUCCGCAAGCAAAGGGAAGAGCUCGGGAUGAUGGCAUCGCACACACCACAACUUCAGUUUGUCCUGGGAGUUGAUUCAGUUUUCUUGAUAUGUUUGGAUACAGUUGUGUUACAGUUUUUCUCACAGUAUUUUAUUAUGGUUUUUGAAACACGCAACGUAUGGUUUUACUAUGUGAUACUCAGUUUCAUGGUUUUGUUAUGAUAAAAAUUGAAAUUUUUGGGUCGUAUUUUUGGGUCGUUUCACUUCUUCACAGGAACCUUCUUCACAGGAGCCUUCUUCACAUGACUUGGCCCUGUUGCGCUUGAAUCUGGAGUUGAAUGACUUGGACAUGCUGUGGUUGGAGCUGGAGUUGGCUUACUUGGGCAUGUGGCUUUGUUGUGGCCAGUUUGGUGGCAAAUGGUACAUCUUAGAGGAAUGCCUGCCCUUGACACAGUAUGCCUUGUGUGCCCACUUAGCUCUCUUUCUGCCUGAUCUCUUUUCCUUUUAACACAUGGCCUGCCAGGUAACCUCCUCUUUAAUGGAGGCAAAAUAGUAUGAAGUCCUUCAACAUGUGGCCACUCAGAACUGUCAUUGAGUGGAUGGAUGUUAUACUCAUAGCUACUAAGGAAAGAGGCUUUAGUAUAGGAGUUGGAUACAAAAGCCUCCACAUCUAGGUUCAAUGAUGAAAUUGCUGAUAUGGCAUGUACACAUGGAAUGCCUGUGAGUUGCCAGCUUCUGCAUCCACAUGCCCUCUGAUUCAGAUCAACAACAUACCUCUCAUUUCCUGAGAACACUUCAAAUUCUUUGUAGCCACUCACAUAAGGUACCCAAAAUCUGUCAAUAUACAAGAAGAUAGUCAGUUACCAUUAUAAAACCUAUGUAUAAAUAAUGAAAUAAUUACUAACCUUUGCAAUUCUUUCAAAUCCUCUAUUUCCCUUCUGAUACUUGGGCAUAUGUCCAAAUCCCAACUCAAACCAUUUUGCUUCUGCAUCCAUAACCUCUGCAUUGCCCAACAUCUUAUGUCCUCCAACAUUGUUAUCAAUGGUUUCCUUCUAGCAUCAAGUACAACAGAAUUGAAACUUUCAGAAACUCCAUUCUCUACUGCAUCACAAUCCAUACCCUCUCUAAAAAAAGCCUUUGACCAACACCUUGGAUCCCUUUCUAUGAGAUAGUCAUAAGCCCUACUUUCCAAGGACUUAAUCUCAUUCAUUGCUGCUUCAAACUUAGGUACAGUUGUUGCAUUCACAGCCCUCCAAAAUGGUUUAAAGUAUUGUUCUCCUUUAAAUUUUUUGUGGAAAUUAGCUAGAAUAUGUCUAGCACAUAAUCUAUGCUCCACAUCAGGAAGUCUUUCCUUCACAGCUUCAAAUAAUCCCUGAUUCAAACAAUAAAAUGAUUAGUUAAUUAAAUGACCAAAAACAGUUAAAGUUAAUUGAACAAAAUAGAAUGAUUACCUUGUGGCCAUCUGAGAGGAUUGUAAUGCCAUGACCAUUCCCCCCCUCCAAUGUCUUCCAUCAGGUUGUCCAAAAACCAUUUCCAUGUCCUUUUGUUCUCAACAUUGACUAUUGCCCAAGCUAAGGGAUAGAUGUUAUUAUUAGCAUCUCUACCCACUGUUGAUAGGAGCUCCCCUCUACAAACACCCUUAAGAAAGCAACCAUCAACCCCAAUUACCUUUCUGCAUCCAUCUAACCACCCAUCUACAACACCUUUAAAGCUAACAUAAAACCUAUCAAACACCACAGUAUUAUCAGGUUGUGGCUCCAAGAACACCUCAACAUGUGAACCUGGAUUAGCCCUUCUGAUUUCAGCUGCAUAAUCCCAUAAUUUGGCAUAAUGUUCUUUCAAACUUCCCUCAACUUCAGACAAUGCUAACUUUUUUGCAUUCCUACACUGCCCAACACUCACAUUAAUGUUGUAUCUCUUAGAUACUAGGGCUUUCAUUUUCCUCAAACUUAGUUUAGGACUCUCCAAAACAUCAUUCACAAAUUGUUUUCCUAUCCACUUAUAUGUUACAAUUGAACCAAGUUUGCAUGCCCUAGAACACUUGUGAUCUGUUAUAAGAGACUUGAAAAGUGUGUUCCUCUUUCAUCCAGGAAGCAUACAAUCUAAAAGGGCAUGUGGGAUGCUUUCCUUUACAACACCUAACUAGCAACCUAGUCUUGCCAUUCUUUUCAUACCACAGAUCAUAACCAUUUUCUACUGCAUAGCAACUAAGAGAGUAUUUAAGUUCAGCAGUAGUAGAGCAUUUCAUACCUAAUCGAGGCUUCAUCUGAUUCCAUUCUUGAGUAUGAUCAUGUCUUGGGUAGAUAGGUCGUAUUGCAUUAUGAUCUUCUUCAACCAAGUCAUCAUUCUGUAUUGGACAAAGUUUGUUGAGGAAUGGAUCAUUGAAAUUUCUUUUGAGAGAUAUAACUUCAUCGUCCUCUACAUGUUGAGCUUUCAGACCAUCUUCUAAAAUGGAGUCGACAUCAUCAAUAGAAACCAAAUCUUCAUCUUCAAAUUCUGCUUCUUCCUCCUGAAUCCAAUCAAACAAAGGUUCAUGAUGAUGAUCCACAUACAUUAAUCUCUUCUUUUCAUUCAUAUCUUCAAGAAACUCGUUAAAAUCGCAGUCAUUCUGAAUAGCAUGUAAUCCCUCCGACAACCUCACUUCAUGUGGACAGUAAUACACAUCUCUACAUCUUCCGUUAGUAAGCUUUUCAAGAAAGGGGAUGAAAUCACCGAAGUUCAUCUUCUUCACAACCGUCUGAGGUACCGAGGCUUUUACUCCAUCAAAAUAAAUCAAUGGGGUAGGUGUAAAUAGCCCUUGAUAGUGUACAUCAAUGAUCGUAUCCGCAUCUUCUGCCAUUGUUGAUUGUAAUUGUAAAUCAAGAACUUUGAGGGAUUAUCGACUGAGUGAAUGGAGGAAUGGCUUAUUAAAUGAGCCCUAAUUGUCGUUUUAUCCACGUAUGAUGACACAUAUUCAAUUCAUUUCAAGAAAAUAAAAUCAAAAUGUUAUAUGACCGGUAUACCGGCUAUACCAGGUCAAAAGGAUUGAACAAUUACAAAAAAUCGAAUAUAAGGGCUUAAUUUACAAAAAAAAAAAAUAAUAAGGACGAAAUAUGUACAUUUCAAAAAAUAACUUACCCUCUCAAGUCAUUUUCCCUAAGUUUAAUUAUAUAAGAUCAUUUCUUUUUUAUUUAAUGUUAAAAAAUUAUUUUAGUGGAUUGAAUUGGAAAAUAGAUGUCCUUACCAUUAAUGGUAAUCUUAUAUUUAUUUUUACAAAAUUAACCUCCACACCACUCACGAUUUCCUUCAACUUAAAAGGGUAUGCUCAUGCUUAUGAUUUUAGAAUUUUUUAUUACUGAUAAAUUAGGUUAUAGGGUGCAUAGUUUUGAAACAAAGAAUAAUAAUAUUUUUAAAAGAAAAUCUUAAAAAAAUACAAUUAAUAAAAAGAGAAUAAAAAACAACAUAUUUCAUAUAUGUCUUUUAAUAAUUGGCAUGUAAGUUUCAAUUCUAUAAACAUAUUAAUUAAUUGUAACGAGUUUAAAUAUAUGUUUAAUUUUCUUCAUAAAACUAUUAAUUUUAUUAAUUUAGUAUAAUGAAUAUGUUAGCUUUGUGUUUAUUAGAAUGUAUUAGUUAAGUAUCACAUAAUUUUUAACUUAUUUAAAAUUUAAAAGUUAUUUAAUGUGAUGAUAAACUUUUAAUUUAUAAUGGUUCUUAUAUAAAUGAUCAUUUUUUUUUUAAUUUUAUAACAAGUAUUAAAGAAAUGGCAAUUUAUUGUUUUAAAUAGGAAGGUAAAAUAGUCAUUAUUCAGAGUGCAUUCAGUUAAAAAAAACAAUAUUUAUAUCAGCAACACUUUAUCAAUUAAGAUAUCAUUAGCAAUUCAGUCCACUUUAUAAAUUCAACACUUAUAAAAAAGGGGUUUAAGUCAUUUUUUGUCACUUAAUUUUUGGUUUUAUGUUCAUUUGGUCACUUAACUCUUUUUAAGUUUUAAACUGUCAUCAAACUUUUGGUUUUGUGCUCAUUUAGUCACUUAACUUUUGGUUUUGUCACAUUUAGUCACCUAACUUUUAAAAUUAUGCUCAUUUAGUCACUAAACUUUAAAGUUUUUUCAAAAGUUUAGUGACUAAAUGAGCACAAUUUUAAAAGUUAAGUGAUUAAAUGAACACAAAUCUAAAAGUUAAGUGACCAAACAAAAAGUUAAGUGACUAAAUGAGCACAAAUUCAAAAGUUUGAUGACCGUUUAAAACUUAAAAAGAGUUAAGUGACCAAAUGAGCAUAAAACCAAAAUAAGUGACCAAAAAUGAUUCAAACCCUACAAAAAAAGAUCUUAUUAGAUGUUUGGUACAACUAUAAGCCAUUUUAAAAUGGUACAGGUAUCCAAACACUCUUUUUGGCUUAUACAUAUAUGGAACUGAUAACAAGUCAAAAAGCUUCUUAAAUAAGCUUAGCCAAAUACCUUUUAAAAAACAAAAAAAAUGUUUGGGGUUUAAGACUUGCCCCUAAAAUCUUAUGUCAUUAAUAUAAACUAAUGUAUAUGUGAAAAUAUAAUAUGUUAAAAAUGACAAACAUAUAAAACUUAUACAUGAAGAUAAAUUGUUAAUUUUAAUAAAAAAAACUUUAAAAAAAUUGAUUUAUUAAUUAACAUAAGUUUUUUUAGUAGGUUUUACAAAAUAAAUGUUAGAGAAAAUGAUACGAUAAAAAUAACAAGUUUUUUGAAGUUAGCAGUCGCAGAUAUCCUACAAAAUAAAUAAAUAAAUAAAUAAUAAUUAAAAAAACUAUAAGCUGGUCUUUGCCUCCUAUGAAACAAUUUGACAGCUAUAAGAUAUGUUAACUUGUAAGAAGAGCUUGGUUGGUUUUUGGGUGAAUUUGGGAUAAAAAAUAUAUAAAUGUUCAUGAUUUGGCAAUAACAAUGUUAACAUAUUAGUUUUCAAUCCUGACACACCGUUAAGUACAUAAUUUACCUCUUAGGCCGUCUGCUAUACAUAUCACGAACAACGGAACCACGAGGCCAUCACCAGCCACGAACUAUUGUUGGUGUACCCUUCACGACCACGAAGAAGAGAGAGAAGAAGAAGAAGAAGAAGAAGGCUACUCUGAGAAAGAAGAAGGUCGUGGUCCUUCGUGCUGCCCACCACAAAUCACCACGAACACGCCCAACCACAAAUGAUCGGGGUAGUGUGCACGGGCGCUUUUCGUGGCCACAUAGACCACGAGACGGUUCGUGCAGUGUAUACCAGAAGGCCUUACAUAAUGAGUUCAAGAUUGCUCAAUAUGAGUGGGGUUAGAUUUCCAAGAUUCAACAUUUUGGUUUACGGUAAACCUUGGUAAAUAAAUACAAUUUCUCUUACUUCAUUACAUCAAUCGAUUAUUGAAGGUUAUAUGACUAACAUUUAAAUAAAAUGGAAUGGAUUCGAACAUAAAAAAAAAGAUGGAGUAAUCCAACAAAUUUAAUGUCAGUUUAGAUUAUUUACAAAGUUUUAAGUGGACUUUUAUGUUUAUCAAAGGUUUUUGCAUUAAAAAAAGGAAGUAACGGUCAAAUGAACAUCAAAACAUCCCACAAACUUCACUUAACACUUUAAUGAGCACAUAAAACUUAAUUUUCACUAAAUCACUAUGUGUAUUGCAAUCAAAUGGGUUAGAUGCCACCUUUAAAACUUAUAAAACAAUGAAUUUUAUAUAUUAAAAAGGGACCAAAGUAAGGAAUAGUAAACUUGAUGGUUUUUUGGCAGAAAUGGUCCUUUUGUUUAUGUCGUUCUGUCAUCUCCUGGCUUUCUUCUGCCUUUCUUUUCCGGGGAUCUUUUUUGACUAUUUUUGAACUUCUAUCGGCGGUCACCGCCCCUAGGGUUGGUUAAGUCAACCAUGGUCACCGCUCGCUAUCCUUCCCCACAGCCUCUGCCUCUGUUAUCCAAUAUCUUCCGAUUCCAGCUCGAUCCCUUAUCCCCUUUGACUUCUUCGAAAUAUCACCUGGCCAUCUCCACCACCGCUUACUUCCUAUACACCAUCCAACUUCUCUCUUCCGUAACCACCACUAACGCCACCCUCUUUUGAAGCUUCUUCUACCGAUUAAGAAUUGAGGUAAAACAGAUGAAUCAAUCGUUCAAUUUUGGGGUUUUAUUGAAGCAUCUGGGAUGAAGAUAACACAUCAACACCGGUGGAGAAAAAGAUCGAGAAAUCAGUCGUACUCUACCCCCCUGUACAAAUCGAACUUCGACCAAAAUUGCAGGUUAAUUUAUUAAAUUUAUUUUAUUUUUCUUGCGAUGAAGCCCUACUCUAUCCCCAUUGUGUUCGGUUCUUGCUAACGAAGAAGGUAGAUGAAGAAAGAGAUUGAGAACUAGAGAUUAAGAGGUGUUGUUUUGAGGUUUAGGGCAGCGAAACCGCAACUGCCGAUGGGGGUGGCUGAUGGAGGUAAUAAUGGCAGUAUCCAGUCAAGUUAGUGAUGAUUUCUUACAACUAAACAACUUUGAGGUAACGACCAAACAUUAAUAAAAUUGUCAAAUUGUUAUGUCGUUCAAUUUAUUUAUGUUAUAGUUCACGCAUGUUGUUUAUACUCUAGGUUAGGGUUGGAUUCUAUAUCGUUGGAGGUUCAGAGCAGCUUGAAGGUAUGCUUUUGUUACAUUUAUGACGUUGAUAUUGUUUUUAUUCUUUAAAUUCUUUCACAGAUUCCAAUUGUUUUUGGUGGAUUUGUAGGCUGGAAUGGUUAUCGAUGAAAGCCUUUUCAGAUUUGGGAAUACACAAGCAACACCUGCAUAGUAAGAUGAGAAAAAGUAGGCUAAAGUCUCAUGAAGAACAAAAAAGAAAGCAAUGAAAUUUAGAUAUUUGCCUUUUCAAUUCUAAGUUGGGGUUUUCACUAUCUUGCUCUUUUCUAGAAAGAAUGAUCUGACCUUUUUGGUAAACAUACUGAUGUAAUAUUAGCUUUAUCUACAUUCUGUAUUUUAGAUGCCUAUGCUUUUGGGGUUGAUAAGGUUGCAGCAGACUAUCUUGAAAAGCAUGAUCAUGAUCUUAUAUACAGAGCUCGAUCUUAUUGUAACACCCAUAUUGUUCAAGCUAAUUUAAAACUUUUAAAAACAUUUCAAAACCAUUAAAUCAUUACAAACUUGUGUAAUACCGGAUUCCUAGUACGAUUUCUAGUUAUGUAUUUUUUUCUCAUUUUGCCUUGGACUCGGCGAGUUGGAGGCACGGGAUUUUGGCUAGGAGCGAUUUUGGCACGGGAUUUAAGUGAGGGACUCGACAAGUCGGGUCCCAGACUCGGCGAGUCCGUGCUGGACUAGUAAAAUCCUAACCCGAGUGUUUGCACCCUAUUUAAACAUGCUAACUCGACCUCCCUUGUCCCUAACGCUUCCAGAGAGCUGUAGAGCGAAACCCUAGCCCCCAUAUUGUUCUUGUGAGUGAUUUUUGGCUUUGUGAAGGAAGUUUGGAGCUUAUAAGAAGAAGGAGGAGGUUGAAGAGUGCAAGGAGGGGAAGUAGAUCCGAAAUCUACACUGUGAGAAGCUUCCAUUCAGGUAGAAAAGUUCCUACGUUGAUCACUAGUUCAUUAGAUCCCCUUUUUGUCCCUAAUUGGUGGUUCUCAAGCCCUAAAACCUCAAACUCCAUGUGUUUAUGCUCUAUGUUCUGAAAGGACUUCAGAUAUGGACCUUAUGGACAUAUUAGAAGUGUAAAGUCUCUGUGGUUGAAGUGAUUGAGGUCCCUAUUAAGUGUAUAACCUCAUAAAGAGAUUGGAAUUGACUUUUGGAGCUUAUAGGGCCAUGCAUGCACGUAAAGUUUUCAAUGUUACGUGAUAAGCAUGCCCUAGGAGCUUAGAUCUAUGGUUUGGAACCGUUGCAUGUCUCAGAUUUGGUCUGUAUGGGAGGAGGGUUGAAGGGACUCGGCGAGUCCCAAAGCGGAAUCGGCGAGUUCUAUGAAGAUGGUCUUAGACUCGACGAGCUGGAUGAACAACUCGACGAGUCCUAUGAAGAUUGUCUGGAACUCGACAAGUUGUUCUUCAAACUUGGCGAGUCAUAUGAACUGUUACUGAGUUAGGAGGGGUUUAAGUGUAAAAGGUCCAACCCUUCGUAGCUGCACGCGGAAUUAGCAAUUUAACGUGUAGCAAUAGUCCCAGAAACCCAAAUCCUUAAGAUGGAUGCUCUGGUGAGGAUGUGGAAGCGAGUAGGAGAUCUGCUCGUGGGACUCGACGAGUUGUUCUCGAACUCGGCGAGUCGGAUUGCGAGUCGGUCUAAUCGUACCAAGUAGUGAGUUAAGGGUGACUCAGUGAAUGGGAAGAGGGACUUGAUGAGUUAGUGUUGGGAUAGUAGGAGAGGGACUUGGCAAGUCUGUGCCAUGACUCGAUGAGUCCAGUCAACUGGAAGUUGACUUUGACCAAGGAGUUGACCUUGGACCAAGAGUAGGUCAGUCAUUUGACCUAAGGGUAUUUAUGAGUGACUAAUCUAUGUUUAUGGAUUUAUAGCCGUAGGAUUACCGGUGCAGCAGUCAGACGUCUAGCAAGCAGACUUCAACAGCUACUUUUUGAGGUGAGUUACCUUCCAGUAGCGGUGGGUCUACGACCACAAUGUCGGCCCACCAGUAGGGAUCGUAUGUUAGAUGUUUGUCUUUGUGAUAUUCAUAUAUGUUGCUACUACCUGAUAUGUUAUAUGCUAGCGAGAUAGGAUAUGUGAUAGUGAUAGAGUUCGGUUGUUAGGACCGAAAGGGUAGGUUAGGCACCCCAGAUAUGCCUAACAGUAUGUUAUGAUGCCUAACAGUAUGUUAUGAUAUGUUUAGCUGCUAGCAUGAUAUGUUAUAUGAGAUAGAGGUAGUAGAAGGGGGAAAGGUCCCCGAGAUUCGGUCGUUAGGACCGAAGGGUAGGUCGGACACCCCAAAUAUGUCUGACGAUAGAUUAUGCUAUGAUAUGUGUGAUAGUAGUAGUAGGGGGUGAAAUAGUCCCCGAGGUUCGGUUGUUAGGACCGCAGGGUAGUCAGCACCCCAGAAUAACUCGACAUUGGUAGGUCAGCGCCCCAGAAUGGCUUGACACGGGUUGGUCGGCACCCCAGAAUGGCCGUACGGGUAGGUCGGCAUCCCAGAAUGGUCGUACCAGGUAGGUUGGGCACCCCAGAAAUGCCUGGCAGUAUGUAUGUGAUAUGAUUGUAUGGUAUGUGGUACGAUGGGGGAACUCACUAAGCUUUGUGCUUACAGUUUAAAAUUUUGUUUUCAGGUACCUCUUCAGCGAAGGGGAAAGAGCUGGCGCGGUAGCGGCACAUCAUACACACACAUUGGUUUUUUCACAUUAUGAGAUGUUCUGGGAUUGUACUCUGACAUUAUGAUUAUUUUCAUGCUUUGGUUUCAGACACGAGAUAUGUUUUAUGAAUUGAUAUGUUCGGAUGAUGUUUUACUACUAAAGUUUUGUUAACCACUUAAUUUAAAAUGAAAUUUUUGGCCUGUAUUUUUGGGACGUUACAACUUGUUUUCAAAAUGUAUCAUAUCAGAGUUUUCCAAGAAACAUAAACAAAACAUGAGGAGCUGUACGAUCACGCCUUCGCCUUGUCGCGAUCCCCUGAUGUACCUGAAACAAUAAACAAAAACUGUAAGCCCGAUAGCUUAGUGAGUUCCCCAAAAAUACUGAUACACUACACAUAACACAUUUACAAUUAACAACAUAUACUGGGUACACAACUUUACAGACUGGAUUACCCCUUGGGCCUACAGUGUGAGUCUGGAUUGCCUUCCGGGCCCACAGCUCACAUCUGGAUUGCCAUCGAGCCCACAGUACGAGUCUCCCUCAGCUUGUAUCUAGAAUGCUCCCGGGUUUGUUGAUUACCGCAUAGAGCAGUAUCACCUCAACCCAUCUCACAUAAUAUGUCGACAUAUUACACAACUAAUGCACAUACAAAUAAUCACAUGAUACUACAGGUAGUCCUAUAGAUCUACUUAACUGGCAUAGCAACUAACAUGCAACACUAACUCAUACUCAACAUACUACCAACUGCUAGGAAAUCAUAUCCAAUGGGCCGACCUUGGUGCCUUAGACCCCUUAGUAUAGUGAGGAUAACUCACCUCGCAAGUAGUGUCGAAAUACUGUAAAUCUCUGACUGUUGUCCCACCGGGAAUUCUGAACUAUCACAUAAUCAAUACUAAGUUAAUACCCAAAAUAACCUUCCUGACUAAGUGUCCACAUCACUCAUUAAGUCCAUUUUCUUUAUUGGGCCAAGGCCCAAUUACCAAGUCCUUGACUUGAAAGUCUUAUUGUCCCAAUUUACUAAAUUAGGCCUAACCCCAUGAUCCACUAUCACUACCUCGACCAAAAUAUCCUAUUUACAAAGUCCAGCAAAGGCCCAAUUCCAAUUAGUCCAUAAAAAGCCCAAUCCCGAAGCCUAUUUGUCAAUGGCCCAACAGAGGACGUACGUGGCGUGUAUUCCUCUAGUACGCAGGGCGUACUCAUCCAGACGUUGACCACCAUCGGGGUGGUUGACCCAGUACGCUGGGCAUACCGGAUUUACGCUGGGCGUAUUGGACAAUUUGCCAAAACCUCAUUAAGUGCUUAAUGGCUUAAGCUCUUAAGGCUAAAUUUCAGAUCCAGAGACCUAACAUGCCUAGGAUCCAUAAAGUCAUGAACUUUAUCACUUUGGACGUCCAUAAAGUCCUUAAUGCUUGGUCUUAAUCCAUUAAGACCAUAUUUUUCCAUGCAUGGGACACAUUCAACUAAUGAGACCUCAUUUUUAUCAUUCAAGGUCCCUUUAAGAGUCUGUAAGGACAACUCUUUUCAUCCAAAUCACAACAUGCACCACCUCAUGGCUUUUGGGACAAGAAAUGCUUUUAAUAAUGUAAAAUGAUGAGAUUUAUGCAUAUAUGCAUAAAUUUUGGAACUUUAUACCUUCUGGAGCUUCUUGAGAACAAGCUAACUUUAGAUCUACAAGCUUGAUCUUCUUCUUCAACACUUUGAUGCAAUGCCUUCCUUUCCGAAAUCUCGGGAUGUUACAGUUCUCCCCCACUUGACCUAGACUUCGCCCUCGAAGUCUGUUGCAGAAAAUAGAUCUGGUUAAUGUUCCCACAUCUCGGACUCAGGCUCCCACGUCCACUCGGAUCCCCUACGAUGCUCCAAUUGUACCUUCACCAAAGGUAUCUCCUUGUUCCGUAAAACUUUCAUCUUCCUCUCCAGUAUGGCCACAGGCCUCUCCACGUAAUUCAUGUGCUCAUCAACCUGAAUAUCAUCCAACAACACCAGUGCCUCUAUAUCCAUAAUGCACUUUCGCAACUACGAAACGUGGAAAGUGUUGUGGAUCCGACUAAGCUCCUCUGGUAGCUCUAACCUGUAUGCCACCUUGCCAACCCUGACAAUGAUCCUAAACGGCCCAAUGUAACGGGGACCCAAUUUCCCCCUCUUCCUAAAGCGGAUUACACCCUUCCAAGGUGAGACCUUCAGGAGUACCAUAUCACCAACCUGGAACUCCAACUCAGAUCGGCGUAUGUCAGCGUAACUCUUCUGCAGACUCUGAGCGGUAUGCGGUUGUUGCCUAAUCUGCCGAAUCUUCUCAGUAGUCUGCAAGACUACCUCCGUCCGUCCCAUCACCCUGUGUCUGACCUCACCCCAACAAACCGGGUGUGACAUCUCCGCCCAUACAACAGCUCGAAAGACGGGGCGCCAAUGCUGGAAUGAUAACUGUUGUUGUAGGCGAACUCUGCAAGGGGUAGGUGGGAAUCCCAGCUUCCAUCGAAGUCAAUGACACACGCCCUAAACAUAUCCUCAAAGGUUUGAAUGGUCCGCUCACUCUAACCGUUGGUCUGCCGAUGAAAAGUUGUGCUAAAGUGCAGUCGCAUGCCCAAUUCUGUUAAAUAAGUUGUCUAAGUCCAUAACUAUAUUUGGUAUGUACUUGACCCGACCCGGCAUGGUCCAUUUGGGUUGCAUGACAUCAUGCAUUUGGAUAGACUUAAUGAGAGAAAUAACACUUAUGGUUUAUUGAUAUAUUAUAAGUUCUAAUAUAUUAAUAGUAUUAUUUAAUUAGUACUGAUCAAGAAUUAAUUUGGAAUUAAUUAAGUGAUCAAAAGAUAACUAAUUAAAUAUAUGGGUUGAUUAUGUAAAUCAUCCAUAACUUGUAUAGUGGGCUAAAGGCUCCAUGGAUUGUCAAGUUGGGUUAAACCCAUAGGAUGCUCCAUGGGAGUUACAAACCCAUGGGUCAUGGAAAUGAAGAGUCAUGUCACAUUAGGGUUUACAUGGUGUAACCCUAGAUGUGACACACUAUAUAAGGAACAUGAUACUCACCAAAAUUGACUACACUAAGAAUAAUAGAGGGCAAGUCGAUUUUUACAAGUGAUAUACAUACUCUAAAGUUAUUCCAAAGCAUUUGGUGUUGUGUGAAACAUUUGAGGCAUCACACUUGGGGUGCUAGGCUCUCAAGGUUUUCAAGGAAUCAAAUCAACUACAAGGUAUGUAAUUCUAGCCAUCUUUUAUGUUAAAAGUUCCCCAUGUAUGCUAGAUAGGAUUAUGAACCUUGGAAAUCAUAUUUUGCAUGUAUUUUAGACAAACAUAGAUCCAAGGUUUUCUAGGGUUGCAUGUACACUUAGGGGUGUUAGAAUACUCAAAGCCCAUCAGUGGUAUCAGAGACUAGGCUUGUUUGUUAAUACUUGAUGCAAAAUAAUGUAAAAUUCGAAUUUUUGAGAUGUCUGCAUAGGGGACUCGAUGAGUCAAUGGGGGGACUCGACGAGUCCAAGUGAAAAUGCAACCAACUCGGCGAGUCAGUUUGUGCACUUGAUGAGUUGGCCAGGCAGAGUGCAGAAUUUCGAUUUUUACUGCUGCAAAUGGACUAGAAACAUUACCCUAAACUAUUUUGGUGUUGUAAAACUUGUUUUAGAUGGUGUAAUGGUUGUUCUAAUCCGUUUACAAUAGCUAAUAUCAAAAUUACAUGAUUAUAUGUGUUCAUAUGUUCUUGAGAUUUUGAUAUGGAUAUUCAUGUUCUUAUGAGUUUUUGAUAGAUCAUAUGAAUUACUUGUUUAAAUGCUUAAUUCAUGAUCUUUAUGUGUUUUAAUGAAUUCCAUAACUUGUCCUCAAGUUAUGGAUAACCAAAAGUCUCUUUGUGUUAAAAACCAUUAAAAGAACACAUAAGUUACAAAAAUGAAGAGUCUUCAUUUUAAUAAACAGGUUUUGUUAAGUUACAAAACUUGCCAUCAAGUUUUGGCACAUGUAAAGUCAUCUAAUAAACUUUAGUUCUAACCCCUAUAUUUUUAAAAGUUAAAAAUCAACCCAUAUACUUUAUACUAUUAUAAAUUAAUAAUAUAUAUAUAUAUAUAUAUAUAUAUANAUAUAUAUAUAUAUAUAUAUGUAUAAGAGCAAGUCGUCUUACCAUUAGUAGGCCUCAUUCAUGAAGCCGGUCUAUAAGAGGGUAUAAGGUUGUUGCCUAUAAAAUGGCAGCUUAAUGGGUGUCCUCUCUCACCCACCACUUCCUUGAUCGGUGGAGGGUCGUUAGCCGAACGGGUAGGACAAAGACUUAUAAAUCUCAUUAAAAGUAUGAUGAAUAUUAUAAAGUAGCUAAAUGUUUUAUUGAAUUCCCAGUCUUAGUUACUUUAGGAAAAUGUGAAUAAGGUGCUAAUCCAUGAAAUUACACUUUACACUUUGAUUAAGUCGUUAGUGGAGCGUGUGUGGUUAACCGACACACUAACCUGGACUUAACGUUUAUUAUAGGUCGGUGGAGCGCGUGUGGUUAACCGACACAUCGAUUGAGUGAUAAACUUUAAGGGUACCAAGUGAUUUGCAUGGUUACUUCACACAUCGUUUUGUGAUCCUCGGUAUCCCAGUCACAAAACUUGGAGGGCACACUUGAUAUUGAAACAUGCCUUUGAAAAGUUCAUUGAAUCUCAAAAGAAUCUAGGAAUUUCUAAGAACCAAUUAAAACCUAAUAAUUUAUAUUUCGGUUUUUGGUGGAAAUUGGUGAAUCGUCAUUCACCUACCUUUCAAAUAUGUUAUAGUUAUGGAUGAUUAUGUAAAUCAUCCAUAGUUGUAUAGUGGGCUAAAGGCUCCAUGGAUUAUCAAGUUGGAUUAAACCCAUAGGAUGCUCUAUGGGAGUUACAAACUCAUAAGUCAUGGAAAUGAAGAGUCAUGUCACAUUAGGGUUUACAUGGUGUAACCCUAGAUGUGACUCACUAUAUAAGGAACAUGAUACUCACCAAAAUCGGCAACACUAAGAAUAAGAGAGGGCAAGCCGAUUUUUACAAGUGUUAUACAUACUCUAAAGUUAUUCCAAAGCAUUUGGUGUUGUGUGAAACAUUUGAGGCAUCACACUUGAGGUGCUAGGCUCUCAAGGUUUUCAAGGAAUCAAAUCAACUACAAAGUAUGUAAUUCUAGCCAUAUUUUAUGUUAAAAGUUCCCAAUGUAUGCUAGAUAGGAUUAUGAACCUUGUAAAUCAUAUUUUGCAUGUAUUUUAGACAAACAUAGAUCCAAGGUUUUCUAGGGUUGCAUGUACACUUAGGGGUGUUAGAAUUCUCAAAGCCCAUCAAGUUCCUCGUGGAGCUUCUACCAGAAACGGGAGGUAAGUCUAACAUCCCGGUUGGAAACAAUGGAGACCGGAACCCCAUGGCGAGCGACGAUCUCGCGAACAUACACGUCGGCCAACUUCUCGGCCGACGAACUCUUCCGAAUAGCCAAGAAAUGGGCACUCUUGGUCAAUCGAUCCACAAUAACCCAUAUAACAUCAAACCCUUUCGCCGUGCGCGACAGCUUUAAAUGAAAGCCAUCGUGAUUUGUUCCCAUUUCCACAUGGGAAUCUUUAGAGGCUGCAACAUACCAUGCGGCCUCUGAUGCUCGGCCUUGAUCAUCCUACAGGUCAAGCACCUCUCGACAUACCAAGUCAUUUCUUGCUUCAUACAUGGCCACCAGUAACUCAAACUCAGGUCUCUGUACAUCUUUGUGUCCCCCAAGUGAAUAGAUAAAUGAGACUUAUGUGCCUCCUCCAUGAUUGUCUGUCUGACCCCACCAGACAUCGGAACCUAUACCCGACCGCAUCGGGUCAAUAAUCCUUGGCUAUCCUGUACAAACCGGGUGCUCUCAUCCCUGAUCCUCUCCAGCUUUCAGUUCUCAGGUCGCAUGCCCUCAACCUGAGCUUCCUUAAUCAAACUCACCAGCGGAGAAUCCACCACUAUCCUCAAUACAUAUCGCUGGGGUGGAAGACCCAGCUGACUUGCGGCUCAAGGUGUCCGCCACCACAUUCACUUUACCGUGGUGGUAAAGGAUUUUGCAAUCGUAGUCCUUGACUACAUCUGGCCACCUACGCUGUCUCAUAUUCAGGUUUGGCUGAUCCAUGAUGUGUCUUAAGCUCUUGUGAUCCGUGUAUAUGGUACAACGGACCCCAUAUAGAUAAUGUCUCCAUAUCUUAAGAGCGAACACCACCACUCCCAGCUCCAAAUCAUGCGUAGGGUAUCUAGUCUCAUGCGGUUUUAGCUAUCGCGAUGCCUAGGCUAUCACUCGUCCUCUCUGCAUGAGGACCGCCCCAAACCUGUGAUGGAUGCUUCACAGAACACUACAAAAUCCUCAACUCCCUCCGGGAGAGUCAAAACUGGAGCCUCGCACAAACGCUGAUGGAGGGUUUCAAAUGCCCUCUACUGCUCAAGGCCCCACCAAAAAUCCACCCCCUUCUUCGUCAGACGAGUGAGGGGUACUGCAAUCUUGGAGAAAUCCCGUAUGAAUCUCCGGUAGUACUCUGCUAAUCCCAGAAAGCUCUUGAUAUCUGAAGGAGAUUUCGGCACCUCCCACUGCAUGACUGCCUCGAUUUUGGCUGGGUCGACCAAAAUCCCAUCCUGAUUAAUGAGAUGCCUGAGGAAUUGCACCUCUUGUAACCAAAACUCACACUUCGAGAACUUGGCAUACAACCGUUCUCGUCUCAGAACUCUCAACAACUUCCUGAGGUGCUCCUCGUUCUACUCUCGAGUCUUGGAAUAUACCAAUAUAUUAUCAAUAAACACUAUGACCGAGCAAUCAAGCAUCGGUCUGCAGACCCGAUUCAUCAGUUCCAUGAAUACUGUUGGCGCGUUGGUGAGCCCAAACGGCAUCACCACAAACUCAUAAUGUCCAUAACGAGUCCGAAACAUGGUCUUCUCCACGUCUUCCUCUCUGACCUGGACCUGAUGAUACCCCGACCUCAAAUCAAUCUUGGAGAACCAAGAUGAACCCUGCAACUGAUCAAAGAGAUCAUCUAUCCUCGGGAGUGGAUAACGGUUCUUCACCGUCAACUUUUUCAAUUCCCUAUAAUCAAUGCACAUCCGGUGCGAGCCGUCCUUCUUCCUGACAAAGAAGACCGGUGCUCCCCAUUGAGAACUGCUAAGUUGAACGAACUACUUGCCCAAUAGUUCCUGCAGCUGUAAUGACAACUCCUGCAUCUCAGGUGGCGCUAACCGAUACAGUGCCUUGGCGAUAGGAGCAACACCUGACACCAGGUCGAUCCGGAACUCGAUCUGGCUCUCCGGUGGUAUCCCUGGAAACUCCUCUGGGAACACGUCAGGAAACUCUCUAACCACUGGAACCUUCUAAACUUGAGUCUGAUCUCUGACUCGCGUAUCCACCACAUACGCUAUGUCACACCCCGAACUGUCUGAAAUAAACGGCGGAAACGUCUGGGGGCGGGUGACGUCAUGCGUAGUAUCAUAACAAUCAUAUCAUAGCAAUCAAAGUACAUACAACCAUUACAUUACAAUAUGAAUAUUUACAUCUGUUUGAAAACAUGAUUUGUAUACAUCAAAAGUAGCAAAAGACAAAGACAAGACUCCAAAAAUGCUUUGUCUUCUCCAAAGGAUGGCAAAGGUACCUGUCUAUCGUUGUCCUGAGAAUACAAGCGGUUUUGAAAACAUAUCAGCAUAAAGCUGGUGAGUUCAUAAGCAUGUUUUUGUAUUGAAAACUAGUCACUGAAUUUGUACAAAUGAUUUCUUUUCAUUAUAAGUAAAAUAUCGUUGAUAUCGAAACAUGGUCAAUCACCAGCAAGUAAAAUGUAUUACAUUUAAAAGCCCUAGCUAUAUCCAGUAAGUGAGGUGUGUUACAUUUGAAAACCCUGGUUACCACCAGUUUGUGAGGUAGUUUUAUUUUUUAAAAUAAAACCAAAGGUUGCGUCCCUGGAAUACCCUCCAGUGUAGUAAGUAGGUAGUUUUAUUAAUUAAAAUAAAACUAUUGAAGAAGGAAAAUCCCGUAAACAAAGGUUAGUUUAUACUUAUUGUGAGUCGUAUAACCAUGCUAUUAUGACUGAUGACCUCCUUGACGUUCUUCAGGCGUUGCAUGAUUACAAAAUUUUUCACCCCAUGCAUGCCUGCCUAACUGUAGCUAAUAGUUCAGGUGUGGGAUUUUCGGUCCCGAAUAGAUCUAUUCACAAAUUUCACACUCUCCCUCCAGGAGAUUCUGGUUAUACUAAAGGUGAGGAUUUACCAGUACCCCCAGGGGUACCAUGAAGAUAGGUCUCACAAUCCUGUAUUAACUAGUUUACAUGUAGUUCGGUUGUUCUCGAGUUCGAAAUCGUUUGUAUACGGUGUAGAGUAUAAAUAAUUAUACGCAAAAUAAUUAUUUCGUAUGAUACUCUUGUUAUCUGUAUAUAGAGAUGGAUAAACUAAGUCUAUCAUAGUUUAUAUGUUCGACUGUAUAUGUGGUUUUAAAUCUAUAAAAUUGAUAAUGAAUUUCCCAAACUAUACCUAUUAUAGUUUGAAUGAUAUGUUAUGUUCGUUUACUAUCUUGAAAACUACGCAAUUAUAUUUAGAAAACAUCCCUUAUGCUCCGCAUAAUACAAAAGGGAAUAAUUGUCUCUAUGUUUUAUAAAACAUGUUGGAUCGUAUCAAUUGCAUCAGUUUUAAGUGGUGAAAACCUUUAUGUUUGGCUUGUAUCCCCAUUGAAAACGUUUUAAAAACUAUAAAAGCGUAGGGGUAUGAACUCACUGUUUGACGUAGGAUUUGAGCGUAAGAUCGGUGUGGCUGCUGAGUGUCAACUGAUGUUUCGUACGCAAGUGGAUCCUAUUAACAUAUGGUAACAUAUAUAUAUAUAUAUAUAUAUAUAUAUAUAUAUAUAUAUAUAUGUGUGUGUGUGUGUGUGUGUGUAUUAGAUUUGGGGUAUUUCAUGACUAAACAUGACGGGAAACCACCCUAAGGACCUGGAAAUGCUCGAACUAAGUGUCUAAACCAUAUAUGAUUGAACGAGGGAGGUGUAUGGCCACCCUUUGGGGGUGUAUGACCAUGGGUGGUAUGAUCCAUGAGUGUAUGACCAUACAGUCAUGAUGGGGAGUGCUUUUGAGGUGUUUCCAAGGUCCUACAAUCAUCCAAGGAGUGGUUCUAGGCCCCAUACUUAGUGGUUUUGCGAGUUUAAGGCCAAAAAUGGACAUCAUAGUGGGUGUGCCGCCCUGAGGAUGUGUGUGCGGUUGUACGAAGGGGUGUGCGGCUGUACAAAGGGAUAUGCAGCCGUACACUCUCCAUGUUUAUGCCCAAGAUGUCGAUUUUGAGGUGCUUCAAGGCUAAUACCAAGUCCAACUAGUAGAUAGGGGCCAAACUCUCACUUUGGAGAGCCCUUUUUAUGGUGUGUAUGGUCACCUUGUGAAGGUGUGCGGCCGUACACCUUCAAAGGAUGAAGAACAUGAUGAAUUAAGGCUUAGAUCAAUAGGUAUUACAAGUAUAACAAGCUAGAUGAUGGAAUACUCAUGUUUUCGAAGCCUUUGGAGAGUCCUUUAGAUGAAGAUUCUAGAGAGAGAAAGUAGUAGUGGGCAGCCAAAUGAAGAAAAGAGUGAAAGAGAGGGGGUCUCCUUAUAUUUAUAGGGGUGGGUGACCCACCACCUCGGGUGUGCGGUUGAGGGGUGGGUGUGCAGUCGCACACCCAUGUGUACGACCGUACACUCCUCCCAAGAGGAUGUAUGGCCCGGUUGUUGUACUAUGACUUGGUAUUACUCGACCUGGAACCCAAAAUUUGAUUGUACGAGGCUUAGAAUGCUUUAUCAAAUCCUUAAACGGUGUUAAAUGGUGACAGAAUCGAGUUUAAUAUUGAUAUAAUUGACCAAUCGUACAAGUUAGAAGUUUCAGGUUGUCACACGCUAGGCAACCCACACAACCGUGCUGAAUAUACUGCUGAGCCCUGGCAGCUGAACAAAACCUUGAUCCCACUCUGGUGCCCUUGCCAUAUACAAUCAGUUCUCCCCCACUUGGUGUUCGAACUACCACCCCUUGACCCUCACAAUCAAUCAUGGCACCGAACCGACUAAGCCAAUCUAUCCCCAAAAUCACACACACCUUCCCCAUGGGGAUCAGAAUCAAAUCUAUCGGAAAGGACACUCCGAAAAUCUCCAACUCGCAUCCUCGGUAGACCAAAGAAGUAGAAACCUCAUGUUAGUUGGCGAUAGAGACUCGCAACGGACACUCUAGCUAGCCUAAAGGUACACUGAACUCCCUACUAAAUGUCUGAGAUACGAAAGACCGACUCACCCCCGAGUCAAAUAAAACCAAUGCAAGUAAGGAGUUCACUAAAAACGUACCUAAUCACAGGUAUAACAGAUAAGCAUAAAACAUAUAUAAUAAAUGAGAUAAAGGAUAGAAACAUACCAACAACCACAUCCGGUGACGCCCCUGAGCCUUUGGAGGCUCUACCUUAACUAGCCUCCCAUCCGCAAUCCUCAAUGUAGUCGGCGUGGGAACCCGUGCCGUCUUAGUGGAAAGCAAUGGGCAGUUGGCCUUCAAGUGGCCAACUUGAUCACAGUGAUAACAUAUCCUCAUACUCGGAACCGGGGCGGCCUGGCGACAAUCCUUCGCAUAAUGCCCUUCUUUGCCACACCUGUGGCUAGAGGUGGCAAUCAUGUCAUGUCGUCUCGGGUUCGUGUUGUGUCGAAACACUAAACGGGUUGAAAGUGCUUGACCUUAACCCGACCUAUUUAUUUUUGUGUUGAGUUCGUGUCGUGUUUCGGGUUAGGGCUAUACCUUGAAAUAUGUUGUGUCAUGUGAGGUUAAAAGAUUGAGCAUGUUGAAAGAGUAGGAGUUGGGUAGGCGGAAAGGAAAAACUAAUAGUUUGGAGGCAGAAUAGAUGAAGUCAUAGCAAGUUCAGAUGACAAAAUUAAAAGAGUGGGAUUUGGGAAGGCGGAUGACAAGGUCAUGAGGAUGUGAGAGUGGUGAAAGAGACUGGGUAGUUUGGGAGAGAAUGGAAAAACUGAAAUGAAGUCUUGAUCUGGACAGCUAAGUCAUUUCAACAUUGAAAAACAAUUCAAUUCGAAGGUUUUCUUUUACUUAUGGUUUUGGUUUUGUAUCUUUCUAGUUUAUUUAAAUAAUUCAAAAAACUUGCAUAUAAAUAAACGGGUCAUUUUCGAGUCAUAUUCGAGUUGAAAUUCUCAACCCUAACCUUACCCAUUUAAUUUUUGUGUCGUCUCGUGUCAACCCGUUUGUUUAAACGGGUUGAAAUGUAUUACCUAAACCCAUUUAUUUCGUUUCGGGUUCGUGUCGGGUUUCGUGUCGUGUUAAUUUUUGCCACCUCUACCUGUGGCACCCACUACCAGCUCGACAAACCCCAGAAUGACCCCUGCCGCACUUUCCACAAGUGCGGCUCUGCUGAACCCCGGUCCUAGAAUCGGCAGUCUUAGACCACUUAGGCGCCGACUGCGACUGAGCUGAGGCCUGCCGCUGCUCCCUCAACUACAACUUAAUCUCUAACUUACGCUGCCUAGCGGCCUCCUGUAACUCCAGAAGAGUAUCACAUCGUUGGGUAGACACAAACUGACAGAUGUCAGUCUUGAGCAUGCUCAGAUAACGGGUCAUCUGAGCCUACUCGGAAGCAAACUCUGGGCAGAACAUCGCCCUCUCUAUGAACAUGCGGGUGAUCUCCCUCACCGACUCCCCAUCCUGUCUCAAACUCAAAAACUCUUGUGACAAACGUUACCGCGCAACCCUUGGAAUGUAUUGGGCGUGGAACAUAUUCCUGAACUGCUCCCAAGUAACAACAGCUCUCUGAUCAUCAGUGUACGACCCAGUCGUCAAUCUCCACCAGUCCUUGGCCCCAGAAUUUACCAGGUUCAGAGCACACCUGACCUUCUGGUCAGUAGGACACGAGCAGGUAAAGAAACACCCCUCCACAUCUGAAACCCACCUCAUAGCCUUGAUGGGGUCCUGAUUCCCAUCAAAAGUAGGGGGCUUCAUGUUAUCGAAGUCCCUAUACUGGNACUGGCUCCUCCCCCUGCCGUUGUUAUAGCCGAUGCAACUACAACGACAACCGUCUCUGUAAGGGUUGCAUAUCGCUUGUCGAAGUACUCGACUAUGGCGGUCUUAAUAGACCCAAACAUCUUUGAUAGCUAUGCCCGGAACAAAGUGGCAACCUCAUCAUGCAGGAUCUUUCGAAUCUUGGCGUCUAACUCAUCUGUACCCAUCUGCACCACAGACUCAGGUGUUGCUGUCCCCUCCUAGCCUCCGUCUCCUGGUCCUGAUCCUGAACCGGAUCCAGUCACAAAGCGUCUCAUCAUCACCAUUCUGAAACAUACCAAAAGAUAUCAUAUAGUACACAUAAAUAACUGGGAACCAAUUCCCGACUAAACCCUAGGGGUUGUGACUUCCUUGCUAAGCGUAUGGGUCUUGUGAUUUCAGUAGUACGGGUCCAUACUACCUUCCACACCUACCCAUAUUUGUCUCAAGUAUCACCACAACACCCUAACAAUACACAUGCACCUGGUGGUCGCUCAACCUCAACCCUAGAGGAAGGCUAACUAUCUCACAACUAGCCUUCCGGCCUCACACAACCCACUCAUCCAUGAAACUUCCACCAACCAUGCAACACUAGUGUAUGCUAGCCAUGAAUAAUGUUGGAUGUUGAGUUAAUAAACUCUUAGAUCGAUUAGAUCUUCAACAGGUUAAUCAGAAAAACAAACAAACAAGCACAGAAAACACAAGAUGGAAUCAAAUGAUGCUUAAUGAUUCAAAUGUAGUCAUGCCUCAACAGAUCUCGAUGAAGAACUUCCACUGUAGAGGCGAGCUAGGGUUUGUAGUACAAUCAAUGAGAAUUAUUAUCAAAAACGCACUAACUAAGGAUGCAUGCAUGCACCUUAAAUACUAAACCCUAAUGAAAUAAUCAUGGUUGGACAACAAAAUCUAAGGACCGAGCGCAAGACGCAACACUUCUAGACCCAACAAUCUCCCCCUUUGCGUCAAUUUGGGGCGAGACUUCACUUCGGUGGAGGUUGAGCAGUUCGCUUCACAGCCUUGAACAGUCUUGGAAUAAUGGUAAGAAGAGUCUGUCUAAAAGCCAUAUACCAUCGAAGCAUUUCAGAGAAUAGUUUCUUGUCAGCUUCACUAUUUUGAUCACAACCAUGAACAAGCUCCAAAAUGUGCUCCAAGCAGGCAGUAGAGAAUAGAUGUUUGUCAGCCAAAGAAAAUAGGCACCUCUGAACUUCAACUCUAAGAAACAAGACAGCGUGGGAUAGUGGAUCAAUCUUUCCCUUCACCAUCAGCUUAGUAUCUCCUGCCUUCCCUAAUGGCUUGAUAGUGGGUCUCUUGUAAGUAGCAGCAGCAACCUCUUGAUCCAUCUUUGCCACUUCAUGAAUGUGACACACUAGCAUACGCUUGAUGUGAUCAAUGAUUGGCUCAUAAUCAUUUUCAUUGGAGAGUAGAAUGUUAAUCAGGAGAAUCCAAUCAUGUGGAUUCAGAUUGGGCAAGUCAGCAAGUGAAAUUGUAUGGACCGAACCUUUAGAUCCUCGAGUCACCUUGAACUUGACAUUAAUGAACUUGCCAGCUACAGUAGGCUUCAUCACCUUGAUAGUUGUAAUCUUUUUGUUACUCCAGGUUAGGUACUGAGGCUGAGAGAAUUUAUGAUAAUAUUCCAGUAAGUCCUGAUCAACCUUCGGGUCUGGAGAGGGAACUGCAACUGUAGGCUCAAAACAGUGAAAGAUGAAAGCCUUGCGAGUGAUUGGCAUAUCAAAUUGAGAAUAUUUAAAAUUUUCGACAUUGAAAGAGAGAACAGGCUCUAGCCAAUGUGAACUUGGAGCUUUAAUAACCUCCUUUCGAAGCCUUUCCAGCGUCCAUAGAGGAAAUUUCAAUUUUCUCUGAUUAAGCAACAUAUUUGCUUCUCUGUCCUCUUUCUCCUUGUUGAAUGCUUCAGUAACCUUUUGGUUAAUCUCUUGAGUAGAAGGCUUGGAUUUGAAAAUACUCAUUAUAGGGAUCGUAUCUUCAAAAUCAUCAUCAUCAUUAGCAAUCCCUUUACCCUUAUCUUGCACACCCGAACCCAAAGCAUCUUUCCCUUUCGGUUCGACAACCACUUUCGGCUUUUGAGGUUUCGGUGGUUGGGAUGAGAUCUUUGCUUGUUCUCCCCUUUGUUGUGGAGGGACAACGGACUCCGAAACACCCUCUAUUCUGAUUAAAAUGUCAAGAGCAGGUCGUAGCUUCUCAGCUAAAUGUCGUCUGACUAAAAUGGUAAGAACCGGAUUGUGGGCUUCAAGAAGAUGGAGAAGAAUGGAGCGAACAUCUCCAACAGAGCUCUUUACCACAAACCGCUCCGAACGCAAAUCAUCAAGUUCCUUGUUCACUUGAUUAAGCUUCAAAAUCUGGGUCUUUAGUUGAGUAGUCUUCAGAGCUAUCUCAUCCAUGAUUUUGCUCUCCAAGGCGAGAUCCGAUUGAAGUUGAUCCAGUCGUGCAAAGACGGACGCCUGAUGUUGGACGUGAUCAGUAGUGAGGUUCUUGCGAAACACCUCAAAGAUUUCAUUUUCCUUUUGAAGAGAUUGAGUGAGGGUCUUAACCGAGGCAUUAACCGUGUUAGCAUUUUGCGUGGCAGCACCCUGUAAAUACUCAAGAAAAAUAUUUGCAUUAGAAAUUAGUUUAUCGACUUUUUCGGUCGCAUCCGUGCAGACUUUCGUUGAAGCAUCAAUUGCAGAAGUGGCUUUGGAAAUUGAUGCAUCAUGUUCCUUAACCAAUGUGGCCAACAUGCCUGUAACAGUAUAUUCAGAAAGAGAACCCUGAGUAGAGGAGGAAGCCAUAAUUUUGUCUAGCUUCUCAUUCAGCUCCUUGAGAUGGCGUUUGGUGACAAGGGCAUCUUCAUCAUCAUCACUUUGCACCCUGUAAGGACUAUAGUAGAAUGUAUCAAAAUAAAUAUUCUCCCCACCAAGGACAUUAUUGGUUUCAGUGGAUUGGGUAAGAGACGGAGGUUUGGUAGUAGCAUGUGUUUCGGGUGCUGAAGUACGUACCCCCGUAUCAGAUACAUUGGUUUUCACUCCAGUGGUGGUAGUGGUUGUAGCUUCUAAAAAGAUGGGAGUGGGAAUGGGAAUGGUUGAUAAGGGUUGAGAUGUAACGAUAGGGGAAAUAGGGGGGGGGGGAGGAAGGAAACAGGAACGGAAACAAGUGGAGGAGAAGGUGCUUGAGAAGGAACAGUUACCUCUGGUGUAGGCGAACGUGGUGGGGUGCCACCACGAACCACUUCUUCAUCAUCUGAGCUUUCGGUCUCAGAUUCACUUGAAAGUUAGGGUUGAUGACCAGAAGGUACAUACUCAGAGUCUAAGUCGCUUGAAGAUUGAAUAAUAAGCUUUCUAGCAGGUUUCUUGGUCUUCUUCUGCUUGGGCUGUGAAGGAGUAGCCUUCUCUGCCUUUCGCUUCUUUGGAGAUUGAACUUUUGAGACUCUACCUCCUUUUUCUCCCUUUUUGGCUUCUUGCUUCUUGCCCCAUUUUGCAGGUUUGUCUGCUUCUUCAAUAGACUUUACAUUUCUAGGGUUAGUUCCUUUGGACCAAAAGAGGGAAGUUUCUUGUACUCCUGAAUGAGCUUGCUUGCAGGAGACACACACGUAUACAUUGACUAUGGGAUGGAGCCAACAAAGUGAAAUUUGGAGGGAUGAGUAACAAUGAUGUUUGUUGUAUGAAAUGUAGCAAUAGAGGAAAGAAGAGAAUCUACCAUAAUAGGAACAUGAAAACGAUCCAUUAUGGAUUGAGUGAUGAUGGUCCAAAACCUGUCACAUGAAAUUUCAGCAUGGCGUGAAGCUGAUGAUAAACUUUGGAUGAUCUGAAGCCAUAGAACCAAACCAUAAUCAAGAUUGAUUCCAUGGUACAACCCAUAAAGCAAAGUCAUGAAAGACUUGCUGGCACCAUCUGAUCCUGCACUCCUCUCUGAAAGCCCUUUGAAUUGGAGAGUGAAUAAUCCAUUCCAUUGAGGAGGAAGAGAUGAUUUCUUGAACCUUGUCACAGUGGUUAGGGUUUCAGUAUACCUCAUAUUGUAAAACAUCAUGAAAAGCUGACCGGUGGAGAUUGAAUCAGGAUUCACCAUCGAUUCAUCAUAUGUGAGCCCUAGCAAUGAGCAAAAUCUGUUCUUGGAGAUAGAGGCCUUCUAGUUGAGGAUAUCAAAUUAAAUAUUGUCUGCACCCUUGUCGUAAGUAGCAGUGGAGUACAGUUGUGAGAGACAUGACAUUGGAACAACUUCCACCGUCGAUAAAUCCUUGAUGAGUGGCGAAUAUUUGAGACAUUCAACCACUUGAUACAUGUAAGUAUCGUAGAGGAAUGGUGAGAGGUCGAUCAGCAAGUUCUCGUUUAGCUUGAUAGUGAGAAGAGUGGAGCGUGUAGAAGUUUCUUGAACAUACGAAGACUCUGCAAUUAUUGUAGCUUGAGGAAGACGAAGAUGAAUAUAGAGAAUUGAAUCGCUAGAAAUCGCCUUUUUGCUUGAGAGAGAAGAAGUGUGGUAAAGAUCAAGAUGAAGGUACCAAAAACCCUUAUAUACGAUUUUGUGGAGAGAGAAAAAAAUCAAGGGUAAUGAUUCCUUUAAUUUAGGAAACAUCGCCUAAAAAGGCGUGAUUAGACAACUGGAAAUGUCAUUCCUUCAAAUUCCAAUCGAUUAAGCUUCCUGCUGACUCAUCUCUUCAAUUUUCUAAUAUAAGCAUUAUCUCCAUAAACCAAAGGCUUAUUGCAAAUGUCAUUCCUUCGCUUGAAAAUAACUGCAAUACAUCGUUAGGAAUCGAAACUAUAUAUUUAUGAAUAGCUUGUGAACAAUCGAACUAGACUUUUGGAAAAUCCAAGAUUUCCGUGCAAGAGAGUGUCAAAGAUAAGGAAAUAAAUCAAACUAUUUGAGGGAUUUUGUGAUGUCAUAAAAUACAUAAAGCAGUAGAUCCCGGGCACGAAUCGCUUUCUUCAAAAUCUAAAUAGACUUCAAAGUGCUUGUAUGGAUUCCUGUUGAAUUACGAUCAAGUACUUGCUAAGAAGCAUUGGAAGGCAUCUUUUAUAUGUAAGGAUUUUGGGUGGCUUUCGCUUCAAUCCAGGUUUCGUUACUUGACAUAAGACCAAAAGAGGAACGAAGUACUUGUGAGACCAACGUGGUCUGUUAAACAAGUAGGAUUGGUACAUUUUCAGUGACUUGUUGAUAAUAGGUAGUAAGAAAUCUGAACGAAAAAUUAAAACUGGACCCUUUGGGAAGAAAAGUCUUGGUGAUAGACAUUUUCAUAAGGAUCUCUCACAAGAAUAGGAGAUUUCAAGGUACAUCCACAAAAGUGGUUUCGUUAAUUCAAGGUGAAAUCUAGAACAUUGAUAUGUUCACCGUUAAUGCAUUAUAGGUGUUGAAUUUUGGGUUUCACUUAGCACGUAGUAACACGAAACCGAGAUCAUAAACACAGAAGUUGUGUAACCAUAAACCUCAGUGGUAGAGAUGAGAGUCUCAAGGGUUACAAUUAUGAAAUGAAUGAUUUAUGGAGAAUAAGAUUAAGGGAGAUAAAGAACGAAUGUACCUCUGCUAUAAAAUAGGACGAAGCAGAAAAACUCUUAACUCAUGUUAGAGUAGAGUUAGGUAGCUCAUGAUAAGAGUGAAUUUGUCAGCCUAAUUGGGAAGACAUGAUUGGUAUUUAUCAAGUCAUUAAGGCUUCACUCAAAAUCGUUAGAGGCUUGGGUCAACAUACAACAACAUGCUUCUAGGGACACUUAGCUAAAUAUAAAGAUAAAGAAUUAUACCUGUCCCAGCUCCAUCAUUAAGAAAGUUCCUUAUACAUUGAUUCGAUAAAGACUGAAUAAUUUAAAAUAAAGAAAACUCUUUUUGAAUUAUGGUUUGCAUUUUAUGAAGAGAAAUAAAAACAGAAAUGAAAAAUAUUUUUGGAUUUUAAAAUAUCUUCUAAAAAAACAAAAAUAAAAACAAAAAUUUUGGAUUUUAUGAAAAUAAAAGGAAAAACAUACAAUAAAUUAUAAGAAAAGAGUGUACACAUGCUAUACAACUGAAACCGUCACUUGAAAAUAAAGAAGCGAACCGAGUCCAAUAAGACGAACCCGAAAUGGACGAGCGUUCGGUUCAUUUUGGUUCCCAAAAGAACCGAACUCGAAAUGGACCGAGUGUUCGCUCUAUUUCGCUUCCAACUUUUAUUGAGGCGAAAGUGACUUUGGUACAGAUUCAGCUUCCAUCAUUCCUAAGCCUUGUAGGAUUUUAUUAAAGUUGGCUUCAGGCAAGCGGCUUUAGUAAAGAUGUCAGCCAAUUGAUCAGUGGUUCUCACAAAAUGAAUUUCUACAUUACCGUCUUCCACAUGAUCUUUGAUGAAGUGAUACCUCAGUGCUAUGUGUUUCGUCUUCGAGUGUUGCACUGGGUUAUGACAAAUCCUAAUUGCACUCUCUGAGUCACAAUAUAGUGGAAUUUUCUUCAUGUUUAGGCCAUAGUCUCUAAAUUGACUUUGUAUCCAAAUGACAUGAGAUGUGCACGAUGCUGCAACUAUGUAUUCAGCUUUGGCAGUUGAGAGUGAGACACAAGUUUGCUUCUUUGACUGCCAGCUAACUAGUUUACCAUCUAGAAAUUGGCAUCCUCCAGUGGUACUCUUUCGGUCCAGUCCAUAUCCUCCAAGAUCAGCAUCUGAGAAUGCUUGGACAAAGAACCCUGACUUGGCUGGGUACCAUAGGCCGAGCGAAGAGGUUCGCUUCAGGUAUCAAAAGAUAUUUUUCACAGCUAGUAGGUGAGGUUCACAUGGAUUGGCUUGAAACCUGGCACAAUAGUAAACAGUAAACAUUAUGUUUGGUUGACUUGCUGUUAGAUACAUUAACGAUCCUAUCAUUUGACGAUAAAGGGUCAUGUCAGCAACCGGUUUGUCUAGAGAAGGUGUUAACUUUGUGCCAAACGCCAUAGGAACCUUCACUUUUGAAUCUCCCAACAUUCCAAACUUGGCAAGCAAGGUCUUUGUGUAAGCCUCUUGAUUGAUGAAAAUGCCUUCAGGUCCCUGUCUAAUAUUCAAGACAAGGAAAAAUUAAUCGGACCCAUUGAGCUCAUUUCAAAUUUAGUCUCCAUCAACUUCCUAAAUUUAGCAAUUAAGCUAGGAUUUGUGGAGCCGAAGAUGAUAUCAGCUACGUAAAUUUGAACUAUCAUAAGGUGGUCACCCUCUUUCUUUCAAAAGAAGGUUGGGUCAACCGAACCUUGUUUAAACUUGGACAUUUUAAGAAAUCUAGUUAGAGUUUCAUACCAUGCCCUCGGUGCUUGCUUGAGACCAUAGACUGCCUUGUCCAGAAUGUAGUAGUGACUUGGAUACUUCUCGUUCAUGAAACUCGGUGGUUGCUCUACAUAUAUCGUCUCUUCCAGUUCUCCAUUUAAGAAGGCACACUUCACAUCCAUUUUGUAUACUUCAAAGCUCUUGUGUGCAGCAUAGGCAAGAAAAAUACGAACUGACUCCAGUCUUGCUACGGGAGCGAAGGUCUCUUCGUAAUCAAUGCUUUUUUCUUGACAAUAACCUUUCACAACCAAUCUUUCCUUGUUGCGAAUUAUGUUUCCUUCCUUAUCCAUCUUGUUCCUGAAAACCCAAUUAAGUCCAAUCAUAGAAGCAUCCUUUGGUGUUGGAAUCAGUCUCCACACUUUGUUUCACUCGAACUCAUUGAGUUCGUCCUACAUGGCAUGUACCCAAUCAGAAUGAUCGAGUGCAGUGUUGAUCGUCUUCGGUUUAAAUCUGGUGAUGAACGAAUUAAACAUGCUAAAUUCCACUUUAGAGAAUAGUGCAGAUUGUUUCGCUUUCAGUUGAGAACGUGUGAGAACUUUUUCUGAUGGUUUACCAAUAAUUUGUGUCUGAGGAUGAUCUUUGGUCCAUUUAGUGAGUAGUGGGUAAUUAGGAUCAUAAGAGGGAUCCAGUUCAACAUCCACUUCUUCUUUGAGUUCUGAUUGAAUAUCAUCAUCGUUUAAAUUUGCACUCUCCCCCUCGAACGAUGAUACUUCCUCCGGUUCAGGCUCAUAAUUCUUUACCUGAACUUGGCUAUCGGUUGGUGUUGAUGACAAUGGACUCUCCUCCUGGAAUGAUGAAUCUUGGUUAUUUGGAGGAGACAGACCCUCCCCCUGAACAUAAGAACUAUCUCUGGAAGGUUCGCUUGAGUUAGACUGUUCGGUUGCUUGUGGUUGUUCAUCUGCCAAUUUCUUUGCAACGUCAUCGAUUAUCUUAUUCAGGUUCUCGACCUUAUUAUCUGCAGCUUUUGAUUAAGAAUGAAUAGCCUUUUCUGGUUCAUAGAACAGCUGUAUGUAUUGCUCAAAUAGGUUUGAGAUUGGUAUCGUAGCCUGACCAGAUUUAGGAAAAAUCUCCUCCGCAGAACCUUCGGUUGUCUUUAGUUUCUUAAUGUAGUUAUCAUCAAAGGUGACAUAGUAAGUCUCUUCGAUUUUAUUUGAAUGCUUGUUCAAGACUCGAUAUGCUUUGGAGUUUAAUGAGUAACCCAUAAAGAUUCCUUCAUCUGCUUUGACGUCAAACUUGUUUCGGUGCUCUUUUGAAUUAAAGAUGAAACAUCUAGAACCGAACACAUGGAAAAACUUUACAUUAGGCUUUUGGUUGUUCAAGAUCUCAUAUGGAGUGAUGGAAAAAUCUUUGUUGAGAUAGGAUCUAUUCUGUGUGUUGCAAGCAGCAGCAAUGACAUCUGCCCAGAAAUACAAAGGUAGAGAAGUGAAGUUGAGCAUAGUUCAGGUUGCUUCACAUAGAGAUCAGUUUUGCCUUUCAACAAUUCCAUUUUGUUGUGGAGUAUACGGAGCCAAGAAGUUGUGAGUUGUCCCCUUUUCUGCAAGAAAAUCUUCAAAUUCUUUGUUCUUGAACUCCAACCCAUUGUCGCUUCUGAUGUUUCGAACUACCUUUUGCAGUUGAACUUCUAUGUGCUUGAUAAAGAGUCUAAGCUUCAGAGUAGCCUCUGAUUUCUGCCUUAAAAAGAACACCCAGGUAAAUCGAGAGAAAUCAUCCACUAUAACGAGUAUAUACCUGUUACCACCAAUACUCUCGAUUGAAGAUGGACCACAUAGAUCAACGUGAAGUAAUUCUAGUGGUUCAAUAAUUUUUGUAUUGAAUCGAGUAGGGUGACUUUGUCGACUUUGUUUUCCCAUUUUACAAGUAGCACACAAGUGUUCUUUAUCAAACUUGAGAACUGGAAGACCUCGAACAUGAUCCCCAAGCACUAGUUUGUUGAUUUUUUUGAAGUUGAGAUGGGAGAGUCUUCGGUGCCAAAGCCAACUUUUGUCUGAGUGAGCCUUUGUAAGCUAGCAGACUGCUGGUUUUCCUCGUAUGGGAUUGAGAUUCAAGGGGUACAUCUCUCAUUUUCGAUUCGAUUUCAGAAAAAUAUUGUUUGUCUUCUUUUCAAUAAUCUCUGAGCCAUCAUCAUCGAAUGAAACCUUUAACUCGAUACCGACCACCAGUUGAGAAACACUGAUGAGGUUGUGUUGUAGACCUUCAACGUACGCCACUUUUUGUAUUGAGAAAUCACCACUGGUAAUCAUGCCAUAGCCUUUGAUUGUGCCAAAAGAAUUAUUACCAUACUUGACACAUCCACCAUCUUAAAGGGACUGAAAUUUCCUCAGCUCCUCCUUUCUUCCUGUCAUGUGACGCGAGCAGCCACUAUCUAUGUACUAUUCAUCAUCAAACUGCUCGUCACGCAUAACCUACAAAAUUUAAGCAGAUUUCGGAACCCAAAGUUUCUUGGGUCCUUGUGAGCCUUUUACAUAACAGGGAAAUGUAAGAGAAACAUCGACUAGAAAGGUUCUUUUUAUUAGUGUUGUUUCAUCUUUUCUUUUUAUGAUGAAAACUUUGAUUUUAUUAGAUUUGAGUAUUUUAGGUUCGGUUUUUGAUUUGAAAUUAGCAAUCUUCCAGUUCUCCUUUUUAGGUUCAAACGCCGUCUUCUUUUCAUCUCUUGGAAAGAGCUUUUCUUUUCCCUUUUGAUCAUUCUGUGAGUGAGAGCGAGAGUGAGAAAGAUGAGACUUGGGAGCAAUAUUAAGCUUUCGAUCAAUGCCCUUACUUUUUUUAGGGCCAAAACUACCUUCCCUUCGGUUCCUCUCUAUAGUUGAUUUAGGACCAAAACCAUCUUUUCGGUUUCUCAUAACUUGAUGUCCGAAACUUCUUUUCCGGUUAUUGUCCAUCUGAUGACUGAAACUUCUCUUUUGGUUGCUAUGCCUUUGUGGGCUGCAACUCUAUUUUCAGUUAUCUUAGUUUUGAGGACCGAAACUCCUCUUUCGGUUGUCUUAACUUUGAGGACCGAAACUCAUCUUUUGGUUAACUUGAUUUUGAGGAGUAUGAGAAGCUGAGUUUACUUUUAUUCCUUCUUUUGACUUAGAAGCCUUUUCAUAGCGAACGUAACUAGGAUUUUGAGAUCGCCAAAACUGCUUCUUUUCAGUGAGAUUCUUCUUGUAUCACAAAUUUUGUUGAUGCUUUCUCUCUGACACUUGUUUUGGAGUUUUAUGGAUGUUGGCCUUUCGCUUUGGUACUUGAGCAUAACUUUUGCUCUUUAGAGAAGAGGUUUCGCUUGACAUCCUGACUAGUUCGCCUGAGUCAAUUUUAGUACCACUUGUGCUUGGCACAUCAAAUCGUGUAGGAUCAUUAAGUGGUUCUGCCACAUACCUACCUUUCACUCUCCAUGAUGUUUUCUGAGAUAGACCUUCUGUUUCAUCGACAUUAUCUAUCGGUGCUGACCAGAAAAACUCAUCGCAGCCAUCAGCAUUAUCUUCUUCUACUAAUGUCGUUAGUUCGGUUGUCUGUUGCUGUGUAACUUCUUGAACUGUGUAAACUUGAUUUGGAGUUGUUUGGACCUUUUGAUACACAAUAGCCUUCGCCUUGAGAACUUUAGUCUUGUCUUUUGAUGAGUGAGCGAACUCAACAGAGUUUUCAGAAAUAAGAUUUUUAUUGGUUUCGGGUUCGCUCUUGUCAAAUUCAGAACAAUCCACCUCAUCUUCUACAGGUAUCAUACUCAUAUCAUCAUCCUCAUUGAAUUCAGAAGUGUUUUCAAUAUCAAAUUUGUUUUUUGAAUUCUACUUGGCAUUUAAAGAGUCAAAUUUAUGUACAGUUCCGGUUUUGAUUUUUAAUUUGUCAUUCUCAUCCAACAAAUUUUUGAGCAUGUCCUUAUGGUAUUUUGAAUUUAUAAAGGACUCUAUUUUGUCAAGACCAAUUUCGUAAGAGGGAGAGAUAUCAUCAGAAGAAAUAACGUUUUCACAGUUGUUUGCAUCGGCAUCGAUUUCAUCCUCCUUGAACUCAAGGAAGGGUAAAAUCAUACGAUGUAUCUUCUUUCCUAUAUCACAAUUAAGAUGCAAUUGAGUAAUAUUGGAAUAUAAUCUUUUAGCAAUCAAACAAAAAACAUUCUGUUGUUUCAAAAGAUUUAAAUUAUCUCUUUGCAAAUAAAUUGUUUCAUCCCUAGACCUAAUCAACUCCUUCUCCUUUUGCUCUAUCCACAUACGCCUCUCCUCACUCUUCGAUGGCACCCUGCUGAUUUGAUCAGUUAGGUUAAAGUUUGUGACGCGUGUUUGAGUUAAACUACCACUUAUACUAGAAAAUUUGGAUUUUAAUCCAUCUAGUUCUUUUCAUAGUUUAUGAUGGGGAUAAUUAAAGAAACAAGAAUAGAUUGUACCUUCUUAAUCAACUCAUCGCAUUCAUUGAUCUGCACACUGACAAGUUUCGCUGCAAAACACCUGUCUUCUCGCUAUUUCGCUUCGUCUCGUCCCCCAUCAGUGGUAUAACCUCUCAUUUGUGACACCUCAGAAGUCACCAUCAGACACUAUCCAACAUCGUUUUCUUCUUUCACCAACAAAUCCCUGCCAUGAGUGGGCUUCCUCACUUCUUCAUCUUUAGAAUCAGUCGACCAAACUUCAACACCACCAAAUUCUACGUCAACAGUAUUUCCCUACACAAUUAAAGCAUUCAUAGUGUUAUGAGAUCCAACUUUCUUCUUCUUGAUUUCCUCCAAUCGUCGUAAGAGGUUCGCUUCCUCGUCAUCAUCGUCAUUCUUUUCAGACUUCUUUCUCAACAUGCAAUCUUUGGCAAAGUGAUUUUUGCCUCCUUAAUAGUGACAGUUAAAGCCUGAGUCACCACCAAGUUUUGUUUCCUUUUUUGGUUCUUCAGACUGAGGAACACUUUUUGGUUCCUCCUUCACCUUCUCAGCACUGUAACUUCCCUGCCAGUUUCGGUUCUUGUUGGGUGGUAAUCUUCUUUUGAUGAACUUCUUGGGAUUGGAUACCAUUAAAGCAAAAUCUUCACUUGUUAGAUCAUACUCAGAAAGAUCUAAAUCUUCUUCUUCUUUAGCAACAUUCUUUCCUUUGGAGAUUAGAGCUAAUGACCCCAUGCUAGAAACCACGUUCGUUUCUUUAGUCACUGCACUUUCAUGUGACUUUAGUAUUCCCACUAGCUUUGCCAGAGAAUAAGCCUUGAAUGGUUCGUGUGCCUUCACAGUGGACACCACAGCCAUCCAUUAUGGUCUAAGGCCAUUCAUAAAUGUGACCUUUUGUUCAAUGACUUUCCUUUCUAUCUCAUGCUUUAUCAUCUUACUAAGGAGAUGAUUAAAGUGAUUGAAAGCUUGAAUAAGCUUCUCUUCAGGCUUCUGCUUGAAGUCACCAAAUUCUGAGAGCAAUAAAGUUUGGAUGGAAUGCUCAAGAUCUUCAUCUAUAGAAUAUAUUUCCUUUAACCUGUCCCAUAUCUCCUUCGCUGUUGUGCAUGAACUCACCAAUCGAAACGUGUCCGAUUGUAAAGCAAAACUAAUCAUACUUAAAGCUUUGAUGUUGCACUGAAAUUUCUCUUUCUCAUCUUGGGGUAUGUCUUUCACAUCAUUAACAAGUUAAUUAUUCUCCUUUUGAGUUUUGGCAAUUCUUGAAGUGCUUGAAUGGCGAAUGGACCAACUGUUAUCACCUCCCAGAUCAAGCAUCUAUUGUCUUCUGAACUAAUCACAUAGUCUUCAAAAUGAUGCGUACAGACCUCAUAAUCUUGAGUGUACAGUAUGGGAAUUCUCGUUGUCGAUGCUAUGCUGUUGGAGAUAUUAAUUGGGUUUGACUGGGAAUCAUCCAUGGACACUACGAUGUUUGUUUAAAAACCUGCUUAAGAUCAGACUUGUAAAUAACGUUAGGGUAAGAUCGAUUAUUAAAGAACUACAUCAAUAGAGAAUGACGACUCUAACAAUAUCAAUCAAAGCGUAAAAACCCUAAGAUCUUCUUCAACAGAAGAGAUGUGUGUGGAUUACACAAUCUCCUGCUCUGAUACCAAUUAUUGAGUUAAUAAUCUCUUAGAUCAAUUAGAUCUUUAACAGGUUAAUCAUAAAAACAAACAAACUAGCACAAAAAACACAAGAUGGAAUCAAAUAAUGCUUAAUGAUUCAAAUGUAGUCAUGCCUCAGCAGAGCUCGAUGAAGAACUUCCACUGUAGAGGCGAGCUAGGGUUUGUAGUACAAUCAAUGAGAAUUAUUAUCAAAAGCGCACUAACUAAGGAUGCAUGAAUGCACCUUAAAUACUAAACCCUAAUGAAAUAAUCACGUUUGGACAGGCCCAAACCGGAUAACAAAACUGGGCUAAGGACCGAGCCCAAGACGCAACACUUCUAGACCAAACAUUGGACCCUAUAGACUUUCGAAUAUCUGAUCCUACCCUAAGUCCCUAAUCGACAAGAACAAAACAUAAGUCCAAAUCAAGCAUUCUCAGGCUAUAAGAUCUUAAUUAUGUACAACCGUGAUACAUACACAAGUAACUAAAGUAAUGAUGUCAAUCUCAUAUAAGGAAACCUAAGGCUAGUAGGCAUCAUGUAAUCAGGAAAUUCUGUCAUGCAAUUCCUGAAGAUCCCUAGCCUAGUACUAGAAUUAUGUUCUAACAUAUCAGAUAAUCAAAUAACUGUAUGGUAUUUUGAGGUUUACUUACUGGCUCCGGCUGAUCGUACACCCUGCAUCCUCCUUUACUUAUUUUGAAAACCAUUUAAAACCAUUUUGAAAAUCUUUCCUCGAUUUGAGACUGGAUUCACACGAAUGUUCCUCUAAUUCACUCAAACCAAGGCUCUGAUACCAAGUUGUAACACCCAUAUUAUUCAAGCCAAUUUAAAACUUUUAAAAACAUUUCAAAACCAUUAAAUAAUUACAAACUUGUUUUCAAAAUGUAUCAUAUCAGAGUUUUCCCAGAAACAUAAACAAAACAUGAGGAGUUGUACGAUCACGCCUUUGCCUUGUCGCGAUCCCCUGAUGUACCUGGAACAAUAAACAAAAACUGUAAGCUCGAUAGCUUAGUGAGAUCCCCCAAAAUACCGAUACACUACACAUAACACAUAUACAAAUAACAACAUAUAUUGGGUCCACAAAUUUACAGACUGGAUUACCCCUUGGGCCCACAAUGUGAGUCUGGAUUGCCUUCCGGGCCCACAACUCACAUCUGGAUUGCCACCGAGCCCACAGUACGAGUCUCUCUCAACAUGCACCAUCUCAUGGCUUUUGGGACAACAAAUGCUUCUAAUAAAGUAAAAUGAUGAGAUCUAUGCAUAUAUGCAUAAAGUUUGGAACUUUAUACCUUCUGGAGCUUCUUGAGCACAAGCUAACUUCAGAUCUACAAGCUUGAUCUUCUUCUCCAACUCUUUGAUUCAAUGCCUUCCUUUGCGAAAUCUCGGGAUGUUACACUUAUAUACAGAGCUCAGUCGGUAUACAUAACAAGUAUGCAUGAUUUAUAUUCAACAUUUGAUGAUUUUGAUAUCAAUAUUGGUAUUUUCGACUAAAUUUAUAUUCCCUAUUUGUUUUUUCUGAAUUGGCAAUUUUUGAUAUUACACCUUUGUCGUUGAAUUAACUGUACAUAGUAGUGAUUCAACCAUUUACCUUCCAUUUUUUUUUGUAAUGAUCAGUUUCUCUUUGAUUUAACUUCCACUUUGAAUGCUUUUAAUGCUGCAAUAAUCUAUUUUUUUUACAUAUGGGAUUAAAGUAAGCUGCUAAUGAUCGCAAGGUCAAGGCGAAUCCCAUCGAUGUUGCUGCUGAUGAUGUUUCUCCCUUAUCGCCCGAUGUGAUGGUUCUUGAUGUUAGUGUAACAAAAUUUCUCCCAAAUUACUUUUGUAACGUCAAUCGGGGGAAAACGAAAUCCUGUUCGUGUCGUUAACUUCAACCUUCAUCGCCACUUUAGAGCCACCACCACCAUCGCCGCAGCUGCCUACAUCUUGAUUCAUCUCCAACCUACUUCUCCACGUUACUCUUGCUCUAAAUAAUUUAACAAGGUGCCACAAGGUUUCCCCUCUUAACUUUUCUUCUUUAGCUAAUUUCAUCAACAACUAUGAGGCUAAUUGAUUGUAUAAAUGUUUUUUUCUUGAUAGACCUUCCAGGGUUAACAUAUAUUUUCCUAUAAAAUCACCAAUUCCAGGAACAAUUCUUCUGCUUCAACCAACGCUCAAAAACCACCCCCGAAACCCAACAACAAGGUAACACCAGCUAAUCCGUAACCCUAGCACACUAAUUAUUCUGCUUCUUCCACUCAUCGUUUAUGGCAUGGACUACCAGGGUAUCUAAUCCUGUUACAAUAUGGGACUCUUGAAUUGAAAACCAGUCCAAUAGGAACAAUUCUUCUUCAUGUAAAAUCGACUAUUCAUUUCAUGCUUCCUAUCUAAUUAUUUACUUAUAGACGAAUCAUAUCGAUUCAACUUUAAUAGUUUAUUUCGACUUACAGUUUGUACAUAUAGUAUUACAGGUGGGAAUUUGAGAAGGAAUACAAGGAACGUUUUCCUAACAACAAAUCACUGGAAUUAGACUUAAAGGUAUGACUUACAUAUAUUUUGGAUUUGACUGUAUUCAAUGUAAUGUAUUUUGAAACGAAAUUGUAUAACUAAACGUAGUUUGUUACACAUAUUGGAAUAGAAGGUAGAGUUAACUGGGUGAGCAUUUCCGACUUUGUAAGAUCUCUUCAUGAAAUUUAAAUAUAUAAUCACCAUAAAACUUCCAUCCCCUUUAUUUUCAAACAUAUAUAGCAGUUGUGUAAUGUUUUUGAGUAUAUUAAUUAUCUUUGUACAUAGGAUAAAGCUCCUUAUUAUGAGAGGGCAGCAGUCAAGAAAGUGGAGUAUGAUGGACUUAUGGAGAAGAAAGCACACUAUGAAAUCACCAUGACAGGUCUGAUCUACCAUUGACUUUGUUGUAGAAUAACAAUCAUAACCUUUUGUUGUUUCGUGACUAUUUCAACUUCCAUCAUAAUAAGAUUCACAUGUAAAGACUUUGUUGGAUGUAUAAAUCAUGGCUCUAAUGGGAUUAUUAUUAUUAAUCCAUUUUUUGUGUGUUAUUAAUUUUGUUUUUGUUGGAUUUAUGAAAUAGGGCAAGAUAAAAUGUUCUCUAAAGCUUCACAAUCUGUGAGAAGUUGAAGCAAGAUGAAUUCAUGUUACAAGGCAUGUAUCUGGGAAAGCUUUAUUCUUUUUUACUUUCUCUAUAAAUUCGAUUUUUAUGUUUAUUUAUACUCAUUUUUCAUAAUUCCAGUGUCAUAAAGAUGUAUUUGAUGCGCUUGAAGUUGUUGUGUGGAUCAACUAUAUUUUGCUUACAUGAUUUUAUCGUAUGCUUAAAAUGCAACUUUAAUUUCCAUUUGAUUUGUUAUCAAACUGAAUCUCUUAAUCGAAAAAUACUCCAAAUAACAAAUCGAAUUAAUCGAUAUUUGUUGUUAAGAGGAAAAAGAACAACAUCUAAACCAAACCAUAUCCACCAUUUUCCGUUGCCUCCACUUUUUCCGAGGAAUUGUUUUUGGUUUUUUAUUACAACAAUGAACUUUUUGUAUUUUUUAAUAUCUUUUAGAUCAUUGUUUUUUCCAUCACUUACCUUAUUUAGUUAAAAUUAUAUGUUUUAUGCUUUAUAAAAGCAAGUGUAAGUUACGUUAUGCGUCAUUGUUUUAUUAAAUUCUAUUUCUAUCGAUAACAAGCACGAAGUGGCCAAAAUGAUCAGAGCUGUCUACGUCCAUCAUCGCAAAGCAGGGCUCCUCAUCUAGUUAGUAAGUUAUGAAGAUUUACAACUCACUCAUUGAAAUACAUUGAGUUUUAACUUCAUAUGAACACUACAAACUAGGGAUGAGCAUCGCAACAGGGUACCCACUUUCGGAAUCGAAACUGCCUUAGAAUUGCCGGUUCCGGAACCGGAACUACCUUAAGCGGUUCUGGUUUAAGCGGUUCUGGUUCCGGUUCCUAAAGUUAUGGAAUCGCUUUAAGUGGUUCCGGUUCUCANAGAGAGAGAGAGAGAGAGAGAGAGAGAGCUAGGUUCAAAUGUGGACGAACAUCUAUUGUGCGGACGUGUGGACAGUGCUAUUCUGUGAGAAUGACAAAAAAAUCUAUGUUGUUUGAUAAUAUUAAUACGUUUAGUCUUACAUAACUAUUGUCAUUAUCACAUAUUCUCACUAAUUAAAUCAUCUAUAAGGUUAUUAUAGACUUUUUAUUAUUAUUCUCAUUAUAUCAGAAUGUUUAUUGAGUCAUAUUCUGUCAUAAUGAAAAUGAGUGAAAAAUGAUUUGUGAGAACAAAAAUGAAUAAGAAUUAGUAAGAAUGCAUGAAAAUGACGAUAUUUUUGUAAUGUUGAACCUGUUCGCAUUACUAAACAACUUAUUCUCUUAGUAAUUCUCAUAGAAUCGCACUGUCCACACGUCUGCACAAUAAUUGUCUAUCCACAUUAUAACCUAGCCCUAUACACAAACACGCACACACACAUUUUUUUGUACACGAUCGACAAAGAUAAAAUAAACAAAGUAUCUACUUUAAAGCCUUAACAUUACGAAUGCAUAUUGUUGUAGUUUGAUAUUCAAAAAAAAAAUUGUGUGGUAUUAUUUAGACCGGUUUAGAAUAUAUUUGUCUGAUUUUAUAUGUCGUUGGUUAAAAUUGAUUCGAUUUAGACCGACCUAAAUUACGGUUUUUAUUGACAAAAGUAAACAAAUAUUGAAGUAACCGGGUUACCUGGUCUUGGAACCGGAACCGCCGGUUCCGGGACUGGUUCCAAAAAUUUAAGAACUGCCUAGACCUGUUCCGGUUCUGGUUCUAACUUUCUAGGAACCUCCGCUUCCCGUUCCAGUUCCCGUUUUCGCAAAAUAAGGCGGGUAACCGCUUAUGCUCAUCCCUACUACGAACUUCAAAACACCAAAUAUGACACUGCUUGAAGGAAUUACAACUCUAAGUAUGAAAUAAUGAUACAAUACUUAUUUCAAACAUGAUAAUGUCAUCAUAAUAUCAAAUGGAGGUUGAAUUUGUAUCUAUGAACAUAUAUGUUUGGGAAAUUCCUAAACCAUAACAUAGAAGCUAAGGCUUCAUCAAAACUCCAUAAUCAUCAAAAUGAGACAUGAAUUAACAAAUGACUCGACGAUUUGAAGUUAAAAACAUAGUCUAGUAAUGAAAUCAAGUCUAUAUCAUUGCUUGGAAUCAUGAAAUUGGAUCUAAAACACAUGGGGGUUGAAAAACCAUCAAAUAACCCUAAAUCUUCGAAAUCUAUCAACCAUUUGUUAAUUAUAGAUUGAAUAUGGAUCUAGAAUGGAAUCACCACAUAAACUUUGUAUGAAUUCUAUAACUAACAGAGGAAAUUCAUUUUUGCGAAAUCCACAUGAAACCUAAACGAUUUUGAAGAAGAAAUAAGAAGAGAACUACCUUCUAAGCAAGUAAAAGAAGGGAUUUGUUUUAGACUUCAAAAAUUGGACUUCAAGUAUGAAUUUCCAUGAAAUUUAGAGAAUAAAAUGGCCAUAGAGGUGGGGGAUGGCUGAUUAUGUGAAUGGGAAGGAAGGAAGAGAGGGUGAGCUAAGUAUCGUUCAUCUAUUAUAAUAUUGGCAACUAUGACCCUUCCUAGCAAAAUUCAUUUCAAAAUGACUCCCACACUAACUAUAAUUUAAUUAUUUGGCAUAAGGUUACUCCCCGUAACAUGUUAUACAUAUUUGGUCCUAACCACGUAAUUUGUCACCUCUUUAGUCAAACACAAGUUUCACCAACUUGUGACAUUUGACCUAUUUUUAUUAACUAUAUUCAUUCGACCCCAAAAUUCUAUUAUAUUUUAAAUAUCAUAUAGUGAUGAGAUGUAUUAUUUUAUCACUUUUUUCCAUAUUCGAUUAUGAAUUAUUUAUUUAUUUAUUUUGGGUGGAAAUUUUAAUUUACUAAAAAAUUCUAGCCUCAAAUUUUAGAUGUUACACUAAUGUACCAUAUAAUCUGGAUGUUACGGUAGUAGAUACACAUACAAAAUUCACCAAGAAACACAAAAUUCGGUUGGAUCGGUUUUAUAAUUCGGUUUUCAAAAAUCGAAACAUUUUAAAUCGACAAAUAAUUAUAAUAUUACUAAACGUUAUACAAGAAGCAAAAACAAAUACUUAGUUGUGAUUGAAAUUUAUAAACAACUAAUAAGAAGAUAUAUUAUAGUUAAAUAUUUUAUACAUAAAAAUUUUUUACGACUGAAAAUGCAUACUAAUGUUUUUCUAUCGGGUGAAACGUUGCUAUUUGAAAAAAUAAAAUAUAAAAUUGAUAAAUAACUAUAUAUAUAUAUAUAUAUAUAUAUAUAUAUAUAUAUUAUAAAUAGAUAANUAAACCAAAACCAAUCCGAAAUCCAAAAUAAUAAUUCGGUUUUGUUGAAAACCAAUCCAAAAAUCCGAAUAUCCGAACCAAAUAGUCUAAUCCAGAUUGUCCAAUUGGAUAAUUCGGUUUUAUCCUAAUAGUGAACAGUCCUAGUUGAUCUGAUGACUCCAUAUCUGCCGCACUUGAAGAUUAAGUCAUUCAGACGAUCGUAGUAGAGCUCAAUCUUCUCACCUUCUUUCUGCUUGAAUUCUCCUAACUCAAGCAGACAUUGCUUAACAGAGAUUUUCCUUAUCUUAUCACUACCUUGAUACUUUUCUUUCAAAUUAUCCCAAAUUUCUUUAGAUGUCUUGCAACCACACACAUAGUUGUAAACCACUAGAGGAAGAGCACCACAGAGUUCACGCAAGCAUCUUUUCUCAUUUUUCUUUUCUUUCUAUGUUUGUUGAGCAACAUCCGAAUUAGAACCAGCAGUUCCAACUUUUUGUAACAAACUUGCAGGAUGAAUUUCAUUUGUAAUACAUUUCUAGAUAUCUUCGUCGAUUCCAUUCAUAUAGUCUUCCAUUCGAUCAACCCAUUGAUCAUAGAACUUAGGAAUCAACAUCAAAAUCUUUGUUGAUGAACCAAGGAGAUGAGAAUAAGAAGUCAUCAUGUUCAUGUUGAAGUUAGCCAUUGUUGUAGGAAAAGAGAUUUGAGAAAAGCUUCUAAAAUUUGGAAUUUGAUGAAUGAAACUUCCAAAAAUCAAACGAGGAACACUCGAUUAUACAAAUCGAAAGCAGAAUCGAAUCAAUACAGAAGAUCUGUAAGGAUUUUCAGAAACAAAAGUGCGGAAAUUUUGAAUCUAAAACGAGAUUCAAAAAUUUUUAAAUCUAGAGAAAAUCAGAUAAUAGUUGUAUGAAUCCUGCUCUGAUACCAAUUGUAGUUGUAAUGAAUCAAAUGUAUGAAAUUAAAUCAGAGUAUGAAUCAAACAAGAACACAAAAUUGUAAAUAAAAUAUGUUUGGCUUAAUAUUGCUUCUGGAAGAUACAAAGAAAGUUUUAGAGUAAGAACUGUAAAGGCCCAAAACUUACUCUAACUCUAGUGCCUAUCACCUAUUUAUAGGGAAUAUAGAAGCAUGCAAAAAGUACACAAAGGCUUAUACAAUUACGCUUCGACACCGGAACACGCCCUUAUGGAAAUCAUACAAGAUAUGCUUCGACAUUAACAAAGACUAGGACACUUCGACACCUCACAACUGAUUUUGACCUCAACAGGUAUAAUUUUGGGGCAAUUGUUUAGGCCAAUAUCCUUAACCCUAUUCAGGAUCCUGGAUCUUCAAGAUCUUUUAGGAUCCAAACCAUUGUUAUUAUUAAUUCCUAACACUCUUAACAACCAAAUUUCUAUUUCUUUUCUCACAUGUGUAGAAAUGGUUAGUAUAAGACUCAUUCUCAUUGAAUAAUGGCUUCAACCAUGUUUAAGACCUGAUAAUAACAAGUCAUACAACGUGCAUAUGCUCAUUCAAGAGGAUCCCAUUAAUAUUAGACUUAUUUUUAUUUAGUCUAGACUAUAAAUACACUUGUAAUACACACUACGAGCACGAUUAGCUGAAUUAUUGCAUUUGUACUCGUAUUAUCUUCAUCAUUUCUAUAACCUUACAAUCAAAUCAAUAAAAACAACAAGACAUGUGAUCAUUAUCACCUCCCAAGUUUUUAUGUCGGAGAUCCUAUAAAGGAUCAAGGGCUUUCCUCAUAACUCACUUGUCUCACUCUGAUCAAUAUUCGAUACUUACACUAUCUAAAACACCACAGCCUCUCAUACAAUUUGGUUGAAUAUUACUUGAUCAAUUACUAACCAAAACAAUAUUUUAGACUUACGACCUACAUGCCAUUUCGUCUUCAACACGAGUCUAUGUCUACUUACGGCCUUCAUUCCAUUUCGUAACAUGGUUCUAUGUGUACUUACAACCUACAUGCCAUUUUGUUAACAUGUAGGCCUAUAUGCUCCCGACCUCUUUAUCGUUCCGCCAUCAUCCCGUAACUAAUUCACAAUAACUUAUAAGCAUAUCAACAAUCACGCACAUAGAUACUACAUAUUCGACUCUACAGGCCCAUAGAAAAUUAUACUAUGGGCUCUACACUACUGGUUCCUAUAUCCUAACAUACACAGAUAUAUACUUGGUUACAUAAUAUUGUGAUAUGAACUCAUCCAGACAGUUUCUUUGACAACCAACACCAAUCUACUGAUGAUCCAACUAAUGGUAACAUACCCAAUGAGUAUUAACAAAGGAAUAUUGAUGAGAAUUGGGAUAUAAGCGGGUAGAACACUGCCUCGGGAACUCCUACUCGAAGAUGACAACUAGCUGAGCACUUAGGGGCUUCGCCGCAGUACACAAAUCUAAGAAAAUGGCUUAAAAGUAAGGAAUACUGUAACAUCCCAAAAAUUUCAAUAAUUUUAGACUUUUCAAAAUGACCCUUUUACUAAUAGAGAUGUUUAUAAAUUUAGUAUUCUCAAAACAUUAUUUAAAAAUCAGUGCCUCCCAAGAUUAAUGACAUAAAAUCAGGAUGUGUAUGGUCACGCCUUCGCCUUGCCAUGAUUCUCUAAUAUACCUGAAACCAUAAACCAAAAACUGUAUGCACAAAGCUUAGUGAGUUCCCCCAAAGUACCAACACACAACAUAUUGAUGGGUUUUAGCCAUAAGAACAUCCUAUGUGCUCAUGCAAACCCUAAUGCUUGGAUCUAGGUUUCUCUAUUGUACAUGCAAUGUAUCCAAGACUUACAAUCUUAGAUCUAACAUAUUAUAAACUGAAAUUAGGAUUUAGAGAAUUACCUUUGAUUGUUAUGUAGCAAUAACAAUCUCAAAUCCUCCUUGUAAUGACUUUUGAAAGCUUAGAGUCACAAUUGUCACUCCCCUAAUGGCUCACAAACACCAAGAGCAAGAGGAUGAAGAAUAAGGAGAGAGGAGGCUGCCCAAAACGUCCAGAAACCCUAAUGGAACUCCUAGCCACGUUUUUGGGGUUUAAGGGUACUAUAUAUACAUGUAGGCUAUUAGGGUUUUCAACUAGGAAACCCUAAUCUGACUACUUAAGCCCUAAGCAGCCCAUGGACUCAUUUAGAAUAUCCCUUGGACGAGUUCUAAUGGGUUUCCCCAUAGAAUUCGUCCAACCUAUUAUUCCAAGGUAAUCCAUAGCCCAAAUGCAAUUAUCUUAUAAUUACAGUUCCAGUCCCUUAAGUUUAAUUAAUCUCUUUUAGCCACAAAAUUAAUUAUCAAUUAAUUCUUGACUAAUAUUAAUUAAUCAAUAUGAUUUCUCCUUUAAUAUAUUAUUCUCAUAAUAUAUUAAUAAAUCAUAAUUAAUCUUCUCUCUCCAUAAUUCAUCCUAUCAAGUUGCUUUGGUGAAGGCAACCCAAAAGGACCAUGCACCAUCGGGUCAAGUACAUACCAAAAUAGUUAUGGACUUAGACACUAAUCCAACAGUCUCCCACUUGGAUAAGUCUAAUAACUAUUCUGCGUAUGACUUCAGAUCCUGAUCUGCAAUCGUAGCUUUCAAAAGCCGCUGUCAACUCUGAUCUUAUCAGAUACGCGUGCCCUUUAGAUAAGGGAUCAUAUAUUCCUCCAUUCUAGAUAUCGUAUAGACUGAGACAUGGAUUUAAAUCAUUCUCUCUGUCUAUGUGUUGUUUCCCGAUUUCCGAUUUAUGACGACUGACAACAGACUACAAUUGAACACAUCAAAUUAGUCCCGGCUUGGCCAAGCGCUUAGGUGCCAUCACUAAAUCAUCGAGGGGCCCACAUAUAUCGCUUUCAUCCUACUUUGGAUAAAAGGAACGGAUAAACUUUGAUUCAAUGCUUGCUUGCACUCACUCACCGAAUCACACACAACAAUAUGUUUUAUGACACCAAGUUACUGGUGCGUUUACAUAUUAUCAAUGUGUAACCGACUCGCAAGAUACAACUCACACAUCUCGGUUUCAAGAAUAUAAGAUAUUAUCGUCUCACCAAUCACUCGUGAUAAAAUCCAUGAAGUGAUCCAAGUGAGCGUGGGUUUAAUCCAAUGCUCAAAUCAUAUUCAUAAGCACUCAUGAAUGUUGCAGCAAACAUUUGCUUAUGUCUAAUACACUUUAGACAAUCCACACACCAAUUCACGACAGUCUUCAUUCAUACCUACUUCCAACAUAUGAACGACUGUGGUCCGUUUGAAUAAUUUGAUUGUUCUGAAUCAAUUUAAUUAUUCAGGAAGUCAAAACAUGCAAAGUGAAACACAAGAAUAAUACUAAUCCCAUAUGGCCCCAAACUCUGGGUAUAAAUAAAACAUUUUAUUUAAUCACCAUAUUGAUUACUCAUUAUUUGUUGUUUCGGGUAAUCAAUUUCUUGAAUUAUUACUACACUUGUCCCAUGCUCUCAGCAUGCACACAAUGUUUACCUACGGUCCUUACUUUGUGAAAUAGGUCAAACGAACACAUUUCCAAUCAUACUCAUUUCACAACUCCCGAUAAGUAUAAGAAUAUCAAAUUCUUGUUACUUAUGCUAGAUUCUAACAUUUUAUGCAAUGAUUCUUUCGUAAAGUCAUAGCUAUAGCUCAAAAUCAUCAAGAUUUGGCCAAUCUCUAUCAGAAGCAAUUCUAUAGAUAUGAUGUCUCUCACUCAAAGUCCAUUCCUUUAAACAUCCUUCUUACAUAAAAGUUUAUAAUCUAGACAUAGAUUCUCAAUAUCCAACUCCCAAUAUGGAAACAUUUCCAUAUUUUGCCAUAUGACAACUUAUUGUUAAUAGAAUCUUAUCUAUUCAUAAUAAUGUUGAUACGAUCCAUCCAAUACCAUACUUCCAAUUACUCACAAGCAACCAAUCCUCAGUGAGCUUUGGAUCGUCCUUUGAUAGUUGUUUAAUUAUUUUAAUCAAAACCGAUUCUAGUCCUUUUUCCCUCUAAAUGCGCUAGACAUUUGGAAAAUUUUAGAAUGGUCAAAUUUUAUAGCAUUUGCAAUCAAUCCUAUACCCGAAGCGUAUGGGACACGAUGCAUAAUGUCUUACAUNAUAACAUACUAUGUAUCCUUGACUAAAUUUAUUAACAUUCCACAAUCUAAGCCUUUAGAUUUGAAAUGAAGCAUAAUAUUCUCUCCCUUAAUUAUAGCAAAACAACUAUUCAACCCUUACGACUUUGCAAAGUAUAACUCUUGUUUUCUAUAAUUAAUAUUGCUAACUUGCAAUACUUGCCUUAAUAAUCAUACAAGCACAACAUUUAUGCUCCCACUAUCAUGAUGAUUAUUAUCAUAUAAGCAUAACACUUAUGCUCCCACUAGCUUUGACAUGUUUUAGAAAACAACUGAACUUCCAGAAAACAAUACUUAUUGAAUUUUUGAAGUUCAUAUUUCUAAUACCUAAUGUUUUGAUAAUCCUUUAUCUAAGUUUCUUAAAACUUAUACACCUUUGCCUUAGAUAGCUCAUAUGUGUGUCUAAACAAUUCAGACAAUUGCACAAUCUCACAAUUCGAAUUAUGGAAAGGGAUACCGUUACCAUAAUCGAAUUCAAGAAUACAAUUUUCACAAUCACUAUCUUCUUAAAAUCUCUCUUAGUGAAAGCAUUUCCUCACAGUCAUUUUCAUGAAGGAGGGAAUCUUAUGACACUUAGAUUUUAAUGGUGUAUGUGUUCCUAUCCAUGUGAAUUUGUCAAAACCAAAGUUUGCGACAAAUCCAAACUCAUAUGGACCGAACUUUCUCAAUCUUGAUUUCUUGCCUUAUGGUAACACGAGUGCCCACCAUGUCUUCCAAGUAGUUAAGCAGCUCACCCUUUCCUAUCAAUGUACUUUUCAUUGAUCAAGGUGCUUGCCUUUUAUGCGUUCAAAUGAGAACUCAUAGAACUCAUAUGCAUAAUUAACUCAAUUGGAAUGGCACAGAAACAAAAUAAUGUCAACACGAUAGGUUGUAAACCUCAAGUCGUGUGCUAGUGAUGAUCGAUAAGGUUUAUUCUUGAUUAGUUCUUGAAACUUUUCAAGACCAUUAAGACUCCCACUGACUCCUUGACAUAUAAGAUUCUCUUGUCAAUAAACAUUUCUCGACAAACAAAUAUUCAAGAGUUAGUGUAGCUUUUAUCAAGACAAAACACUUCACAAAAUUGGUCCUAGUUGGUCUUUGUCUUAUCCAAGACAUCACAACUUUCCACAUUUGAUGAAUGUUAUAAACCUUCUUAAGACUUGUCACUCAAUUUCACAAUCUUAACUCUAAGACUUGGUUUUGGAACGAAGUAUGAUUGACUUCUUGAUUUAACCAUUUCUUCAAUUCUUGAUUCCUCUUCUCAGACAUACAAUUGCACUAAGACUCACUUAGAGGAUCAAUUGAGAUAUGGUUCUUAAUCAUUAAGACCUAUCAUAAAACAUAAUAAAAGGUACUCUCCCUUCUUCUUAGAAUAGAGAAACUUUUAUCUUUCUGCCUACUUGAUUCUUCUUUAUUCGUUCUGCUAUUGAUUGAAACUCUUUCAAUCAACUGAGAAUUACACUUAAUCUCAUAAGUAUAAUCAUAUUUACUUAACCUUAGUAAAUCAUGACGAAUAUCUUUGUUACUCUUGUGGUGGACUUGAUCAACACACAACCUUGUGUACUCGAUCUCCUAGUCCUUCACUUGACACUUUGUCAACGAAUUAGUCUAAUUUCCAAAUAUGAAAUUUCUCAUUCAUCAUGCAACCAAGUUGUAUGAUUCCAAGUUUCUAUCCAAUUGAAACUUGGGCGAUGAGAAACUUUCCCUAUUUGGUAAAUUCUUGACCUUUCCACAAAUAACAUAAUUAAGAAUCAAAUCCAUUAUUGCUAAUAAUAGAAACUUACAAACAUCAAUUUUUCAUACACGCCAUUGCAAGGAUAAAUAAAUAAUAUAAAAUCAAAAUUUAUUGUAUUGCGGAAAAAAUUUGUCCUUACAAUGCAAUUUAAUUGAAAAACAAUGUUAAUACAUAUUUCUUAGCAAUCUUUUUCUAACUCCAAGUAGCAGCUCAAGAUUCUAAUCUUCAAGUAAUGCGACCCACUUCUUCAUGAUUAGAUUCCGCUCACUUCUUCCCUUAAGCUUCCUUUCUUUUCUUUGAUCCUACAAAACAUCGAAAUGCAAUCUUAUCACAUCAUGUAUUAAGAAUCUAGAAUAGGAACUUAAAAGAGUUAGUUAAUGGAAUUUACCUAAAAUAGAGCCAUACGUUUUGACUCUCCCAUCUCUUAGAUCUCUUAGGUAAAUAGGGCAGCUUCGUCUCCAAUGCCCCUUCUCUUGGCAAUAAAAGCAAAUUGACUCUUUUGGAACAGCACAUGGAACUACUUCUGGCUUUGCCUUUCUCUUAUGAUCAAACUUUUCGAUCAUGGCAUGCCUUUCGUUGCCAUUGCCUAUAUUCAUAGAGGUCUGGAAGGCAGAUCCACCAAUCAACUUUGUUUUUCCAGUGCGCCAAAUCAUUGCUGAUUCAGCAGCAAUAAGCAUAUAGGUGAGAUCGAUGAGGGUUACGUCGUGGUUCAUCAUAUAGUACUCUCUUACGAACUCACUAUAUGAGUCAGGAAGUGACUGAAGAACCCAAUCAACAGCCAGCUCCUCACAGACAACAGAUCCCAACAUUCUUAACCUAUCAAUGUGUGACUUCAUCUCUAGGACGUGUGCACACACCGAAUUUCCUUCUUCAUGUUUACUUGCCAAAAGGGCUUGAGUGAGUUUGAACUUUUCAAUCUUUUGAACUUGUGGGUUAGGGAGAAUAAUAGGAGGAGGUGGAGGAAGUGAAGCAUGAUCUCGUGUUCCUCGAUCAAAUCGUGGAAUAUCAUCUUCAUGUGAAAAGCUUGUUCAACGAGAUUUGGGAAGACAAUAGUUGUCAUACUUUGACAUCUACAAAACGGGAGAAAAAUUAAAUUCAAGUUAGUUGAUUGAUUGAGUCCUUAAUGAACCACCCAAAUGAGAUAUUAAGGCUAGGAUCCAACACAAUACUCAACAACCUAGAAAAGGGAUGCCGUAAUCUAGUUGCAGAAUAUUUGAAGGUAAGUGAAUGACGAUUCACUAAUUUCCACCAUGAAAAACGAAAAAGAAAUUUAAGUUUUAAAUCUAUUGAAAAUUCCUAGAUCUUUUGAGAUUCAUUGAACUUUUCAAUGGCAUGUUUAAAUCUCGAUAUGCCCCUCUAGUUUGUGACUGGGAUACCGAGGAUCACAAAGCGGGUGUGAAUAACCAUGCAAACUUACAUGGUGCCCCCACAUGUUACAGUCACCUAUUCGAUGUGCCGGUUAACCACACACGCUCCACCGAACUAUGACAAACAUUGAGUCACCCUUUGCUACCUUUUCUUAGAACCAUUUAGUGUGCCGGUUAACCACACACGCUCCACUAACGUCUUCGCAAGGGCACAAAGUGUAAUUUCAUGGAAUUGCAUCAAUUCACUUUUGCCUAAAGUAACUAAGAUUGGGAAUUUUGUAAAAGCAUUUAGUUACUUUUGUACUUCAUUAUACUUAUAAUGGAAGGUUUCUGUCCUAUCCUACCCGUUCGGCUAACGACCCUCCACUAGUCAAGAGUGCGGUGGGUAAGAGUGGAUACCCAUUCAAUCGCCAUUUUAUAGGCAAUUUCCUUAAACACCCCUUAUAGACCAGCUUCGUGAAUGAGGCCCACUAACGGUAAGACCGACUUUUACUCAUACAUAUAUAUUAGACUUUUAAUGUUAUAUAUAGUAUAGGGUGUAUUUUACACUUUUAAAAUACUAGGUGGUCAAAUUUAAUAAUUAUACACUUUAAUUAAUUAAUAAAACCAUAAGGGUGUGAUUUGAACUUUUCAAAACAAUACUAGGGUUUUAGAAUUUAACAUUUCUAAAUUAAACUUUUAAUCAACUUUUAAAUUCCAAAACUUGAGGGCAAGUUUUGAAACAUUUCAAAACAUUAGGGUUUCAACUAUUUAAAUUUCAAAACAAAACCUUUAAGUUCAAAUUUAAACCAUAAAACUUACAUGGGCACAAAUGAAACUUUUUCACAACACAAGGAUCAAAUAAAAAAUAAUAGAAAUUAAACAAUUAAUUUUGUCAUUAUCUAUAUUUGACCUUAUUUCAAUUUCUUGCAAGAUAAGUUACCCAAUUAAUACAAAUAAUCAAACUUUAAUCAUAUAAGGAAGUUAUUAUCUAAUCGAUUGGUAAUUAUCUUGUGUUUUGACAAGGAUAAUCUUUUAGAAACAUUAAAAAUCAUGUUUUAUAAGUUUACAACGAAUAUGAUAAUUAUCCUUAAGCAAAAAGCAAUAAAAUCCGAAAUUCCCUCUGUCUGACGCUCCGACUCGCCGAGUCACACAUUGGAACUCGCCGAGUGGGGCAGACUCGCCGAGUCAGUUCGAACAGUAGGCCAAAAUUCGAUUUUCAGUUAAUAAUUCAACAUAGCAUCACAUACAACAGAAACCAAUCAAGUCUCUGAUACCACUGAUGGGUUUUAGCCAUAAGAACAUCCUAUGUGCUCAUGCAAACCCUAAUGCUUGGAUCUAGGUUUCUCUAUUGUACAUGCAAUGUAUCCAAGACUUACAAUCUUAGAUCUAACAUAUUAUAAACUGAAAUUAGGAUUUAGAGAAUUACCUUUGAUUGUUAUGUAGCAAUAACAAUCUCAAAUCCUCCUUGUAAUGACUUUUGAAAGCUUAGAGUCACAAUUGUCACUCCCCUAAUAGCUCACAAACACCAAGACCAAGAGGAUGAAGAAUAAGGAGAGAGGAGGCUGCCCAAAACGUCUAGAAACCCUAGUGGAGCUCCUAGCCACGUUUUUGGGGUUUAAGGGUACUAUAUAUACAUGUAGGCUAUUAGGGUUUUCAACUAGGAAACCCUAAUCUGACUACUUAAGCCCUAAGCAGCCCAUGGACUCAUUUAGAAUCUCCCUUGGACGAUUUCUAAUGGGUUUCCCCAUAGAAUUCGUCUAGCCUAUUAUUCCAAGGUAAUCCAUAGCCCAAAUGCAAUUAUCUUAUAAUUACAGUUCCAGUCCCUUAAGUUUAAUUAAUCUCUUUUAGCCACAAAAUUAAUUAUCAAUUAAUUCUUGACUAAUAUUAAUUAAACAAUAUGAUUUCUCCUUUAAUAUAUUAUUCUCAUAAUAUAUUAAUAAAUCAUAAUUAAUCUUCUCUCUCCAUAAUUCAUCCUAUCAAGUUGCUUUGGUGAAGGCAAUUUAAAAGGACCAUGCACCAUCCGGUCAAGCACAUACCAAAAUAGUUAUGGACUUAGACACUAAUCCAACACAUAUAACAUAUAUCACAAACAACAUACUAGGGGUCCAAUCAACCAUCAGGUUGGAAUACCCCAUGCCCCUCAACCAUCGAGUUGGAAUGCCAUUUUGUUAUGGGUCUAAUCAACCAUCAGGUUGGAAUACACAAGGACCCUCAACCAUCGGGUUGGAAUGUCAUCUUGUUAUGGGUUCAGUCAACCAUUGGGUUGGAAUGCCAUAGGCCCCUAAACCAUUGGGUUGGAAUGUUAUCAUAUUAUGGGUCCAAUCAUCCUCGUGAUGGAAUACCUCGGGCCCAUUCAACCAUCGGGUUGGUUUGCCUCGGCCUGUAGGCUUACACACAGAGCAGUGAAGCCUCAGCCACUUACCAAACAUGUAUACAUAUAACAUAUAAUCAUGUAGCAAUCUACAACCAAUCAAAAUAAUCUAUAUAUCACUAAGCAUAGCAAUAUCCUAUCUACUAAGAUACCGAUCUAACAUAUCCCUACAGCCUAACAACAUCAUAUCUACUAGGAUACUGAUCUAACAGAUCACAACAAUACAAUUGAAACAACCCAAAAUUACAAGCCAAAAAUUUCGUUUGAAAACAUUACUAAAUCCAUAAUAUCAAAAUAUCAUAUAAUAAAACCAUAAGUCGUGUGUCUCAAAUGUCAUAAAUAUGUAUCAUAUCACAACUGAUGUCAAAUCAUGUCAAAAUAUCAGAGUCUAACUCCCAGGCUAAAACUGUGGUGGGUGCCAUGCCAUCAUCCCGUGCCCUUCCCCUUGCUAGCUAAAGUACCUGAAACCAAAACCGAAACUGUAAGCAUGAAGCUUAGUGAGCUCCCCCAAACUACCACAUACCAUACAAUAACAAAUAAAGCACAUAUUGGGCGUUGCCCACUGCAUCGGACCGAAGUCCGGAACUAACUAAGGACUCGCCCUCUGCAUCGGACUGAAGUUCGGAACUGACUGGGGCCUUUCCCCUACAUCGGACCGAAGUCCGGAACUGACUGGGGCCUUGCCCCUGCAUUGGACCGAAGUCCGGAACUGACUGGGGCCUUUCCCCCUGCAUCGGACCGAAGUUCGGAACUGACUGAACAUAGCAUAACAUAAUCAUAGCAUAUAACAAUAACACAUAUACUGCAUAUUGCAUCGGGCCGCAGCCCAGAACACAUAACACAUAGACAUGCGUGAAUCACAAAGACAUCAAGCAUACUUUACUACUUCUCGGGACCACACCAGCAACGAACCGCAGUCCAGUACUACUGCUAUCUAAAUGGGCCGGCAUUGUGGCCGUAGACCCGUUCCUACUGGAAGGAAACUCACCUCGUAAGGUUGACUGCUGAAAUGUUGACCGAGAACUGUCUGACUGCAGGUCUGGCAACUCCCCGGCUACAAUUUCCAUAAAGACACUUAGUCACACACUGAUACUAAUCUUAGGGUAAAGUAACUAUCUUACCCCUAGCCAAAGUCAUCAUCUUGGUCAAAGUCAGCUGCCAGCUGACCUGACUCGCCUAGUUGGGCCGCCAACUCGCCGAGUCCCUAUCCUUUCUUCUAUUCCCAAACCCGACUCUACUCUUCGAGUUUAGCAAAGACUCGACGAGUUCUCCUUCAAUAAUAACAUCGAUUCAACCUUCAUCUGACUCGCCGAGUUGUAUGAACAACUCGUCAAGUACUCCUUCAUCAUAUAAACACGUCCAGUCUACGGCUCGUUGAGUUGUAUGGACAACUCGUCGAGUAUGUUCUUGUGGGUUAAGAAGAUCGUAUUGGACUCGCCGAGUGUGUUCUUAUACUCAUCGAGUCCUAUGGGUUCCAGAUUAUGGAUAACUCUUAAAACGUCGAAACACUCCUUGGGACCUUCCUAAACCUCUACUAACAUUUAACUAGAUCGUUUGAACCAAAACAGAUUGGGGACUCCAGCCUCGGACUCGCCGAGUUCCAAGAACAACUCGUCGAGUCGCCUACUGUCCAAGUCUAUAACUCGAUUUCUGAUGUAUAACUCUCAUUCAAAGGUAGAUCUGGGCUUCUAAGGUUGAUCUAACAUGUAAAGUUAUGAACUCUACGUGCAUGCAUGGAAGUAUAAGCUUUAAGCACCCAAAAAGAGGUCUAAAUAAGUGCAUGGGCUAAUAUGGACAUAGAGCUUGCAUCUUUAUGCCAUUAACUUGGUUCUAGAGUCUAGAUCUGAAGGUGAAUCAACUUGGGACAUCCAAGUCUUUAGGAUCAAGCUUAUUGACCCCAAAACUCCAUAGAGGGGCAAAGGAGGAAAUCUAUAAAACCACAAGUCAAGUUUUGAGCUUGAUUACCUGAAAGUGAAGAGAAAUUGAUGUUGCUCCUAGAUCUAGUCCUUCUCCCUUGAUCCUUCUUCCUUCCAACUCUUCUACUAGAUACACAAUGCACCAAAAACCCUCCAAGUCACUAAGAAAGCUCAAUAUUGCCAAAAGGGAAUUAGGGUUUCGAAGGUAAUGCUCUGGAGGUGAUGGAGGCUGGACCUGAAGCUCAUAAUGUGGUUUAAAUAGGGUGCAAACCCUUUAAUUAGGGUUUCAUCCAGACUGGCCUACUCAUCGAGUCCAAGCGCGGACUCGUCGAGUAGAUUACUUAAACCCGCGUCCCAACCUUGCAUCUACUCGAGAAGUUAGGGCUGCCACUCGUCGAGUCAUUAAUACAAAUGAUAUAAAAGUAGAUCAAAUACAUACCAAAAACAGGGAGUUACAAUUCUCCCCCACUUAUAUUAUACUUCGUCCUUGAAGUCUGCUGUCGCUGCAAACAACUCUGGGUAGUGUUCUCUCAUCUCCUCCUCGGGCUCCCACGUCCACUCCGAGCCCUUGCGGUGCUGCNUGUUCCUCAAGUUCUUUGUCUUCCGAUCCAAGAUCGCAACGGGUCUCUCGAUGUAAUUCAGACUGCCAUCAAUCUGGAUAUCCUCUAGUGGUACAACUGCUGACUUAUCCACUAAUCACUUCCGCAGCUGAGAAACAUGGAAAGUGCUGUGGAUCUGGCUGAGCUCUGCAGGAAGAUCUAACUGAUACGUAACCCGACCCACCCGGGCCAAAACUCUAAAGGGACCAAUGAAUCUGCGGCCCAACUUGCGCUGCUUCCGAAAUCGGAUGACACCCUUCCAGGGUGACACCUUCAGGAGGACCAUAUUGCCCACCUGGAACUCCAAAUUUGAGCGCCGCUUAUUGGCGUAACUCUUCUGCCAACUCUGAGCAGUCUGGAGCUUGCUACGAACUUGCUUUAUCAACCUUGUGGUCUUGAGCACCACCUCCGUACUCCUCAUGACCCUCUGACCGACCUCACCCCAACAGAUUGGGGUCCUACACUUCCUCCCAUAAACCAUCUCAAAGGGAGGACGGUCAAUACUGGCGUGGUAGCUGUUGUUAUAUGAAAAUUACGCUAAUGGAAGAUACGUAUCCCAACUGCCACCGAAAUCUAGGACACAUGCCUGAAGCAUGUCUUCAAGAGUCUGAAUCGUCCUCUUGCUCUGCCCGUCCGUCUGAGGGUGAAAAGUGGUGCUGAAAUGAAGACGAGUACCCAUCUCGUCAUGAAACCGCUUCCAAAACCUGGAAGUAAACCGGACGUCUCGGUUUGACACCACUGAAACUGACACUCGGUGAUGUGCCACUACCUCUCGCACAUAAAUAUUGACUAACUUCUCAACCGAGAUGCUCUCCUGGAUCGGUAUAAAAUGCGCACUCUUGGUCAACUGAUCCACGAUGAACCAAAUCGAAUCAACUCCACGUGCGGUCCUGGGAAGCUUAGUAAUGAAAUCCAUGGUGAUAUCCUCCCAUUUCCACACGAGAAUAUCCAACGGCUGCAUCUUGCUGUGGGGUCUCUGGUGCUCUGCCUUGACCUUCCUGCAGGUCAGGCAUCUCUCUACAUACCAUGCUACAUCCUGCUUCAUGCAGGGACACCAGUAAUUAGGUCGAAAAUCUCUAUACAUCUUCGUCGCCCCGAAUGGAUGGAGAACCGAGACUUGUGGGCCUCGUCCAUCAACACCUACCGUACUCCGCCCCAGUACGGUACCUAGACCCUCCCAUGCAGGGUCAAAAAUCCUCGGUUGUCAUAAUCGAAGGAAGCGACUCGGUCCACGAUCCUAUCACACUUCUGCCUUUCCUCCUUCAGGCCCUCAACAUGUGUCUCUUUGAUCUGCUCCAACAAUGGAGUAAUCACUGUCAUCCUCAGACAUAUAUCUCUCUAAUCGGGGCUGCCACCGCCUUGCGGCUCCGAGCAUCAGCCACAACGUUGGCCUUGCCUAGAUGGUAAAGGAUCUCAUAGUCGUAAUCCUUUACCACAUCCAACCAUUGACGCUGCCUCAAGUUCAGAUUCGGCUGAUCCAUAAGGUACCUCAAACUCUUGUGAUUUGUGUAAAUGGUACAAUGGAACCCAUAGAGGUAAUGUCGCCAAAUCUUGAGGGCGAACACCACUGCUCCCAACUCUAAAUCAUGCGUCGGAUAGUUAGCCUCGUGAGGCUUCAAGUGUCUAGAGGCAUAACAUUGCUCAACACUGCUCCCAUACCCGUGAUCGAAGCGUCACAGUAGACUACCAAGUCAUCCACUCCCUCCGGUAGGGUAAGAAUCGGUGCCUCGCACAGUCGCUGCCUGAGCGUCUCAAAUGUUGAUUGCUACUCAGGACCCCAACGAAACUCCACUGACUUCUUAGUCAAUCGAGUGAGCGGUACUGCUAUCUUGGAAAAAUCCUGAAUGAAUCUCCUGUAAUACCCUACCAGACCUAGGAAGCUCCGAAUAUCAGAUGGAGACCUCGGGAUCUCCCACUGCAUCACGACCUCUAUCUUGGCCGGAUCUAAAAGUAUAACCUUCUAGUUGACGAGGUGUCCAAGGAAUUGCACCUCGCACAACUAGAACUCACACUUGGAGAACUUCGCGAAAAGUUUCUCCCUCCUUAGUGUCUCUAGCACCUCUCUCAGGUGCUCAUCGUGUUGAUCCUGAGUCUUGGAAUAAACCAGUAUGUCGUUGAUGAACACUAUCACAGACUGAUCCAACAUCGGCCUGCACACGCGGUUCAUGAGAUCCAUGAACAUGGCUGGAGCGUUGGUGAGCCCAAAUGGCAUCACCACGGACUCAUAAUGAACAUAUCGGGUCCUAAAAGCGGUCUUCUGCACAUCCUUAUCCCUGACCCGCAUCUGGUGAUAUCCGAACCGUAAAUCAAUCUUGGAAAACCAAGAUGCUCCCUGAAGCUGAUCGAACAAAUCAUCUAUCAUUGGUAGUGGGUAACGGUUCUUCACCAUUACCUUGUUCAACUCCUGGUAAUCUAUACACAUACGGUACGACCCAUCCUUCUUCUUCACAAACAGGAUUGGGGCUCCCCAUGGUGAACUGCUCGGCCUGAUAAAACCUUCUCUAGCAGCUCCUGUAGCUGCAUAGACAACUCCUGCAUCUCUGGAAGAGCCAAUCGAUAUGGUGCCUUGGCUAUCGGAGCCGCACCAGGAACCAGGUCAAUCUUGAACUCAACCUGUCUCUCAGGAGGUAUUCCAGGAAAAUCCUUUGGAAAUACAUCUGGGUACUCUCGUACCACCGGUAUAUCGUCAACUGUCGCCUUACCCUUCUCCCGGGCGUCCAUAACAUAGGCGAUGUACCCCGCGCAACCCUGCUGGAAGUAGCGCCUUGUUCUCGCUGUUGAAAAAAGAAUCGGUCCGCGUUGUGGCCUUUCGCCCUGAAUCACUAACUCUACCCCACAAGGAGUACAAACCCUCACUAGAUGCAGCUCACAAUCGAUCACUGCCCCGUUGGGGCUCAGCCAAUUCAUACCUACUAUAACCUUAUUCCCUCGCAGGGGAAUAGGAACCAAGUCUACUGAGAACUGCUCAUCAAAUAACUGUAGUGUACAUCCCCUAUGAACUCUCGCGACCCUGAUGGUCCUAUCAUCAGCUAUCUCCACAUCAUGUGGGAAAUCCAACUCCCCCGGAGCUCUGCUAAAUCGCUUGCUAAGCGCGAGCGAUACAAAUAAUCGCGUAGCCCCCGAAUCAAACAAUACUAGAGCUGAGAUGUCGUUCACUAGGAACGAUCCUAUAGAAAAACACAUAACCAUAAGCAAUAAAAAAUAAUAAUAAUAAGAUGAUGGAGAAGAUACAUACCCGUAACUACAUCAGGAGUCGUCCGAGCCUCCUCGGCUGUCAACUGGAAUGCUCUGCUCUUCGCCACUAGUGUCUCGGUCCGACCCUUCCGAUCGUCUGUAAUCCUUAGGGUAGCAGGAGUGGGUGCUACCACUGGUCCUGCUGAUGCUAAACUCGGACACUGGGACCUCUUGCGUCCGAUCUGAUUGCAAUGAAAGAAAAUCAGAUCAGAUGUUGAGGUGGGAAUCAUAGUCGUAGUAGCUGUACAAUCCUUGCGCAUGUGACGAGUCCGACCGCACUUGAAGCAGCUGGAACUCCCUGCCUUGCACACUCCAUCGUGCAACCUCCCACACUUGCCACACUGACUGUGGCUCUGUUGUCCCCUAGGUCUGUGAUCGGAUACCUUGGGCUUUUUGCUCGAACUCCUUGUGCCAGAUAACACCUCUGGCUUCCUCUUCUUCUCCAUCUCUAAAUCGAUCUCCCUCUCACGAGCCCUCACAGUCAUAUAAUCCAGCAUUUUACAGUUGGAACAGCUCACAAACUGUCGGAUAUCACUCCUCAACAUCUCAUGGUAUUUGGCCUUCUUCAUCUCCUCGUCUGCUGUGUACUGAGGAACGAGAAGAGCCCUCUCACUUGUCACAACUGGAAAUUUUGAGCCAUGUAAUCUAUACAUUCAAGUUAAUGUGAAUCAAAAACUUCAAUCAAAUACAUCAUACAAGUACUACAAACAGUCAUCAAACAAUUGGAAACCCUAAAAGUUCUUGUUUAGGUACACCUUGGACUAGAACUUCCUUCUUGGAUCCAAAUAGACCAAUAAGCUUCCAAAUAGACUAUCAUGGGCUUAGAACCCUAAUUGGGCUCUAAUUGGACCCACAUUUAUUUAUUUCAACAUUUUGGGCCAUGUUGGGCCUAUAAUGAAAUGAAUUAAAAGCCUUGAUACAUGAAUAACCUAAACUAGUCCAAUAAAAAUAUAAAAAUCAUACCACAUUCUUUUAGGUAUAAAACACACCCUAACUAACUCUAAUUUUGGGCUUAAGAGGAAAAAAGCCCAAAUUUUUCUUUUCCCUUUCAAAUUCUCGGCCCAAGGCCCAAAUCCAAGGAGAUAAGAGAUGAAGUUGACUUUGGUUGCCACCUCAUCUUUACCCAUAGGAUUUCCAUGCAAGAUAUUCCCUUUUCCCAUGCAAGUAUCACUUCAAAAUCACCUCACUCCUUCCUCUCUCUCACUCUCGGCCACAAGCACACACACACACACACACCACAAAUCUCUCACAAAUUCUCUCUAAAUCACUCAAGAACAUCUCUCCCUCUCCACUCAAAAAUCUCGAGUUUUAGGAAGCAUUCAAGAGGAAAUCUCCACUAAAUUCUUCAUCUAAGGUAAGAUUAUGCAUAGAUCUAUGAUUUAAAUUCUUUUUGUUAUCAAAAUCCUUUCCUAAACUAUGCAAAAAUCGUGAUCUUGCACCCUAGAACCAUCUCAAACUCGAGAUCUACCAAGGAAAGGUGCUAAGGCCAAAAAUCACCAAGUUUUCUUCCAUCUUUUCUUCCAAAAACCGAAACCACACCCAAGGUGAGCUUCAUACCCCCUAUUUUCUGUUUUUAUGAGUUUUAUGGGGGGGGGGAUACAAGUGAAAGUGUAGAUCUAUAUGUGUUUUGUAUGCCUUGUAUGAUUUCCAUGCUUAUAUGUAUGCUUUUGUGUGUUAUAAUGUUGGAUCUAGCCAUAAAACCCCUCAAAACCGAGAUAUAUCUUGUGUGAAAUGAUUUUAGCUUCAAAUAUAUUUCUACAUACAAAGUGUUUCAAGAAAAAUGGCUAAGUGGUUUAGUAACAAUUUUCUUUGGGUUAAAAACACAAAUUUUGGGCCUAAAAUGUGAAAAAUACAAAAUUAAGGGUCCAAAUUGGCAUAUCACGAAUUCUGCUGGAUGAAGUGUGCCAAAACAGUUUCCAUAAAUCAAUUUCUGGAAAUAUACUCAUUUAGGGGAUUAAAAACAUAAAUUCCAAGCUUAAUGGGCUAAAAAUGACAUUUUUGGCCCAAUGAGGCCCAUUAUGCGAAUUUUUCUGUUUUGGAGGGCCAAAACUGUGAUUUUCUGUAAAACAGUGGACUAUAAGUGUUCCAAAUCCUUUUCAAAGGUUUAAAAUGCUUUUUAAAUUUAAAAAGGACCAAAGUUGCAAAAAUUUUCCAAUUUGGGCCAAAAUUGUCAAAGUUGCGAAAAGAAGGGAUUAAAACCGAGAAAACUGCAUUUUCAGGGACUUAAACUGUUUUCUAUGAAAAAUAUGCUGAAAAAUAUUAAUUUCAAUAAUUUUUGGUGUUAAAAUGUCAAGAAAAUUAGUUUAAGGACCAAACCGGGAAGUAUUUAAUAAAAGGGUUGAAAAUGUAAAUUUUACAAACAAUGAGGGGCUGAAAACAGAAAAAUUUCAAGGCUAAUUCAAUAUACACAAUUUGAUCAAAUAAUGGCACCGCGGCUUUCGACGAAAUACAAUACAUUACAAUACCAAAAGUCGUUGUUAAACGAAUUGGCUCGGUCUCGAACCAAUAGAAAUCUACAACUACUAACACUACGACACUACGACACUACGGUUCAUACAAAUAACGUUUGGGAACUUAGCUUACAUACGAGUGUGCACAGACGUCUACGCACCAUCUUCGGGCCCCAAAAGUGUAAAAUCUUGCUUGUUGGGCCUAGCUAGCCCAAUGACCUGAUCUUAAGGCCCGAAGACGCAUAUUUUCUACGAAGUGUUGAGUUUCACCGACUUGGCACAACGUAGAGGGACUUUCAAUGGCUUGUAUACCACUGGUCCCCAAGGGUCCUUGGUAUUGCUAGAAAAGUCUGCAUAUUUUGCGAGGCGGGUCGGGGACCCCUCGUACGCAUAUUAUCCCCAACCGAUUAAUAGAGUCAUCGAGGCCUUCGUGUCCUCUUACUCUUCGGAUGUGGGACGACACAUAGUCAGGGCGGCUGGAUAACGUGAUUUGUACGAACGACGCCUUCGGGAUCGUUAGUAUUGCUAUGAACUGGGCGUUUGUGUAAUGCGGGUUUGUAGUAAAUAAUCAUGCUCAAAAAUAAUCCAACGUCGCCUGGGAAUGACACUCCUAUUUUUGUAAUGGUUUCAACGCAACUUAACGAAUUUCAAAAGAUUAGGAAAACAUCGGGUUUUCCUAGGUUUUUCAAACAUAUCGGAUUCGAAACGCAUAUAAUUUUUAAUAAACAAUUUUCAUAAGUACAGAAACAAACAGGCAUACUUAUGGAUCUUCACAAACAUUUUCGAAAGUUUUUCAUUUCAGAAAAUAUCGGAUUUUCUGGUGGUUUUCAAACAAUACAAACAUUGGAUUUCAAACACUACUUAUGAUCUCACCAACAUUUCAUAUGUUGACGUUUUUCAAAAUACUUGUAUUCUCAGGGAACCAGUGAAUCAAGGGAAAUCAUAUUCAGUGACGGUUGCAGUUUAUCUAUGUAUGAAUUGAACAAUUUAAUUUUUGGGAAUGUAAUGUUUAACCAAUGAAUUUCAUGUAAACGCUACUGGUUGUACUGUAUUGAUGAAUGGUGACGAAUGUUGUUAUGUUUCAUAUAUAUUCAAUGUUAUGGUAUACAAUUGAGUCACGACAGCCCCCGGACGUUUCCGCCGUCUGGUUCGGGGGUGUGACAUCACUGAACUUCGAGGUAAUCUCCGCCACCGUCUCUGUCGUCUGCUGGAGAUCCUGGAACUCCCUGGCAAGCUGCUGCACCUCAAUAACAGGUGUGAACUUGGAUCUGAACCUGGUCGUGAAAUCCGUCCAGGUCAUAGCUUCAAUCACGUGCCCUGCCCUUCAGAAGACAGGAUGCAAGUCGGACCUUGUCCCCCUCGGGACAUCUGCUAGAGUGAAAAGUGUUGGCCAUAUCAGCCAACCAUCUGGUACUCACAAUUGGGUCUCGGGCCCCCAGAUAAUCUGGAGCUCCACAAGCCCUAAACUCCCUGAAUGUGAGCAUGCGCAACCCCAUCAUGGCGGCCAACUCAGCUCGGUACGUAAUCAUCUUGUCAUCCAAAAGCUCCAAAAUACCCUCCUUGACCGAACCGAAGAUCACAGGAGUCUGCUCGAGUAUGCUACAUGUGAUAUCUGAGCAGAUGAACUCCCUAGUCUGCUCAUCCAAAUGCUCCACCCCCGAGCCUGAACCUGAUCCUUCUCCGACACCUGAACUGCCGGCUGCUGGCCUAGGGCGUAAAACCACCAUUCUGAAAACACAAUAUGACAACGUCAGAAACACUAAUAUAAUUGGAGGGAUUUCAUCUACUACAAGUUUCCUAGUCUUGUCUCAGCCUUCCUCGAUUUAAGUACAAAUCCUCUGCUUUUAGUAGUAUGGGCCCUUACUACCUUCCACAUAUAUCCGUACUUUCCUCAAGAACUACCUCGACUCCACCAAGUCCCUUCUAUUACUAUUGCUGAUCUCAUGCUAAUCUCAUCAUAGGCUUGCCCUAGGGUAAUCACCAACCCACUCUCCACCAUCAGCUGCAUAAGAACUCCCUGUUAUCUUCCCCUAACUUUCUCGUGAAUACUAUUACAUAUUACUAAGACUAAAUAAUUCUUCGAAUGAGAGAUCCUACCCUACAACGGUUGGACUCAGACAAGAGCUGCGCAAUAGAGCUAGACCUAACCUUCUGAAAUUAUUUAAUCCUCGCAAUAUGUAAUGUAACAUAUUCACUUACUAGAUAGUAAAGGAUAACUAGAACUCCUAAAAGCACAAAGCAAGCAACAUUUGGGCAUUGAGUACACAUAAUCAAGCAUAUACUACUUUGGCUAUCAUGCUGGCUAAUCUGUUCUAGCAUACUGUUCUCAUAAAGUCAAACACAUAUAACAGGAACAUAAGUCAUCCUCCCUAGAUCCUUAGUCCUAAUCUAGCAUGUUGUUCUAAUAAAGCUGAUAAUCAUAACAUGACAUGAACUUGUAUGGGUAAUUUGGGAGUACUUACUUAAGCUCGACCGAUCGCAUGCACCACACCCUUUUUCUCUUUUUCAAACUCUUUUCUCCUUUUAAGUUUCUUUUUCAAAAAUUCUUUUAAAAAUGUUUUUCAUUUUGAAAACCUUAUACCAUUUCCUUAGUUUGAGUCCAGACACACCCGGAAGUGUGUCCGAAUCCCUCAAACCAAGGCUCUGAUACUAACUUGAAACAACCCAAAAUUACAAGCCAAAAAAUUUCGUUUGAAAACGUUACUAAAUCCAUAAUAUCAAAAUAUCAUAUAAUAAAACCAUAAGUCGUGUGUCUCAAAUGUCAUAAAUAUGUCUCACAUCACAAAUUAUGUCAAAAUAUCAGAGUCUAACUCCCAGGCUAAAAUUGUGGUGGGUGUCAUGCCAUCAUCCCGAGCCCUUCCCCUUGCUAGCUGAAGUACCUAAAACUAAAACUGAAACUGUAAGCACAAAGCUUAGUGAGCUCCCCCAAACUACCACAUACCAUAAAAUAAGAAAUAAAGCACAUAUUGGGCCUUGCCCACUGCAUCAGACCGAAGUCCGGAACUAACUAGGGCCUCACCCUCUGCAUCGGACCGAAGUCCGGAACUGAAUGGGGCCUUGCCCCUGCAUCGGACUGAUGUCCAGAAAUGACUGAACAUAGCAUAACAUAAUCAUAGCAUAUAACAAUAACACAUAUACUGCAUACUGCAUCCGGCCGCAAUCCGGAACACAUAACACAUAGACAUGCCCGAAUCACAAAGACAUCAAGCAUACUAUACUACUUAUAGGGACCACCCCGACAUCGAACCAUAGUCUGGAACUACUGCUAUCUAAACGGGCCGACAUUGUGGCCGUAGACCCGCUCCUACUGGAUGGAAGCUCACCUCGUAAGGCUGACUGCUGAAAUGCUGAUCGAGAAUUGUUUGACUGUUGCUCCGGCAACUCCCCGACUACAAUUUCCAUAAAGACACUUAGUUACACAUUGAUACUAAUCUUAGGGUAAAGUGACUAUUUUACCCCUGGACAAAGUCAUCAUCCUGGUCAAAGUCAGCUGCCAGUUGACCUGACUCACCGAGUUAGGCUGCCAACUCACCGAGUCCCUAUCCUUUCUUCUAUUCCCAAACCUGACUUUACUCGUCGAGUUUAGCAAAGACUCGACGAGUUCUCCUUCUAUAAUAACAUCGAGUCAACCUUCAUCUGACUCUCCGAGUUGUAUGAACAACUCGUCGAGUCCUCCUUCAUCAUAUGAACACGUCCAGUGUAACAACCCGAUAUUUUAGGUCAAUGUAACGACUGGAAGUCAACUAUUGUAAUAUCUUUGUGAAUUAACAAAAAUAGCGUCAAAAAUGAAAUGUUCAAAAAGCUCAGUUCGAGUAUACUAAGGUAGAUAUCGUAUCAAGGUUUCCAAAAAUAUAAAGAAUAACAAAAUCCGAGUUAUAACGAAGAAGUUAUGACCAAUCGAAGAUCCGUAACAAUACCAGUAAAGCGUUGUUAAGCCUAAAAUGCGAAAUUUCAAUAAAAUACUUUUUGGCCUUAGGUAUCUAAAUAAAAUUUGUAGAUAUCCCUAACCCGUGAACAUACAUAAAAAGAACGCCCAAAUCUGACUUCGUAUGAGGAAGUUAUGAUUUUUCGAAGCUUCAGAUAUAGCGGUAGUCACCUAAAAACGUGAAAUAGAGAUCGAGCGACUUUUGGCCAACGCAAUCUAAAUGAGAGUCGAAGGUCUCGACAAUAGUGUGUUGGGUCGUGUUUUGUGAUAAGUAUUGGGUCUAUUGGGCUCGUUAGCUAGUCCAUUUUGUAUCUCCGGUAUGGGCCUGUCCAUCCGUGAGUUUAGUAGGGUUUAGUAUAAAUAGGAGCUUACAUGCAUCCUAGAACAAAAAACGAUAGAAUAGAACGAUCAGAGUAUUAUUCAGCAAGUUUAUUAUUAUCGUUCUUGUAACCCUAAAAUCCUCUACAGCGGAAGUUCUUAGUCGAGCUAUGCUGAGGAUUGUUUGAUCUAAUCAUUCGACACAUCUUGAUCUAUACUUGUGUUAUUUACUGUUUUUACUUCAUCGCAUUACUUGUUAAGAAGAUCUAAUCGAUCAUCAAGUUAAUUAAUAACUUAUCAAUUGGUAUCAGAGCAGGAGGCUGUGUAAUUCAUACACAUCUUUUCUGUGAAAAAGGUUGCGAUUAGGGUUAUUCCGCAUUAACUAAUAUUUAUUGAGCCGUCAUCCCAUAAUUGACGUAACUCAGCAUUUAUUUGUUUUUCCCUAAUCUUAUAUAUUACAAGUCUGAUCUUUCAAAUAGGUUAUACGAUCAAGCAUGUACGAGUCACAAUCAAAUCCAAUAAACAUCUCAAACAGCAUUGGAUCAACGACGAAGAUUCCCAUCCUUUACACCCAGGAUUAUGAAGUCUGGGCACAUCACUUUGAAGAUUAUGUCAUUGGAUCUGAAGACAAUGGAUAUCUUAUUUGGGAAGCAAUCGUGUCUGGACCAUUCACUCAUUCAGCAAUGUCUAGAAUCAUUAAAACUUAGAAAGAGUACAAUGAUCUGUUGAAGGACGUAAAAGAUAUUGCUCAAGACGAAAAGGAUAAGUUUCAGUGCAAUAUUAAAGCAUUGAGACUAAUCAGAUUCGCUCUUCAAUCGGAUACUUUCAGGCUAGUAAGUUCAUGCAGCACUGCCAAAGAAAUAUGGGAUAGGCUGCGAGAGUUAUAUUCCACAGACGAAGAUCUGGAGCAUUCCAUUCAGACCUUACUUUUAUCUGAGUUUGGCGAAUUUAAGCAGAAUCCCGAGGAAACUGUUACUCAGACAUUCGAUCGCUUCAAUCAUCUUCUCAGUAAGAUGAUUAAACACGAUAUUGAAAGGAAGUUGAUUGAACAAAAAGUUACGUUUUUGAAUGGUCUUAGAUCUGAGUGGAGAGCGGUUGUGUCCACUGUUAAAGCUCAUGAGCAAUUCAAAUCAUAUUCAUUGGCUAAACUGGUAGGGAUUUUGAAAUCCCAAGAAAAGAUUGUCUUGCAGGAGAAAAAUGUGGUUUCAAGCUUGGGUUCCUUGGCCCUUCUAUCUAAAAGCAAAAGUGUGGUAGAAGAUGAAGAUCUUAACUUAGAAGACUAUGACCUUACCUCUGAAGAUUAUGCAAUGAUGGUGUCAAAUCCAAAGAGGUUUAUUAAGAAAAGGUUUCCUACCAAUAAGAACAGAAAUUGGCAGGGAAGCUAUAGUUCUGAAAAAGUGAGGGAGGAACCGAAGGCAGAAGAAGCAAAGAAAGAGCCGAAAGCUGAAGGGGAUUCUGGGGUGAACUGCUAUUACUGUGGAGGAAAGAACCACUAUGCUAAAGACUGUGUCCUAAAGAAAAUGGCAGAAAAGGAUGAAGAAAAAGAUGAAGAAGCUGUGUUGAUGAAAAAGCUGGAAGAGAUCAAGAGAAAGAAAACUACUGCUAACCCUUCUAUGAAUGCUUUAAUUGUGCAGGGUUCGGUAGCGGAUGAUGAGUUCGGUGGCGUGGAAGUCUGGUCAACCGAUUCUGAGGAUGAUGAAGUUAGAAAGCCAUCUCAUGGAAAGGCUUAUGUUGCGAAAGGUGAAGGAAGCGGUGGAAAGUGUUUGAUGGUGUCGGAUGUAUCUCAAAUGAGGGGAUACAACACAGACGGUGGGAAUGAAGACACGAAGGAGCGAGAGGACUUGUGCUUCACAGCAAAACCUCUCAGCGUGCAGUUUAAUGAGCUUGAUGAAUUAAUCAAGAAGGUACAAUCCAUUUUUGUUUCAUUCAAAGUCCCACAAAAUUCAUAUGAAAAAGAAUUAAAAAAUGUAAAUUCAAGAAUCUCUCAUCUAGACAGCAGUUUAACUCAAACACGGGUCACCAAUUCUAACCUAACUGACCAAAUAAGCAGGGUGUCUUCAAAGAGUGAGGAACGGAGGAUGUGGAUAGAGCUGAAGGAGUCGGAGUUGAUCAAAUCCAAAGACGAAAACAUUUAUUUACAAAGAGACAAUUUAAAACUUUUGAAACAAAGAAAUGUGUUUUGUUUGAUUGCUAAGCGUCUUUAUUCUAACAUCACUCAACUUCAUCUUAACUGUGAAAUAGGACAGAAAAUUCAUCGCAUGAUUUUGCCAUUUCUUGAGUUUAAGGAAGAUGAAAUUGAUGCUGAAGCAUAUAAUUGCGAAAGUGUAAUUUCGUCUGAGGAUGUAAAUCCGACGUAUAUGUAUGGUCUUGACAAAAUCGAAUCUUUCAUAAAGUCCAAGGACCAUAAGGACAUGCUGAAAAAUCUUUUGGAUGAAAAUGAUAAAUUGAAACUAAGGACCGAAGCCAUACAAAAGUUUGACUCGUUGAAUGCCAACUUCAGCUCAGAAAAUAAAAUUGAUGUUGAAAAUGCAUCUGAGCUUAAUGAGGAUGAUGAUAUGAGUGAAAUUUCUGUAGAGGAUGAAAUUGACUGUUCUGAGUUUGUCAAGAGCGAACCCGAAAACCACAAAAAUCUUAUUUCAGAAAAUUCUGUGGAAUUUGCUCGAUUGUCCCAACAAAAGUCCCCGAUCCUUGAAGAAAAAGCUGUUGUAUACCAAAAGGUAAGGACAACUCCAAAUCAGGUGUAUAAGGUUAUAGGAGUAACCGAACAUCAGACAGCCGAACUCACAGCCAUUGUAAAUGAAGAUAAUGCUGAUGGUUGUGAUGAGUUCUUCUGGUCUGCCCCCAUUGACAAUGCUGAUGAAACCGUUGGUCUGUCAGAACGGACGUCCUGGAAAACCAAAGACAGAUAUGUGCCAGAGCCUUUGAACAAGCCUGAUAACUUCGACAUGCCAAGUACUAGUGGUACAAAAGAUGUUCCUGAAGAGAAAGGAGUUCCUGCAGAAAAAGUCACUCCUUCAAGAGAAACAUCAUCAGUACAAAGUGCACCGGCUGACAAGAAGCAAAAGCAAAAAGCCAUCAUCCACCGACAGCCGAAGCAAGUAAAGGAUCAGAAGCAACAAAGGAAUCAGAGAUACAAGAAAAAUCUCUUUGAACGAAAACAUUUUUGGCGAUCUCAAAACGCCCAUUUCUCUUAUCAUGACAGAAAUUCAAAGUCAGAGAAAAAUGCUGUUAGGCAGCAAGAAAGUAAUAAUAACCAAAAGGAAAGGUUCGGUUCUGAGGAUCAUAACAACCGAAGGGAAAGGUUCGGUUCAGAGAACACCAACUACCGAAAGCAUAAGUUCGGUUCCAAAAGCAAAAGCAAUCAAGGUUCAAGGUUCGGUCCCACUAAUGAUAAAAAACAAAAGGGGCACCUAGAACCUCAAGUUAAGCAAACUUCUCAGUCUAACUUCUCUCGUUCUAAUUCUUCUCAAGCCCAUUCUAAAUCCAAUUCUGUUCAUACUCAAAACCCAAAAUCUUCAACAGAUUCGAAAGGAAAAUCGAAGGUUUCCUCAGUCAAGACUGAUCAAAAGCAUUCCAAGGCCCAAACGUCAAAUCUUGAACCCAAACCGUCUGUAACAAAUCCCAACAAAAUUAAAGUUUUCACCAUUAAAAAGAAAGAUGAAACAACUUUAAUAAAAAGAACAUAUCUUGUUGACAUCUCUCUUGCUAUUCCUGUUCCUAUGAAAGGCUCACGUGGACCCAAGAAACUGUGGGUUCCUAAAUCUACUUAAUUUUUGCAGGUUAUCAGUGACGAGCAGUUUGACGAAGAAUGGUAUAUUGACAGUGGCUGCUCAUGUCACAUGACAGGAAGGAAGGAAGAGAUGAGGGAAUUUCGGUCUCUUUCAAACGGGGGAAACGUCAAGUUCGGAAACAACUCAUUCGGCACGAUAAAAGGUUAUGGAAUGAUAACAAAUGGAGAUUUCACGAUUAGAAAGGUUGCAUACGUUGAAAGAUUGCAACACAACCUCAUUAGUGUAUCUCAGCUUGUUGGAGGUACCGGUCUCAAGGUCUCUUUCGACGAUGAGGGUUCAGAGAUAAUUGAAAAGAAAACAAAAAGAGUAAUUCUCAAAUCGGAGCGCAAAGGCGAAAUGUUUCCCCUGAAUCUCAAACCCAUCAAAGGAAAUCCAGCUAUCUGCCUGUUAUCCAAAGCACAAUCUGACGAAAGCUGGCUGUGGCACCGAAGGCUCUCUCAUCUCAACUUCAAGGAUAUCAACAAACUUGUCACAGGUGGUCAUGUUCGAGGUCUUCCAUUGCUCAAAUUCGAUCGAGAACAUUUAUGUGCUGCGUGUGAAAUGGGGAAGCAGAGUCGUCAAAGUCACCCAUCGAUUGUAAACACUAAAGUUGUUGAACCAUUAGAGUUAAUUCACAUUGNUCUAUCGAAAGCAUUGGCGGUAGCAAGUAUAUUCUUGUCAUUGUUGAUGACUUUUCAUGUUUUACAUGGGUGUUCUUUCUGAAGCACAAAUCUGAAGCACCUCUCAAGCUAAAGAUGUUUAUCAAGCAGGUUGAAGUGCAGCUGAGGAAAGUCGUUCGCAACAUCAGGAGCGACAAUGGGCUAGAGUUCAAAAAUAAAGAAUUCGAAUACUUCUUGGUAGAAAAAGGAACCAGCCACAACUUCUCAGCUCCCUACACCCCUCAGCAAAACGGAAUUGUCGAAAGACGAAACCGAUCUUUGUGUGAGGCGGCCCGAACCAUGCUAAGUUUUGCUUCUUUACCUUUAUAUUUUUGGGCUGAUGCUAUUGCUGCANNNNNNNNNNNNNNNNNNNNNNNNNNNNNNNNNNNNNNNNNNNNNNNNNNNNNNNNNNNNNNNNNNNNNNNNNNNNNNNNNNNNNNNNNNNNNNNNNNNNNNNNNNNNNNNNNNNNNNNNNNNNNNNNNNNNNNNNNNNNNNNNNNNNNNNNNNNNNNNNNNNNNNNNNNNNNNNNNNNNNNNNNNNNNNNNNNNNNNNNNNNNNNNNNNNNNNNNNNNNNNNNNNNNNNNNNNNNNNNNNNNNNNNNNNNNNNNNNNNNNNNNNNNNNNNNNNNNNNNNNNNNNNNNNNNNNNNNNNNNNNNNNNNNNNNNNNNNNNNNNNNNNNNNNNNNNNNNNNNNNNNNNNNNNNNNNNNNNNNNNNNNNNNNNNNNNNNNNNNNNNNNNNNNNNNNNNNNNNNNNNNNNNNNNNNNNNNNNNNNNNNNNNNNNNNNNNNNNNNNNNNNNNNNNNNNNNNNNNNNNNNNNNNNNNNNNNNNNNNNNNNNNNNNNNNNNNNNNNNNNNNNNNNNNNNNNNNNNNNNNNNNNNNNNNNNNNNNNNNNNNNNNNNNNNNNNNNNNNNNNNNNNNNNNNNNNNNNNNNNNNNNNNNNNNNNNNNNNNNNNNNNNNNNNNNNNNNNNNNNNNNNNNNNNNNNNNNNNNNNNNNNNNNNNNNNNNNNNNNNNNNNNNNNNNNNNNNNNNNNNNNNNNNNNNNNNNNNNNNNNNNNNNNNNNNNNNNNNNNGAUAUGUCUUAUGACGAUGAUAGUCAAUCUGAACUAGAAGAGAUGGUAAAUGCUGAAUUGGAUCCAUCCUAUGAUCCAAAUUACCCUCCUCUUGUCAAAUGGACCAGAGAUCAUCCUGUUUCACAGGUUGUCGGUAAUGUCUCUGAAAAGGUCCUGACCCGAUCUCAACUAAAGGCAAAGCAAACUUCCUUAUUUUCAAAAGUAGAGUUCUGUAUGUUUAACUCCUUCGUCUCAAAAGUUGAACCAAAGACAGUUAACACUGCUCUUGAUCACUCCGAUUGGGUUCAAGCUAUGCAAGACGAACUUAAUGAAUUCGAAAGAAAUAAAGUUUGGCGCCUCAUUCCAACUCCUCAAGAUGCCUCGGUUGUUGGUCUCAAAUGGGUCUUUAGAAAUAAGAUGGAUAAGGAAGGCAAUGUGAUUAGAAACAAAGCUCGUCUAGUGGUGAAAGGAUACUACCAGGAGGAAGGAAUCGAUUAUGAGGAAAAUUUUGCUCCUGUGGCUAGGCUUGAAUCUGUUCGAAUAUUUCUUGCCUAUGCUGCACACAAGAACUUUGAGGUCUUCCAAAUGGACGUAAAGGGCGCAUUUCUAAAUGGAGAACUUGAAGAAACAGUGUACGUAGAGCAACCACCUGGAUUUGUCAAUGAAAAAUACCCCAAUCAUUGUUAUAUUCUGGACAAAGCGGUAUAUGGACUGAAACAAGCACCGAUGGCCUGGUAUGAAACGCUAACCAAGUUUUUAAAGAUGUCCAAAUUCAAACAAGNACGACCCUCCACAGCACGAUGCUUCAGUUGAGGGGGAGGAUCCACCUUCUUCUUCACAGCCGGGCUCACAUGUUGAGGGGGAGAACUGUUCUCCAGCUGCUCCCGAACGCCCAGCUGUACCCGAAAGCCAAUCUGUACCCGAAAGUCCUGUGGUACCCGAAAGCUCAACACCACCCGAAACUCCUGUAGCUCCGGAAAGUCAAGAUACACCUGGAAGCUCAUCUGUCGAGGGGGAGAAUGCUGAUAUGUCUUAUGACAAUGAUAGUCAAUCUGAACUAGAAGAAAUGGUAAAUGUUGAAUUGGAUCCAUCCUAUGAUCCAAAUUACCCUCCUCUUGUCAAAUGGACCAGAGAUCAUCCUGUUUCCCAGGUUGUCGGUAAUGUCUCUGAAAAGGUCCUGACCCGAUCACAACUAAAGGCAAAACAAACUUCCUUAUUUUCAAAAGUAGAAUUCUGUAUGUUUAACUCCUUCGUCUCAAAAGUUGAACCAAAGACAGUUAACACUGCUCUUGAUCACUCCGAUUGGGUUCAAGCUAUGCAAGACGAACUGAAUGAAUUCGAAAGGAAUAAAGUUUGGCGCCUCAUUCCAACUCCUCAAGAUGCCUCAGUUGUUGGUCUCAAAUGGGUCUUCAGAAAUAAGAUGGACAAGGAAGGCAACGUGAUACGAAACAAAGCCCGUCUGGUGGUGAAAGGAUACUGUCAGGAGGAAGGAAUCGACUAUGAAGAAACUUUUGCUCCUGUAGCUAGGCUGGAAUCCGUUAGAAUAUUUCUUGCCUAUGCUGCACACAAAAACUUUGAGGUCUACCAAAUGGAUGUCAAGUGCGCAUUUCUAAAUGGAGAACUUGAAGAAACGGUGUACGUGGAGCAACCUCCUGGAUUCGUCAAUGAAAGGUACCCCAAUCACUGUUACAUUUUGGACAAAGCCGUAUAUGGACUGAAACAAGCUCCGAGGGCCUGGUAUGAAACGCUAACCAAGUUUUUAAAGAUGUCCAAAUUCAAACAAGGUUCGGUUGACCCAACCUUCUUUCGUAAGAAGGAAGGUAACCACCUUAUGAUUGUUCAAAUUUAUGUCGAUGAUAUCAUCUUUGGCUCAACGAAUCCUAGCUUAACGGCUGAAUUCAGAAAGCUGAUGGAGACUAAAUUUGAAAUGAGCUCAAUGGGUCCAAUUAACUUUUUCCUUGGUUUAAAUAUUAGACAGGGACCCGAAGGCAUCUUUAUUAAUCAGGAAGCUUACACGAAGACUCUCCUUGCAAAAUUUGGCAUGAUGGGAGAUUCAAAGGUUAAAGUUCCAAUGGCGUUCGGCACCAAGCUCACUCCAUCAUUGGAUAAGCCAGCAGUUGAUAUUACGCUAUAUCGCCAGAUGAUCGGUUCUCUGAUGUAUCUUACUGCUAGCAGGCCUGAUAUAAUGUUCUCUGUUUGUUACUGUGCUAGAUUUCAGGCGAAUCCACGUGAACCUCAUAUGCUUGCAGUGAAGAACAUACUCCGUUAUCUCAAGCGAACUACCUCUUUAGGCCUAUGGUAUCCAUCCAACUCAGGCUUCUUCGUUCAAGCCUACUCAGAUGCAGACCUUGGAGGUUGUGGACUAGACAGGAAAAGCACCACGGGAGGCUGCCAAUUCCUUGACGGGAAGUUAGUUAGCUGGCAAUCAAAGAAACAAACUUGUGUGUCUUUGUCUACAGCUGAAGCAGAAUACAUUGCAGCUGCCUCCUGUACUUCUCAAGUGAUUUGGAUCCAAAGUCAACUCCGGGACUAUGGACUCAAUAUGAAAAAGAUCCCACUAUAUUGCGACUCUGAAAGUGCAAUUAGGAUCUGUCAUAACCCAGUGCAACACUCCAAGACUAAGCACAUAGCACUGAGGUAUCACUUCAUUAAAGAUCAUGUGGAAGAUGGGAACGUCGAAAUUCAUUUUGUUCGAACCACUGAUCAACUGGCUGACAUCUUCACCAAAGCUCUUCCUGAAGCAUCGUUCAACAAAAUUCUACAAGGGCUAGGUAUGAUGGAAUCGGAGUCAGUACCAAACAUUACCUCUCAAACUCAAAAGUAAGAAGCGAAAUAGACCGAACGUUCGGGUUCGGGUCUUGUACUAAUGUACCGAAAUGAACCGAACGCUCGGGUUCGGUUGAAUAAUCUGCUUUUCGCUCAUCAAUCAAAGGUAGUUUUCUUGGUUGUAGAUCUUAUGUAUAAUUGUUCCAAAUGCAUUUAUCUUAUUGUCAAAGUUAUUCUCUUUGUUAAACCUAUUUUCUUUGGCAACCGAAAUAUACCGAACGUUCGGGUUCGGUUCCAAAAUUUUUCUCACCCGAAAUAGACCGAACGCUCGGGUUCGGUUCCAUUUUUUUUUUUGUGUCUUAUUUUUUUUAUCAAAAAUUCCAAAAAUAUUUUUUUUUCUUUUCUUUCAUAAAUUCAAAAACUCCAAAAAUAUUUUAUUUUUUUAUUGUCUUACUUAGCUUGGCUUUUAUUUUUAUUUUUUUUUUUUUUUUGUGGGUAUAUAAUUUCAUUAGCUAAGUGUCCCUAGAAGCAUGCUGCUGUAUGUGUCCAAAGCCUCACCUGAUUCUGAAUAAUAGGCCUUACUGACUUGGUAUAAACAAACCUUGUCUUCCCAAUUAGGCUUUCUUAUUUAUUCUAAUCAUGAGCUACCUAACUCUCUUCUCACAUGAGAUAUGAGUUUUCUGCUUGGUCCUAAUCUUUAUAGCAGAGGUACUUUGAUUUCUUUACACCAUCUACGUUGCAUUUCUCCAUCACAUUCGCUUCACAAACGUAACCCUUGAGACUCUCAGAAAUUACCACUGAGGUUUAUGGUUGCACAAUUUCUGUGUUCAUGAUCUUAGCUUCGUGUCACUACGUGCUAAGUGAAACCCAAAAUUCAAUACCCAUUAUGCAUUGACGGUGAACAAUUAAUUUGCUCAAGCUUUCACUAAUGAAUUGACGAAUGUACCACAUGAAAUCUCUAUUUUUCUUUUGAGUGAUUCCUAUGAAAUUGUUAACACCCAUAACAUUUCUUCCCUUGGGAUCCAGUUUUAUUUUUUGUUGAGAUUUUAUAUAUUUCCUAGCCAAAUUAAAUUAUCUCCAACCUACUUGUUCAACAGACUACACCGGUCUCACAAGUACUUCGUUCGAUUUCUGUCUUAUAUCAAGAUUAGGAAUUUUGAAUCGAAGCGAUAUCCACCCUCAUAAGCCUAAUUAAAAGAAGCCUUUCAACACUUCUUAAUAAGUGUCUGAUCGAUAUUCAACGGGAAACCACACAAACACUUUAAAGUCUCUCUUGACUUUGAAGGAAGAGAUUCGUGCCCGGGAUCAUUUGUUUCGUGUCUUUAUUGACAUCACAUAUUUUCCCAAAAGUGUUGCUUUAUUUCUUUUCUUUUACACCCUAAGCACGAAAAUCCUUGAUUUUCAAAAAUUCAGGUUCUAUUAAUUACAAGGCAUUUUAAUUGGAUUGGUGAUUUAUUAAAGGAUGUGGUAAAUAUUGAUCCACGUGGGAGAAUUUUUCUAAAAGAUGCUGUUUUAUUCUAAAGGGAUAAGGUGACGACAUGAUGACUCAGGCGGGAGUCUAAUCGAUUCGAUUUCAAACGGCGCAAGAGGGAAGCGUGCGAAUCUGAACCGUUUCAUCUCCAAACGGCGCCUGAUGGGAAGGCGUGUUAUUAGGGGCCUGACAUUCUCUCUCAUGCGUGAUCAUCGGCAACCCCAACUGUCACGCAUCAGUCAACUCCGAAAAACCCUUCGUUUUUCAAUCGAAGAUUUGGGAAGAUCUUUCUCUCUCCUUAACCCACAGUAUAAAAGGCAACAUCAUCUACCGUUUACCUCUUUACUGCAGUUAAAAUUCCCAGAGAGCAAGAGAUCCCUAAACCUUCACUGUUCAUCAUCUCCUCCACUUUCUUCAUAGCAAUGGCAGAUUCUUCCUCAGUUCACGCAACAUCCCACAUUUUGCCCAUUCGCCCACAGCAAAGCUUGAUCAUCGAUUUAACUCCUCAAUCGUAUGACACAUUCAUGUUCCCCAUCAUCGAGUGUCUGAAGUUUUCUCCAAUCACUCCUGCACUUACUAGGGCUGAAACUGUUCUGAUGGAACUCUUGUCACAGAUAUUUGCCACUGCUCACUACGACAAGGUCGUCGACAGAAUCUUCUUUGAUAACUUUGAACACAAGGCGUCGAUUUCAAAGCAGCGGUUUUGCUCGUUGUGAGGGUUUGACGCAGAUUCUUCCAGGGUCAAUCCGGAAUCAAUCCCCUUGGGUCAUCUGUUCAACAUGUUCUACAACAUGGGAUACACGGAGGUGCUUACUACGGUGACGAAAUUUAAAAAGUCAUGCCUACCUCCACAGUGGAAUGGGAUGUUCACUGUUUUGUUCAAAGGUUUAUCUGAACGAAGUGCCGGGUCUGAUGGAGCCAACCGUUUAUUUCUCUCCAUAAUGUAUGGUAUCUACAAUGGCAUCAACAUGGACUAUGGGUCAGUUCUGUGGCAACAACUUAUUCAGAGUCUCUCCUCCACUUCCAGACAUUCAGAGAUCUCAUAUGCUCGGUUCUGGACCAUUAUCACGAAAUGGGUGAUGGACAAGUACCACGUCCCCAUUGUCGCUGGUGCUCCAAUGUCUUUGAUUGGUACCUUCCAUACCACGAAGAUCAUUGUGUCGGAUGCUUCUAAGUUUCCAUUCAAUGGGUCUAUCCCUGAAACGAUGUAUGGUGAUGUUCCGGCUGACAGCAGGAUCAUUCAGACGUAUAAGGAGUUCAGACGUUCUGGUCCGAGGGAUCUUACUCCGGAGAUGCUGAAAUCAAUUCAUGAUGCCGACAAGCCUGCUCCAAGAGGCAAGAAGGCUGAUAAGGGGAAACAAGUGGCCAAGGGGGCAAAAGGUCCGUCUCCAAAGAAGAGGAAACCCACCAGGGCUGCUCCGUCUCCACAGCAGAAGAGGAGAAAAACCCAACCGCGACGAAAGUUGAUUAUCGGUUCCUCCUCAAGCAAGUCUGAGGGUGACAAUUCUGAUUCUGAAGGCUGUCAACGUGGUAACACUCCACCACGAUCUCCAACCCCUGAAGUUCAUGUCUCUACUUCUCCUCUUUCCUCUCCACCUAAAACCAUUCCUAUUUCUAUUCCCCCCAUAACUUCCACUACUCAAAUACCACCCACUUCCAUCCCAAUACCACCACCAAUAUUCACCGAAGCUACCACAACCACCACUGCAAAUGUUAGAAGCAACGUAUCUGAUACGGGGGUUCAUACUGACGCACCCGAAACCACCCCAGCUCCCGAACCCACACCUACACCCGAACAAACUACCCAACUCGAACCUACCCAUACUACCGAACCACCAGCUUCACCACCACCAUCUUCUCCUGGUUACGCAUCAGAGGGAGAAGAACCAUUCCUUGGCAGGGAGAAUAUGACUUUGACUCGGUCUACUAUAGCCCGUUUCAAGUACAAAGCAAUGACGAUGAUGACGCUCCUGUCACCAAAAGGCAUCUCUAGGAGCUCCAUGACAAGAUUGACUCACUCAUUGCCUCCUCUUCCACUUCUCAGUCAUCCCUAUCUGAAGCUGCAGUUUAGAAAAUUGUUGACGCUUUCUCCAAAGCUCAGCAAGCUUCACUUGCUUCUGCACCCCCCGCCAUAGAUGCCUCAACCAAAGCCUGUCAGGCUGCGACCGAAAAAGUCGAUAAACUAUUUACAGAUGUCUCUUCCCUGUUGAAGUCUUUACAGGAGAGUGCCAACGCCGCCAAGAAUACGCUGGAACCUAUUGUCCACCAGCUGGCAACAUCAGUCGCAACUGAGUUGAAGUCCUUCGCUUCUCUUCGUCAAACAAUUUCAGACGACAACUCAGCUUUCCGAACAACCAUCGAAGAACGUCUCUCCAAGCUUCAAGAAGAUUUGGCUGCCGAGAACACUCUCAUGGAUGUUCUAGCCAGGAAGACUACCGCUCUGAAGGUCAAGAGCAUUCAACUCUCCAACUCUCAACAGGAGAUUGAAUCUCUUCGAUCUGAAAGGGAGGUCAUCAAAUCGUGUGUUUCGGAUGUCCACUCUGCCAUCUCAAACAUCCUAGAAGCACAUGAUCCAAUUCUUAACUACACUGUGAGGCGUGACCUUGCAGAGAAGCUCGCUCCCGCCCUCGCCCUACUCAGCAAAAUCGAAGGGCUCCUUGAUUUCGUGUCCAUUCCGAAACAAGGGGGAGAGAAGGAAACAAUGUCUCAACCACCUCCUUCUACAGCAACUCACACAACCGAACCUCCUCCAGUAGGCCAAGCCUCCGGUUCCGGUGUGAAAGACAAAGGCAAAAAGAUUGUUGAGGAGGAAGAAGAAGAUGAUGAUAAAGAAACAAUCGCCGACUUGUUGAAGCGUAAAAGUCGACACAAUGAGGCUGACAUCAGUGCUCGUGUGGCAAGAGAGGCUGAAGAAGCCGAACGUAAACAGAAGGAAGCCCACGACCUUCUUGAGAGCAGGAAAACUCUGUUUCCUUCCUGGACUCUUGAGAGGAUGAUUAAAGAAGCCAUCGACACACCAAGUAUCUUGUGGUUGGAACCUGUGAUCUCUUUAGAUCGUUCCAAUACUGUCGACUCACAGUUCGACAUGCCACUGACCCGAAAGGCUUUUAUCUUUCAUGCCUUUUCCAACGUUGCAGAGUUCCCUCAUCCUCAUCCACAGGUUGAUCGGGACUUAAUCAAUUUCUAUCUGAAGGCUGCUCAACCCCAAUAUCAGACUUGGAGCGCUCAGAAAAUUGUCAACGUUCGGGUCUUGAAGCCGUACAGUGAAGGUAACUUCAUCAACGUUCGGUUCAAGGUACUUCGGGGAUCUGCCAAAACAGAACAUGCUAUUUCCCUUGCAGAUCUUCCCAACCUUAAUCCCCAUGAUUGGAUUAUCUUGCACAACAUCCUCCUCACCAACGAAGCUGAAUACGGUCCGAUCAUCGACCAUUUCAAGAGGAUGCUUGUGUGCUACAUCAUGGAAGUUGCAUUGAUGGAUCAGGAGAUUGCGAGCGUAUUUAAGAAGAAACCUACAAUAUCUCCUGUUGGGUCUGCCAGUGAUCUCAACAUGAUGCAGAUGGGGAAGAUUGACUCGAGGAGGAAUUCUGUCAUGUUUACCAGGAACGAAGGACAGAAAUGUCUUUUUGCCUUGGCUGACAAACAUCUCUAUACCACUGCAUGUUUGGAACACGUUUUGGGGAUCAUCCACAGAUGCAAGCAGAACACAGCGGAUGAUAUCAAGUACUUUGAUGAUAUGAUUCAAUGGUACAUUCGGUUCAGACAGACUAUUCUUGCUCUUAUCACACGUCUGUUUGAUACUGUAAAGAAGGCUCCCGCUGCUGGCCCAAGCAAGAAGAAGAAGUAGUCUCGCUCCAAUUUGACGCAAAGGGGGAGAUUGUUGGGUCGUGUUUUGUGAUAAGUAUUACGUCUAUUGGGCUCGUUAGCUAGUCCAUUUUGUAUCUCCGGUAUGGGCCUGUCCAUCCGUGAGUUUAGUAGGGUUUAGUAUAAAUAGGAGCUUGCAUGCAUCCUAGAACAAAAAACGAUAGAAUAGAACGAUCAGAGUAUUAUUCAACAAGUUUAUUAUUAUCGUUCUUGUAACCCUAAAAUCCUCUACAGCGGAAGUUCUUAGUCGAGCUCUGCUGAGGAUUGUUUGAUCUAAUCAUUCGACACAUCUUGAUCUAUACUUGUGUUAUUUACUGUUUUUACUUCAUCGCAUUACUUGUUAAGAAGAUCUAAUCGAUCAUCAAGUUAAUUAAUAACUUAUCAUAGUGAUACAACGGUAAAAAGACAGACGAAAAUGGACGUCGGAUGAAGAAGUUAUGGAUUUUAACGGGCUUUUCCAGUCCCGACCUGUUAAAAAUAUAUUAUUAAAAAUAAAUUCAAAAUUAGCCAACGAAGUCCAAACGAGAGUUGUAGAUCAUUUUCUUAGCUACGUGUGGAUAUAAAGAACGUCGAAAUCGGAGCUUGUAUGCAAAAGUUAUGGAUUUUACAAGAAAAGGGCACAACUUCCGAGGCUAGUCCGAAGGGAACGCCCUGCGCUCCCUAAGGGAGCGCCCCAUGUUCGUGCUUGCAGACCUGUCCCUUCGCCAUCCCAUCCGAGGUUUGUAAGUGAUGACGUAUUUGGGCUCUGGAACGCGUUGCGUUCAGGGGAACGCCCUGCGUAGGGGAAACGUCCCGCGUACCCAGCAUGAACGCCCAACGUUCGCAUCUUUUCCAGCCCCUAUAUAAAGGGUGCGAGGGUGACGGAAAAAUGUUGCUAAUUCACCACCAACGCUCCCGAUUUUUGCACUUCUAACCUCUCGAGAUUAUCCCGACUUUCUGGUUUCAUAUCUAAGCGCUAACGGAAGUUAUACGCUCCCGAGAUUCCCGAGAAUCCCGAGAAAUCCGUUGUCUCCAUUCGAAGUUCUGCUCGAUUAUUAUCUUAUCUUCUUCAAACUUCCACUUCAACCAAGUGAGUUGAUACCCCCAUUUCUACGCUUCUAACUGAUUUUAAAUGCUUUUGAACACUUUACNCAGAUGUUUUAUCAAUGCUUUUUAUACACUUUUCCGGGGGGGGGGGGGGAUACAAGUAAACUCACAGUUAAUCCCAUGUGAAAACAUCAAUCUUUUGUUAUACAUUUCAUGUUGUUUUUAUAACUAUCACAUGGAUUUUGUUAACGUGCAAACAUCUUAUACCACUUAACCCUCUCGGGAUGAAACAUAAUUAUGAAUAUUUGAAGUGUUAUUUAUAUGUUUGCAUCAUAUCAAGGAUAACCAUUUUUACUAUAACAUUCGUAGACAUGCAAGAACAUACAAAUCAUUAUUAUGCCUUGUCAAAACUGUAGAAAAGGGUAAUUAUUUCAGAGACAAACAUAUUCAUUCUAAUACGUGACUUAAUUGAGAACUCGUGAGUCAUUCAUCUUCAAUAUACCUUUUAAGGUACCACUAGAAGUCCUGUUUAUAACCAGAAUCUCCCGUCCGGAGAACGUGACAAGUGUGUAUAGAUCUAUACGGGACUAAUGAUCCCGCGCCCUGACUGCUAGCUACAGUCCUCGGGGUGACAAGUGUCAUCUUAUUUCGACGCCUGAAGAACGUCGCUAUAGGCAAAUUAUGAUAAUACGGUUAUAAAAACUCACUGGAUAGACAAUUAUUAUGGUAUUACGUUUUCACGGGAAAAGUAACAGAUACAGUUCUUUUCACAUUCAAAUACAAAUCUUCUUAUAGUUUUGUUUUAUAAUAAGACUAUACAUCAUUCUUUUGAGCAUGUCAUAGUUGCUUACAGGUUAUGGUCUUGGUCAUUUGAGACUGCAUUUCACUUUUAGGAAAAAAUAGGAUUUUCUUGGUUCAAAUACAUACAAUUUAUACAACAAUCAUUCAUACUCAUUUCAUACAAUUGUUAGAAAAUAUCGGAUUUUCUGGAAAACAUACACCAACUUUCGAAUGACAUACAUUUUCUCAAAACAAUACUUAUGAACUCACCAGNCACCAACUUUACUGUUGACACUUUUUUUUGAAAUAACUUGUAUUCUCAGGAAAAGGCUAAACCAGGUAGCAACUACUUUUGAAGACUAACGCGCUGGCGUUAGUAACAUAUUUUGGGAUCACCAUAUUGUAUUUGAUAUUCAAACAUGUAACACAUACAAUCGUGUAAACUUUUCAAAUAUAUUUAUAUUAUGGUGGUGUGUACUUUCUUUACUAUUCAAUUGUUAUGAUACUGUACAUGACGUCCUCCGCCCCCGAACGUUUUCUGCCGUUCAGGUUUGGGGUCGUGCCAGAUUGGUAUCAGAGCAUUGUUUAUAGUGAACUAAGUAUAUCAAAACCAUUUUGAUAUACAACUAUAAACACAACUGGGCAAAAACACUAUGAGUGAGAUUUAUACUUUUAAAAUGAAACUUUUAUAAAGUAUACAUGCAUACAUUAUAUAAUAGGGUCAGUAUCAUAAUGAAAACAAUAUAGAAGUAUUAUAGAUAAGUUAUGCAAUACAGGUAUGCCUUGGAAUAUGUAAUUGGGACUGGGAUGGAUAUAACCUGAUCAACUAUAUUUGUCCGAGAGCCGACCAGCAUAUGCCAGGGGAUAGCUAUAGUGAACAACAAGUCUAAAACUUACCAAACCUAUAAACUUUAGAAUCAAACAUAACAUCUACAUACUAUAGGAGUAUUUUGUAUAUACAAUAGUUUAACUUACAUGUUUAGAUUUACAUGUUUUAGUUUUUAGACAAUUCUCAUAUCUCUAUUCUCGUGCAGACACAAUGGCUGGAUUCCAUCUACCAGGGGACCCCUACUACCCAAAUCAAGGCAACGGAUGGUGGGUAGAGGAUGACCCAAAAGCAGAUGAGGAACCCAUGGAAGAGGAGGAAGAGGAAGGCUCAGAUGGGACAUACUCAGAGCCAGAGGUAAUCAACCCACUAGACGUCCGAACUCCUGCGGUUAGGAUAAGUUUUCAAGGACCAACUCCCGUCUGGGGAAACCACAUUCACCACUAGAGUCAGCAACAAGGAGUGCGUCCUCCCUACGGCAUGUGUCGUGACUUCUAUAACGUCAGUAAUGGAAGUUCAGCUGACCGAUCACUCCCAAUCAUUGUAGACAAGCUAGCUAACCAAUCUUACCUAUCAGGAGUCUUGGCGAACCAGAUUCGUUAAGUCAACAUAGAGGUACAAGGUAGCGUUGCCGACAUUCGUCGCCGUGACAAGUUACAGGAAAAUGCCCAAUUCCACACCGACGCACUCCAGGAUCAAAUGAAUACAACCCUCGCUGAGGUAAGAGAAAUGAGGGAGCAUCAAGCCACCUUUGAAAGGCUCUUAAUGGGAACCAAGCAAUCAGACACGAAGUCUAGCUCCAAGCGCAACCCACCUCACAAGUAGUCCUGGCCAGACUCCCAAAAUUUUGUUAUAGAAUAGGAUCUCGUCUAAAAGUCUUACUUUUCUCUAACUUUUGUAAUCAGAGACCUUUAGAAAGGUCAAAAUUUUCCUGACUCCAGAAUGUAACCCGAUAUAUGUUUAAUAUAAUGAAGUACUUCUUUUGUGUGUUAAUUCUUUGCAUACCACUCGAAUUCAUAAGUUUAUCUAUAAACUCUUACUAUGAAUCACACACGAAAACCUUGUUUAGGUUGAAACUAAUUCAUGAAAUGUUGAAAAUAGCUAACUCAUUAAUACACGACUUUCAAUCAUUUGAGACUUAUUGUCUUUCAAUAUUUCUUUGACAGCACGAUGCCUCCUCGUAGGUCAGCUCGCAGAAACGCGACACCAACACCAACACCGCCACCACCACCCCCAACUUACGAUCCCGCUAUGGUAUAAGCUGUCAUCACCAUAGCAGUAGCAGUUGUGCUAACCCAAAUAAACACUAAUUGAGCUGGGGGAGCGGGAGUAGUACCAAUCAUCAGAACCAUGGCACCGGUCAUGGUCAUAUUAGGAAAUGCACCUACAAAUAAUUCUCGAACGCCAAGCUGAAAAUGUUCAACGACACUGGGGGAGUCAUUGCACUUAUGCAAUGGUUUGAAAAGACCGAGACAGUCUUUGAAAUAUGUUCAUGCCAAGAAAUAAGCAAUGUCAAGUUUGCUGCUGGUACCUUCACAGAAUGAGCCCUCACACGGUGGAAGGGCCAUGUGAAAUCCAUAUCUCUUCCAGUCGCCAACGCCAUGAGCUAGGAGGACUUGAAGGUCCUACUGUUAGAAGAAUACUGCCUGAGGGGCGAAAUUCAAAAACUGGAGCAGGAACUAUGGAACUUGAAAAUGGUUGGUUCUGACUUAGCCACAUAUACGGCCAGGUUCAGUGAUUUGUUAGCCCUAUGCCCGAGAAUGGUCAACCCGGAGCCUAAGAAAGUGGAAAGAUACAUUUGGGGGUUGUCAGCCUAGAUCUAUGCAGUUAUCGCGGUCAAAAUUUCGAUAACAGUCACAGGUUAAUAUUUGAAAUCGCGGUUUUUGCGGUGCUGUAGCGGUGCUAUAGCGGUUUUUUAAUAUUACAUAUAAUUUAAUAUUUUUAUAUUAUAUUUAGAAUUAAUAUCAUAAAAUCUAAUAAGUCUAUAUAUAAUUAAUAUCAUAAAACCUAAAAAUUCAUAGAAAAACAUAACAUAAUAUUCAAAAUUCUAAUAUAGUAAUAUAGAGUCUACAAAGUGAAUAAUGAAGAGUGAAGACCAAAUUCUUCGUGAUCGAGUAAUUAAGAAGUCAGGUCCUUCGAACUCGGAAGAAGUAGCCUCACAGUCGCACUCGUGUUCUUUGUCUUCGUCUGUUCGUCAUAGCUCAAAUCGUCUUCAAGUCUUCAAGUCAUGUUCAUGUUUUUGGAUCAAAUACUUUGAAUAAUGUUAAUUAGGUUUUUCAUUGGGCUUUUUAAAAUGCAAGUAACAGGCUCAUUAAAAAUUGUUUUUUGCUGACAAAUUAAUCAAAUGGGCCAAAUGUAAUAAAAAUAUUUGAAAUAUGCAAGAAAAUAAAAAAUCGGCCAUAGCGCCGCUAUCAUGGUCAUGAGAAUAACGGUGAAUUGCGGUUAAUUGCAGCGCAAAUUGCGGUACCACGAUUUGAAAAUGAUAACUUGAAAAUAGCGGUUGGUGAUCACCGUGAAACACUAUAGCGCGCAAUUGAUAGCAUAGGCCUAGAUUCAAGGGAAUGUCUUGGCCUCCAACCCGGUAAUAUUCAACAGCACGAAACUCCUAGCACAAUGAUUAAUCAACCAUGGGGCCAAACAGGGUACCAUCACAAUUGCUGCUGACCCACCGAAAGAGGUAGAGGACCGAAGGAAACCCUGGAACAAAAGAAAGGGUAAAGCCCCGCAAGAGAAUCCCAGGAGGCAACAGUUAGUGACAGAUCACACUGUUACUGUCCCUACCACCCCCGCACCAACAAAGCCGUACGUCGGCAAUCUGCCGAAGUGAAAUAGGUGCAACUUCCAUCACCACGGAACCUGACGUGAGAUGCAUUGCACCAAGUGCAAUUGGAAGGAACACACCGUCCGCUUCUGCAAGCAACCAACCCAACCAGCAGUGUCAGUGGCAAUUGUGGGAGUAUGUCGUACUUGUUACGAGUGUGGAGCAACGGGACACUUCCGAAGGGACUCCCCGAAAGCAAACAAUGGGAAUACUGGCGAAAGUGGCUGAGUAUUUGCAAUGGGCCAGAUGGAAGCCACGGCAAACCCUACUGUUGUUACGGGUAUGUUUCUCGUCGAUAACUCAUAUACAUGUAUUUUAUUUGAUAGUGGAGUGGAGAGGAGUUUUGUGAGUCAUAUUUUUACAAACCUACUCAAACUCAUUAAGUGAAACUUUUAUAGUAGAAAUGGCCAACAGGAAAAAAGAAAGAGCUAAUGAAAUAUACUUAAACUGUACCCUUUCAUUAAACAAUCAAUCCUUUCCAAUCAACCUCAUGCCAAUCUAAAUAAAAAGUUUCGACGUCAUCAUAGGCAUGGAUUGGCUAAGUUCUCAUCGUGCAUACAUCUUAUGUUACGAUAAGGUCGUUCACCUUAAUCUGCCAAAUGGAGGAGCCCUCGUUAUUUAUGGCGACAAACCUAGCACCCCUAUUCGUAUCGUCUCUUGCAUCAAGGCUCAAAAAUAUUUGCGCAAUAAAUGCCACGUGUUCUUGGAACAUAUUGUGGAUGUGAAAUGAGGAGUGGAAGAUAUCAAGAGCGUGCCUGACUUUGGUGAUUUUCCUGAUGUGUUUCUUAAGGAUCUUCCGGGAAUACCUCCUACAAGGAAAGUCAGAUUCGGAAUCGACUUAAUUCCUGGAGUCACCCAUGUGGCCAAAGCACCGUAUUGUUUAGCCCCAACAGAGAUGCAAGAACUAUCCAGUCAACUGAAUGAACUUCUCAACAAAGGAUUCAUCCGACCAAGCUUCUCACCUUGGGGAGCACCAGUGUUGUUCGUGAAAAAGAAAGACGGAUCGUUCAGAAUGUGCAUCGACUAUUCAACAAACUUACCCUCAAGAACCGAUAUCCCCUACCACGAGUAGACGAUCUGUUCGACCAAAUCCAAGGAGCAAACUAUUUUUCCAAGAUUGAUCUGAGAUCGGGAUAUCACCAACUACGAGUCCUAGAAGGUGAUAUUCCCAAGACGGCUUUCCGAACAAGAUACGAUCACUAUGAAUUUGUAGUGAUGCCGUUCGGACUAACCAACGCCCCUGUCGUGUUCAUGGACUUAAUAAAUUGAGUAUGUCAUUCCUUCCCUGACAAAUUUGUGAUUGUGUUCAUAGAUAACAUACUCAUCUACUCAAAAAGUAGAGAAGAGCAUGGUCAGCACCUGAGACAAGUCUUAGAGACAUUACGAGCUGAGAAAAUUUAUGCAAAGUUCUCAAAAUGCGAAUUCUAGAUUAGGAAGGUGGACUUCCUAGGGCACGUGGUCAGAGAAGAGGGAAUCCACGUGGACCCUUCUACGAUUAAGGAUACCAAGAAUUGGGCUGCACCCACAACGCCAACCGAGAUUCGUCAAUUCCUAGGUCUCGCUGGCUAUUACCGCAGGUUCAUACAAAAAACUUCUCCAGCAUUGCGAAACCUCUUACCUCCCUGACUCAGAAGGGUGUAGCCUACAAAUGGGGAGAAAAACAAGAUACCACAUUUCAGACCUUGAAGCAAGCCCUGUGCAGUGCACCCAUCUUGUCCCUUCUUCGUAGUAUAUUGUGAUGCUUCCAAUCAAGGGCUGGGUUGUGUGCUAAUGCAACGAGGAAAGAUUAUUGCGUACGCCUCACAACAACUGAAAAUACAUGAGGUCAAUCACACCACUCACGACUUAGAACUUAGAGCAGUGGUGUUCGCUCUAAAGAUCUGGAGACACUACCUAUACGGUACGAAGUGCACCAUCUUCACAUACCAUAAGAGCCUUCAACACAUAUUCGAUCAGAAGGAGCUCAACAUGAGGCAAAGACGUUGGGUUAAGCUACUCAACGACUACAAAUGCGAGAUUCGUUAUCAUCCGGGAAAAGCCAAUGUGGUGGCAGAUGCCCUUAGUCGUAAGGAGUACUCUGGUUGAAGAGUGAAGUCAUUAACCAUUACAAUCCAUUCACACCUAUCAACACAAAUCAAGGAAGCUCAGUUGGAAGCCUUGAAACCCGAAAACAUGGAAGGUGAAGCACUUAGAGGAAUGGACAAGAAUUUUGAGAUCGAGAGUGACGGAGUUCGGUACCUCAUGAACCGAAUCUGGACACCGACGUUCGGUGGGUUCAGAGAAAUGGUUAUGGCCGAAGCACACAGACCCCAUACUCCGUGCACCCAGGUUCAGAUAAGAUGUAUUUGGAUCUCAAGCAACUCUAUUGGUGGCCAAACAUGAAAGCAGAAAUUGCUGCAUAUGUGGCAAGUGCUUGACUUGUGCCAAAGUCAAGGCAGAACAUCAGAAGCCCUUAGGGUUCCUCCAUCAGCCCAAAAUACCUGAGUGGAAGUGGGAGCAGAUUUCCAUGGAUUUCAUAACCAAACUACCCAAGACACCGGGCGGUCAUAAUACCAUUUGGGUGAUCCUCGACAGGUUAACCAAAACUGCCCACUUCUUGUCAAUCAAAGAGACUGAUAAGAUGGAGAAGCUAACAAGAACCUACAUCCGAGAGAUCGUGUGACUUCAUGGAGUGCCGAUAUCUAUCAUCUCGGACCGAGACACUAGAUUUACCUCAAGGUUUUGGAAAACACUACAGAAAGCCAUAGGUACUAAGCUAGAAUUGAGUACAACCUAUCACCCACAAACGGACGGACAAAGUGAGAGGACGAUCCAAAACUAAGAAGACAUGUUGUGAGCAUGUGUAAUCGACUUCGGUAAAGCAUGGGAUGUCCACUUGCCAUUGAUUGAGUUCUCUUAUAACAACAGUUAUCACACUAGCAUCAAGACUGCUCCAUUCGAAUCCCUUUACGACCGCAAGUGCAGAUCACCUCUGUGUUGGGGGGAAGUGGGCGACACACAGUUGUCGAAAGGUCUAGUCCUUGAUAGCACUCUCACUAGUCCGUAAAUCAUAAGGGAAACGACCGAAAAGACCGUUCGGAUUCGAGAGCGACUAAAAGCCUCAAGAGAUAGACAAAAGAGCUAUGCCGAAAAAAGGCGUAAACCCUUGGAAUUUUAGGUUGGUGACCGCAUUCUACUGAAGGUUUCACCCUGGAAGGGCAUGAUAUGCUCCGGGAAGCAUGGAAACCUAAACCCAAGGUACAGUGGAGCCUUCGAAAUUACUGCAAGGAUUGGUCCAGUAGCUUAUAGACUCCAACUUCCAAUCGAACUUAACAAAGUACAUCCGGUGUUUUACUUGUCUAACUUGAAGAGGUGUCUAUCCGACGAAACUCUUGUAAUUCCACUCGAGGAAAUCGAGCUGAAUGAAAAUCUUAACUUUGUGGAAGAACCCGUCGAAAUCUUGGAUAGGGAAAUCAAACGAACUAAGCAGAGUCGCAUACCAAUAGUGAAGGUUCACUGGAAUGCUAAGCGGGGACCCGAAUUCACUUGGGAGCAAGAAGAUCAGAUGCAACUAAAGUACCCGCAUCUUUUCCCUAGUUCAUAAACUUUUGCUCUAUAUUAAAUUUCGGGACGAAAUUCCCUCUAACGGGGGAUGAUGUAACAACCCGAUAUUUCAGGUCAAUGUAACGACUAGAAGUCAACUAUUGUAAUAUCUUUGUGAAUUAAUAAAAAUAGCGUCAAAAAUGAAAUGUUAAAAAAGCUCAGAUUGAGUAUACUUAGUGGUAGAUAUGUUAUCAAGGUUUCCAAAAAUAUAAAGAACAAUAAAAUCCGAGUUAUAACGAAGAAGUUAUGACCAAUCGAAGAUCUGUAACAAUACCAGUAAAGCGGUGUUAAGCCUAAAACACGAAAUCUCAAUAAAAUACUUUUUGGCCUUAGGUAUCUAAAUGAAGUCGUAGAUAUCCCUAAAACGUGAACAUACAUAAAAAGAAUGCCCAAAUCUGACUUCGUAUGAGGAAGUUAUGAUUUUUCGAAGCUUCGGAUAUAAGGGAAGUCAGCUAGAAACUCGAAAUAGAGAUUGAGCAACUUUUGGCCAACGCAAUCUAAAUGAGAGUCUAAAGUCUCGACAAUAGUGAUACAACGGUAAAAAGACAGACGAAAACGGACGUCAGAUGAAGAAGUUAUGAAUUUUAACGGACUUUUCUAGUUCCGACCUGUUACAAAUAUAUUAUUAAAAAUAAAUUCAAAGUUAGCCGACGAAGUCUAAACGAGAGUUGUAGAGCAUUUUCUUAGCUACGCAUGGAUAUAAAGAACGUCGAAAUCAGAGCUCGUAUGCAAAAGUUACGGAUUUUACAAGAAAAGGGCACAACUUCCUAGGCUGGUCCGAAGGGAAUGCCCUGCGUUCGUGCUCGCAGACCUGUCCGUUCGCCAUCCCAUCCAAGGUUUGUAAGUGAUGACGUAUUUGGGCUUCGGAACGCAUUGCGUUCAGGGGAACGCCCUGUGUAGGGGAAACGUCCCGCGUACCCAGCAUGAACGCCUAACGUUCGCAUCUUUUACAACCCCUAUAUAAAGGUUGCGAGGGUGACGGGCAAAGGUUGCUAAUUCACCACCAACGCUCCUGAUUUUUGCACUUCUAACCUCUCGAGAUUAUCCCGACUUUCUGGUUUCAUAUCCAAGUGAUGACGGAAGUUAUACGCUCCCGAGAUUCCCGAGAAUCCCGAGAAAUCCGUUGUCUCCAGUUGAAGUUCUUCUAUCUUAUCUUCUUCAAACCGCCACUUCAACCAAGUGAGUUCAUACCCCCUUUCUACGCUUUUAACUAAUUUUAAAUGCUUUUGAACACUUUACCGGGGGNNNNNNNNNNNNNNNNNNNGGGGGGGGGGGGGAUACAAGUAAACACACGGUUAAUCCCGUGUGAAGACAUCAGUCUUUUGUUAUACAUUUCAUGUUGUUUUUAUAACUAUCACAUGGAUUUUGUUAACAUGCAAACAUCUUAUACCACUUAACCCUCUCGGGAUGAAACAUAAUUAUGAAUAUUUGAAGUGUUAUUUAUAUGUUUGCAUCAUAUCAAGGGUAACCAUUUUUACUAUAACAUUCAUAAACAUGCAAGAACAUACAAGUCAUUAUUAUGCCUUGUCAAAACUGUAGAAAAGGGUAAUUAUUUUAGAGAGAAACAUAUUCAUUCUAACACGUGACUUAAUUGAGAAUUCGUGAGUCAUUCAUCUUCAAUAUACCUUUUAAGGUACCGCUAGAAGUCGUGUUUAUAACCAGAAUCUCCCAUCCGGAGAACGUGACAAGUGUGUAUAGAUCUAUACGAGACUAAUGAUCCUGCACCUUGACUGCUAGCUACAGUCCUCGGGGUGACAAGUGUCAUCUCAUUUCGACGCCUGAAGAAUGUCACUACAGGCAAAUUAUGAUAGUACGGUUAUAAAAACUCACUGGAUAGACAAUUAUUAUGGUAUUACGUUUUCACAGGAAAAGUAACAGAUAUAGUUCUUUUCACAUUCUUAUAGUUUUGUUUUAUAAUAAGACUAUAUAUCAUUCUUUUGAGCAUGUCAUAGUUGCUUACAGGUUACGGUCUUGGUCAUUUGAGACUGCAUUUCACUUUUAGGAAAAUAUAGGAUUUUCCUGGUUCAAAUACAUACAAUCUAUACAACAAUCAUUCAUACUCAUUUCAUACAAUUGUUAGAAAAUAUCGGAUUUUAUGGAAAACAUACACGGAAUUUCGAACGGCAUACAUUUUCUUUAAACACUACUUAUGAACUCACCAGCUUUAUUGUUGACACUUUUUCUUUGAAAUAACUUGUAUUCUCAGGAAAACGCUAAAUCAGGUAGUAUCUACUUUUGAAGACUAACGCGCUAGCGUUAGUAGCAUAUUUUGGGAUCACCAUAUUGUAUCUGAUAUUCAAACAUGUAACACAUACAAUCAUGUAAACUUUUCAAAUAUAUUUAUAUUAUGGUGGUGUGUACUUUCUUUACUAUUCAAUUGUUAUGAUACUGUACAUGAUGUCCUCCGCCUCCGAACGUUUCCCGCUAUUCAGGUUUGGGGGUGUGACAUCUAGUCUACGACUCGUCGAGUUGUAUGAACAACUCGUCGAGUAUGUUCUUGUGGGUUAAGAAGAUUGCCUUGGAUCAGUGUUCUAAAAGGUGCGCCAUGACGUGAGGCGUGGCUUCGCCGUUACGAAAAGCUUCAUAACGUUGCUGUUAGGCGUGGCGCGUGGCAAGGCGUGAUAUGGCGCGUGUUUUUUCAUUUGAGACACAAUUUUUUCUCUUUGUUAUGUCUUUUCAAAUCGGAGAUAUAAGUAUUGUGCUUUUUGUUAACUUUUUGUUAUUAGUUAUUGAUCUAACACUUCUAAAAAGUAGUUAUAUUUAAUAUAAAUUUAUAUUUAUGUGGUAAUAUAAUUUUAAAUUAAUACAAAAUCUCCGCCUUACAUCACGCCUUGAAAAACGCCAUGGCUCGCCAUGGCUCGUUAAGCUUGAGGCUUGGCCUUGCCCCCACGCCACGCCUCACGCCAUUUAGAACCUUGCCUUGGAUUCGCCGAGUGUGUUCUUAUACUCGUGGAGUCCCAUGGGUUCCAUAUUAUGACUAACUCUUAAAACAUCGAAACACUCCUUGGGACCUUCCUAAACCUUUGCUAACACUCAACUGGCUCAUUUGAACCAAAACAGAUUGGGGACUCCAGCCUCGGACUCGCUGAGUUCUAAGAAUAACUCGUCGAGUCGCCUACUGUCCAAGUCUAUAAAUCGAUUUCUGAUGUUCAACUCUCAUUCGAAAGGUAGAUCUGGGCUUCUAAGGUUGAUCUAACACGUAAAGUUAUGAACUCUACGUGCAUGCAUGGUAGUAUAAGCUUUAAGGACCCAAAAAGAGGUCUAAAGAAGUGCAUGGGCUAAUAUGGCCAUAGAGCUUGCAUCUUUAUGGCAUGAACUUGGUUCUAUAGUCUAGAUCUGAAGGUGAAUGGACUUGGUACGUCCAAGUCUUUAGGAUCAAGCUUAUUGACCCCAAAACUCCAUAAAGGGGCAAAGGAGGAAAUCUAUAAAACCAUAAGUCAAGUUUUGAGCUUGAUUACCUGAAAGUAAAGAGAAACUGAUGUUGCUCCUGGAUCUAGUCAUUCUCCCUUGAUCCUUCUUCCUUCCAACUCUUCUACUAGAUACACAAUGCACCAAAAACCCUCCAAGUCACUAAGAAAGCUCAAGAUUGCCGAAAGGGAAUUAGGAUUUCGAAGGUAAUGCUAUGGAGGUGAUGGAGGCUGGACCUGAAGCUCAUAAUGUGGUUUAAAUAGGGUGCAAACCCUUUAAUUAGGGUUUCAUCCAGACUGGCCUACUCGUCGAGUCCAAGCGCGGACUCGAUGAGUAGAUUACUUAAACCCGCGUCCCAACCUCGCAUCUACUCGACGAGUUUGGGCUGCCACUCGUCGAUUCAUUUAUACAAAUGAUAUAAAAGUAGAUCAAAUACGUACCAGAAAUGGGGCGUUACAACAAUAGCAUGCAUAAAAGAUAUCAAUCCAAUGAGCCGACAUUGGUGUCUUCGACCCACAAGUACAGUGAUGAAAACUCACCUCGCACUGCCGAAUCACACAGACGAUCCCUGGCUGUUGGAUGAUAGAUCUCUGAAUUGUCAAUAUCAAGACAACACCCCAUCAACAGCUGAUCCCACGAAUAAUCUCUGACUACAAAUCUGCUAAAAUCCAUGAACUUUCAAAUACCACAAAUGACAACCCAUUAACAUCUAGCCCCUGACUCACAAUAUGAGUCCAAAUUAUUGUAAAAGGCCUUUUUACCCUUCCUCAAGUUUGGUUCAAGGCCAAUUCCCACACUCGAUGAACAAAGGCCCAAAAUCCAAAAUAAGCACCUAAGGUUCGAAUAUGGCCUAAUUUUCCAAAUUUGGCCCAAUUCCUUUCGUGGGCCUUUACCCAAGAAAGUCCAACAAGUUACAACAAACCAACCAUAAAAUCCAGAUGGACCAACAUGGCCCAAAACAACCAAGCCCCAAACCGAAGCCUAAAACAAAGAAGCCUAAGUCUACUGAGUACGUGGGGGCGUACUUAGCCUGUACGCUCAACAUACCGCAUGAGAGGCUUGCACACGUAAUGUACAUACUUUUACGCCCAAUGUACUCACCAGCCAUGGCCGUCUUUCCAAAUUAGCACUUAAUCCAUUAAGAGUUGGAUCCAAACUCAGAUCUGACUUCUCCAAGGUGGUUAAUCACAUAAAGUUGCCAACUUUAUGUGCAUGCAUGGCUAAAUGGGACUCUAGAGCUCAAAGGAGCUUAAUAAUUGACUUAAUAUAUGCAUGGAACCAAAACCACCAUAAAGUUUGCACCUUUAUGCCUAAGGAACCCAUAAUAUACCUAGAUAUAAAAAAAAGAUUCAAAAUGACUUUAACUCCCAAUCAUCAACCAAAAAGGGCCAAAAUGCCCAAAAAUAAACUAAGAAGAAGAUCCAUGGAAUGAAAAUACAAGGUUUGGACUUUAUACCUCCCAAGCCUCUAAAAGGAGAUGCUAAUGAUGGAUCUCAAAGCUUUCCUUCAAAGAACAAGUCUUCAAGCUCCUCAUCAUUCUUCUAGAUCCACAAAACUUUCCACAAAAGCCUCAUAAGGGCUCAAGAUCACCAAAGAAGGACUAUGGAACGAAUUGGGGUUUUUAGGAUAUGGAGGCUCACUAAGAAAUGAUCAAAAAAGGCUAACAUAAAGCUUAUAUAGGGUACAACAUGAAAAUUAAGGUUUUCCAUUUCCCCCUCGUACGCCCAGUGUAUGAGGCUACGAACAUGCAACUCUUAUCCACUAGUACGCUAAGCGUACACCAGAGGUACGCCCCACAUACUAGCCUCUCAGCUAGUACGCCAAGAGUAACUUGUUGUACGCCUCGCGUACCAGGGUACCCUCUUAAACUCUAAAACACUCCGAAUACCAUAACUUCAUCUUUAAACAAUAUAUAUAUAUAUAUANUAUAUAUUGUUUAAAUCUUGGAAUUUAUUAAAAUGCAUGCCAACAAAAGGUUAUUUUGAAGAUAAAAUUGCUUACUUAAGAUGUAAACUAAAUGACUUAGACAUUUUAAAUUUAGAGUUUCAUAAAAUAGUUAUGUACAAUCUAUUACUUAAGAUGUAAACCGAAAGAUUUAGACAUGUUUAAAUUGAGUUUCAUAAAAUAGAUUAUGUACAAUCCAAUGAUUAAUAAAAUUAUCUGUGUUUUGUAUGAGUUUAAAAUUAUUCAAAUGGUGUUUUAUUGUCGGUUAACCAACAAAUUACUUUUAUGAAAGUUUUGACCAUGGUUUUAAAUUACUUUUAUGAAAGUGUUGACCAAUGUUUUAAAUGAGGUGAGGUGUGACGGCAAGGUCAAACGAUAACGUUUUUCAAGGCGUGACAUAUUUAUAUACAUUAAAAAAGAUAAGUUAUAUAAUUAUAGAAUUAACUUAGUUUUAUUUAAUUGUGUGUUAAUUGAUUGAUAUUCUUUUUAUUUUAUUGUCACUCAUAUGUUAUUUAUUUGGAUAAAUUUGUCAUUGUUCGAUGUAUGGUAACAAAUUACAUAAUGAUUAUAUAGACGAAAGUAGAAUUGAUAUUUUUUUUAUUGCACCGGUCCACGGUCCACUAGACGGGUAUAACACUAAUUCUAAAAGAGAAUUAACGUGUACAAAUGCAUGUGGCCACUAAGCAAAGUGCUUUUUUCGACACAUAUGGACCUGCAAAGCAACGAUUAUAUUUAUUAUAUGUGUAAUUCAAGAAGAGCAAGAAUUUGUUUGAGUGGUUAAUGAUUUAUCUUAAUCUUGAGGUCUAGCUAUCGAUUCUUGUCCAAGACAUAAUUAUAUUUUGCCAUACUUAUAGGGUCAUUGCACAUCGUCUGUGGAAUUAAUCUAUUGCAAUUCUUGCCACUAUAUAAUGAGAGAUAUUUCAAUCAAUUUUUAAGCCGUAGUCUUUGAGGAAUCCCACAUCGGUUGUGGGAUAAAGCCUUCCGGUAUGGGGCCUCACCCUGUGCGUGAUGUCCUAUAUGGCAUAGAAAGCCACGCGUGAACACCGUCCCAAAGAUGGGUGAGUGUCUUGUAGCAUGAUACGAAAGAAGAAGAGAGUUGUGAUUGGUGGAACAUUUGUUUGUCUCUCUCUCUCUCUACAAUCUCUCUCUCUCUCCCCCCAAGUGAACACUAUUUCCACAACCUAGUGGAUUGGUUGUGGAAUGAUUAAAAUAAUGAUAUGACUUCUUUUCAUUCCAUUCUCACGUGUGAUGAUACCUCUCAGCCUAAACAUCUAAACAUCCGACUCUCCUCAUGCCUAUAUAAAUAAGAGUUUCUCAAUAUUUGAUAGAUACUACUGAUCAUAAAACAAAUUUUUUCUAAAAAAAUUACACGACUGUAAAAAAUUUGAGGGGCAUUUCGGACUAUCCCGAACUCUACAUUGGAUCUGCCCCUGAUUAAAAGUAUUAUUAUUUGAUGUUUUAGUAAUGUUUUAGAUUAUUAUAAAUUUCAUUAUGAGUAAUAUUGUUGUAAAUGAAUGUUAUUAAUUAGUGGUUUUUUUAAAUUUUUUUUUGAUGUUCACAAUAACCAAAACUAUUUAUUUGUAUAUAAUUAUUAAUUUUUUGAUAUUCAAAUAUACGCAUAGAAAUUGACCAUUGGAUCUCUUAAAAAUGGACAAUCUGAUUUGAACCAUUCUUUAUUGUAUACAUAUUUAUUAUAUAUUAUACAAUCAAUUAUGGCCCAGAAUGUGAUCAUCUUGUUGGAUGUCUUAAACGUUGGAUUUUACGGUACUUCCAUAGUUCUGUUCACCACAUGAGUGAUGAGCCACUUGCCUUUGGUGUAAGCUUGUGGUUGACAAUUAUUUAUAAAUAUAUAUUACUCCUCCAAAAGUGAAUACUACAAGUACAAACGACUUUAUCAUAUGGAACAAAAUUACAAAUUUGGUAUCAUGUUAAAAAUUGAAACUUUGGUUUAAGUUGUUUGGGAACACACCCAAAAGUAUCCAUGUUAAAAAUUGAAACUUUGGUUUAAAAAGUACCGUAAACGAUACUUUUGGGUGUGUUUAUCCCAAACGACUUUGUCUCAUGUUUUACCCCUAUCAUCUUGUUGUAAAUUUUGCAUAAUUUGUUUUGAUUUUUUUAUUAAAUAACAAUUUUGCCCUUCAUAUUUUCUUUUAUCAAAAUUUUAUUACGAAAAUAAAAAAGAAAAGAAAAUCUCUCUCUCUCUCUCUCUCUCUCUCUCUCUCUCUCCCUCUCCCUCUCUCUCUCUCUCUCUCUCUCUCUCUCUCAACACAACAAGUGUGUGUUUGCAUUUCGAAAAACAAAGAUAGGGGUAAAACAUGAGACAAAGAAGCAAAUGCUUUGGGUGUGUUUAUCCCCAAACGAUACUCACCUGCUACUCCUCCAUCCUUCACCGUCUGCUAUGCACCCGUGGCCUUCCUACCCACCCCAUUGAUUCAUAGCGUAGAGUAUAACAAGAAACAAAGAAUAAAUGUAUGGGUUGUGUGUAACUAUGUGUCUGUUGGUACGUGUUUCAUUUUUUUUUCUAGAAAUAAAUUCCAAAUUGUUCCUUUUUCUCUCUAGUGUUACAUCAUCGAUGGUAAACUCACCAGAGAUCCAAGUCUAACCGUAGAAGAAGACCAAAUCCUCCCUCUGCCACCAAUCUCGAUGCAACCUAGAUGUAAAGUCCCAAAAAUUCGGAGUAAAAUUUUCAUUUUAAUAACACUAAUUCAUAUAACAUUCCAUUCCCAAAACCAUUCGAUGUUGAAAAAAUAUUAUUUAAACAACAGAGAAAAAAUCACGAUUAAUCAAAUGCGGAAUAAACUAUGGGGGAUGUUGUGCAGUGACGUCAUGCAUUUUCCUUUCGAAUCGGAAGUACCUGAAACCAUAAAUAUGAAACCGUAAGCUAAAAGCUUAGUGAGUUCCACAAAAUACCACAUACCAUACAUAUACGUCAACUCAAGGUUGUACCGGGUUCAUUUCACAUUCCUGAGUGUAUUUAACCCCCAGGUCUAUUUCAACUCAUAUGUCAGCUCAAGGCUGUACCGGGACUAUUUCAUCCCGAGUCUAUUUUAACUCUAUCGGUAUUUUUUAACUAUACGAUUUUAUUUCAUCCUCGGGUCUAUUUGACCCCACAUACAUACAACAGACAUGCAUACAAGCAUACAACAAGAGUCACAAAGACAACAAGCACAUACAACCUUACUAUCCUACAUUAUAGUGAGCAAACUUAUCUCAGUCUACAGAUAACCGAACCACAUGCGUUGCUGCUACCAGGCUCCUCACACUGAGCACAUCCAAAUUAUCCUUAAUCAAUAAUUAAGGCAAUUUCCAAUAGUCCAAGCUCCAAUUCAUACUCUAUCAUAUCAAUGGAUAAAAUACUAUUUACCCUUCCCAAUCUGACAUAACAACUCAUGGUCUAAAUCUCAAAAGACCCAACACCAAAAAAUGGCCCAUUAUGGCACUUUGGUGCGUACGCCCCGCGUACUACCCCAGUACACCUGACGUACGGUACUGAAACCCAAAACUACAUUUUUAGGUCUUAUUCCUUUAUGACCAAAUAUCCAAAUCUUCAAGUUCAAGCCAAAUGCACGUCUAGAGUCAUAAAGUUCAUGACUUUAUGACCUAGCAUGACUUAAUAGAGCCUAACACUAAACUUAAGCUUCCUAACAUAACAAAAUGACCAAGGACUCACUUGAAAGUGCUUAAUCCUUUAAGAAUUUACAUCCAAGACUCAGAUCUAAUUCUAAUGGGUAUCUUAAUUGAUAAAGUCAUCAACUUGAUGCCUUUGCAUGGCUCAAAGUAACCCAAAACGUAAAUCUAGUCUACUAGCUUCACCAAGAGGUCAACAACUCAUGCAUGGUUUGUCCACAACCAUCAAGAUGCAAACUUUAUGAGCAAAGGACCUCAAAACAUCAAAAUGGACAACCUAAAAUUUUUGGAGUGGCAUUUACUCUCAAGAAUCAACUUAUGGGACCAAUAAACACAAAAACCCACUCACAAGAAAGAUCUAACUAAUGAACCAUCAAGUUGGAGACUUUUUUUACCUUCAGAAGAUGCAACAAGGAAAACCAAGCUAGGAUCUACAAGCUCUAAGCAAUCCAACUCAUCUCCAACGAGUUAUCCUUUUUCCAAAGUGCCAAAACACCCAAAAAAGUCAAGAAGCUUUCAAAAGGGCUAGGGUUUUGAAAUCAUAGGUUGAUGGGGAUGGAGGCUGAAUAAGGGGAGUGUUUCCAUGAGUUAAGAUUCUUAAAUAAGGCCUAAACCAUAAAAAUUAGGGUUUGAGUUUGGUGGUUGUACGCCCAAUGUACUCCUGGUACACUGUGUGUACCAGGUUGGCCAUUCGCGAUCAAUCCUUACCAAUACGCCUAAUGUACGCCUUGUACGCCCAACAUACUUAGCUAGAUCCUUAUUCUUCCUAUCUUCCAAAAUCCAUAACUUCUUCGUCCCGACUCUUUUUCCGACAUUCUUUGUAUGAUUGGAAAGGUAAUGAGAAGCUCUACACUGCUAUCAACUCUCCCUUGUCUCAAAAGCUUUCGAACUUAAAUCCUUAAUUUAUGAAAGGUCUGAACUAUCACUUUUUACCAUUAUACCCUUGGGUUCCAUAACACAAUCGAACUCUCGUUUCACAUAAUCUACAUUGCCCACAUACAAAUGGGUCAAAACCUCUUUUUCCUCAAAGCCCAAAGCCUUAUGAUAAUUGAUCUUUGGGUCGCGACCUGGAAUUAAGAAACGACUUGAAACAAGGUGUUACAACUCUCCCCCACUUAAGUUAGAUUUUGUCCUCGAAAUCAUUCCUUACUACUUCCUCAUCCAUCCUAAUUGACCCUGCCCACACUUUCUGAAUUCCAUUUAAGAUUGAAGAUUCAUCCCAUACAGACGACCGCCUCCCAAACCUAUCUUAGCAUAAAUCACUAAUCCCUCUGAAAGAACGAAGCUUAACACUCUGCCCUUAACCAAUGAAAAAACCAAACUGCUCUGCCUGAGAAUUGAAAAAACUACCUUACUCUUCCUAACUAGAAGAUUUCAAAUCCCAACAUUAACUACUAAAAGCAGUAAAUUUCUCGAAGACUGGAACCCAUCUAUUUAAAACUCCAUAAAUUAUUCCCUACGACUUUUGAUCAUUCAUUUGACGUACCUGCCUCUAGUUAUUGAAUAGGAACACCACUCAACCAUGUAAAGGGAAUACUUAAAAUAUACCGAUAUUGAAUUUCACCCAAUUCCAAUCCAAAGAGUGUACCCAACUACCUUAAUUACGUACUUGAGUUCCUGGAAAGUCAUCAACAACUUGCUGAUCCCAUGACUAUAACCAUGGUCAAUUCAAGAAAUUCAUGUUGCAUCCAAAUCCCUCAUCAGCUUUGGUGUACCUCCACUUGACAAGACACUUGAGAUAUUCUCAAUGAACUUCAUGACUCGAGAUUUUAUAACUGAUACCCAACAUUGGUAACCAAACUCCUGAUAAACAUCCCGCAAACAAACAGGGUUCAUAAUGCAAACACUCCGCAAAAGACUUCAGAUGCACAAUUAUAACUCCCAACAACCUUUAACUAACCACACGAUCGAAACCAGCUGGUCUCUGAGUUACUUGACUGCCAAUCAAUGUUGUAACACUCGGUUCAGGUGGAUAUUUUAUCAAGUUCAAAAUUGGGAAUUUUAACCCGACUCACGACGUGAAGGAUGCUUGUCAUGUCGUGAGGGGAAUUAUGGAAAUGCGCAUCACCUUUGGGCUCAUGACAUGAGCACAUAUGGCUCACGAAGUAAGGCUAAUAUGAGAUGAAAACCCUAAUUUUGGGGGUUUUAUUACGUAUUUAAAGGAAGUGAGGGAUAGGGCUAGCCCACCCUCAGCCCCCAUCACCUCCUUGCACUUCCCUUUGGAACCGUAGCAUCCAUAUUUUAUCUUAAGCUUAUUUGUGGUGAUUCUAGUCAAGAAGAAGAAUAUGAAGAGAAUCUAGUCCAUCAUUUCUACAUUCAAGCCUCAUCAUCAAUCAUUUUCACACCUUAUGGACCUUUUGUGAGUUUCAAGUUCAUUGAUUUAUUAUUCUAUAAGCUUAGAUCUAUAUUUUUAUGCUUUAUCCUUCAUAUGCAAGAUGAUGCAGUGGUUGCAAUCCAUAAAGUUGCCAACUUUAUGGACAUCUAGUGUCCCUUAAGUAGUAUAGAUGCUAGAUCUGGAAUAUAGUUGAGUUUUAUGACUCUUGCAUGAGAUAUGGUAUCAUUUCCUCCUUUUGUGACCUAGUUAGUGUUUGGGACAUCCAUUGGACAUGCAUAUCCAAAAAGCCAUGAUUUUUAUGAUGUUCUAGGGUAAAUAAGACACUAUGGAGGAUUAGGUUUCUUGUACAAAAAGGGGUUAAGAGUUUUAUUAAGAAAUUAUGUCCAGAGCGUCGUCACGAUGUGAGCACUUUGGUGUCAUGACGUGAGGAUGGUGUUCCUCAUCUGUUUUGACUUAUUAGGUCACGUCGUGACCGCUAGGGGCUCACAACGAGACGAGUGGCUGUGGGACUUUCGAGUGUAGAUUUUAUUUUGACUUUGACCAGGAUUUGACCAAGUUAAACCUAAGGGUAUUUUGGGCUGUAUUUGAGAUUGGUCACGAUUUGUUGAAUAGGUGACCGAUAGAGCUGAUAUUCGGAGCAGUGUACUGUUCAACAAUCUUUUCAUAGUAAGAGGUGAGUUUCCUCAUUGUUCUUAUGGGUAUAAGGCACCAAUGUAGGACUAUUAGUUUAUGUAUCUUGGUAUAGAGGAUGUUGUUAUGCGAUAGUGAUUUGUAGAUCUACGUGUUGUUUGUUGACUGGUUAUAUGAUUAUCUGUUGUUGGCUAUAUGUUAUUGUUAUUUAUAUGCGGACAUGGUGUGGUGGGGUUGAGACUCUGCUGCUUCGUGAAGUCAGUCAACAGGCUAGGGCAUUACAACCAUGAGGUUAUGGACCCGUUAUAUAUUUGGGUAUUUGUUUGUGUGGUGGUAUUUAGGGGAAAGUUUUGACUUACAGUUUCAGUUUAUUGUUUCAAGUACUUCAUAUGAUCGUGGCAAAGCAAAGGGGUGAUCAUGCACUUCCUUCGGGUUUAUGUUAUUUGGAUUCUGGGAUAUUCUGAUUAUUGAAUAAUACUUUUGAAACAAUGGUUUUGUGAACCAUUAUGCUUAUUGGGUUAUUUUUGAAAGGUUAAAAUUUACUGUGAUUUUUGGGAUGUAACAAAUGCAGUAAUACCCGAACAUGCCAAUAAGACUAACAAUCCGAGACCUAAGAGUCUCGAUCAAAAGACUAAUGUGUCCCACCCAUAUGAAUUAUACAAGUGCUAGUUCAUGAUACAUUGUGACACCUUCUAACCAAUAAAAUGAUAGGCUCACGGUACUACACCGAUCUUGUCGUCAUUCCAACAUUGACUUGUAGACUCAAAACUAGUAUCAUAAGAGCUUAAAGAUACACAAACAUCAUCCCUUCAACUUGUAGGAACUCGAUCAACCUCUCUCAACACCAACCAAACACCCCAUGGGUCAUACCCUUCUAUAAUGCACAAUUACUUUCACAGAACAGGUUGCAACCAACACCAAAAUCAAACAAAAACAUGAUCACACACAACUAGAGAAUGGGAUAUGUUGUUAUACUCUUGUUCUAAUUCAAAGGCUAUAAUCCAGAUAAAAAACAUGCCUAUAAUUCGAAUCAAGUGAUUUUUUGCUAUCUCGUUUGGUCCAUAUUGUCACACCCCGAAAACCAAAGGCGGAAACGUUCCCGGGNNNNNNNNNNNNNNNNNNNNNNNNNNNNNNNNNNNNNNNNNNNNNNNNNNNNNNNNNNNNNNNNNNNNNNNNNNNNNNNNNNNNNNNNNNNNNNNNNNNNUCCUGGCCGUAAACUCCUUAAUCCUCAUGAAAAUGAUGUUAAAUGGUGCUAGAACAAAUCACAUGUGAUUUGUAAAAUUAAUCCAAGGCCUAACAUGAGUUUGUAUGGGAUUUUUGGGGGAUUUAUGGAGUUUACGGCCCAUGAAACCCCCUUCAUGGCCGUAAACUCUUGUGUGUGGUGUUCCAAGGUGUUUCAAGGUCUAGAACAUGCAUGAAAGGACUUCUAAAAUUCAUCUAAGGGCCUUAGGGGUGUGUAGUUUGCAUUCUAACACCAAAAAUUUUGGAGUUUACGGCCCAAGAACAUGUCUUGGCCGUAAACCCUUAGAAACCCCAUAAAUGUUGUGUUUUAGGCCCUCAAAGUAUUUUUGGUUGGUCCCUUGAUUUAUUCCAAGGCUUUUGGUGGUGUUGGAUGGCUUUCUAACACCUUAGAAUGAGAUUUAUGCCAAGUUUUGUGGAGUUUACGGCCCAAGAACUCUCCUUGGCCGUAAACUCAUCUAAGUCCCUCAAAAUUAAUGUUUCAAGUGUCCAAAUGCAAGAAUCAAAGUCCUAUAAUUCAUAUCUAAGCUGUAGGGGUGAUUUGGAAGGGUUUAAAGGCAUGAAAAACACCAUUUUCAUGAGUUUACGGCCCAAGCUUAUGCCUUGGCCGUAAACUCCUUCAAAGUCCACAAAAUUAUAGUUUUAGGUGUUCUAAGUCCAUAUCUUGAAGUCCCUUAGCCAUAUCUAAAGUCCAUUUGAGUCUAGGAAGGAGUUUAAGGGCUAAAAACCCUUCAAAAUGGUGUUUACGGCCUAGGCUGCCUCCUGGGCCGUAAACUCACAUAUAUUGUCCAAUUUCAUGAUUAAGUGUCUAAUUUGGAAGCUAAACAUGCUAUAGAUUAAGGCUAGGAAGGUACCUUAAGGAUUUGAAGCCUUAAAUUUGAGUUUUGGACACUUAAUCCUUGGAUUUAGGAGAGAGGUUAGAGAGAGAGUAGAGAGAGAAGGAAAAAGCUUCAAAUGAGUGCUAAAACAUGUUUAUAUAGUCCCUAAAACUUGGACACGGUGGAAUUCUACCCGAUACCGGCCUUAAACGAUGUUUUGGGUCGCACCCGAUUGAGUUUUCGUCACCCGACGAGGAUAUUUCUAAAACUUAUAAAAUAAAUGUUUUGGGCUAAAUUCAUGAGUUCCUAAAUGAUUUGAACCCUCAUUGAAUGAAAAUAAACAUAUAACUUUUAGUUAACUAAGCCCAAAAACGAUAACGGGACAUUUCGAUCUCCGACGAGUUAUACGGGUAGAACGGGUUUUCGGCGAUGAACAACUUCGGGUUGUUACACAUAUAUACCCCUCAUGACAAUGUCUGAUGAACUUACCACAAAAUACACUCUCAAGAGAACCCACCCAACCCUGGAUCUAUUGCAUUCCUUUUUUUUUUCCUCACACCCUUACCCAAAGGGGGAGGGGGGGNGGGGGGUACCAAUAGAUAUAACGAAAUGAUGAACUUUAUUAAUUAAUAGAAAAUCCUCAUAACUGACUGAAACAAGAUCCCACACCUUGAUUGAAACUGAACAGAUCCCUCCAAUGCGUAACUAGCUCGAAAAAACUUCCAAAGUUAUCCAGAAAUACUGUUAAAACCAUGGUCGGAUCCAUCCAAAUACCAUCCUUGUCGAAACGACAUGCCAAAAUUUAAUUCUACGUGGAUCCCAAAUCGCAACAGAAAAACUAAACACCCUUGCCCUAGCUUCCAAACUUCGAAUGACCUAGGACAUCUACCAAACUAGAGCCUUCUAUGAACAGUAAUUUCACAACCAACCAUUGAGGGUAACUAUACCCAGAAACCAAACUGUACAAAGUAUAGAUUUUGACAAUGCAUCCAUUAAACUCCAACUGAUACAACUCUAAACUUCCGAAAAAGCUCUGCUAUUGACGAAGAAAGAAAAGAACAAUAAUCAAGAGUGCAUUGGCAACUAAUCCAUUGAUCCAAUACACUACUGGACAAAUCGCAUGAGGGACAAAACAUACUAAACUCUGAAACUAAUUGACUGAUCAACAACUGCCAAACAUAGACUAUAGAUAUCAAGCUAUGCAACGAGAUGACAACUUCCCUCACUAACCAAUACUUAAUCUGAGCAACCCAACACCUCUUGAUUUAUUCAACAACAUCCAGAAAGGAGCCACUGGCUACAAUGAGCUCCUUGUCCAACACCUUCCUUCUAUAAGGAAAACCCAUGCAUUCAUGAGCACAUAUAUCCGAUGACAACUUAAUUUACACCCUCGUCUUGAUCAAAUACUGAAAAAAGUAUCGCAUACCCGAAUCAAAAAUCCCUAUGACCCAUUCUUGUAAAACCAUAACUCGAAUAGAUCGCUGAUCCUCUAAGCAGAAUAUCCAGCUCUCCCUAACUUAGGGUUCAAACCACCAUUAACUAACGUUGAAAACAAACUAAAACUCAACCGACUCACCAAUAUGCGUAGCCUCCCUAAACCUCAGAAUGUAUAACGCAAUACAAGAUGGUCUUCCAGAUAAAGACCAAGCAAACUUAAAGGUAUUCUGAAUCUCAAAUGGAGAUCUUGGAAACUUCCCAAUCAAAACCGCUUCUAAUGUCAAUAAUCCCAUGCAUGUGCCCAAGCAAUAAUUCUAACAAUCCAUUCAUAGAACCUCACCUACAAAUUCCCAUCCAUUAUUUAAUUGUGAUAACCGUUCACUUCCUAUGGUUCUUGAAACAAUCAACUAGCACCUGGCCUAACUAUGUCUGAAUAAAGUAGACACUUAUCUCAUAUCAAGGCAACAAUACCACAAGAAUCCUCUUAUGUAUUCCUAAACUGCCACACCUGCCGAUAGAAACCAUAUUAUUUAUCCCUAUGUUAGGUCUACACCCCAACUCUGAAAAUCACAUGAUUUCUCUCUCCUUCCUCCGAACAUGAAAAGCUAGAAGUACAUAACCCCUAUCGAUGAUAGUACCACACACCUUACCUACAAAUUCCCAUCCAUUAUUUAAUUGUGAUAACCGUUCACUUCCUAUGGUUCUUGAAACAAUCAACUAGCACCUGGCCUAACUAUAUCUGAAUAAAGUAGACACUUAUCUCAUAUCAAGGCAACAAUACCACAAGAAUCCUCUUAUGUAUUCCUAAACUGCCACACCUGCCGAUAGAAACCAUAUUAUUUAUCCCUAUGUUAGGUCUACACCCCAACUCUGAAAAUCACAUGAUUUCUCUCUCCUUCCUCCGAACAUGAAAAGCUAGAAGUACAUAACCCCUAUCGAUGAUAGUGACAUCCCAAUCCAUUUGCCAAUCACUUAGCCUCAGGCUGCAAUCCUCGAUCCAAUCAUCACAAUUGCUUCCUUCUUGAGUCCCGCGACUCAACUGUCACUACCUUGAGCAAGGCCCUAUCGACCUAGAAAUCAACUAAUUCACAUGGGUCUGCACCAUUAAAACCCAAACAUACAUGCCUAGUAAGGCCUAAACAAUCACCAGACCCAUCCUCAGCCUAAACAACCAUAACCGAUAAACCAAUAAAGUCGGAAACACACUUUAACAAAUCAUGGUGCUAAUCCAUGCCAUCUUCCUUUAACUAGUUCCUUAGAAUCCCCUAAAUUUUCCUCGAGUCUAAUACAGAUCAUGUGCUUCCAGUAGUAGGGUCCCAAUACUACCUUUCAUACCUAUCCAUACUUUCUAAGAGAAUCAUCUCGGGUCCUUUAAGUAACAACUACUGUCCAUGUCCAUCCUAUCCAACCCCAUACACCCAUUCUCAAAUGAAUAAACAUCGCUAAACAACACAAACAUCAAGCUAAAAAAAUACAACCUAGGCUUUCCUAAGAUUCCCUUCACACCUCUCUCUGCCAUGAACUGCAAAAGAAACUCCCUCUAGGACCUACUAACUACCUCACGUAUACAAUUACAUGCCACAGACACUAGAUAAUUAUUCAACUGCAAGGUCUCACCCUACAACGGCUAGAAUCAGACAAGAGCUGCGAAAUAGAGUUAAACGUAACCUUCUAAAAUUAUCUAAUCCCUCUAACAUGUAACCCUACGUAUUUGAUUAGUAGUUAGCUGAUAUUAAUGGAGGUCUCUAAAAGUAUAAAGCAAGCAACAUUCGAGAAUCGAGUUAUCCAAACCAUAGCAUAACCUAAUCAGGCCAUUCUAUCUAAUAUAUGAAUCCAUACUAGCAUGUACUUCUAAAUGCUCAAUCAAUAGGAAUAUAUAGGCAUCUCUCCUAGCAUACUAUCAUGCAAUCCUGAGCAAAUGCUUAGCCUAAUCUAUCAUGCAAUUCUCAUAUACUCAUAUAAAACAUAAAACAUAAAAAAUGUGUGGGUAGUUUGGGAAAUACUUACUUGAGCUCAGCUAAUUUCACGCACCACACCCCUUUUUCCUUAUAAAAAUCUUUUUAUAAAAUUGUUUUCUUUCAAAAGAUUACCAAUUCCUCUGUUUAAGUUUAGUCACACCCGAGAGUGUGCCCAAAUCCCUAAAACUAGGGUUAUGAUCCCAACUUGUAACAUCCCAAAAAUUCAGAGUAAAAUUUUCAUUUUAAUAACAUUAAUUCAUAUAACAUUCCUUUCCCAAAAUCAUUCGAUGCGGAAAAAAUAGUAUUUAAACAACAACUUAAAAUUCACGAUUAAUCAAAUGCAGAAUAAACUCUGGGGAAUGUUAUGCAGUCACGCCAAGCCCUUCCCUUUCGAACCGGAAGAACCUGAAACCAUAAAUAUGACAAUGUAAGCACAAAGCUUAGUGAAUUACCUAAAAUAUCGCAUAACAUACAUAUACAUCAACUCAAGGUUGUACCAACUCUAUUUCACCCACGAGUCUAUUUCAACUCAUAUGUCAGCUCAAGGCUGUACUGGGUCUAUUUCAGCCCCGAGUUUAUUUCAACUCAAUCGGUAUUUUUCAACUGUACGGGUCUAUUUCACCCCACAUACAUACUACAAACAAGCAUACAUGAAUACAAAAAGAGUCACAAAGACGUAAAGAACAUACAACCCUAGUAUCCUAUAGUAUAGUGAGAAAAUACACCUUAGUAUAGAGAUAACUGAACUAUACACAUUGCUGCUACCGGGCUCCUCACACUAAACACAACCAAAUCAAUAAUUAAGGCAAUUUCCCAUAGUCCAAGAUCCAAUUCAUACUCUGUCGUAUCAAUGGGUAAAAGACUAUUUUACCCUUCCCACAUCUCACCAACAACUCAUGGCCCAAAUUCCAAAAGACCCAACACCAAAAAAUGGCCCCUUAUGUCACUUUGGUGUGUAUGCCCCACGUACUACCCUAAUACGCCCUAUGUAUGGUGCUGAAACCCAAAACUGUAUUUUUAGGUCUUAUUGCUCAAAGACCAAAUGUCUAAAUCUUCAAGUUCAAGCCCAAUGGAAGUCUAGUGUCAUAAAGUUCGUAUCUUUAUGACCUAGCAUGACUUAAUAAAACCCAACACCAUACUUAAUCUUCCUAACAUAAAGAAAUGACCAAGGAAUCACUUGAAAGUGCUUAAUCAAGUAAGACUUGACAUCCAAGACUCAGAUCUAAUUCUAAUGGGUGUCUAAAUCAAUAAAGUCAUAAAUUUGAUUCCUUUGCAUGGAUCCAAGAAACCUAAAACCCAAAUCUAGUAUACUAGCUUCCCCAAGAGGUCAAAAACUCAUGCAUGGUUGGUCCACAACUAUCACGAUGCAAAAUUUAUGAACAAGGGACCUCACAAUAUCUAAAUGAACAACCUAAAACUUUUGGAGUGGCAUUUACUCUAAAGAAUCAACUCAUGGUACCAAAAAGCGCAAAAAACCACUCACAAGUAAGAUCUAACAAAUGAAACAUCAAGUAGGGACUUUUUACCUUUAGAAGAUGAAACAUGGAAAAAUCAAGAUAGGAUCUACAAGCUCUAAGCAAUCCAACUCUUCUCUAAUGAGUUCUCCUUUCUCCAAAGUGCACAAAAGCACCCAAAAAUGUUAAAAAAAGCUCUCAAAGGGGCUAGGGUUUCGAAAUCACAGGUUGAGGGGGAUGGAUGCUGAAUAAGGGGAAGGCUUCCACGAGUUAAGAUGCUUAACAAGGGCCUAAACCCUAAAAAUUAGGGUUUGAGUCUGGCGGCCGUAUACACAACGUACUCCUAGUGCGCACAACAUAUCAGGCUGGCCAUCGACGAUUAAUCCUACCCAGUAUGCCUAACAUACGCCCUGUAUGCCAACGUACUCAACUUGACCCAUAUUCUUCCUAUCUUCCGAAAGCCAUAACUUCUUCGUCCCGACUCCAUUUUCGGUGUUCUUUGUAUGAUCGAAAAGGUAAUGAGAAGCCCUACACUCCUAUCAACUCUCCUUUACCUUAAAAUCUUAUGAACUUAAAUCCUUAAUUCAUGAAAUGUCCAAACCAUCACUUUUUACCAUUAUACCCUUGGGUUCCAAAGCACAAUCGAACUCUUGGAUCACAUAAUUUACAUCAUCCACAUCCAAAUGGAUUUAAACCUCUAUUUCCUCAAAUCCCGAAGCCUUAUGAUAAUUGAUCUUAGGGUCGCUUCCCCAAAUUAAGAAACGAUUCGAAACAGAGUGUUACACUAGGUGAAACCAUUGAAAACCCAUGUGAAAUCGGAUAUAGAAAAUCAGAUGAAGAUCUAAUAUUCUAUCCUCUAUGAUCGAUACAAUCUGUGAGUAUUCAUAUCCCAAACAGAUUCACCAUCUUCAUCCCCUGUUCCCAAGAAAAAUGACGGUGGCUCCCCCUGGGUUUUUUGGGAAGAAAAAAGCAACUCUAUUUCGUUCUUCUUGUUUGUUUCUAUUCAUAAAAAAACCUUUAGAUUUCGUCCUUUUAACCUAAAAUGAUCUGCAAACAAAACCCUUCAUAUUUUGUUUCUCUUCAACCUUCCCUCUAUGGCCUCUAUGACUCGAUCUUUUAAACAUCUUUGUUUGAGCUAGUUUACGGUGACAGGAGGAAGGAAAAAGCAAGGGGAGGCGUCGACUAGAAUAAUCAUGAGGAAGACCAUUGUAUUUGGGUUUUGAUUUCACCAAUGCUUCCAAAUUAGUUUAAGUAGAUAAACUUAGGUCUUAGUUUUUUAAUGUAUUUGGGUUCUGGUUCACACUUUGUUUUCGUUUUGGAUAGAGUUUUUAAUUUUUUUGUUGAACCAAAAAAACGAAUAUGAAAUUGAUUUGUAUGUGUGUGUGUGGCUUUAAUUUUUCGAAAUCGAUAUGUGUGUUCAUCCUUAUAAAUCGAUUUGUGAGUGUGUGCGAGUUCUUUUAUGAAAUAUAUGUAUGUGUAAGUUAGUUUAUGAACAAAAAAACCCCAUGAUUCACCUGAAGAAGACGUAAAUAUGGAGAUAUAAGUGUAAGUUCGAUGAAGAAGAUGAAAUAAAGGAGGUUAUAUAUANNAUAUAUAUAUAUAUAUAUAAAUGCUAGGAGAUGAGAGGGAGGGGAUGAGUGGUGAUUUUUUGUGUGUUUCUUAUCUGUUACAAUGUCGGAUGGGGAGGUAUGUGUAAACAUUCAUGUGACCAACCUAGGGCAUGAAUAAAUUCGAGAUGGACAGAUUUGAGGAGAGUCUUCAGAUCUGGAAAAGGAUAUCAAGUGGUAGAAAAAAUUUAAGUGGAGAUAGAGGUAGCGGAUGGUGGUUGAACGGUGGUGGUGAUGGCUGAUAGUGGUUGAAUAGUGGUGGUGGCGGAAGAUGUUCUUGAGUUCAUGAGGAUGUUCUUGAGCUUAUGAAGUUGUUCUUGGUUGAUUAUCAAAUACAAGUCUAGAGAGAGAGAGAGAGAGGUGGGUUUUUUUAAUUGAUGUAAUAAAAGAAAAAUAAGAAAACAAAAUUUAAAGGGUAAAUUAGUCAUUUUAAGGCCUUUAUUUAAAAAACAGUUGGACUACAUAUGCAAUAAUACUCAUUUUUUGGAUUGGUGGUACAACUCCAAAACUUUUUGGACCAAAGUGUUAAUUUUUGACAUACAGGGACCAAAUUUGCAGUUUUGUCUAUAAAAAAAGAUAUGUAGAAUUUUUUUAUUAGAUACUAUUAUAGAACCACGUAUUCUAUUUGGUUAGCUAUCCAAGAGCAGCAAGACCAACUGCAUUUAUUCAAUUUCCAUCUAAUUUGGAGAUACCAUUUAUAGACACACAUAUUACAGGUUUAGAUUAACGAAUUCUCAAAUCCAUUGAUAUACAAACUCUUCUGUUAGCAUAAUAGAUAGUUAUUAGAUGUUAAUUGUUGGGCUCUUUUUGUAUCGAGCAUUAUGUUUAGCCCAUUAGCUAGGAAACCGUAGGUAGUUUUAUUAUUUUUAGUCUUGUUAUCUCUUUUUGUAAAUACACAAGUUGGCAAUCCAUAUUGAAACUCUUAUUUAGUUAUCAUGGUAUCAGAGCUUUAGUUCUUGGUCUUGUCGGAACCCUACCUGGCACCGGAGCCGCCGCUGGUGCCGAAAAUCGUGAAAUCAGUUUUUGUUUCGUGUCGAGUGCUCUUGAUCUUGUGUCAACUUCAUGUCUUGCCCUUACUACUAUUAUUAUACAUGUUCUUGGUCCAAUCUUAUCGAAAAAAAUUAUUAGUUACUGCCGUAACCCUAGCCGACUUCGUUGGAGUUUCGUUUAAUUUCUUUGUGUUCAUGGAUUAGGGUAGCCUCCCAAAACACACAUAGUUCUUUCCCCUUUCUAUCGAUGGGGUCUAAAUCUAAUUUAAUUUUAGCAUUGUUGUUGCAUUUUUUUUUUGGUUUGAGUAAAUCUAAUUUAAUUUUAGCAUUGUUGUUGCAUUUUUUUUUUUGGUUUGAGUUUUUUGUUUCCUGUGUUGGUGUCUUCGUUUCUAUUAUCCCUUUGUUUUGCAUUGAUAUUUGAUUUCGAUGCUUGUUGGUCGUAUUAUUUUCCCGUUGGUUUUGUUUUUUGUUCUAUUUUUGUUAGGUCAUAAAUUGUGGUUUAUAUUUUGUUUUCAUAAGAUAUUAAAGCUCUCGGUCUAGGACCAAAAAUACCAUGUUUUGGUGUUGUGUGGACCGAAAUCACAUGUGAUUUCGGUUAGGCUUAAUAUUGUCUUGUUUGGGUUUUGGGUUGGGCUUUGGUUAUUAGGUCUAGGUAUAAAUAGUGUUAUUUUAGCGUUGUAAUGUGAGGGGAAUGUUUUAGGAGGCUGCCAUAAGCCAAGAACGUGUUUUUACAAAAAAAUAGAGAGAAAACCAAGGGUAAUCAAGAAUCUUAUGUAGCCGACUAUUCAUCUAUAAUAGUGUGCAUUGAAGAUUAAUCAUCUUGUUCUUAUUCCAGAUUAUAUCUUGCAUCAUUCAGUUGAUUGGGAUUCUGCACCAUCAUAGUGAAAUUCGGUUGAUACAUAGCGAUUUGGGUUUUACAAUUAGUAUCAGAGCAAGGAUUGGUAGCAAUCGGGUUAUUGCAAAAUAUUUUUAAGAGUUUUUCUUGGAGCUUCUUGGUGUUUUUAAUUUAUUUUUGACAAAAUUUUGGCCAUUUUUCUUCAUGUUCUUCAUAUUUUUGGAGUUUUGAUCGACUUAACAUUAAAGAUUUGAAAAUCUCGUAUUUUUGGCAAGUUUUGGGUAAUUUUGGUCAAAAUUUGCGAGAUCCCGACGGCACUCCUCGGUCUUCGGUCAAACCCUAGAGGUUCUCGGCGGCCAACAGCGUUCUCAUUUAGGGUGCGAGGGUUCUCGGUCUACAUGAUUUCAGUCUCGCAGGUUUUCGGUUCUUUCGUUUUCGGUUCGGAUCUCGGUUCAGAGAUUUCGGUGUGAGAUUUCAGUCAGGCUCUCUUCUCGGUUUUCAAUCUUCGGUUCUCGGUCCGAGCUCGCAACUUCGGUUGUAAUUUCGGAUGUUCAAGAUUUUGGCUAGUUUUGGGUCUAAAACUUAUUUUUGGUCCAAAAGCCUCAUUUUCGAUCAAAUAACUUCGAUUUUGGUCCAAAAGUUUCGUUUUUGGUACAAAACCCUCAUUUUCGGCCUAGAAACAUUUAUUUUAGGUUAAGGUUUUUUUUUGACAAAAAGUUUGACUUUUGACUUUCAAAUUUGACUUUUAACUUUGAAGUUUGACUUUUGACUUUCAAAUUUGACUUUUAAGUUUGACUUUUCAAGUUUAACUUUCGAGGUUUCAUGUCAAAUGACAUUUUUCUUGGCCUCACAAUCAGUUCUAUUUUUGGUAAAUUAUUCUUUUUGGUGAAUAAUGAGUUCUUUAAUCGCCAAGGUUAAUGAAGCUUCAUGCUCUUAGUCCUGUGAAGCUAAAAUUAUAUUUUAUCGUGAUCAACAUGAAUUAUUAAUUCGGGAAAUUGAGGACCUUAAAUAUGAAUGAUAUACUAUCGGAAAGGACCAAAAACCCUUGAAAGAAAAAUUAGAGGCCAAAACCAAAUACUUUAGAAAACUUCAAGCAAAAUAUAGCAUUAAAUGUGAACACUAUGAUUAUGCUCAAGUAAAGAUUGCCAGUCUAACUGCCGAGCUUAACACAUUGAAAAAUAAGUUUGAAAAUGUACACUUUAAUAUUAAAAUUUUUGAUGUGUCAAGUAAGAAAGUUGAGUCCAUGAUUGAAAAACAGUUAAAAUUUAAAGAUAUUCAGAAUAAGGGCCUAAGGUAUCACAAUGUUCCACCUCCCUUCAAUGAUAAUUAUACCCCGCCCCUUGAAACCAAUGAAAUAGAGAUACCUGCUCAAAAUGGACAACCCCUAUGCCAGCUUCAGUUGAGGGUGAACAAUCUGGUCCCACUAUAAGUGUUGAGGUGAACGAUUCUGAUACUUCUACCUCAAGUGCAGAGUAGGUCAUAGUGCAAGAUGGGCAUGAGCAUAACACAAAUAACUCUUGUUCUGCUGAUAAUGAUUCAAAAACUCGUGAUGAGGUGAACGAUUCUGAUGCUUCUACUUCAUGUGCAGAGAAUGUGGGAAUGCAAGAUGGGAGUGAGCAGAACAAAAUCAAUUAUAGUUCUGCUGAAAAGGUUUUAAAAGCCUGUAAUGAUGAUACACCCACUGCUGAAAAAUCCCAGCUACACAAAUCUGUUAAGCAGUCUAACAAAUGUUCUGGUGCUUGUGAUUGUGGAAGUUCUUCGAAACGAACUUCUUUUGGACAAGGACCAAGUCACACUAUGAUUUAUAUGAAAAGAAAGACUUGCUUUAACUGUGGGACUCCUGGUCACAUUGCCAGAAAUUGCCCACAUCGUUUAUAUGUUCCUUACUACUCACAAUGUUGGCAGAACGCGCCAAGAGGGAGAUCCUCCAAAAGAAACCCUUCGAGGUCACGUUCACACAAUGGUGACUGGAAUGAUAAGAAGGCCAAUAUUCAAACUCCUAAGGACAAGAAGGGAAUGUCGGACAAGAUGCCAAAUUUAAGAGAUGGUUAUGUUAGAUCAAGAUCGUUUAGGUCGAAGUCAUCUCGACAGUUGGUUUCAAGUUCUAAAGCAAGUGCUGAGGCAUCCAUCUAAUCAAACAAUAAAUGGGUUAAACCUGACUAUAGAUGGGUACCAAAGGUUCAUACUCCCAAAUCAUCUGAUGAUUCUAACAUUUCUUCAUCUUCUGUGUCUGAUAAACAUAAUAUUUCAUGGGAGAAAGUACCUUGUAUACAUGAUAAAGGUCAACCCAACUUCAAAAUGGACUGGGUUCCAAAGACCAACUAAUCCCGCACUCUAUGCUGGGGCAGCUAUGGAGGAAUAUCAUCAGACUUCGGUUUGUUGAUAGUGGCUGUUCCAGGCACAUAAUAGGAGACAUAUCUCAUCUGUACAACAUUCAGAAUCUUCAUUGAGAGCAUGUGUCCUUUGCGGGUAGGAAGUAGGAAAGGAUCACAAAUGGGGAUCUCUUUUAAUGGCAUGAUGAAUAUUGAAUAUCUUAACUUCGUUCCGGAAUUGAAACACAACUGAGGUUGAACAUGUUGCUGCAUCUGCAUGUUGUUCUCAAAUCAUUUGGAUGCAACUUCAAUUGUUGAAUUACAGUUUGAGUUUUUUUCUCGAUACUUUUAAGUUUUUCCUAAAAUGAUUCGUUUUGAACACAAUUUUUUUAAAAAAUUUUCGCAUUUAUUUUGUUUCCAUUCUCCCCCAUGCACAAAUUAAGGGGGAGAGAUCAAAUACAAAAAAAAUUAUAAAAUCAAAAAUACAAAAAUAUGCUUUUUUUGUAAGUAUUCUUGGGAAGUGAUAUGCAGUUUAGUGCUAAAGGGCAAUAUGAGAUGCAUUUAAUGCACUGAAGUUGAAUUGUUUAGACUCUGUGUUCAAUGUGCUAGUAGGCACGAAGGAUUCAAAAUUAAAGGACUAGACACAACUGACAAUGAAAGGAAUAGACAAUGUUAACUCAUCUAGACAUAGAUAGUUUCAUUUGGACUGACCAUACGACGCUUGGAUAGAUUGAGCAGUGAGAUAAACAAGGGAGCCUACAAGAUACAUUAAAGUUACUUAACAUCUGGAACUGUGGCUCAAAACUUCUUCGACGUACAUACUUAUGUCCUUAAUUCUGGUGCUGAUAGGGUGACUGGGGGGUUCUGAUAAAGUAGGUCUGUGUAACAUUGUUUUUCUUUCUUAUCCCCUCUGUCAGUCAUAUGUUGCCCCUUUUGUGUGAUCAGAAGAUCUGACCUGCGACGCAACAUAUGCAUCUCUAUUUCUAUUUCUAUGUCUCCCUCUCUAUCUAAGUAUCUUUCUAUCCAUCUAUGUUAGUCAUAUGAUGUCCCCUCUAUAUGAUCAGAGGAUCUGACCUAGGACACAACAUAUGAACCUUUAUAUCUCUCUAUCCCUCUAUAUGUGUUAGUCAUAUGUUGUCUCCUCUGCGUGAUUAGACGAGAUCUGACCUGGUGCACAACAUAAGCAUCUUUAUAUCUAUCUUCUCUCUCAAAUAAUUGAGCACUCACCUAAAGUAAGGAGCUCUUUGGAACUCCUUGAUUGAUAGGGUAUGUCGUGAACUGGGGAACACGUUCUAGUGCACUUAAAAUUGAAUUAACUAAAGGUUAUCUGUAGAUCUCACUGUUGAAUUUAAGUGGACAAUAAUAUCCUUAGUCGUCGUCAGCAAAAUGGUCUAUUUAGGAAUAUUAUUUAAGGAAUAUAAUCAUAACGUAUUGUCAUUUAUAAUCUGUCCAACUUGUCAACAUCCUUUGUGUUUAAGUGGAGCACAAUAUUGGUGAUUGACCAGAGCUAAACAUCUAGGUGUGUGCUGAUAAACGAUAUUGAAUUGCUUGAAAACUUUUGUCACACCCCGGCCGUCGGCGGAAACACCGGGUGGUGUAAUGUCAUUCUUCGUAUCACAGUUAUAUAACAUACAUUGAAUAGUACUAAAGAAAAUACAUACCUUUAUUGAUGUUUGAAAGUUACAUUACUAUUUUUCUAGAACCUAUUACAUAAUAUCCGACUAUUGUAUACUUCUUAAUGAACAGAAAGGUAAUUGUAAAACUUCUCCUAUUCGAAUACAUACCAGCUUUUCAAGUUCCUGAAAACACAUGCAUUUUAAAACAUGUCAACAUAAAGUUGGUGAGUUCACAGGUUUUGACUCCAUAUAAAAAUAAUACUUUUUCUGGGUUCAAAAGUUUAGUUUUUGAAAGUAUCAUUUUGAAGCUCCAACAUUUAGUACAUAUAUUAGGUAUAAUAGUCUACUUAUCAAUUAAGUGUUAUACCUAAACGUUCCUUGAACCUAAGGUAUAAGUAAGGGAAAACUUAUACUUAACAUUAAUACUUAUAUACGACAAAGUAUAAUGUUUCUAACAAUUUGCUACCAUGAGCCUGUAACCGCUGCUAUGACAUAAUACCUCUGAUAAAACACACUCAUGAUUUCCAUGAGAAACAACACGCUCAUGAUUUCCAUGAGAAACAACACCGCACGCUUCAUCGAUGCCGAAAAAAUAACAAGUAAAAGGAUAGUUCGUCACUCGCUUAUGGUUGAUUGUAGCUAACAAUCACAAGUGGGGUUGUCAACCCGUAUACUAAUUAUACACGACUUCUUCGCUCACACGAGAUUAACGGUUACCGUUUAGAGGAUUUCCGCUAAGAUCCCCAAUCUUAGUUGAUGAAUACAAUUACUCAUGUAGACUCCGACGACUUCAUAUAGCUCUAACAACAAAAGCAUUUUCAUGUCGAAAACCCUAAGUUAUUAGACUAUGCCUUUAAACAUUACUCCUAAGUUCAUAUUACUUUAGGCAGUACAACAACUAUAACUUGAGGAAAAAUCAGGUUUUAUCUUAACAUAAAACCAACAAUAACAAUAUAUAACAUACCAAGUUUAUCUUGUCAUAGAACCAACAAUAACAGCAUAUAGCAUACCAAGUUUUAUCUUGACAUAAGACCAAUAAUAGAAACAUACUUUUUUAAUAUAUAGAACUCCCAAAUAUAACUUUGGAACUAUAUUGCACACAACAUAUAUAUAGAAUCCUAAGUAUAACUCAAGAUCUACAUUUCACGGCCAGAAAAGACCGAUUUUGUUUAUGCUUUGUAAAAAUCAGAGUAAUUAUUUUCAUAAAAAUGUUGUUGAAUUUGUUCCCAGAAAAAUACGAUAAAUACGUUAUCAAAACAUUUUCGAAGAAACAUAUUUUAUUCAUUUUAAAACGUUUGGGAUGUCAUCGUCAAUACAAGAACAUAAGCAUAAACGGAACUUACAUUUAUUUACACUAGUGAUCUACAUCUCUUUAAUCUCUCAGUGUAAUAUCACUUCAUAUCGACACCUGUGAUAUAAAUAAACUGAGUGGGUGAGGUUGGAAAACCUGGUGAGUACAUAGGGUUUUCAACCAACAAUAAUAUAAUUAUUAUGUUCAAUCAUCAAACAAUUAACCCAAUUACCCAUCCCCAUUAUCUUCUUUAUUCCUAAGUACCUUCCCUAAGGAUUUAUCCUAAGGGUCGUAUCCUACAUCAUAUUUUACCUCUCAUCUUCUUACAUCGCAUCUCCUUAUAUGUUUGUUCCUAAGGACUUUCCCUAAGGAUCAUCGCCUACAUCGCCUAGAUAGUAUUGAUUCAGGGAUUACUCCCUCAAUACGUGCCCACCAAGGGUUAUGGUAUCAUCGCAUGAAUACGUAGUUACAACAUCGCCUGAACUCGUAAUUCAUAGUAAGGGGGUUAAAGUAUCAUCGCAUGAAUACGUAGUUACAACAUCGUCUGAACUCGUAAUUCAUCACCUACAGGUUAUGAGCCUGCUGGUGUUUCCACGGGGUUGUCUAUAAUAGUCCGUGGUCGCCAUCUAUACUCUGGUAGAUGACUACAUCUCCAAAUUGUCGGACAAGGUUGUAGUAUCCUACAUCACCGAUUCAUCAUCACCUAUCUAUCCUCACCUAAUUAUCAUCACCUAUCUCUCAUUAUUUUAUUUCAUCAUACACCAACUAUUUCAUCUACCCAUGUUUUAUCCCAACAUAUCAGUAGAUAUAAAUAUACAGUUUAAAUCAUUUAAAAUGUGUAUAAAAUCAUUCAUCCAGCAUAGACAACAAGUAUUAAUAUAAUAUGCACACAUAGCACGUAAUUUAUGUAAAAUACUUCAUAUCUAUGUGUAAGAUGAAAGGGACCAUGCACUCACUUGAUAAGGUGGUGAGUCGGCACUCGGACAACACUUCGUUACUCUUAAAACAAUUAUCCCUUGACGAAACCUAGUAUCAUUACCACUAGAGUUUAGUCUAACGCUUGACGAGACUAAUUUAAUAGUCNAUUAUUACUAUUAUAUAAGCAUUAAACAAUACUUAUAUAACCCAUAAUAAUAGCUCAAAUACUCCUUAUAAGGACCUAAUAACAAUAUUAUAUUGAAACAUAAGCUACACUAGAGAUGGGAUAGGUACAACUCACUUACAACGGGUUUUCUCGAAAACCGGGAUUCGCUGGAGCAGCGUUCCUGAGCUGAAAGGAUCUUUUCUCGGGACUCUGGGAGCUUCGGGGCUUCCUUUGGGAGCUAGGGGGUUUACCUAGACUUUAGGGGGCUUAAGGGGAGCUAGAGAGAGUUUAGAGAGAGAAAGUGGUAGAGGAAAGGUGUGAGAAUAAAUGGAACCCGACACAUCUAUUUAUAGUGUGAAAUCCUGAUGGACUCGCCGAGUAGGAGUACCUACUCGCUGAGUUGGGCCAUGUGGCAGCCUUCUAGUGGUGCCACGUGUCUAAUUCUGGUGGUGCCACGUCACCCCCUAUCGCGUAUCAGCAUUCAAACUUAUAAAAAUCAUAACUAUCGCAUACAAGCUCCGUUUUCGACAUUCGUUUUUUCAACGUGUAGGUAAAAUCAAGAUCUACAACUUUCAUUUAGACUCCAUUGGCUAAUUCUCGACCGAUCUCAAAUUUAAUUGUAGGAGGAGUUUAGACAGUUAAAUGACCGCGAAGAAUUCGUAACUCCUUCAUACGAACUCCGUUUUCGUCCAUAUUUUUACCUUUGAGUUCCUAUUAAUGAGAUCUNAGCCAAAAACCUCGAACUAAAAUUCGAGUUUCGGGUCGUGCACAGCUAAGCCGAAUCUUAGAAAAAUCAUAACUUCCUCAUACGAAGUCACAUUUGGGUGUUUUUUUUGUAUGUUCUUGGUUUAACAUAUACUACAACUUUCAUUUAGAUUCCUAAGGCUAAAAGUCGCUCCAUCAUAAAUUAACUAUUUAUGCUUCCCGGUGUCGUGCCGGUUUUGCCGUAAAACUUCAACGGGCCAUAAUUUCUUCGUUAUAACUCGGAUUUUGGCGUUCUUUAUAUUUACGGAACCCUUGAGACAUAUUCUACAACUUGGGUAAGAUUAUUUAUUCUAAAUAAUCUUUUGUCGAAAAGUCGUUUUCGACCCGUAUUAUCUCUAAAUUGACUAGCCCGGAUCUACGGGCGUUACAGUUUUAUAUAUUCUAAAUAUUAUAUUUAGAACAACUAUAUCCCGGUUAAUAUAACUAUCUACGUUGAUACUAAUAUACUAUCACAUAGACAUAUAGUAACGUAUAUAUAAUAUUUAUCAUGCGUUUUCCCCGAAAAUAUUAGAAUGUGGAGCCGUGAAACUCACCCUAUUAGCGUGAUUUUAUGUAAUCUAAGCAGAAACGGUCAACGGUACGAGGUUGUCGGGCUCGAGAUGUAAGAGGGCUUCAACAAAUGAGAGAAAGGGAAGAAGUUCAGGUGUAAGAAUAGCUGAAUUCGGACCUGCUAUUUAUAGGAAGGUUUUUGGCCUCUCACGUCGUGAGUUUAUAAAACUCACGUCGUGAGCCAACCCUGCUCACCUCGUAGACUUGCCAUUUGUGUCCCUAGCUUCGGAAGGUGGCCAUAUGACUCCUCACGUCGUGAGAAACUCCUUGUUCACGUCGUGAGUUUAGAACUUAUCCCUUCGUAGCCUCGUCAUGCACCUUCUAGGUCCGAAAUGUGGCAAUUUGAAUCCUCACGUCGUGAGUUUCCAUGCUCACGUCGUGAGCUCAGUCGGAUUAGGGUUUCUGACAGUUGUAUCUUUGGAAGGUCAUAACUUUCGCAUACGAACUCUGUUUUUGACGUUCUUUAUAUCCACGCGUAGGUAUUUACAAGUACUACAACUCUCUUUUAGACUCCAGUAGCUAAUUUUAAGUCUAUUUUAAAUUCCUCUUAUUAUAGAGAUCUAUAGUGUUCGGUUUAUCAUAACUUCUUAAUGCCAAGUCAGAUUUAGACGUUUUCUAUAUUUUUGGAAUAAUAUGGACGUAUAGUUUGAGUUGUAUCAUACUGAAAGUUCAUAUUUGUAUUAGAAUUUAUCAUGAACUACAUAGUACGUUUAUCACAUUACUAGUUUAACAAAAUCAUAUUACAUGAUUGACAUAAUCACAUGUGAUUGUUAUUAACCUAUUUUGACUGGUGUUAUAACUUUGAUCCCAAAAGUUUUUGUUUUGUACAUUUUGUAUCUUAUUUUUGUUUUUGUUAAAUUUGUUCAUAUUUUUUUCUAUGCACAAAUUUAGCGGGAGACUUAAAAAAUCAAACAAAAAUAGAAAAAUCAUAAAAUUUAAAAAUCCAAAUUUUUUUAUUUCUGUUUUAUUUCCUUUUCAGAAAAAUAAAAAAUCCAAAAAUAUUUUAUUUUUACUUUUGAGUGUAUUUUAUUUUUAUUUUUAUUUCUUAGUUGUUUCUAUUGUAUGCUAAGUUUAUUUUUACUUUUAUUUUUUAUUUCAAAGUUUCAUUUGUCUUAAAAAGCGAAUUCAAAAAGAAGAAGAGACUCAAGGAGACUAUAUCGGAAUUUUCUGAGCAAGGAGAAGAAAAUUGGAAACGAGUUGAUGGUCAUUACACUUCACUCUAUUUUCACAAGGAAUUGAAGGAUUGGAACUAUACAAAUUGUCAGUUAGGCAGUAUGUUUCAAAGAAUUGUCGUAUUUAAGGAAUUAAAAGUCUGAAACUGUACAGAUGUCAUGACACUAGGGUGACGCACCUCGCAAGGCACGAUUAUCGCUGAACGUCUCGUCAAGGGCCAAGUUAACUUGUUAACUUGAAAAAAUAUAUUGAGAUCCUUGAUCUAGGAUAUACAGGGGCUAACAUCAAAAAGGCCAUGAGUAGUUCUCCGAUACUCAACAAAUCGCAGUGCGUUCCUCCAUGUUCACACAGAUACUGCGAGUAGUCUCCUUCUAAGCCAAGGUUGGGUCCUUGAACAACUGUGGUGAGAAGGGUCUUUAUGACUCUGUGAUCCACAGAGACUUUUCAGUCAUGGUUACUUUUCAAGGCGCAACAGUGAUCAUUAAAGAAUUCUCAUUCGAAGUGUGAAGAUUAUUUUUCAAUACACAAUCUUUCAAGCUAGAAGCAAGGUGAAGCUGUACUUAAAGUUAUGUGAUAGAUUGCAUUGAAGCCUCCUCAAUCAGUUUGCUGCUAUCUAUGAACCUGCUGAAGUGAUCCAGAAGAAUCAGUCUCUCUGUUAUUAUCUCUGAAGUUUUUCAAAGCUGAGAGUGCUGAUUUUCAAGAACCUUAACAAGAAGCCUCUACACCCAAUGUGCAUACAAGGUCAAAUCUUUGAAGGAAGUCUAACUGUUCAAGAUAAAUUCAUUCAUGUAGAAAUUCAUAUGUUCAUUUUGAAGUUGUGAAGAAAUCGAAGAUAAAAGCUGAAGCCAAUCACAAAGAGAAGAUUGAAAAGAAAAGAAAGCUACAAAGCCAUGGGGAGAUUAUUAGGACAUAAGAAAAGAAAGCUAUAAACCAAGGGGGGGAUUGUUAGGUCAUAAAUUAUGGUUUAUACUUUUCUUUUCAUAAGCUAUUAAUUUUCUCGGUCAGGGAUCGAAAACACCAUGUCUUGGUGUUGUUUGGACUGAAAUCACAUGUGGUUUCGAUUAGGCUUAAUAUUGUCUUGUUUGGGUUUUAGGUUGGGCUUUGGGUAUUAGGUGUAGGUAUAAAUAGUGUUAUUUUAGCCUUGUAAUGUGAGGGGGCAUUUUUUGGGGCUGUCAUAAGCCAAGAACGUGUUUUUACAGAGAAAUAGAGAAAAAACCAAGGGUAAUCAAAAAUCUUAUAUACCCGACUAUUCAUCUAUCAUAGUGUGCAUUGAAGAUUAAUCAUCUUGUUCUUAUUCCAUAUUAUAUCUUGCAUCAUUCACUUGAUUGGGAUUCCGCACCAUGAUAGUGAAAUUCGACUGAUACAUAGCAAUUUGGGUUUUACAAUUGUUGGUACUGUUUGGCAAACUCUCAAUGCUUGUUGCUCAAGCAUUAUGAGUUUGAGGGAGGGAAAGCAGAGAAUAAGGAGGAUUGGGAGUAUUUAUCUAGUAGGCACCACAUGUGAAGAUGGGUAUCAUUGGUUUUGUAUGUUGCAGACAUACAAAUUUAGUUUUACUUUAGAUGCAGAAAUACAGGUUGGGUUGGUUGCAGAAAUGCAUAUUAGGUUUGUGUUUGGUUGCAAAAAUGUUGAUUGGGUUAUGGCUCCAGAUAUGCAGAUUGGGUCUGUUUGGUAUUACUACAAAGAUGCAGAUUAUUUGGUUAUCGCUUAUGUCUUGAAUAUUGUUUGGUUUUUUGCGGAUAUGAGUAUUUGUUAUGGCUCACUCAAGCUUGUCAGGUUUUGUUUAUUGAAAGACAAAGUCUCAAUGUUUGCUUCUCAUACAUUAUGAGUUUAAAGGGAAGUUAGCAUAAUAAAUGUAGCAUCCCAAGAUUUGUCAUUUAUAGUCCCUGGGGAUAGAAGGGUGAAGCCAUGAAAGUCUAAGGGCUAAAUUGCAAUUAUUGGGAUCAGGAGGAGUACACUGCACGUACAUAAGGGUACGUUGGGUGUACACUUGUGCACGCUGGACAUACUCAUGGCAGAAGGAAACCCUAAUAUUUAGGGUUUGGGGUCUAUAUAUGCAACAUUAUGAGCACAAAACCCUCCCUUACCCCAGCCUCCACUGCUAAGAGUCAUUUUCCCCAAACCCUAUCCAUUUCCUUGAGUGUUUGAGCUUUUUGAGUGUUUCUUGAGUGUUUUAAGAAGAAGGUGUUGCAUCAAGGAGUUGGAGAAGAAGAUUAAGCUUGUAGAUCUAAAGUUGGUUUGUGCCUUAGAAGCUCCAGAAGGUAAAAACCUUGGAACUUUAUACUUGUGUGAGAUAGAUCUAGUCAUUUUAGCUUUAUGGAAGCAUUCUUGUCCCAAAAGUCCCAAAAUGGUGCAUGUUAUGAUUUGGACGAAAUGAGUUGUCCUUUCAGACCUUAGAAGAGGUCCUAAGUGAUAAAAAUGGUGUCCCAAUAGCUAGAUUUGUCUCAUGCAUGAAGUAGGAAGGUCUUAAUGGAUUAAGACCAUGUGUUAAGAACUUUUUGGAUGUGCAAAGUGAUAAAGUUCGAGCCUUAUAGUCCUAUGGCACAUUUGGUCGAUGGAUAUGGAGUUUGGGCUUAAGUGUUUAAGACAUGAAGCAUUUAUUAGGGUUUUGGUGAAACCCCGCGUACGCCCAAUGUAAAUCCAGUACGCCCAACAUACUGGACGAGUACACCCCGUGUACUAGAGGAGUACACCCCACAUACGUCCCCUGUUGGGCCAUUGGUAAUUAGGCUUUUGGUUUUGGGCAGUUUAUGGACUAGUUGGAUUUGAGCCUUUGCUAGACUUUAUGAAUAUUAUGUUUUGGGCCAAGUUUUGACAAUGGAUCUUGGAAUUAGGCCCACUUUCGUAAAUUGGGCCAAUAUUGGGCUUAGCAUAAGGACCUUCAAGGUUAUGGAAUUGGCAUUGGGCCUUGGUCCAAUAAAGAGAAUAGACAUGAUGGAUUGUGUGGACCCUUAGUCAAUAUUGUUAUGUUGUGUAAUGACUUGGUAUCUAUUAUUUGGAUAGUUCAGGAUCUUUGGUGAGGUAGUGAUUCGGGAGUUCGAUACUUCAGUUCAGAUCGGCUUUGCGAGGUGAGUUAUCCUCACUGUACUCAAGGGUUUAAGGAACCAAGGUCGGCCCUUUGAUUUGUUAUUUGAAAUUGUUACUGUUGUGAUAUGUUAGCUUGGUAUCCUGGUAGAUAGGAUGGUUAUAUGCUAGUAUGAUAUGUUAGCUCGGUAUCCCAGUAGAUAGGAUGGUUAUAUGCUAGUAUGAUCUGUUAGAUUGGUAUCCUGGUAGAUAGGAUGGUUAUAUGCUAGUUUGAUCUGUUUGCUCGGUAUCCUGAUAGAUAGGAUGGUUAUAUGCUAGUAUGAUAUGUUAGCUCGGUAUCCUAGUAGAUAAGAUGACUAUAUACUAGUAUGAUAUGUUAGAUCGGUAUCAUGGUAGAUCAGAUGUGGUUAUACUUAGUGACCUAUAAUUUGGUCUGAUUGUCUGUAUGCUGGUAGGAAAUUACCUGUUAUAUGUGCACAUGAUUGAUUGGUAUUUGAGGGUAUUGCAUCCCAAGGAUGAUAGGACCCUAGUAUGUUGUCUUUAUAGACUGUUAUAUGAUUAUCUAAUAUAGGUGCACAUGUUUGAUUAGUUAUGGGGGGGCAUUCCAAGCCGAUGGUUGAGGGCCUGGGGUAUUCCAACCCGAUGGUUGAUUGGACCCAUAACGUGUUGGCAUUCCAACCCGAUGGUUGAGGGCCUGGGGUAUUCCAUCCUGAUGAAUGAUUGGAGCCAUAGUAUAUGUUAUAUAUGUAUUAUGUGUGGGCCUUCCAACCUGAUGGUUGUUGGCCGAGAGUAUUCUGUUGGAUUAGGUGUCUAAGUUCAUAACUAUUUCUGGAAUGUACUUGACCCGGUUAGCAUGGUCCAUUUUGGGUUGCAUGGCAUUGCAACACUUGGAUAGACUAAAUGAGAGAAAUGAAACAUAUGGUUUAUUAAUAUAUUAUAAGUUCUAAUAUAUUAAUAAUAUUAUUUAAUUAGUUUUGAUCAAGAAUUAAUUUAGAAUUAAUUUGGUGAUUAAAAGGAGACUAAUUAAAUAUAUAGGGUUGAUUGUGCAAAUCAUCCUUUCUUUUAUAGUGGGCUAAUGAUCCAUGGUUUAUUUAAUUGGGCUAAAAUCCAUAAGGUGCUCCAUGGAUAGUACAUGGAGGUUAUAAACCCAUGGAUCAUGGAAUAUGGAAAGCCAUGUCAAUUAGGGUUUACAUGUUGUAACCCUACUUGUAACACAACUAUAAAAGGACCCCAUGGGCUACUAAAAUUGGCACUAUGUGUAGAACAAGAGGGCUAGCGGAUUUUGAGUGAUAGUUUACUUCUCUCAAAGUUAUUCCAAGAGUUGUGGUGCUGUGUGAAACAUUUGAGGCAUCACAUUUGAGGUGCUAGGCUCACAAGGUUCUCAAGGAAUCCAAGCAACAAGAAAGGUAUGUUCUUCUACUAGCUUUUAAGUUUCAAAGUUCCCCAUGCCAUGCUAAUUAGGUUAAGAACCUUGGAAAAUCAAAUUUGCAUGUAUCUUAGUAAAACAUAGAUCCAAGGUUUCUAGGGUUGCAUGUGCACCUUAGGAUUCUUAUAAUGCUCAAUACCUUUCCGUGGUAUCAGAGCCUAGGCUUGUUUUCUUGAUACUUGAAGCAAAUUGUUGAAAAAACUCAAGAUUUCUGCAUUCUGCUGAGUGAACUUGCCGAGUCCAUGGGGGGACUCGAUGAGUCCAUGUGUUAUUUCAUCUUACUCGUCGAGUAGGUUCUUGCACUCGACGAGUAGGAGGCCCUGAAUGCAGAUUUUCGAGUUUUGCUGCUGGAAAUGGACUAGUAACAUUACCCUAAACUGUUUUGGUCUUAUAAAACUUGUUUUAGAUGGUGUAAUGGUUAUGCUAAUCCAUUUACAAUAGCUAUUAUCAAAAAAUUCAAGUCUUAUAUGUGUUUUUAUGAUUCUUGAAAUUGCUGAUAUGAAUGUUCAUGAUCUUAAGAGUAUGGUAGAUCAUAGGAAUUAUUUUGUUAGUUGAAUUCUUGAUCUUGAUGUGUUUUAAUGGAAUCCAUAAUUUGUGCCCAAGUUAUGGAUUACCAAAAGUCUUUCUUUUGAAGUCCAUUAAUAAACACAUAGGUUACAUAAAAUGAAGAGUCUCUUAUUUUAACAAACCAUUAACUCAUAAGUUAUUAAGGAUGAAAAGUUUUGAAAGUUACAAAACUUGCCCUCGAGUUCUGGAACAUGUAAAGUCACUUUAAAAAACUUUAGUUCCAACCCCUAGAAUUUUAAAAGUUAAAAUUCAACCCUUAUACUUUAUAAUAUUAUAUAUAUAUAUAUAUAUAUAUGUGUGUGUGUGUGUGUGUGUGUGUAUAUAAGAAGGAGUCAUUUUACAGUUAGUAGGCCUCAUUCACGAAGCCGGUCUAUAAGGGGGUAUAAGGUUGAUGCCUAUAAAANGGUCUAUAAGGUGGGUAUAAGGUUGUUGCCUAUAAAAUGGCGACUUAAUGGGUGUCCACUCUCACCCAACGCUUUCUUGACUGGUGGAGGGUAGUUAGCCGAACGGGUAGGACAAUGACUUUAAUCCUCAUUAAAAGUAUAAUGGUUAUAAAGUAAUUUGCAUGGUUAAUUCACACCUAGUUCUGUGAUCCUCGGCAUCCUAGUCACAAAACUUGAAGGACACAUUCGAGUUUGAAACAUGCCAUUGAAAAGUUCAAUGAAUCUCAAAAGAAUCUAGGAGUUUCAAAACCUAUUAAAAAUUAAUAAUUUAUUUCGUUUUUCAUGGGGGAAUUGGUGAAUCGUCAUUCACCUACCUUCAAAUAUUUUAUAGCUUGGAUUACAGCAUCCCUCUUAUAAGUUAUAAAAUAUUAUGUUGGGUCAUAACCUUAAUAUUACAUUUGGGUGUCUUAUUAAGGAUUAUCUUUAUAUCUAAUCUAAACUUGUCCUUCUUUCUUUUCAGAUGUCUUCCUAAUAUGCUGCUUCUGGCUCAAACCCUACCGAAUCCUUCUCUUUCAUGAAAUAUUGUGGGAGAGUCAUCUUCGAUGGUUCCAACUUUAUGGAUUGGAUCCGGAACAUUAGGAUGGUCACUCGUUACGAGGACAAUGAAUAUGUCCUCGACAAGGAGCCUAAGGAACUUGAUGAGUCGUUUACUACUCUUGAGGAGAUCAUUGAAUUCCAGAAUCAUGAGAGAGAUGCCACCAAAGUGGCAUGUAUCAUGUUGGCCACGAUGACAGCCAAGCUCCAAAAGUCCUAUGAGGACUAUUACCCUUUUGAGAUGCACCAGGACUUGAUGGACUGCUACCAUCAAAGUGCUCGUCAAGAGCGGUAUGAAAUCAUCUCCUCCAUGAUAACAACCCGAAUGAAGGACGGUGAACCCAUCACGGGCCACAUGCAGAGUUGGCAAUUGACAUCAUUUCGCACUCCUUACCUUCGUGUUAUGAUCAAUUCCGAAUGGCAUACCACAUGAACAAGGAGGAAGUUACACUUAACAAACUUCAAGGACUUUUUAAGACCGCCUAAAGUGUUCUUAAAGGUAAAUUGGUUGUUACCACACCUACUCCUACCGCGGCCCCUGUCUUGGUAAUCGAGCAAGGUAAAGGGAAUAAGAGGAAGAGCCCUUCGAAGGGUACCAAGGGAAAGUCUCUUCAUGGAUCCUAUUCAAGUAGAACCAAAAGUCGUUCUGUCACUCCUUCUGCCAACCCUAAAGAGGCUGAAUGCUUCUAUUGCCAUGAAAAGGCGCACUGGAAGCGAAACUGCCCAGAGUAUCUACAAGAUGUUAACGAUGGGAAAGUGAAACCUAACCAUGUAGGUAUUUACACUAUAUUGUCUAAUAACUCACCCUAUUCUAAUUCCUGGGUCAUUGAUAUUGGUUAUGGUAUUCACAUAUGUUCUGAUUUGCAGGGACUAAGAAUAAGUGAGAAUGUGGAGCAUGGGAAGAUAAACUUGAUCAUGGGGAACAGGAAAGCUUCACCUGUCACCAAGAUUGGAGUUUAUUCUUUGUUGCUAAGUAGUGGGUUAACAUUAGAUUUGAAUAAAUGUUGUUACUCGUCUGAAAUGGAGAGAAAUAUUAUUUCCUUUCAUGGUUUGUACAAAAAAGGGUUUACCUUUUCAUUUGAUAAUGAAUGUGGUGGUAUUAAUGCUUUCUUUAAUAAUGUUCUUUAUUUGAAAGCAUUACCUUGUGAUGGUGUGUAUGAAACAGUGCCGGUUGUUGAUAACCUAGGAAAUAAUGUGUUGUGUAUUGAUUCUUCCACUCACUUGGAUAAAGCAAAAUUAUGGCAUUGUCGUCUUGGACAUGUGAGCAAGAAACGCAUAGGCCAACUCCAAAAGGAUGGAGUCUUGGAGUCAUUUGACCUAAAGUAAGAUGGUAGUUGUGAAUCUUCUUUACUUGGGAAAAUGACAAAGUCACCCUUCACUAGUUCUUGUGCUAGGGGUGAGGGUGUGUUGGAUCUCAUACAUACUGAUGUGUGUGGACCCUUCAGAACCCCCACAAGGGAUGUUAACCACUUCUAUGUGACUUUUACUGAUGAUUAUAGUAGAUAUGGACAUGUCUACUUAAUCAAGCAUACAUCAGAAACCUUUGAAAAGUUCAAGGAGUUUAAAUAGGAAGUGGAGAAUCAGUUGGGCAAGAACGUUAAGAUGCUUCGAUCUGAUCGAGGUGGUGAGUAUCUUAGUACCGAGUUCCUUGAAUAUCUUAAGGAAUGUGGGAUUGUCUCACAAUUGACACCUACCAGGACACCACAUCUUAAUGGUGUGGCUGAGAGGCAUAAUCGAACCUUGUUGGAUAUGGUUCAGUCCAUGACGAGUCGAGCUUUGCUACCAAUCUCAUUUUGGGGGUAUGCCUUAAAGACUGCUGCCCAUAGUCUUAAUCUAGUCCCUACCAAAAAGUUUGCCAAAACACCUCACGAGAUGUGGACUGGAAAAGUUCCCAAUCUGGACCACAUCAAGAUUUGGGGUUGCGAGGCUUUUGUGAGGCGCGAUACUCACGAUAAGCUUGAACCUCGAAGUGAGAGGUGUAUUUUCAUCAGCUACCCAUAUAAAUACUUUGGAUACCUCUUCUAUAGACCCAGUGAUAAUGUCGUCUUUGUAGCAAGGAGAGGAGUCUUUCGCGAGAGAGAGUUCAUAAGCCAAGAAAACAGUGGGAGGCAAAUAGACCUUGAAGAAAUUCAAGAGUCAAGUGGUGAAGGAACCUCAAAGCCUAGCAAUCAACCCGAGGAGGAAACUCCUGUUGAUCCGACUGACGAUUCUGUACCUCUGAGGCGUUGCACGAGAGUUAGGAAUGCACCUGAGCANUAUAAAUACUUUGGAUACCUCUUCUAUAGACCCAGUGAUAAUGUCGUCUUUGUAGCAAGGAGAGGAGUCUUUCGCGAGAGAGAGUUCAUAAGCCAAGAAAACAGUGGGAGGCAAAUAGACCUUGAAGAAAUUCAAGAGUCAAGUGGUGAAGGAACCUCAAAGCCUAGCAAUCAACCCGAGGAGGAAACUCCUGUUGAUCCGACUGACGAUUCUGUACCUCUGAGGCGUUGCACGAGAGUUAGGAAUGCACCUGAGCAUUACUAUGGUUUCCAUAUUACUGCAGAAGGUGAUACACUUAUCAGUGAUAUCACAUUGGUAAGUCUGGAUGAACCUAACAGCUACACGGAAGCCAUGGCUGGAACUUGGUUGACAAUGUACCAGGUCGCAAGACAGUCCAUGUAUGACAAUCAAGUUUGGAACUUGGUUGACAAUGUACCAGGUCGCAAGACAGUAGGAUGCAAAUGGAUCUUCAAGAAGAAGACCGACAUGGAUGGUAAUGUACACACUUAUAAGGCGCGACUGGUUGCAAAGGGAUUUUCUCAAACUCCGGGAGUUGAUUAUGAUGAGACCUUUUCACCAGUAGCGAAGAUUAAGUCUAUUAGGGUUAUGCUAGCCAUUGUUGUAUUUCAUGGCUAUGAAAUAUGGCAAAUGGAUGUCAAAACCGCUUUCCUGAAUGGAAAAUUGGCUAAGGAAGUUUACAUGAGUCAGCCAUAGGGUUUUGUCAGUGCAAAGUACCCUAAUAGAGUGUGUAAGCUUGAGAAAUCCAUCUAUGGAUUGAAACAAGCACCUCGCAGAUGGAAUCUUUGUUUCGAUGAGAAAGUCAAAGAGUUUGGCUUUUCGAGGAGCGAAGAUGAAUCUUGUGUAUAUGUCAAGGCUAGUGGGAGUACAGUUAGAUUUUUGGUAUUGUAUGUGGAUGACAUACUACUCAUCGGAAAUGACAUCCCAACUCUUCAGGAAGUGAAGUCCUGGCUUGGGAAGUGUUUCGCUAUGAAGGACCUUGGUGAAGCUGCCUAUAUCCUAGGGAUAAGGAUUUUGAGAGUCAGGAGUAAGAGACUAACUGGACUUAGUCAAAGUACCUACUUAGAUAAGGUGCUGAAUAGGUUCAGCAUGCAUGAUUCCAAGAAAGGAGCGUUACCGAUCCAAAGUAACGCCAGAUUGAGUAAGACUUAGAGCCCGAGUACCGAGGCUGAGAUAGCUGAGAUGAGUUGAGUACCAUAUGCUUCCGCUGUAGGCUCGAUCAUGUAUACUAUGACUUGUGCUCAUCCUAAUUCUAAGAAAGGAGAAUUACCGAUCCUGAGUAACGCUUGAUUGAGUAAGACUCAAAGCCCGAGUGCAGAGGCUGAGAUAGCAGAGAUGAGUCGAGUACCGUAUGCUUCCGUUGUAGGAUCGAUCAUGUAUGCUAUGACUUGUACUCGGCCUGAUGUGGUCUUUGUGUUGAGCAUGGUCAACAGAUAUCAGGGGAAUCCUGGCAAGGCUCACUGGACUGUGGUAAAGAACAUUCUCAAGUACCUGUGGAUGACUAAGGACUGGGUCCUUACCCUCGGUGGGAGUGAUGACUUGAGAGUAGUAGGGUAUAGUGAUGCUAGCUUUCACACUGAUAGGGAUAAUUUCCGCUCUCAGUCAGGCUGGGUCUUUACCUUAAACGGAGGAGCAAUUACUUGGAAAAGUUCCAAGAAGGAGAGAGUGGCUGAUUCAACUUGCGAAUCAGAGUAUAUAGCGAAAAGCGAGGCAGCAAAGGAGGCUAUAUAGCUAAAUAAUUUCAUUAGAGACCUUGGAGUUGUACCAUCUAUAAAGGAGCCUAUGGGUAUUUUCUGUGAUAGUGAAAGUGUAGUUGCCUUAGCAAAGGAACCAAGGGAUCACGGAAGAUCCAGACACAUCGACAGAAAAUGUCAUUUCAUCAGACAUCGAAUAGUAGAAGGACUACUCAUGGCAAAGAGGGUAUCAUCAGAUGAGAACCCAUCAGAUCCCCUCACGAAGGGACUAGGUAGGCUUAAGCAUCUUCAGCAUGCGAGACACAUAGGGCUAAAGGAUGAUAUUAGUUUUAGAAAUUAGAUAGCUUUGAAAUUUUUAAAGUGUAAUUGACAUUUGAUGAUAAAUAAAAGUUGUUGUUUAUUUAUAAGUAAAGUGUUGCUAUCUUUUGUCAAUCGUUUACUAUCAUUUCAUUUUGCAUGUUUUGACUUCCAGAAUAAUUAUGUUAUGGUAUAUCAUAUUAUUCAAAUUCUCCACAGUCGGUCAUAUGUUGGAAGUAGAUAUGAAUCAAGACUGUCAUGAAGUUGGUUGUAGAUGUCUAAGGUGUUGGACAUAGCAAGAGUUGCUACAACACUCAUGAGUGCUCAUAAGUUCUGAGUAUUGGAUUCAACCCAUGCUCACUUGUAUCACUUCAUGGAAUUUAUCUCGAGUGAUCGUGAGGCGGUAAUAUCAUAUAAGUCUUCAAACUUAGAGAUAUGAGUUUUUGAUUAUGAGUUGGUUAUACAUUGAUUGCACGAAAACGCAUUGGUAACUUGAUGUUGUAAAACGUGCCUUUGUGUAUGAUUCAACAAGUAGUAGAACAAGCAUAUGAGUGGAAGUUUAUCUGUUCCUUCUUGGAUUAGAAGCGAUAUCUGGGCCCCUUGAUGAUUUUGUGUUGACCUAUGUAUCGGGCCCGGUCAGAACUAAAUUGAUGUGUUCGAUUAAGUUCUAUGUCAAAUGAAUCGGAAAUCGGUAAACAAACUAUUGGACAAUAAGUUAGACUUUGUUCCAUGUAUUUGUCCGGCUGAUAUCUAGAACAGAGGUUUAUAUGAUCACUUAUCUUAAAAGGUGUAUCAGCAUCAUCUUAGUUCCGAGAGACCCUUAAAGUGCUACGAUUGUCGAUCGGUUCCUGAAGUCAUUCUUCCAGUUAUAGUUAUUAGACUUGUCCAAAUGAGAGACUGUUGGAUUAGGUGUCUAAGUUCAUAACUAUUUAUGGAAUGUACUUGACCCGGUUAGCAUGGUCCAUUUUGGGUUGCAUGGCAUUGCAAUACUUGGAUAGACUAAAUGAGAGAAAGGACACUUAAGGUUUAUUAAUAUAUUAUAAUUUAUAAUAUAUUAAUAAUAUUAUUUAAUUAGUUUUGAUCAAGAAUUAAUUUGGUGAUCAAAAUGAGACUAAUUAAAUAUAUGGGUUGAUUGUGCAAUUCAUCCAUUCUUUUAUAGUGGGCUAAAGAUCCAUGGUUUAUUGAAUUGGGCUAAAACCCAUAAUGUGCUCCAUGGAGGUUAUAAACCCAUGGAUCAUGGAAUAUGGAAAGCCAUGUCAAUUAGGGUUUAUAUGUUGUAACCCUACUUAUAACACAACUAUAAAAAGACCCCAUGGGCUACCAAAAUCGGCACUAUGUGUUGAACAAGAGGGCUAGCCGAUUUUGAGUGAUAGUGUACUUCUCUCAAAGUUAUUCCAAGAGUUGUGGUGUUGUGUGAAACAUUUGAGGCAUCACAUUUGAGGUGCUAGGCUCACAAGGUUCUCAAGGAAUCCAANACAAGAAAGGAUGUUCUUCUGCUAGCUUUUAUGUUUCAAAGUUCCUCAUGUCAUGCUAAUUAGGUUAAGAACCUUGGAAAAUCAAAUUUGCAUGUAUCUUAGUAAAACAUAGAUGCAAGGUUUCUAGGGUUGCACGUACACCUUAGGAGUGUUAGAAUGCUCAAAACCCUUCAUAUUCCAUCCCGAGGAUGAUUGGACUCAUAGUAUGUUGGCAUUCCAACCCGAUGGUUGAGGGCAUGGAGUAUUCCAUCCCGAUGGGUGAUUGGACCCAUAGUAUGCUGUUUGUUAUUGUAUGUGUAUUGUUGUGUGUAUGGAUAUUUUUGGGGUAACUCACUAAGCCUUCGAGCUUACGUUUAUCGAUUAUUGUUUCAGGUACAACGGAUGACCGCAAGAAGGCGAAGGCGUAACCGUACACUUCCUCGAUUUAUAAUUAUGAUUUCUGGAAACUCUAAUGUUUAAACUAUUUUGAAAACACUUUGUAAUAACUAAUGGUAUUUUGGAUAUUUAAAAAGUUUUAAAUUGGCUUGAUUUUUAUGGGUGUUACAAGUUGGUAUCAGAGCCUUGGUUUGAGUGAAUUGGAGGAACACUCGUGUGAAUCUAGUCUCAAACCAAGGAAAAGAUUUCAAAAUGAUAUAAAUAGUUUUCAUGAUAAGUAAAAGAGGAUUUGAAGUGUACGAUCAGCCGGAGCCAGUAAGUAGACCCCAAAAUACCAUGCAGUUAUUUGAUUAUGUGAUAUGUUAGAACAACAUGCUAGUUAUAAGAUAGGGAUCCUCAGGAACCGUAUGAUAGGAUUGCCUAAUCUUUGAUGCCUUAUCUUAUGUAGAGUACCACAUUGAUUGUUGUAUGACUCUUUCGCGUGUGAAUUAACUAUUGGGUGAAUACUCCAAGUCACAUGCUACAUGGGUUAAAUGGUCUUAGGGUAAGGGAUUUAGUCCUGCUAUGCAUGUCUCGUAUGAGUCCAACCGUUGUGGGAUUAAAUCUUUUAGUCUAAGAUUUUUUAAGCCAUGCAGUAUGUGAUUGUAUUCAUGCAAUAGUUAAAUGGCACCAACGGAGUGUCGUGUGGCAGUUGAUGGAUGAGUGAGUAGUGUGAGGCAGGUAGGUCAGUUAUAAGAAAUUUAGCAUUCCUCAAGAAUUGAGGAUUGAGCGCUCUCUAUGUUUAUGUAUAUUUUUAGGGUGUUGUGGUGAUACUUGAGACAAAUAUGGGUAGGUGUGGAAGGUUGUAUGGGCCCGUACUACUGAAAGCACAAGACCCAUACGCGUAGCAAGGAAGUCACAACCCCUGAGGUUAAGUUGGAAGUUGGUUCCCUUUUAUUGUAUGGAUUAUCCGAGACAUCUUGAGACCGGAUCCGAGUUAGGAUCGGAAGCUGGCAGCCAGGAUAGGUCAGUAUUGUUAGAGGAUCGUGUCAGUGAGAUCAUCCGGGAGAAGGUGAUCAAGAUUUUUCGGGGAUAGUUGCCAGAGAUGUUUGGGUCUAUUAAGACCUCCAUGGUUGAGUAUUUCUACGAGUGCUAUGCAGCCCUUGCUGAGACGGCUACCGUAGCAACUGUAACGAUGGCAUGGGGAGGAGCUAGUCGAGCUUUCCAGUAUCGGGACUUGUUGUUGGGAUAUAUUCUGAUGAGCAGAGGACUUAAGUUACUUGAGAUCAGGGAGAUAUUCUGUACUCAUUGCACUCCGCGGGUUGAGCGGGAGAGGCUAGCACAUGAGUUUCUAGAUUUGAGGCUUAGGGGUUUGCUCGAGGCCAAAAUGUGAGUUGUGGGAACUCCGAAAAGGAGUGAUGAUUAUGUUCAGCUGGGGUUUUGCAGCUAGUAGUGGAAUGGUUAAUUGAUGGAUUGGACUGUCGUUUUAUAGGGCAAGGAUUGUGCCCUUUCAGUUUUUCGAGCUCGAAGGAGUGAGCAUGCUUUUGACCCGGGAUCAGGUUGUAUUCUAGCUCGGGGUCAGUUGGUUGCAGGGAUUGGCGACAUUAUAUCAGAGCCAGUGAGCGCAGGUGGGUCGAUGUGGCAUAAGUAUUUUGUGAGGUCCGGUUUUCCUUAGAUCUCUUGUAUCAGACGGUAAGGAUUGGUUGUGUGAUCUAUUGCACUUUUGGGAUUGUAGACUAUGUCUUGGGAGUAGUUUGUAGCCUGGUUUAGGGUAGAGGUUUCUUCAGCUACUGCAAUUCAGCUGUGGACGUUUGAUCGGGUGAGUGAGUCAGGGUGCGAACCCUGAAUGGAAUGAUUUCUAGAGCCCGAGAGUGGGAGACAUGUUUGGAACACCUUUGGAAAAGGGGUAUUAUGUGGGAAGUCUGCGGAUAGGGUCCCAUAAAAGGGUUAUUCAACAUUGUUAGGAUUCAGUGGUUUUAGCAACCGUUAGUGAUUGACGGACGAAAGCACCAAGUGAAGUAGGUUGUCGCCAAGGUACUAGUUGGAGCAUCUAUCUUUUGGUCUUCAGGAUUUGAGUGUGGGUCAUUCAAGCAUUAGUGACUGUCGGUUUCUUUGGGAUUCAGGAAGUGUUCAUCUGGUUCUUAGAAGUGUGUGAUCAUUUGGGAUUGGCUAGUAAUGGAGCGCUAGUUAGAAAGAGUUGGUUGUCUUCGGAUCGAUCGUUGGCAAGUGAGAAGGAUUGGAAAUCCUCCAAAUUUUCAUGUAUUGUGAAGGCUUAGUCGAAUAUAAGUGGGGGCGAGUUAUCCCGAGAUGCAGAAGCGGGAGAGGUUUUGAAACGGGGAUAAGUUUCACAACCCAACAGGGAGAAUGGAGGCUCCAAUGGCUGCUUGGUUUGAGGGUUGUGUUGGUUUGGGGUUCGGUAAAACUCCCUAACAUAAGAAACACGUCUUCUUAGUAGUUGAUAGUAGAAGUUGGGGAACCAAGUUGGAGUUAUAGUCAUGCAUUGAGUCCAGUUCGAGUAUUCGGUCUAGGGUGUGCUCGACUCUUAGAGUUUUUUUUGGAUUGAUAGAUUGAGGGUUUUGUUAGCUUCCAGGGCUCGAUAGUACAUUCAGCAUGAGUGUGCGGGUUAUUUAGCUUAUGUGGUAGAUACGCGAGUCAGGGAACAGACCACAGAUUUCCGAGAGGGUGGACGAUCGACAUGAGGCCUAGGGUUGGGCCGAGGUUAGAGUCCACGAAAUGGAUCAGGAGUUCAGAACCCCAAGUGGGUGAGAACAGUAUGUUGCGCGUACAUAAGGGUACGCUGAGCAUACUAGGCACGCCUUAGUAUGCCGGGCGUACACUUGUGCACGCUGGACGUACUCAUGGCAGAAGGAAACCCUAAUAUUUAGGGUUUGGGGACUAUAUAUGCAACAUUAUGAGCACAAAACCCUCCCUUACCCCAACCUCCACUGCUUAGAGUCAUUAUCCCCAAACCCUAGCCAUUUCCUUGAGUGUUUGAGCUUUUUGAGUGUUUUAAGAAGAAGGUGUUGCAUCAAGGAGUUGGAGAAGAAGAUCAAGCUUGUAGAUCUAAAGUUGGUUUGUGCCCUAGAAGCUCCAGAAGGUAAAAAGCUUGAAACUUUAUACUUAUAUGAGAUAGAUCUAGUCAUUUUAGCUUUAUGGAAGCAUUCUUUUCCCAAAAGUCCCAAAAUGGUGCAGGUUAUGAUUUGGACAAAAUAAGUUGUCCUUUCAGACCUUAGAAGAUGUCCUAAGUGAUAAAAAUGGUGUCCCAAUAGCUACAUUUGUCUUAUGCAUGAAGUACGAAGGUCUUAAUGGAUCAAGACCAUGUGUUAAGAACAUUCUGGACGUCCAAAGUGAUAAAGUUUGAGACUUUAUAGUCCUAUAGCACAUUUGGUCGAUGGAUCUGGAGUUUGGGCUUAAGUGCUUAAUCCAUUAAGCACUUAUUAGGGUUUUGGUGAAACCCCGCGUACGCCCAACGUAAAUCCAGUACGCCCAGUGUACUGAGUCAACCACCUCGAUGGUGGUCAACAUCUGGAUGAGUACGCCCCGCAUACCAGAGGAGUACUCCCCGCGUACGUCCCCUGUUAGGCCCUUGGUAAUUGGGCUUCGGGUUUUGGGCUGGUAGAUAGGAUGGAUAUAUGCUAGUAUGAUCUGUUAGCUCGGUAUCCUGGUAGAUAGGAUGGUUAUAUCCUAGUAUGAUCUGUUAGAUCGGUAUCAUGGUAGAUAGGAUGGUUAUAUGCUAGUAUGAUCUGUUAGAUUGGUAUCCUGGUAGAUAGGAUGGUUAUAUGCUAGUAUCAUCUGUUAGCUCAGUAUCCUGGUAGAUAGGAUGGUUAUAUGCUAGUAUGAUCUGUGAGACCGGUAUCCUGGUAGAUCGGAUGUGAUUAUGCUUAGUGACCUAUAGUUUGGUCUGACUGUCUGUAUACUGGUAGGAUAUUACUUGUUAUAUGUGCACAUGAUUGAUUGGUAGUUGAGGGUAUUCCAUCCCGAGGAUGAUAGGACCUAAUAUGUUGUCUUUAUAGACUGUUAUAUGAUUAUCUGAUAUAGGUGGGGGACACUUUUCGAAAGAUAAGUGGUACUAUAUUGGUGCAAAAGUAGUUAUAAUAGCUAACAGGUCAUACUAGCAUAUAACCAUCCUAUGUACCAGGAUACCGAGCUAACAUAUCAUACUAGCAUAUAACCAUCAUAUCUACCAGGAUACCGAUCUAACAGAUCAUACUACCAUAUAACCAUCCUAUCUACCAAGAUACCGAGCUAACAGAUCAUGCUAGUAUAUAACCAUCCUAUCUACCAGGAUACCGAGCUAAUAGAUCAUACUAGCAUAUAACCUUCCUAUCUACUAGCCCAAAACCCGAAGCCCAAUUAUCAAGGGCCCAACAGGAGACGUACGCGAAGCGUACUCCUCUGGUACGUGGGGCGCACUUGUCCAUAUGUUGACCACCAUUGGGGUGGUUGACCCAGUACGCUGGGUCUACCGGAUUUACACUGGGCGUACGCGGGGUUUCACAAAAACCCUAAUAAGUGCUUAAUGGCUUAAGCACUUAAGCCCAAACUCCAGAUCCAUCGACCAAAUGUGCCAUAGGACUAUAAAGUCUCAAACUAUAUCACUUUGGACAUCCAGAAAGUUCUUAACACAUGGUCUUAAUCCAUUUAGACCUUCCUACUUCAUGCAUAAGACAAAUCUAGCUACUGGGACACCAUUUUUAUCACUUAGGACCUCUUUUAAGGUCUGAAAGGAAAACUCAUUUCGUCCAAAUCAUAACAUGCACCAUUUUGGGACUUUUGGGCCGAGAAUGCUUCCAUAAAGCUAAAAUGACUAGAUAUAUCUCAUACAAGUAUAAAGUUCCAAGCUUUUUACCUUUUGGAGCUUCUAGAGCACAAAACAGCUUCAGAUCUAUAAGCUUGAUCUUCUUCUCCGACUCCUUUAUGCAACACCUUCUUCUUAAAAAGCUCAAGAAACACUCAAAAAGCUCAAACACUCAAGAAAAUGGCUAGGGUUUGGGGAAAACAACUCUAAGCAGUGGAGGCUGGGGUAAGGGAGGGUUUUGUGCUCAUAAUGUUGCUUAUAUAGUCUCCAAAACCUAAAUAUUAGGGUUUCCUUAUGCCAUGAGUACGCCCAACGUGCACUAGUGUACGCCCAGCGUACUAGGGCGCGCCUAGUACGCUCAACGUACCCUUAUGUACACGCACCGUACUCCUCAUGAUCCCAAUAAUUUCAAUUUAGCCUUUAAACCUUCAUGGCUUCACUAUUCUAUCCCCAGGGACUAUAAAUGUCAAAUCUUGGGAUGUUACAAUUCUCCCCCACUUAAACUAGGCUUCAUCCUCGAAGCCGGCUGCGGCGAACCACUCACGAUAAUGCUCUUGUAUCUAGGACUCUGCCUCCCGACUCUACUCAGACCCUUUCCGAUGCUGUCACUAGUUUCCUAACGUAGUUCAAGUGCUCUCUAACCUGAACAUCACCCAGCGAUACAACCGCCUACUAAUCCAAUAUGCGCCUUUGCAGUCGCCAAACGUGAAAAGCGAUGUGAAUCCCAACCGAACCUUUUCAAAAGGUCUAUCUUACAUGCCACUUUUCCAACCCGACAAAAUCCUGAUGAUCCAAAGUAUUGGAAACCUAACUUUCCCUCUUUUUGAGGGUAUUUCGUCCCGAGGAUGAUAUGACCCUAGUAUGUUGUCUUUAUAAACUGUUAUAUGAUUAUCUGAUAUAGGUGCACAUGUUUGAUUGGUUAUGGGGGCAUUCCAACCUGAUGGUUGAUUGGACCCAUAGUAUGUUGGCAUUCCUACCCGAUGGUUAAGGGCUUGGGGUAUUCCAUUCCGAUGGAUGAUUGGAACCAUAGUGUCUGUUAUAUAUCUAUUGUGUGUGGGCAUUCCAACCCGAUGGUUGUGGGCCAAGAGUAUUCCAUACCAAGGAUGAUUGGACUCGUAGUAUGUUGGUAUUCCAACGCGAUGGUUGAGGGUUUGGGGUAUUCCAAUCCGAUGGAUGAUUGGACUCAUAGUAUGAUCAAUGAUGUUUGUUAUUGUAUGUGUAUUGUUGUGUGUAUGAGUAUUUUGGGGGUAACUCACUAAGCUUUCGAGCUUACAUUUAUCGAUUAUUGUUUCAGGAACAACGGAUGAUCGCGGGAAGGCAAAAGCAUGACCGUAUAAUUCCUCGAUUUAUGAUUAUGAUUUCUGGGAACUCUGAUGCUUAAACUAUUUUGAAAACACUUUGUAAUAAUUAAUGGUAUUUUGGAUAUUUAAAAAGUAUUAAAUUUGAUUAAUUUUUAUGGGUGUUACAAUAAAUAGUUAUUAGAAGUUAGUUAUUAGACUCUUUUUGUAUCGAGCAUUAUGUUUAGCCCAUUAGCUAGGAAACCAUAUAUAGUUUUAGUAUGUAUAACCUUAUUAUCUCUUUUUGUAAAUACACAAGUUUGCAAUAUUGAAACUAUUAGUUAGUUAUCAUCUUCAUCCAUAAUUUNNNNNNNNNNNNNNNNNNNNNNNNNNNNNNNNNNNNNNNNNNNNNNNNNNNNNNNNNNNNNNNNNNNNNNNNNNNNNNNNNNNNNNNNNNNNNNNNNNNNNNNNNNNNNNNNNNNNNNNNNNNNNNNNNNNNNNNNNNNNNNNNNNNNNNNNNNNNNNNNNNNNNNNNNNNNNNNNNNNNNNNNNNNNNNNNNNNNNNNNNNNNNNNNNNNNNNNNNNNNNNNNNNNNNNNNNNNNNNNNNNNNNNNNNNNNNNNNNNNNNNNNNNNNNNNNNNNNNNNNNNNNNNNNNNNNNNNNNNNNNNNNNNNNNNNNNNNNNNNNNNNNNNNNNNNNNNNNNNNNNNNNNNNNNNNNNNNNNNNNNNNNNNNNNNNNNNNNNNNNNNNNNNNNNNNNNNNNNNNNNNNNNNNNNNNNNNNNNNNNNNNNNNNNNNNNNNNNNNNNNNNNNNNNNNNNNNNNNNNNNNNNNNNNNNNNNNNNNNNNNNNNNNNNNNNNNNNNNNNNNNNNNNNNNNNNNNNNNNNNNNNNNNNNNNNNNNNNNNNNNNNNNNNNNNNNNNNNNNNNNNNNNNNNNNNNNNNNNNNNNNNNNNNNNNNNNNNNNNNNNNNNNNNNNNNNNNNNNNNNNNNNNNNNNNNNNNNNNNNNNNNNNNNNNNNNNNNNNNNNNAUAUAUAUAUAUGACAACUAUUGUGUAAACAUGUCUCUUACUCCUAUUCUUUGGAUCAAAGAUAAAUACAAUAAUUCUUGAAAGAAUACUAUUACGUUUAUUUAUUUAUUUAUUUUUGUUGAGAAUUAAGAAAUUACAAUAAUGUCUUAGGGGUAAUUUGGACAUUUUGUUUAUUCUUAUUUUAGGCAACAAAAUAGUGAAAUCUGAAGUUUUAACAAUUAAUUUUCUUUUACAAAAAAACACAAACUAUUUAAAAGAAAUGUUUUUGAAAAAAAUACACAUUUUCGGCUGAAUACGUUUUUAUUCUUAAAAGAAUCUGGAUCUUUUUUGGAGCAAAAUAUUCUGAAAAAAUAGUAACCGGAAAUUCAUAAAAAACAAACACAUUUAUGAAACUAGUUACAUAAAAAACAACAAAAAGAUUCUACUAAAAUCUAAAAUCAUUCUUUAAACUUAUUGAUUUUUUUAAAAAUUACAUAAAAAACAAAAAAAUUAUUUCAAUAAUGUGUUACUUCUUGUAAGAAUACCAAAGAAUCUAUAUAUUAUACUAAAAAAUUUAUAUCAAAACAAUGAAAAACUAUAAUAGUUUAAUCCAUAGAAAGAUUAUUGUAGAAUGCAAAGCCUCCACUAACCGUAUAUUCUUGAAAGAACGUUAUUUUUUCAUUUUGAAAAAAACAGUGUUGUUUCUUUUCAUCAUCUUGAUAUUGAACUAUUUUAUUUUGCUUGUCGUUUGUCUUUGAACCCUUUCCCAUCACCACAUUCAACAUCAUUUUAAAGACCAACUACUACAAAAUUUAGAUAUGUCAAAUUAAAUUACAUUAGCUAAUAAAAACAAAAUAUAUUUCACAAUAUUCAAAAAAAAAAAAAGAAGAAGGAUGAACUAGUUUAACAUAUAAAAUUAAUAAAUAAUAAAAUAUCUUUUGAGAAAAGGAUAUGGAGUGGAAGAUUCGAAGGGUCCAAAAAUUGAUUUUCAUGAAUAAGAUAUGUAAUUGAUAAGAAAAUAGAUUUUAUCUUGGUUUUAGUUUCAUGUGGUCUUAAUUUCUACAUAAUACCCAUCAAAUCAUUUUUUUCCAUAAUCCUAUUAAUUACUUCAAACAAAAACAACUAUAACUCAUAUCUUUCAAAAAAACACGUUGUUUGAAUUCUUCUUUAAGGUUAUUUUUUUUUAUUUUAUUUCUAAGAUUGUUUGAGUUUACUGUCAAACCCUACAAUAUUUAAAAACUAUUGAGAUCUUUAAUAAAUAAAUGACAAUGAAUUUAACAGAUCACACCUGUUUAAGAAAUGAAGACUUGGAAACAACUUGUCGUAAAUACAACAGUAAAUCGAUGAAGAUGAGUUUGAAGAGAUCGGUGACACUGCUAUCCUCAGAUUGGAUAUUGGAUUUUCUAGAGGUCUAUAUUCAUUCCGUUUAAAUUGAUCGGCCACAGUCUAUGAAUUGAUAAACCAUAGUCCUUUGCUUGAAUGGACCUGUCACAGUCUUCAAUGGGAUAUGAUAUUGUCAGAUUGUUAUUAGGGUAGAUAUGGUCGGCGUGCUAUAUGGCUGUCAAAGAGAUGACGAGUUUAUUAUAGCAUUAGGUGUGAGCAACUAGAUGUAACAUUAUUUUGGUGUCAUCUCACAUGCCACAUCACCAAUGAUGUUAUAACACCAAAUGGGAAAAUGGUUACCAUGUUGCAUCUUGUUAUAGCACCAACUUUUUUCCAUUUUAUAAUUUUUUAUUAUUUAUUAUUAUUAUUAUUAUUUUAGUUUAAACAAAUAUUUUUUAAGUAUAACAUAAUAAAUAAAUAUAAUGUUUAAAAAUUAUAAAUAACCUAUAUUAAAAACAAAUCUUAAAGAUUAAAAAUAACAUAGAAAUUAAAUUACACAUAACAUCAAAAUUCAAAAAAAAAAAAAAAAAAAAACAAANAACAAAUACAACGCUAUUCGUUAAAAAAAACAUUUUUUUUUUAAAACUAAACGCUAUUCGUUAUCGUUAUUGUUACCAUAGAAGAUAUAAUCCGCCAAGUCCUCUCAAAGUUGUCUGUGUUUAUUUGCGUCCUGAAUGUCAACAAUACGAUGCAAAUAAUCUGUUGUUCCUGGUUGAAACUGAACGUGUCUGAGCUCCGUUGGGAUAUAGUGUGCAAUAUUUCUCCCUUUAUCUUCUACUACUAUGUUAUGCAUUAUGAUACAUGCAUACAUGAUAUAUCGUAGAGUUUUUAAAUCCAAUGGUCAUGCUGCAUGUUAAACUAUAUGCCACUUCGCCUUCAGCACUCCAAAAGCACGUUCCACAUCCUUACAUGCUCCUUCUUGUCUUCUCUUAAAAAAAAUUGUCUCGUUCUUCAACCGGGUGGUGGAAUGCCUUCACGAAUGUGGAAUACUGAUGAUAUAUUCCAUCUGUAAGGUAAUACCCAUAUUUGUAUCUGUUUCCAUUCACCGUGAAAAGAGCAUCCAGGGUCUUUCCAUUCAAAAGAUCGUCUAAUAUUGAUGACUGAUCAAGAACGUUGACGUCGUUGUUAGAACCCGCAACCCCAAAAAAUGCAUGCAAAAUCCAUAAAUCUUGUGAAGCAACAACCUCUAAAACCAACGAAGGUGAUCCGUGAUGAUCACUUGCAUAUUGCCCUUUCCAUGCUACCGAACAAUUUUUCCAUUUCCAAGGUGUGCAAUCAAUGCUUCCGAUCAUUCUGGGAAACCCAUGACGUUCUUCAUGCGCCGCAUACAAUUCUCGCAAAUCAUGCAACGACGGUUUCCACAAAUACACGUCUCCAAAUAUUUCAACAACACCCUUUGACAAUGUAUACAAACUUUCCCUUGUGGUUCUUUCGGACAUUCUCAUAUAGUCGUCCAUGGUGUCGGGUGACUCCCCUGUUGCCAUCAAACGAAUAGCCGCAACACAUUUAUGUAAUGUUGUAAACCCUCGUCUACCUCUAGCAUCAUAUCUCAAUUGAAAAAAUUCAUACCUAAACAUAAAUUAACUACAGUUUAAACAUAUAUUGCAUAUGUUGUAAAAUUAAAGAAACUUGUACUAGAUUUUUAUUUAUUUAGUAUAAAAGUAUAGUAAAGAAGCGAUACCGGCUUUCCAAGGCGUUGGCGAUCCGUAGGAACACAUCCCUACUCAAACAAAAUCUUCUACGCCGUCCCAUCUUCUCCGAUCAUCUUCUACGUCGUCUCAUCUUCUCCGAUAAUGUGUUUUCCAUCAAAAUGGUUUAAUAAUGAGAAAAAGGGAGUGACGUUAGGGUUUUGCAUGGAUGAAACCCUAGACCUUGUCACACUAUAAAAAGGACCCAUAGUCACCAAAAUCUGCACCUACGCAUUCUAAGGAGGAGAUAGCCGAUUUUGUGUGUCAAGAAGCUUCCCUCAAAAAGUCAUCUUUUGUUCAUGGUGUUUGUGAACCAUUUGAGGUGCAACACUUGGGGCACUAAGUUCUUAAAGCCCAAAGUCUUUCUAGAAACACCAAAAUACAUCAAGACUUCAAGCCAGAUAAAAGUUAUGUUACUCUAACUAGCAUUUUGUAUUGUUUAUGUCAAAUUGCAUGCUAGUUAUAGGUUUAAUGCCCUGGAAACCAUUUGCAUGUAUAAUUAGUGAAAACAAAGAUCCAAGGUAUUUAGGGUUGUAUGAGCACCAUAGGAUGUUGUAGUAUACUAAAACCCAUCAUAUUUUUCAUGCAAUUGCCAUGGGAUACCCCCAUGGUCUUUCAUACAAAUGCCCCGGGCUACCCCGAGGUCUUCCAUGCAAGUAUCAAAAAGAUAACUAACAUCCUACAUAGUAUAAUGAGAAUAGUUACCUAUCAGACAAUGAUGAAUUGCUAUAGAUCCUAUUGCCGAGAGUACAGAUGCUAUACACCACCUAUACGGCCAUACAAGGUACACCGUUAGUUUACCUUUCAAAACUAGGGGUUUGACUAAAAGUCAACUUAGGCCUAAAAGUUAACGAUCAAAAUUAACUCGCCACAUCGUGGACCGCAAACGACAAAACAGAUGCGAUUACCCUGAGUUGCCACGCCAUGGUAACCUAGGGCCACACCGUGGGCAUUGGGUUAAAAAUAUCCUAAUGGGUUAAGCCGGAUCCUCCGAUUCCAAAGGUUCUAAAGCUUAGAUUUUGUCAUUUUUAUAGUCUAAAUGGAUAAAUUUUCCAACUUUAUCCCUUAAGACUUUCCAAGAGGUCUAGAUCUCAUGUCUUAGGUCCAAAAAGGCAAAACCAUGGCAUGGGAUCAACCAAGAAGCACUUAAUCCCUUAAGUCCUUAACCAUUCACUCUAGAAGUGCUUAUAACACUAAAAUGAACAUAAAGUUUGGUGCUUUUUAGACAUGCAUGUCCAAUGCAUGUAUUGGACCCAUAUUAUGUAAAAAAUAGGGAUUAUGACAAAAAUCUUAUGUAUGGUUCAAACAACCAACCAACCAAACUUUAGAUCCAAAGCAUGAAUUAUUCCAAAUGAUCCAAAGAUUCUUAAAGUGGAAACCUUUAUGAAAUAUCACAAUCCCAUCGAACAAGUUUUAGAAGAAAAUGAGACAAAAAUCAAGAUCUAGAAACCUAGUAACAAAAAGGUGGAGCCUUGAACACUUAAAAGGGUCUAGAAUCGAGAUAGGAAGGGAGAUGGGGGCUUGCUUGCUGAUCCUUGGCUUAUUCCUUCUUGCUUCUUUCUUUUAAAUUUCCCAAAAGCACUCAAAAAAAGCUUCAAAAUGUAGGAAAAGGAAUUAGGGUUUCUUCAAGGCUUAAGAGAGGUUGAAUCGAUCAUCAGAAGAAGAAUUAGUCCAAAAAUUAGGAUACAUUCUGGGAAAAUCAAACUUCCAUCGAAGAGAAGCAAAUGAAAUGCUUUCAUAAAAAUUCUCAUAGAAUCGAUAAUGAAGUUUACAUUCAGGUGGUGGAGGUUGAGGGUAAGCAAACCCUAGCCUCCUCAUUCCUUUAAAUAUUCUGCAAAACCCAUAAAAUUAGGGUUUAAGGCCUCAGCGACGGUUGUUGCUUAUACCUGCCACGUCGUGGUAAGUCAACAUAGACAUGUGACCAAAAACGCCCCGCCAUGCCGUGGCAUGCCCCCAAAGCCAAAAUUUAAUUUAAAAAAAAUGUACCUCUAAAUUUGGAUGUUACAUAAUGACAUACUGAUCACAUAACAUAAUUGAUCUCAAUGCCUCUAGUCGACAAACUAUUUGUAGUAGGAAUUCUCUCUUUUCACACCCGUCACAUCAAAACGUUGAGUUUAAUAAGCACCCAUGUAUUCAUUCUUAUGGCUACAUGCCUAAUCACCAAACAACGAUCAACAAUAAAAUACCGAGAUGAAGAGACUGUGAACUUGUCUGAAGCAUCAAAGGACCAACCAAGAUAAUCAUGAAAAUGUCCAAUAUGAAUAGAACUAAUCUUUAACACAAUAUCCUUCCAUUUAGACUCCUCUAGCUUCCUUUUAGUAACCGGUGAAGAGAAGAGAUGAAAACGUCUAUAUCCAAUCUAUCAAUAACCAAAAUAUCUUUGACCAUAUCAAGUACAUAAAUAAGAUGAAAAACUAUUGAAAAUCCAUCUACUUAGGUUUUGUUGGUUUAUUUUUGACUAAGUUAAUGACGCUCAAUCAAAAUUUGGCGCCGUUUCUGGGGAGAUUGUGCGGUUGAAUAUUUGUGUUUAAGUAGUUAUUAAAUUUUAAUUUUUUUAACUUUUGUUUUUAGUUCAAAAUCUUCACUCUUUUAUUGUUUUUGUGUAGACAUGUUGGUUUAUACACACGAGUCACAAGGGACAUACAUCCCUUUUGAUAUUUGAUCUUGAGUGGAUAACUAUAGUUAGAUGGAUCAAGAUAUAUGGUGGAAUAACGAAAAUUCAGGCCAAAAUCCUUUCAAUAAUGAUCCAUAUAAUAAUGAUUCAUACGAUUAUCUAUACAAGGAUCUAUAAUAAUGAGUCAUACAAAUAUGUUUCAUACUAUAAUGCAUACGGAAAUUCGGACCAAAACCAACACCAUGAAUCACGUUGUUUUCCAGACGACCAAGAAUCAGACAAAUAUUCAUUCAGAAAGAAGUUGGGUCAAAUUCUCUACAUGUUGAAUGAAACCUUCAACAAAGAGGAGGACAACUCCAAAUAAAUUUUGGGGCUUGACAAAGAACUUGAACAAAUAGAAGAGAAUAUGAAUUAACAACUACCAUACAAUCUUUCAGACACUACACAAGAUAAUGAGGCAACUUUUUCUAUGUAAUGAUAAAUAUUUUGAUAACAAAGUGCAUAAACCUAUGCCACCAAAACUUGAGGUUGUUAUGGAGGAUUAUUUAUCUUUAGAUGAUAAUGAUACCGAAAGGAUAGUUGAAAUCAAAGAAUUUGUAAAUAAAGUGGAAUAGACUAAUGAAGAGUUUCAUGAUUCAGAAGCGCCCAAAGUUGGUGAGGGAUACGUGGAGGCUAAUACCACCCCUUACCUAACAACCUUGAAAAAACAUGAACCACAACUUAUUGAUGUGAUGGCAAAAAAAUAUACAAAUACAAAUAGCCACAUGUAAUCAUUGAUUGUCUCUUUUUGACAAGUAUCUAUACUCAGAUUAGUUGUCGAGAAGGUGUAAUAGAUGUGACAUUUGGAGAUUAGAAAUUAAGAUUGCUUUUAUUUGGACCUAUUAAUGAUACUCUAAUUAGUGGUGACAUGUUUGUAAUCAAUACUAUUGACGAUUAUGUCUAUGAGCAUACCCAAAUAUUCUCUCCGACACCACUUACAAUUUAAAGAAACUUUUAUCAUGCAACAUGUGCUCAUAAAAAUAAAAAAUGAAAGUUUUAUAUGAUAUCAAGCAUCGAUUAAAGAAUUUACUAGAUGGAAAGAUGCAUGAGACUUCAAAUUCGAGUUUAAACGUUUUCAUGGGAGACUUAAAGGUAAAAGCUUAGUAUUUCAAAAGAUCAAAAAGUCAACUAAUAGAUGAUCCGCCAUGGACCAACACCUAAGCACUGUCCUACGGAUGGCAUUAAACUUCACAAUUUUUGAAGUUUGUGGGCAUGUUCACUACAAAUUCUCACGAGACUUCACACGUCAACUAGGGGUAGCCUAGGGAUUUAAAAGGUUCGUUGCACAUGCUAAGUAAUUCUUCUUACGAUGGCAAGAAUAGUCACGCUAGCUUAAUUCACACAUGCUCUGUAGCAAAAUCCAACAACAAUUUUCAAAAUUUCAAAAUAUUAUCGAUAAUGUGUUGCUAGUUCUCUAAAAUAAUAUUUAUAAAAAACUCUAAAAUUUUACAUACUGAUUACGUACAGAGCAUAAAAUUAUUACAACUCAUCGGUAAGUUAUCAACGACGCAACAACUGGAUAAAGAAGAAAUGUUCUGGUGACGAAGAACAAUAUCUGGAAGAGGGGUUCAAGAAAGAUGUUGUGUGGGAGUGUAAAUGUAAUAAAGCAUCAUGUCCAGGUGGAUUUACCUUUGAGUUCAUUUGAAAAUUUGGAACUUUAUUGGAAAUGAGAUCAUUGACAUAGUUAGGGAUUCAGUUAUAAUGAAAGAGUCCCCAUCGCUUGUAAGCAUCAUUCUUUACUCUCAUCCCGAAAGUUAAAGAAUCGAUUUUCAUUAAUGACUACCAUAUUAUUAGUCUAAUUGGUUGUAUUUAUAAGAUUAUAGUGUAGGUUCUAGGUAACCAUGUAAAGAUGGUGAUGUGGUGAGUUAUUUCUGAGUCCUAAAUGAAUUUCAUCAAAUGAGAGAUUAAUCACGGAGGAUCCACUUAUUGUCAAAAAAAUUAAUCACCCGGACCAACAAUACUAAAAAAAUCUCAUGCUCUUUAAAACUGAUUUCCAAAAAGCUUGAUUCCAUAUCUUGGUCUUAUCUUGAACCUAUUCUCCGAAAAUAGGCUUUGGGUUUAAACAAAUAUCUUGGAUUAGAGUUGUCUUUAGUGUUCUUUGGCUUUUGUUCUCAUUAAUGGAUCUUAUACCGACUAGUUUAAAUAGAAGAUAUGCCUGAGACAAGGCAACUCGUUAUCCCAUUUCUCUUUUCAAUAACCAUGGAAGGAUUGAAUUUUUGAUUAAAGAAUGCAAAAGAUAAUGGUUUAAAUAAUGGUUUCAAAGAUAAGAACCACGAAUGUGAUGUGUCUCACCUUUACUUAACGGACGACUCAAUGUUUGUUUGAAAUUAGGACAUAAACAAUACAGAAAACAUUAUCCAUGUGUUAAUAUACUUUCACUUAGCCGCAUGUCUUCAAAUAAACCUAAAUAAAAGUAAACUUCUUGAAAUGAGGUGAUACUUCAGGAAAUUGAGUAUAUGGCAAACGCCAUUCAUGUAAACAUGAUAAGUUGUCGCAUAUAUAUUGGUUUCCAAUUGGGGACACUUUGUCUAGAAUUGAAAGAUAUAUUGAUAUAUAAAUUUAAAAUUAAACUCUCAAUGUGGAAAAUCAAAGUAUUGUCAUUUGAUGGAUGGUUUACUUGAAUUAAAUUCUUUCUUGGAACUCUAAGUAUAUAUUAUUUCUCUUCGUUUAGAGCCUAAAAACGGUUAUUAAGGUUCUUGAACAUCUAAGAAUAUAUUUCUUUUGUGGUGUGUAAAGAGAAAAUGGGUUAAAUGGAAGGUUGAUAUUAGACAAAAAUGAAGGGAAGUUGAACAUAAGAGGCCAACUUAGAGCUGACUGGAAUCUCCUUGCCAAAUGGAGGUGGAUGCACCUUACCAAACAAUACUACAAAUAAUUCUCGAUAAUAAAAGCAAGCUAUGGUUAAGAAGGAGGUUUUUUCGUGUAAUAACUAUUCUUGACAAAACUCCUAGUGGAAAGUAUUAUCACUUCUCUUAAUGAUCUAAGUUCAAUGGGAGUAAAUAUUGAAUCCCACAUUAGGAAAAUGGAAAACAAUUUACAUAUGCGUUUUAAGUAUGAUUGUUGGGUGGGCCAACCGCCUCUUUUAUAGAGAUUCCCACACAUAUUUUCCCUUUAUAGUUGGCAUAUUUCUCGGGGGUCAGAAAGAAAUAAUCAAUAUGGAUACUCGCGAGACAUAUAAGAACGAUCAAAACUAGGACAUAAAAUAUGGAGCAUCAACAACUUUAUUUUUGUUAAGAAAUGUUCUUUUGCUCAUUUAAACAUAUAGGUGGGGAUGAAUCUUGUUUAGCUGUUUUCAUUUCUCGAUAAAAUCUCUAAAAAAGGCAAUUGAUCCUGCUUAUCUUCAAGUCACAAGUUUGAUUACUCACUAGAAUUCCUUUCUACACAUAAGAUCAGUAUUUUCCUUAGAGAUUAGCUUACUAUGGCAUUAAUAUGAGAAGUAGUUUGGACCGCAGGGGGGCGAUGUUCCAACCUUUUUAUGUCUAAUUUGUAGUUUAGAGCAAGAAUUCAUUCAACAUUUGUUCCAAGCAUGUCAUAUAUCCCAUCACUUAACAUAUAUACUUGCCUUAGGGGAAAUUACAUAAAUUCUGUACAACGUUUCUAGGGUUGGUCGAUUCAGUCCUUAAAAUUAUUUUGUUGCUUUAUAGAGGCAUAAAGUCGAGAGCAACCUGCCUUUUUAGUCAUUGUGAAUUGUUUUAGCAGUGCCACAUCUGCAAGAUUUGCCCCAUCAACCAUGACACGUGGGUUCUCUGGGUAGGACCAAUUCCAAUGUAUUUGUUUCUUCAAUGUUCAAAACUGUAAGAACACAAGUGGACUUUGGUAAUCCCUUCCGACCACGAUCCAAAUCCACACAAAAUGAAACCAAAUUUCAACUUCAAAGCUUUCAUUUACCAUGUACUUACUUCUCCUUCAACUAACUAAUCAUUGUGUAUAUAUACGCAUGUUUGUGUGUAUAUCUCCAUCCACCUUGAUCUUUCCAUUCUCAUUCAUCGGAAAACAUACUACUUUCCAGCCACCAUUGCUGCCAAUAACAUCGACAACAACAACAACAACUAAGAUGUUGCUAUCUCCUUCCUGUUACUAUUUUGUCUCUCGAUCUAUUUCCGAUUUUUUUAUCUGCUUCAAAAUUACACAAACACACAUAGACCAUUAAGAGACACGUUGACCUCUUUUCUUCAUCUUUUUUUCCUGGUUUGACAUCACCAUGAUCACACACAUACACAUCGUUUGUAAGUGUGGUUUGUUAUUACAAAAAUAUAUAUUCAACAAAACCAAUAGAACUAAAACAAACGGAAUUCAAAUAUAUGUAAUAUACAUAUUACAGAAAACAUACUUGAAUGUUGGCUAUAUAGAAAAUAUAAUUUCGAAAUUGUACAGAGGCUUGGUUUUGUAGUGUCCUAAGAUAGAAAUUUCCCUGGAAUGAGUCUGUCUUGAGGAUACAACAACCAAUUCAAGAACAAAUAUUGAAUCUGUCGAAAUUCACCAUGAUCCCUUGAUACCAAGAAUGAUUUUUGAGAGAAAGUUUUUUUGUGUUUAUUAGCCCUUAAAUUUUGCCUGAAAUCCUUCAUUUAUAGGCUUGCCAUUAUGGUUGUAAACCACCAACCGAAUUUAACUGCUAAAAACUGACUGUAGUUAAUCCUUUCUUUAACAGAAUUUGUUUUGUAAUAUAUAAAUAAAAAUUAAUUAAUGACUAAUUAAUUGCGGAUUAUUUAUAAAAAAAAUAUUAUUUAGUCAAACACCACAACCCAAUUUGACUAGUCCAACACCACAACACAAACACAAUUUUCUUAACCCAUUACUUGAUCCAUUUUAAUAAAUGAGUGGGACAAACCUUAUAAGGUGGGAAAAUGUUUUCUCUUCCACCAAUAUGGGAUAAGUCCUACAUUGUAAUUUUUAGAGCAAUGUUCCAACAUGUUUCCCGUUUUUGUUUUGUGAACACAGAAAAAGAAGCACACACGCUGGACUGCGAGCAAAGAGAGAUAACCGGGAGAGAGGGAGAAGCAACAAAAAAGGAUAUGCUGGAGAUAAAUGAGAAAUGAUGACUACAUGUGGCUAUGAUUGAAUCCCUUGGCCUGAUUUUAUGAUUAGAAAAAAUCUGAACCUCUAAUUUCUUCAUUCACAUCAGAUUUGAAGCUAAAACUUCAAGCCCUAGAAUUGGUACUUCUUUGAAAGUAAAGUUUCUGAUGCUUGAGUCUGAUGCAAUCGGUGGAUUUGCUUCCCAAUAAUUCUCUUUUACAUUCACUUGGUAGGAGUCUUAAUCAAACAAAAAUGGAUGAAAUUUUGAUCUCUCGAAUUAACUGUGAAGUGGUGGUCAGAGAAACCUGUGGAGUGAAACAAAUUUAGAAAGAAAGUGAGAGACAGGUGGACAAGAAAUGAGUUGGCAUAAGGGAGUAACCGGUUUACCCCUUCGAUUUUUCCAAAAGGGCCAAAUCGACCCCAUAAAAACGAAGUUUAUACCUUCAUAAAUCACAAAAAAAUAUUUUUAGGACUAAAUUGACCAACCCUAAAAACUUCAUAAGACAUUUGUGUCCUUUCCCUUAUUGCUUUAUGGUGGUCUUGUAAGUUUGUCCCUAACUCAUUUCAGGUGCUUGUUGGUAGUAUUCAAGGGUCUAACUUUGCAAAGAAGGUGUUGGAUGCAAUCAUUCGAUGUUAUUUAUGGCAAAUUUGGUUCUUUAGAAACAAAACAAUAUUCUCUACUAAUAAACCUAAAACAGGAGAACUGUUCGAUUGUGUCCUUUCUCAGUCUUUUUUGGAUUCAGGAUAGAAACAUGUGACUUUAGUUUGGGUUAAAAGCUUACUAUCUGUGAUGUCUAGCUAGCUUCUUGCUAAAGUUGUGUUUUUAAUAAUGGAUUAUAUUGUUAUUCAAAACAAUAAGUGAAUGAUAAUUGACUGAAAUAUACCUAUCCCUAAACCGUUACAAUAUCUAAAAAAUUAAUUAGGGCCUUACACCAACACCUUCAGUCAUGGUUACUGAAGAAGACAAACUCUUUCAAUGGUGAGAGCCGAUAGUUUCUCAAGUUCUAUACAUAUUGAUUCACUAUAUACGCUUCCCGUUGAGUAUUUAUUUUAUACCGAAGUAAAUUGUAAUAUAUAUGUCUUAAUAAAAAUGGAUGAAGUUUUGGUCGUAAAAUUGGCUAAAUUUAGAUUAUGAUAUUAUUUUGGUCAAAAUGGUUUUAUAUAUGAUAUAUCUAUAUAAAAGUUGACAUAAAAUACGUUAUUAUUACAUACAUCCAACUAUAUACAAUUUAGAGACUUGUCUUUCAUAUACAUUCGUAUACUACAUUAUUAAAAUGUACAAAGAAUUCUUGUGCUUUUUCUCGGGUGCAUUCUGAAAAUUGAUAUAUAUUAGAUGAUGAACUUUUGUUUUGAUGUUCGAAGAAUCUAGGACUGCAAAUCUAAUUUGUUUGUUGUUAAUUAAUGAGUAUGAUUGGGUCGACAAACAAGAGAAAAUUUUGUGUUUAUUAUCCAUGGUAUAGCUUAUACAUCAACGGUUCUUGUACAUGUAAGGAACAAGAACAAAGCUCAGGUUAAAACUCAUGAUACGCCAAGAAGCACAAUAGACAACCAAAAAAUGAGAAGUACUCGCAUUAGAUGUCACAAAUCUAAGUGCAUGAAACGUCGUCGAAUUGAAGGGGAUUAUGCUUCUGAUGUGGAUCGAAAAUUUCCCAGAAGCAACCACCAAAAGCAGCUGAUUAAUUGUAUCAGACACAUGUCGUAGGUGGUACUUUUUGAAUCCCUUGCCUUUGUAGCUCCACCAUUACACUAUCAAGUGCCGGUGGUUUUAAUCCAAGUGGAAGAGGCUGCCAUGGCUUCAUUAAUAUGUCCCCAAUUGCUGCAUCAAUGCUCUCCUUGGACUUUUGCACAAAUUGGAACAACGAUUAGCAAGUUGCUUUUGCAUAUAUUUUUAAAUUAUUCAUGGAUUAUAUGUAUACACAUAUAAAUAUAUGUUCGUAAACUACCCAGACCAUCCAAGGGACUAUACCUCAGUUGCAAUUCUAGCUAAUCCAUACAUUACGAUGAUAUAUGCCUAUAUGUAAGAUAAAGUAUGUACGUGCAUUCACUAUUUCGUAGCAUUUUAUAUAAGAACCAAAACAAUAAAAUUCAUGGAUCUGGACCAUCAACUUUAGUUUUGACGCAACGCGUAAAAAUAGUAGAUUUAAAUCAUAUCAUGGUGCAUGGUAUGUUAGCUGUGAGGGUCAUUUUCGUCAUUUACUCUCUUUCUUAAUUAUCUAAAACCUCUUUUCAUAUAAUCUUUAUACAGAUACGCAUAUACGUAUACGUAUGCGUACAAUUACAUGCAACAUCUGAAUGUAUGUAGGACGUUUUGUAAAAUGUUAUAUAGGUACUUACUGGAUGUAGGUCUAACGGUGGUUGGGGGCAAGAUUGUCCAGUGCGAGGAGUGGUGACACCAAUGCCGGAGUCUAUUUUGUACAUGGCAUGGGGUGGCGGGAUACCUGAGACUGGUACAUGUGGGGUUUGAAAUCUCUGAAAAUUCAUAACAUAAAAACGUAAAUAAACAAAGAAUUUUAUAAUUUACGUAGGUUGCAAAUUAAGAAUAUAAUUAUACCAACUUACCGUUUGUGGUAACAUUUGUGGGAAGUAUGGCGCCUGCAGAAAUGAAAAGUACACGACUUAGACGGAUAGAGAAAACAUGUAGAGAGAAAGACAUGCAGAUAAAUGGAAAUAAAUUAAACUCACUCUCUGGUGAUGAUGAUGCCAAGAUGGUGAAGGAGAUGGCGAUGGUGGCCAGACAUGUGGUGCUGGUGGUGGUGGAGAUGGGGCGAUAUGCUUUGGCCAUACAGGCAUUAGAGGUCGAUCCAUGGAGGGAUGACCCCAUACGUGUAAGGGUCUAUAAUGAGGCAAUGGUGUCAUCGGAGGAAACCCCAUGGUUGCUGGUGCAACCCAAGGUCCCAUGUCCCUCUUGCUUCCUCCUCCUCCUCCUCCUACGGCGGUGGUGCCACCAUACAUUUGACGUCGCUGGCUCCAACUUGCCGCCUCAGCUUCUCUUGCCAGCAGAUGUUUUCGGUGAGACCUAUAUUUCUGCAUGCAACAAAUUUCACAUACCUCAAAAAUUAAACAUCUGUCAACGGAAAUUAAUUAUGAUAUCUUAUAAUAUUAUACGAUACUUUAAAAAACUAAAGGCGAUAUCUUAUAUUCAAAAAUUUUGAAAGAUGGUGUAAUAAGAAACAAAAUGGCAGGAAUGGCAGGAAACUUCAUGUUCUACGAAUUUGGUAACUAAAGCCAAAGGUAAACAAACAAAACAUUGAAUUGAAUGCCACGUCUCUGUCGUUGUUUCUUUGUGAUAAAAAAGUUGUCUUUUUAGGGUACAAACUACUUUAUAUCAAUCAUUUGACUGCAUAGUCCUAAUUUUCUUUAUGAAACUUUGCAUCAUUGCACGAUAAGCUUGCAUGUGAACAAUUUUAGCCAUAUUCAUUUUGUGGAAUGAUGUGAUCUUUCAUACUUUUAAUCCAAUUAAUUUAAGUAGUUUAAUUGUUUACCACAUUUGCAUUUGAAGGAUACGAUUUAGCAGUGAUAGGUAAAGAUUUAAAUUAUAUCGAUACAUUUGUUUUCAGCUAUAUACACAAAUACAAUAUAUAUGGUAUUUAACUAUUUAUAUAUUCAUAAUUAAUAAUCACCUCAGUUAAAGUAAUACGUACAUCUGUCGAAAUUUAAUGAGUAUAAUUACUAAUCUUAGCAUGCUUGUCACUGGUAUAAGUGGUUCUUCGUUUGUCGGGGAUCGAUAUUAGUUGAUUCUCAAAAGAUAGUCAAUAAUAAUGUAUUGAUAAGAUUUUGAGAGAAUAUAUAUAAAAUUAUCAGAUUAAAUAGUUAAACUGUGCCACUGAAAGACUGAAAAUACUAUAACAUUUUGGUUUAGUUUUACUAAUUUCAAUCGUAUGAUGCUGAGAUAGUCAACGUUAUAUCGUAUUAUAUAUGAUCGGGAGUUGUAAAUACCAUCAAUUGCCUACAGUAGAAAUACUCGCUAAAAUUAUCGAUUACACGAGUAAUGUUAUAUUGUUAUAGCCUCCAAUAAAAAAAUCACCACAUUCGUACAUAACGGUUUAUUAAAUAAAAAACUAACUACGAAUGAUAAAAAAGAAGUAUUUAAAGAGUAAUUGAGUUAAUUAAUAUCAUUCGUAACAUUGGUUAAUAUGUAUAUAUAUACCUGAAGAUGGCUAGCAAUGUUAUGACGAGUGAGACAGCCGAUGCCCAUAAUCUCAAGAAUUCUUGAAGGAACCGCCUUAUCCACCCCCAACUGCUCCACCGCUUGCACGAAUCUCCGGUGUAGCUCCGGCGUCCAGUCAACCUAUACACCAUCCAUACGUAUUACUUACAUGUAACGCUAGCUGAUAAGUUUAUUAAGUUUUUCGAGAAAUAACCAUUUAAUGAAAUGGAGCCGAGAUGGCACUAAAUAGUCCAGCUAAUGAGACUCAAGUUAUAUAAGUUGAGUAAUAGUUUGGAUUUAUGGAUAUGUAUCCAGUAUGGCCAUUGGGAUCUGUGAAUUGGCCAUAGAUUUUCCUUGAGAUGAUACCCGUGAAGAGAGUUAAUUGGCAACCCGUGAAACUAAUACUUAAAAGUUUUUUAUUCGGUUUGGUAGUUUUCGUGGGUUCUAAAUAAGUAAAGUUGAUUGGAAUACCUUCAUAUUAUAAUCAUAUAAGAAUAUAUAUAUAUAUAUAGAUUUUAGAUUGGAACUAGUUACUAUUUCUACUAACCUCAACAUUUUUUUGUAUACUAAUAUAUUUUCUGUUUGAAACCCUAAUCUCAAGAAGUCUUUAUUUAAUCGUAUCGCUCUAUCUUUUAAUAUAUUCGUUAUUUAGCUGUUUAAAUAUAGAAAAAACCGUGAUUAUAGUUCAUGAAUUUAAUACUGCUUGUACCCUAACCCUAACAUUAAUAGUUUUUUUUGAGGCAUAACUAUGCAAGCAGGUGUUUUUGUUUACCUUCACUUUCCUCUUUCCUUGACAAGAGUUCUUGGAUUUGUCGGAUGAAGAUUUCCGUCCUCUAUCGGCAUCUUUUUCUUUAUGAGCUGGGUUCGUAGCUCCACCUUCAUUUCUUCGAUCUCUUUUGCUCACAACUUCUUCUUUUCUUGAUAUCAAAUCCUCAGCUUUCUGAUCACUGGAGGAGAAGGAAUUCAUACUGUUGUUAUUAAACUGAUCAGAUGAAUCUUCUCCGCCACUAAGAGAGAAUUCUCCGGCCAUGAGUUCUGGGUCCAUUUCCAAAUCAGGCAGCAUGUCCCGAUCAUCCAUCCCCACAAAUAGAUCAUCAAAAUCAAUACUCUCCAGCAAAUUAUCAUCUGAGAAGUCAGGGAAGUCAUCGCCAACAGAAAACCCGACCAUCUCACCUCCAAGAUCUCUCCCAUCUCUGCCGGUGUUGUUUUCUAGUGGUGACACAACAGCUAACAUUACAACACCGUUAAACUGAUGAGACUGUGUAUUAUACAAACACACAAAAUCACACUAUAGUGGUGCAGUACGUGUCUAUAGGAUGAUUAUUAUUUGCAUGAAAAGGGCAUUCCGGGAAAGAAUUAAAGCAGAGUUUGAAUUCUCCGAUUGAAGGCAAAAGAGACAACUUGAGAUAAAUAAUGGGAUUGAUAUGAAUUGUUUGUUUAUUGCAGUGUGAGGGAGUGGUGAGGUUGGAUCUCAACCACAACAAAUUUGAGUUGAGUCAUUGUGGAGGGGUCUUGUUUCUUUGUAUUCAUGUAUAUGUUUUUGGAUUUUUUUUCUUAUUAUAUCAUAUCUCUAUACAGACAUAUAUAGUAGUAAAAUAUAAUGCAGAGGGUGUGUGGUUUGUGGGUGUGGUUUUUUGGGGAGCUUCAAGAAAUAUUUGCGCAAUAUGCAUAUAGGUGCACUCGUGAGUUGUUUUAAUAUUUUCUUCGACUUUUAUAUAUAUAUAUAUAUAUAUANNNNNNNNNNNNNNNNNNNNNNNNNNNNNNNNNNNNNNNNNNNNNNNNNNNNNNNNNNNNNNNNNNNNNNAGUUAAUGAGAUUAAAUUUUUUUAAUGAAAUAUUUUAAUAUUUUGUUCAUAAAAAUAGAAUAUUCAAUAUAUUCUAAUAUAUAUGUUUUAGAAUAUUUUAAUAUAAAAUAUGUUAUUGUUUUAGAGUAUUAGAAUAUUACAUAUAUUUAAUUUUUAUGAACAUUAGAAUAUUAAAAUAUUUUACUGGAAAAACAUGAUCUUACGGUCUCACAAAAUUAGACCGUCUCAAAUGAACUUAUCCCUAUAUAUUGUUAACGUAUCCCUCAGGGAGAACGUCAAAAAAAAGAGAAGUCAAACUAACAUCGGGCUUGGCCUGGUGAGAACUUUGUUUCCUAUAAAUAGCAUUUCUACCUCGCAACUUUGCAAAUCAAAACUUUGUUUCCUAUAAAUAGCAUUUCUAUCUCGCAACACCUAUCAUAAUGAUUAUGCUCCCACUAGCCCAAUAAUUAUGUCCUUACUAGCAUAACACUUAUGCUCCCACUAGCUUUGACAUGUACCCAAAAAUCAGUUAGAUUUCUAGAAAUCAAUACUUAUUGACUUUCUUACCAAAGUUCAUAUUUCUGAUACAAGAUGCUUCGAUAAUACUUUUAUCUAGGCUUCACAAACUCAUACACCUUUCCUUAGAUAGCUCAAAUGUAUGUCUAAACUAUUUCAGAACUUACAACAGUAAGUCCCGAAUGUUCAGACUAUUUGCCCUUUCUCAUAAUUCGAACUAUGAAGAGGGAUGUCGUAAUCAUAAUCGAAUUUGAGAACGCAAUUAGCACAACUGCUAACUCCUUAAAAUCCACUUAGUGAAAGCGUUUUCUCACAAUCAUUUUCAUGAAUUGGAGAGAAACCUUUUGCCACUCAGAUUUUAUGGUAUAUGUAUUCCUAUCCAUGUGAAUUUGUCAUAACAGUAAUCACAAGACAAGGUUUGUGAUAAAUCUAAACUCAUAUGGACUGAACUUGUUCAAUCUUAAUUUCUUGGCACUUCGUAGUAUAGGGCCUACCAUAUAUAGCUUCCAGGUUGUUGAACAGCUCACCUAUACUGGUCAAUGAACUUUCAUAGAUCAAGGUGCCUUUCCUUAUGCAAACAAUUGAGAACUCUUAGAAUUCACAUGCAUAGUCAACUUUAACUGGAAUGACACAGAAACAAGAAUUUGUCAACACGAUAGGUUACAACCCUCAAGUCGUGUGCUAGUGUUGAACAAAAGGUUUAUACUUGAUUAUUUCUUGAAACUUUCAAAGACCUUUAAGAAUCCCACUGACCUCUUGACAUAUAAGAUUCUCUGUCGAGAAAUGUUCCUCGACAAACAAAUAUUCAAGUGUUUGUACGGAUUCUUAUCAAGAAAACACUUCAUAUAAUUGGUCUUAGUUGGUCUUUGUCUUAUCCAAGACAUCACAACUACCAAUUUCAAAUGUGCAAGAGUAAGAAACAUUUCUACUCCACAUUUCAUGAGGUCUUAUAAACUUUCUUAAAGAUGUGUCACUCAAGGCAUAAUCUUGGAGUUCGAAUCUAAGACUUAAUUUUGGAACGAUGUAUGAUUCAGCUUUUGAUUUAACCAUUUCAACAAUUUCCCGAUACCUCUUCUUGGUCAUAUAAAUGCACCUAGGUGUCCUUAGAGGAUCAAUUGUGACACAGUUUCAUAAUCACUAAGACGAACAUAAAACACGAUACUUAAGUAUUCUCAUUUCUUUUCAGAUUUGAGAAACUUUUAUCUUUAUGCCUAAAUGAUUAUUCUUAUUCGUUCUGUCAUACAUUGAAACUUUUCAAAUGAUUCAGAAUUACACUUAAUCUUAUAAGUAUAACCAUGUUUCCUAAACUUUUAGUAAAUCACGACGAAUUGUCUUAUCGUUCUUUGUGGCGGACUUGACCAGUGCACAUCAAUGUGUACCAGAUCUUACAGUCCUUCACUUGACUCACAUACAUAUGCGAACAAGGAAUUAGUCCCAAUUUUCCCAAGUACCAAGAUUUUCAUACAUCAUAUAAUUCAAAUCACAUGAUUCCAAUUUUCUGUCCAAUUGAAACUUGGGCGAUGAGAAUCUUUCCUUACUAACAAAAUUACGACACUAAUAUAAUCAAUUUAACUAAGAAUCAAACAUUUUCUACAUUGCUAUUAAUAGAAACAUAUAAACAACAAUUUUCAUAAAUUCCAUUGCAAGGAAACAUAAAAUAAGAUAAAAUCAAAUUUUUAUUUAUUUAUUAAGUUGCGGAAAAACAUGUCCUUACAAUGCAAAUACUUAUGAAAACUAUGUAACUAAUAUUCCUAAGCAAUCUAUCAUAACUCCUAAGUAGCUCAAAAAAUCCGGUCAUCAAACAAUGCGAUCGAAAUCCAUCUCUUCGCGACCAGACUCAACUUACUCUUCCUUUAGGCGUUGUUUCUUUUCUUCUAUCCUAAAAAAACAUCAAAAUGCAAUCUUAUCACAUCAUGUAUUAAGAAUCUAUAAAUAGGAACUUAAUAGAGUUAGAUAGUGAGCUUACCUGAAGUAGAGUCAUACAUUUUGACUUUAUCAUCCUUGCGAUCCUUUAGGUAGAUACAGCAGCUUCGCAUCCAAUGCCCCUUCUCUUGGAAAUAGAAAAAACAGACUCAUUCAGAAUGGUGCAUGGGACUAUCUUAGACUCCUCCUUUCUCUUUACCAUUUGGUCAAACGGUUUGACCAUGACCGAUACCUUUCCAUUGGGAAGAGAAUACUUUUUUGGACUUCCAAUGUUUCCAUUGUCAAUGUUGAUGGAAGUUCGGGAAGUUGAUCUUCCAAUCAAAUUUCCUUUACAAGUAUGCCAAAUCAUUGUUGAUUUAGUAGCAAUAAGCAAAUAGGUUAGAUCAAUAAGGGUCACGUCGUGAUCUGCCAUAUAGUAGUCCUUAACGAACUGACUAUACGAAUCGGGAAGUGACUGAAGAACCAAGUCAACAACCAACUUCCUCGGGAAAACGACACCCAACAUCCCUAGUCUAUCAAUGUGCGACUUCAACUCCAAGACGUGUGCACUUACAGACCUUUCAUCUUGGUGUUUGCUUGCCAAUAGGGCUUGAGUGACCUUGAACUUUUCAAGUAGAUGAACACGUAGGUCGGGGAGAACUAUUGGAGGAGGUGGAGGAAGUGAAGAAGGAUUUCCAUUUCCAUGAUCCAAUCGUGGAACAUCAUCUUCAUGUGGAAAGCUUUUUCCAAAAGAUUCGGGAAGACCAUAGUUGUUAGAAUCAGACAUAUACAAAACGGGAGAAAAUUCAAGUUAGUUGAUUAAAUCCUUAAUAUAUCACCUAAAUGAAAUAUCAAGGCUAGGACCCAACACAAUAAUUUACAAUUCGGAAGAGGGAUGUCGUAAUCCAAUUGCAAACUAUUUGUUGGUAGGUAAGUGACGAUUUACCAAUUCCACCACGAAAAAAGAAAAAGAAUAUUAAGUUUUAGAUGAAUUGAAAGUCCUAGAUCUUUUGAGAUUUAUUGAACUUUUCAAUGGCAUGUUUAAUCUCGAUUAUGCCCUUCAAGUUUGUGACUAGGAUACCGAUGAUCACAAAUAAGGUGUGAAUAACCAUGCAAAUUAGCUUGAUACUCUCAAAGACAUUUAUCACCUAAUCAAUGUGGCGGUUAACCACAUACGCUCUAUUGAUCUAUUAUAAUCUACGAGCUACCCAUUUCCAUCCUACAUUAGUCCCAUAUUAGUGUGCCGGUUAACCACACACGCUCCACUAACGACCAAUAAGGUGCAAUGUGAAAUUUCAUAGAUUAGCAUCAAAUUCACAUUUUUCCUAAAGUAACGAAGAUUUGGGAAUUUAUAAUAGUGUUUAGUCACUUCGUAUUUCACUAUACUUAUAAUGGAAUUUUGUGUCUUAUCCUACCCGUUCGGCUAACGACCCUCCACUAGUCAAGAGUGUGGUGGGUAAGAUUGGAUACCCAAUGGCGGUUAUUUUACAGGUCGCUUCCUUAAACACCCCUUAUAGACUAGCUUAAUGAAUUAGCCUACUAACGGUAAGGCUUACUUUUACUUAUACAUAUAUAAUAUAUUAAACUUUUAAUUUUAUAUAGUAUAAAGGUGUAUUUUACACAUUUAAAAUACUAUGUGGUUUAAUCUAUUAAUAAAUUAGACUUUUAAUUUAAUUAAUUUUAAACCAUGUCAUUAUGGAUUUAUUAAUUCUGUCUUUUAGUUAAACACUUAAUUAAUUUAAUAAAACCAUAAGGGUGUAAUUUGAACUAUUCAAAAUACUUGGGUUUUAGAAUUUAAUAUUUCAAAAUUAAAACUUUUAAUUAAAUUUAAAUUCCAAAACUUGAGGGCAAAUUUUGAAACUUUUUCAAUUCCUUUUAGAUCAAAUUUGAAAACAUUUAAAUCAAUCAUAAUUCAAAUCAAAUUUGACCUAAUCCAAUAUUAUAUGGUAAGAUAAUUCAAAUCAAAUUCUACAAAUAAUUAAUUUAUCAUAUAACUAUGUAAUUAUCUUAAAAUUGAUAAUUAUCUUGCAAUUAGAUGAGGAUAAUCAUUACCAUAUUAUAAAAUUUGAAUUUUAACAGUUAAAACAACUUAUGGUGAUUAUCCUAGUCUAAUUUUAGCCAAAAAUCAGAAAAAUAUGCCAUCAGUACCAAGUUCACGUCGUGAGGACCCACCACCUCGUGGUGAUCAGGAAGAAAGCAAAAACGAAAAUUUUCUAGCUUUGAACAAUUCAUAUUAGUAUCACAUAUAACAGAAAAAACAACUUAGGCUCUGAUACCACUGAUGGGUUUUGAGCAUAACAUCAUUCCUAUGGUGUACAUGCAACCCUAAUUGCUUUGGAUCUAGGUUUUUCUCAAGUUAUACAUUCAAAUAAUCAUCCAAAGAAUAAACCCUAAUAUUAGCAUACAUAAUUUCGAAAUCCAUAUGUAAAAUAGGGUUUGGAACAUUACCUCACUUGUAAUGUAGCAAUACCAAGAACUCAUUGACCUUUGAAAGUUUAGUGUCCCAAGUGUUGCACAUCUAAUGGAGUCACAAACACUCAAUCCAAAGGAAGACUUGGAGAGAUGAGAUUUUCGGCCACUUUAGGGUUUCAUAAAGCACGGGACAAAAAUCCUUAAUAUUGGGGUCUAUUUACUUGUGGCUGCUAGGGAUUUAGGUGGAAAUCGUAAUAUGACUGCUUAGGUGUUAAGAAGCCCAUGGACACCUUCUAGAAUACCCCUUGGAUGAAUUCUUUAUGGGCUUCCCAUAGAAUUCGUCCAACCUUAUUCUAAGGCGAUCCAUCAGCCCUAUUGCAACUAUCAGUGAUUUGCAAUAUCAGUCCCGAAUUAUUUAAUCAAUCUCUUUUGACCACUAAAUUAAUUCCAAAUUAAUUUCUGAUCAAUACUACAUAAAUAAUAUGAUUUUCAAAUAAUAUAUUAAUAAAACCAUUUUGAGUACCAAUUUAUUAUUCAUAUAACAAAUGCUACUCUCUCUCUCUCUCUCUUUCUCUCUCUCUUUCUCUCUCUCUCUCUCUCUCUCUCUCUCUCUCUUUUUCUCUCCACUUGUCAUCCUAUCAAGUUGCAUGAGUGAAGGCAACCCAAGAGGACCAUGCUCAUAAUCAAAUCAAGUACAUACCAAAAUAGUUAUGAGCUUAGACACCUAAUCCAACAGGUGCAAGAUUGAGCACCGCCUACAGUCAAGAAGUCCAAGAGUUAGAUACUCAUUCGAAGGAACAUAGAAGUUAUAGUUAUUACCUAGGGUGAAGAGAUAACGUAUGGAGUCAUUAUAGACGCCAUGCUUUGUUCAUGAUUUCGGGACGUAAUCAUCCUAAGGGGGAGAUAAUUUAAACGCCCGCAGAUUCGGGCUAGUCAAUUUAGAGACAAUAAGUGUCAAAAAUUACUUUUAGAUAGAAGAGUAUUUAGAAUAAAUGAUCUUAACUAAGUUAUAUUAUAUGUCACACGCGUUUAGUACAUAUAAAGAACGCUGAAAUCCGAGUUAUAUUGAAGAAGUUAUGACCUGUCGAAGUUUUACGGCAAAACCGACACGACACCGAGAAUCUUAAAAAGCGAGUUUGCGAUAAAAUAGUUUUUAUCCUUAGCGGUCUAAAAAAAAUUGUAGUAAUAUGUUAAAUUGAGAAUGAGCAUAAAAAGAACAUUCAAAUCUAACUUUGUAUGAGGAAGUUAUCAUUUUUUUUAAGAUUUAGCAGAACAGUGCACAUCCCAUAAUUCAAAUUUUAGAUCGAUCAAUUUUUAUCCGACGCAACCUAAAUGAAAAUUGAAUAUCUCAUUAAUAGGAGUUCAACAAUAAAAAGACAGUAAAAAACGGAGUCCGUAUGUUGAAGUUAUGAAUCUUACACGGUCGUUAAGCAGUGUAAUCAUCUCAUACUGUUACGUUUAAAAUUGGUCGAGAAUUAGUUGAUGAAGUCAAAAGCAAAGUUGUAGAUCUUGUCAAUACAUACAUGUGGAUAUAAAUAACGUCAAAAAUGGAGCUCGUAUGCGAAAGUUACGAAAUAUAGAAUUCGGAAUGAUGCUGCUACUCUAGUACUUCCCAAGUGCUAAGAGGCGAGUCCCGGAGUGCCAGAAGGUUCCGAGAAGAAGAGAUUUUAGCUCGGUAGAUCUUCCCGCGCCGAGCCUAGUUCCUAUCCAAACCUCUCGGUAAGUGAGUUAUGUUUACCCUACUUUAAGUAUAACUUAUGUUUAAGUUCAAUAUCGUUAUUAUGAACAUAUAAACAAUAAAUAUAUUAUAAAAUAUAAUAUAUAAAGUGUUAUUAAAAUAUCUUUUAACUACUUGCGGUACAGGGAAUCUAUUUUGAAGGGCCGCAUAGGGUUGUUGGAUUUUAGAAGUGCUAUAAUGCUAAAAUGGUCCUGCCCUCCGGUGUGUCCUGUCUGGCCCCUCUCUUUACAUAGUGGUUGAAAAGUAUUGUUUAACACUUAGUAAACAAUAUCGCUCGUAAACAGCCGUGAUAAAUAUUAGACUAAAAUUUAGCGGUACUGAUACUAGGUUUCAUCGAAGGAGAAUAGAAUUGUUAAAAGCCAAGCGCUGACCGAGUUGGGAAUCAUCGCUUUAACAAGUGAGUGCAUAGUCUCUUUCGUGAACAUGAUUUUAAUACAAGUAUUGAUUAAAGUAUUAAAUAUAUGUUUGUGUGUGAAAUAUUUGUUAUAGCCUGAAAUACACGUUAAAGAGAAUAUUUGAUAACAUAUGAUGAUUUAGGAUACCAAACAAACCUAAAUUAAUUGAGAUGGAUCUCCGGUAAUAUCUACUUAUGAGUGUGGGUGAGAUAUACAUGGAGAGUCGAACUUUAAGAUUUUUCAUUGAUCCAAGAGCAUGGAUUAGACAUAGUCAUUUGUGCUUAGUGCGAGAGUAUGGAGAGGACAUGAGUUAUUUGUCAUUAAUCCGGGAGUACGGACUAGACAUAGUCAAUUGUAUCUAGUAUGAGAAUAUGGAUUAGGUAAAGAGGUUAAUUUUAGAUCCGCCAGCAUAGAUCGUGUCGUUGUGCGGAUCGAUGGGAUGGGGUAAAAUUGCUUUUAUAUAUAUAUAUAUAUAACUUUUUUUAUACUUUCAUAUAAUUUUCAUACAAGUGUUUUUAAACCAAAUAUUUUCUAAAUGUUUNUUUUCAUUUUCAACUAUAAUAUAUAUAGUCUAGUAGAUGUUCGUCAAAAAAAAUGUGAUGUAAGAGAAAGAUAAUAAUGAAAUUUUGAAAAUCUUGAAAGUAAUUCAAGUUAAUGAUUGAAGUUGAAGAACAUUAUAAUAAAUAUAUCAAACAAAACGACGUAUUAUGGUGAGUUUGGGUACCUAAGCUUAUAUACCCUUAAGGGUAUAUUCACUUUUCNNNNNNNNNNNNNNNNNNNNNNNNNNNNNNNNNNNNNNNNNNNNNNNNNNNNNNNNNNNNNNNNNNNNNNNNNNNNNNNNNNNNNNNNNNNNNNNNNNNNNNNNNNNNNNNNNNNNNNNNNNNNNNNNNNNNNNNNNNNNNNNNNNNNNNNNNNNNNNNNNNNNNUUUAGAGUUUAUCUUUUAUUUUUACAUGGUCCUAUAUAUUAAUUACGCGAAAAGUAACAUAACAUGACACUAGAAAAGAGAGAAAUAAUGGAUGCGACUUAAAUUGAUUAUUUGAAUGGACAGCAAGUUCAUAAUUGUGAUAUAUAUCUGUUGGUACACUAAAACAUGACAACGAUGUUGGGGUUAGCAUCGACUCAUUUCACCGAAAACUGAUUAAUUCUUUUUUCAUUUACUUCAAGUUUCAUUAGAAUGUUCUUGAGGGUUUUGCUUCAUCGAAAUAUGAUGAAAUAAAAUUACGAAUUUGGUUUUAUUAUUGAGUAUAUUAAUUUAUGUUUAAGUCUAUUUAUAGUUUAAAAAAUCAUUGUUUUGUGUCAUUCAUUGAAAAACCAAUUCUAUAAACAUUAUUGUUAUAUUAAAAAUUCCGUAAAAAUAUCACUAAAUAACCUCAUUGAUACUCAUGUGACAUUCAUCGAACAAAAAGUUUCAUCAAAAUCAUUAGUUUUAAUAUUCCGAAUAGAAAUCGUUAUGACGUGAUUUUUAAUUUUAUUUUAAUAUAUUAUAAUCAUUAAUUAGAGUAAAUUACAUAAAUUGUCUCUAUGGUUUGAGGUUGUUUGCAUGUUUAGUUUCUAUUUUUUUAUUUAUUUAAACCAGAUAAUAUUUAUAAUUUAUUUUUGUUGUCUCUUACUAUUUUACCUUUGAUAAUAUAUUUUUAGUGUAUUUAUUAUUUAUACUAUUAAAUAAACACAUUUCAUCUUAGGGAUGUUAUUCGGGCCGGAACCGAACCGAACCGACCCGAACCCGAAUAAACCGAAAAUCGAAUAAGGAUAAUUGUAUGAACCGAAAACCAAACCAAAUAAGCAAUAGGGGUUCGGUUCGGUUCGGGUAUUAUUCGGUUCGAUUCGGUUCCGACCCGAAUAACCCAAAUAACAUUUACAAUGUGAUUACAAAUAUUGUAUUUUGUAUGACUUUUGUAGCUUAUGAUAAACACGAAUUAACUAUUCUUGAUAUAUAAAAUGUAAACUCCAACCACCACAAUCUUAAGAUAUAGUUAUUAAGCAACAUAUUAAACACUAAACAUUAAACAUCCAAAACACCUAAAAAAACUAUCUAUAAGUAUAUAAGUUAAACAUUAAACAUUACGUGAGUAUUUUGGGUAACGAUUGAUAUAACAUAAGACCGAAUAAGUAAUCGUGUAGAUGGAAAAAAAAUGUGACUUUUCAUAUUCAGUUCGGUCCAUUUGGACCGAAUAAGCCCUUAUUCGGGUAACCCGGACCGAAUAACCCGAAAACCGAAUAAACCUUAUUUAAUUACCCGAAAACCGAAUCGAAUUGCUUAUUCGGGUCUAAUUCGGUUCGGUUCGGUUCGGGUUUUCGGGCCAAAUUCUCAUCCCUACCUCAUCUCAACCUAGACCCCACUCUAAACCAACGUACUCUCUUUCACCUUUGAUAAUAUAUUUUUUAGUGUAUUUAUAAUUUGUUGUGUUGAUUUAUAUUUAACGGCAUGAUGAAAGGGAAAAAAGGCACAUAAAAUUGUUGGUGGUUUUUAGGGAAUAGCAGUAGAAGGAUUCUCCGGUGGUGGUACACGGUGGUAGAAUCAUUCAAUUUUAUCAUUGAAAAAUUUUGUCUACACAAUUUGCCUGUAAAUUUUCUUUUCCAAAUUUGAUUGUUUUGUACUAAAUUUCUCAUUUAUACUUUUUAUUCCCGGUGCUAGUUAAAGAACUUCCUUGUUGCUAAAAGAAUUAUAUCACCUUUAUUGGAUUAGUCGGGUUUUAGUUGUGCGAUGGACCAAGUACAUAUACCUACAUGCCAUUCCAACAUAUACAUACAAAAGAAUGGCGUUUGUGUGUGAUAUUUCACUAUAAUCUACCACUUAAUUUCAACAUCAUCUUAUUAUGUGUCUCAUAUGUCUCGUAUGAUCAAAGCAACUUAAUUUGUUGGCUCAUCAAUUUCUAUAAAAUCAACAUUGACACCUUUAUUAUGACAAGUAUCAUCAUUCCCAUCAUCGUUACAUGUAACAUUAUCAACAUCACCAAGGUUUUGUUGAAAAUAAGCUAGACUUCUAGGGGGUAUUAUGUNUUAUGUAAUAUUAUGGUAGACAGGCAGUUACAAAAUGGAAUUGUACCCUUUAAGGGGUGCCAUUAAUGGGUAUCUUAAAGAUGCGUCUUCUGAAAGGGUUCAACGGUUCAUAAAGGGGUUGCAUUGGUUGGCUAAUAACCAUCAUUAACUGUCAUCAUGUCUAGUAUAAGUAUGUAUGCAUUGUGUCUAUAACAUGUUGAUUUGUUGAUUGUGAGAAAAAUAAAAAGUUUACAUUUUCUACACUAGAAUCUAUCCUUCUCUCUUCAUGUUUUCAAUGUCUUUGUCCAACAUAGUGGUAUCAGAGCCAUGAUGAUUCAAAGACUAAAAGGUGAAGAAAUGGAGAAAGACAUUAGGACUAGAAAACAUUGAAGAAAAAUAGAAAAUAGGAGGACAAGAGAAAAGGAUGUGAAGGGAUCUUUAGUGAUAUUUGAAUAUUGGAGUUAAUGAAGAAGAUGAUGGCGUGAAGAAGGAUUUAUGUUGAUGCUAUUUUCAUCCAUGAAUUCUAAAGUCUUUUGUUAUCGAUUCUGAGAUAAUUGAAGACAUUGGAAUGAAAAAAAUAGGAAAAUAUGUUCAGAGGAAAAGGGUUCUCUUUGACUUGUUUUUUCAUAUUAAAUUAUAAAGGACAAGAGAAAGACGACAUAGUUGAAUAUAUUGGUGGUUGGUGUUGGGUUUUGAGCAUUUUUACAUUCCUAUGUGAUCAUUCCAACCUAAUUGCUUUGGAUCUAAGUUUUUCACUAAUUGAACAUGCAAAUUUGAAUACCAAAGCAAUAACCCUAAAUCUAGCAUACAAUUUCCAAAUUCAUACAAAAAAUUAGGGUUAGAAGAUUACUUCACUAGUUAUAUAGUAAUAAUAAGUCAAUCUUGAUAAUCCUUGACUCUUGAAAGCUUAGUGCCUCAAAUGUUACACCUCAAUGCAACAAGAUGAGAGGAGAGACAAGGAAAAACAGCUAGGGUUAUGUAUCUUAUGCAUAGGGCGAAAAUCCCAUGUGGUGGGGCUCCUUAUAUAGUUGUGGGUUGCUAGGGUUUCUGGAGGAAAUCCUAAUUCCUUGCUUAAGGCUUAAGCAACCUAUGGACCUCUUACCAGUAGGCCUUGGAUGAAAUCUAUAGGGCCUCCCUAUAGGAUUUCGUCCACUCCUAAUUAAGGAGUCCAAUAGCCCAGUUUCACAACUAUCAAUGAUUUGCAAAACAACCCCUCCAUUAUUAAUCAGUUCCUUUAAUCCCAAAAUUAAUUUCUUAUUAAUCACUAAUUAAUAAUAUGAUUUCCAAAUAUUAUAUUAAACUUGUAAUAUAUUAAUAAAAUCAUUUUGAGUACAAAUUUAUUAUUUCAAAUAAUAAAUUAUACUCUCUCUCUCUCUCUCUCCAAAAGGACCGUGCAACAAUCAAAUCAAGUACAUACCAAUUAUAGUUAUGGGCUUAGACACCUAAUCCAACAGUGUCCCAUUUGGAUAAGUCUAAUAACUAUAAUUGCAAGUAUGACUUCAAAAUUUUACUAGCAAUCGUAGCUUUCAAAAGCCGUUGUUGAACUCUAAUCUAAUCAAUGACGCGUCCUUUAUAUAAGUGAUCAAAUAUCCCACUAUUCUAUAAGAUAUCCUAUAGACAUGAUACAUGGAUUAUAAUCAAUCUCUGUCCAAAAUUUGUUUCCCGAUUUCUGAUUUAUGACGAAUGACUAAUUGAACAAAUCAAAUCAGUCUAGGCAUGGCCAAGCGCUUCAGAUGUUAUCAAUAAAUCAUCAAGGGGCCCACAUAUAUCGCUUUUAUCCCAUUUAGUGUAGAAGGAGCGGAUAAACUUCGAAUCAUAUACUUGCACUAUUUACUCAUCAAAUCACACACAACAAUACAUUUUAUAACAUCAAGUUACUGAUGCGUUUACAUAUUAUUAAUGCACAACCGACUCAUAAACAACAACUCAUAUGUCUUCAUUUCAAGAAUAUAAGAUAUUCUUUUCUCAAAAAUUACCCAUGAUAAAAAUCCAUGAAGUAACUCUAAGCGUGGGUCAAUCCAAUACUCAAAUUUCUAUUUCAGAAGUACUCAUGAACGUUGUAGCAAACAUUUGUAGUGUCUAAACACUUAGACAAUCUACAAGCCAAUUCAUGACAGUCUUGAAGCAUUUUGAGCAUUCUAACACUCCUAAGGUGUACAUGUAACCCUAGAAACCUUGGAUCUAUGUUUUACUAAGAUACAUUCAAAUUUGAUUUUUCCAAGGUUCUUAACCUAACUAGCAUGGAAUGAGGAAUUUGAAACAUAAAAUCUAGUAGAAGAACUUACCUUUCUUGUUGCUUGGAUUCCUUAAGAACUUUGUGAUCCUAGCACCCCAAAUGUGAUGCCUCAAGUGUUUCACACAACACCACAACUCUUAGAAUAACUUUGCGAGAAGUACACACACACACACUCAAAAUCGGCUAGCCCUUUUUUUCUUCACUUAGUGCCGAUUUUGGUAGCUCAUGGAGUCUUUAUAUAGUGUGUCACAAGUAGGCUUAUACCAUGUAAACCCUAAUUGACAUGAAUUUUCAUUUCCUCCAUGAUCCGUGGGUUUUAACCUCCAUGGAGCAUCCAUGGAGUACCCAAUGGAUUUUAGCCCAAUCCAAUAAACCAUGGAUCAUUAGCCCACUAUAUAAGAAUAGAUGAUUUACACAAUCAACCCCAUAUAUUUAGUUAGUCUCUUUUUUAUCACAAAAUUAAUUCCAAAUUAAUUCUUGAUACUAAUUAAAUAAUAUUAUUAAUAUAUUAGAACUUAUAAUAUAUUAAUAAACCAUAAGUGUCAUUUUCUCAUUUUGUAUAUCCAAGUGUUAUGAUGCCAUGAAACCCAAAUAGACCAUGCCAACCAGGUCAAGUACAUACCGGAAAUAGUUAUAAACUUAUACACCUAAUCCAACAGUAUCCCACUUUGAUAAGUCUAAUAACUAUAACUGCAAGUAUGAAUUUAGGAACCCAUCAGCAAUCGUAGCUCUUUCAAAGUCUCGCACAACUAAGAUGACAUGCCAUUUAAGAUAAUUGGUCAUAUAAUUCUCUGCUCUCAAGAUAUCAGUCGGACAAAUACAUGGAAUAAUGUCGUACUUAUUGUCCAGUAGUUUAUUUCUCGAUUUCCGAUUUGUUUGACAUAGAACUAAAUCGAACACAUCAAUUUAGUUCUGAACGGGCCUAGUACAUAGGUCAAAUCAAAAUCAUCAAGGGGCCCAGAUAUCGCUUUUAAUCCUCCAAGAACUGAAAGGAUAUGCUAAAAUUCGACUCAUAUGCUUGUUCUACUACUUGUUGAAUCAUACACAAAGGCAUGUUUAAUAACAUCGAGUUACCAAUGCAUUUUCGUACAAUCAAUGUAUAACCAACUCAUAGUCAACAACUCAUAUCUCUAGGUUUGAAGACUUAUAUGAUAUAACCGUCUCACGAUCACUCGAGAUAAAUUCCAUGAAGUGAUACAAGUGAGCGUGGGUUGAAUCCAAUACUCGAAUCUCUAUUUUAGGAGUACUCAUGAACACUGCAGCCCCUUUGUCCUAGACAAACUGUAGACCCUUCAUGACAGUCUUGCCUCAUUACCUACUUCCAAAGUAUGAUUGACUGUGGAUGGUUUGAAUAAUAUGAUAUACCAUAACAUAAUUAUACUGGAAGUCAAAACAUGCAAAAAUGAAAUGAUAGUAAACGAUUGACAGAAGAUAGCAACACUUUACUUAUAAAUAAACAACUUUUAUUUAUCAUCAAAUGUCAAUUACGCUUUACAAAUUUCAAAAGUGAUCUAAUUUCUAAAACUAAUAUCAUUCUUUAGCCCAAUGCGCCUAACAUGCUAAAGAUGCUUAACCCUCUCUAGUCCCUUCGUGAGGGGAUCUGCUGGGUUAUCAUCCGAUGAUACCAUCUUGGCCAUGAGGAGUCCUUCUUCUAUUCGAUGUCUAAUGAAAUGGUAUUUUCUAUCGAUGUGUCUGGAUCUCCCGUGAUCUGUUGGUUCCUUGGCUAAGGAAAUUCCACUUUCACUAUCACAGAAAAUCUCUAUAGGCUCCUUUAUAGCUGGUACUACUCCAAGGUCUCCAAUGAAUUUCUUCAGCAAUAUGGCCUCCUUUUCUGCCUCGCUAGCUACUAUGUACUCUGAUUCGCAAGUUGAAUCAGCCACUGUCUCCUACUUGGGACUUUUCCAAGUAAUUGCUCCUCCAUUUAAGGUAACGACCCAGCCUGAUUGAGAGUGGAAAUUGUCCCUAUCAGUCUGGAAGCUAGUAUCACUAUACCCUACUAGUCUUAAGUCAUCACUCCCACCAAGGGUAAGGACCCAGUCCUUAGUCCUCACCAGGUACUUGAGAAUGUUCUUUACCGCAGUCUAGUGAGCCUUGCCAGGGUUCCCUGAUAUCUGCUGACCAUGCUCAAAGCAAAGGCCGAAUUAGGACGAGCACAAGUCAUAGUAUACAUGAUCGAGCCUACAGCGGAAGCAUAUGGUACUCAACUCAUCUCAGCUAUCUCAGCCUCGGUACUCGGGCUCUAAGUCUUACUCAAUCUGGCGUUACUUUGGAUCGGUAACGCUCCUUUCUUGGAAUCAUGCAUGCUGAACCUAUUCAGCACCUUAUCUAAGUAGGUACUUUGACUAAGUCCAAUUAGUCUCUUACACCUGUCUCUCAAAAUCCUUAUUCCUAGAAUAUAGGCAGCUUCUCCAAGGUCCUUCAUAGUGAAACACUUCCCAAGCCAGGACUUUACUUCCUACAGAGUUGGGAUGUCAUUUCCUAAGAGUAGUAUGUCAUCCACAUACAGUACGAAAAAGCUUAAUAUACUUCCACUAGCCUUUACAUAUACACAUGACUCAUCUUCGCUCCUCAAAAAGCCAAACUCUUUGACUUUCUCAUCAAAACAAAGAUUCCAUCUGCGAGGUGCUUGUUUCAAUCCAUAGAUGGAUUUCUCAAUCUUACACACUUUAUUAGGGUGCUCUGUGCUGACAAAACCCUCUGGCUGACUCAUGUAAACAUCCUCAGCCAGCCUUCCAUUAAGGAAAGCGGUUUUGACAUCCAU
rnacentral:lncRNA from 1 species